rnacentral:lncRNA from 1 species
CCAGAGAACUUGGCUCACAACACAAAGUUAUUCGACCGAGUGAAUGAAAUUGCACAAAGAAAGGGAUGCACCCCGUCGCAGUUAGCCCUCGCCUGGGUACACCACCAGGGUGAUGAUGUUUGCCCAAUUCCUGGCACGACCAAGAUUGAGAAUUUCAACCAGAACAUCGGAGCUCUAUCAGUGAAGCUUACACCGGAAGAGAUGGCGGAGCUCGAAUCGAUUGCUUCUGCAGACAAUGUCAAGGGUGGCAGGUACGAUGGAAACCUCUCUACAUGGGAAAACUCCGACACUCCACCCCUUUCUUCUUGGAAACCUGCCUAGAAACAUGUCUACUUCUUUUGCUGCGUCUUUGAUAUGCAGAGUUUGUGCAUUUGCCGCUGAAGUAAUUUGAGGCUAUGUUGUGUGGCUUUUAUAAGUAUGUGUAAUAAGAGUGACUGUUUUCGUUUUGUACAACAUGUGACAUUCACUAUGAGAAGAUUAUGGAUAUGUACUAAGCUUACUGGGGAAAGAUCACUCGAUAAACACAAGAGCGAGUUGAAUAUGAACUGAGCCUGCCAUGCCGACUUUAUCGGGGUGACUUUUAGAAUCUGAGAAAUCGGGAUUUUGAAGAAUUCAAACUCAGUCGUACAUACUAAGUGACGCUUUAUUCUCCUCCAACCAUGAGUUCAAUACUAACACCGUGUGCAACAUACUCUUAAGACUGGAUGCUACACAUAGAUACAAUGCUUCGCUUUGUGUUUGGUUUGGUAGCGAAGUAAAGGAACAGUAAAAUGUUACCGGAUGUUCUCGCAAAAACAAAGUUUGGGAUAAAAUGCUGGCGUAGUUGAUAUGAGUGUCGGGGAAAUCAAAGGUUUCUUGUUCAAGUUUCACCACCUACGGUGCAUGAGCUUUUAUGUAGCUCGAUACCUUUGCUCAUGCCUCUGCAUUAUUAUAAAACAGUCGGAGAUAUUGCGCAAGUUUCCUAAAAUUAAAAACGACACUUCUAUUGUUUUUUAUUUGGAAUUAGAGUGGAGCAAUGUUGUUUUGUUUUGGUUUAGGAAAAUAACGCAAAUAGUCAUUAAACUUUGGUCCAAUGUGUUAUGUUCUUACUGAACUUUUAAUUUAUUUAGUAUGGUUGUCGAACUUUUUGUACAUGUUUAAUUUAGAUCCUAGGCUAGAUAAAUCUAAUGACGCUGUGUUUGGUCGUUCGAACAUCUUUGCUAUAUGGGAUAAUGAUAGGAUAAAAAUCCCAUCUAAUAUUUCUUGACGUCCGGAUAUAACAUGAUUCAAAUAAAACAAAUUUAAAUGAGUGUUUGAUUUGUAUAAUUAAAAUUAAAAGUAAACCAUGGAAGUCGUGAAUAGUAUUCAUCCUUUCACAAUCUUCAUCGAUAUUAAACACCCCCGUUCCAUGUGACUUCAAGGACGCUCUCCUUCUGCAACGCCCCUUUCGCUGCCCUUGAUCAACUUGAUGGAUUACGCUCGCUCUACCUUUGACUUCGCCACAUUGAGAGGCCCUUGGGUUUGAGUUCUCCGCUGGUCUAGCCAUCUUUACUUUCAACGCCUUUUCCUGCGAUGAAUCCAUCCCCUUCGAUGAGUGUGAAUACUGCGUUGAUUCCCUGUUACCGUGUCCCGACUUGUUCAGUCACUUCAACAGCUUCCCCGAGACAGCGUGCGGAUCCGGUUUAUGAGUGGUAGCAGCAUCGGUACAACUCGCUCCAAGUGACGUGGUUGAGGAGCUCUAUCACCUUGGCUGCUGCCUCUUUCGGAUCAUCUUCUUCACAGAGGAGGUGUCCAGCUUUGAUCGGGAUCACAAAGUUCCCAACUAAAAUGGAGUUAAGUGACAUAAGAAAGAGGCAGGGCUGACGAGCUCCGGCGCCACUUUUCCGAGGCAGCCAAAGGUGGUAAGCAGCUUGUCACUGGUAGGAGGAACGGUGGCCCUUAGAGUUUGCUCAGGUCGUUGUGGCGAGGGCUUCUCUAGGUAUCUUCGUGAUACUCAUGCUUUAAGUUUGUGGUGGUCAUUUUAGCGAGAAAAAUCGGAACGAGAGAGAGAUGAUGGUGGCACUGGUAAAAAAUGAGGAUAAGCCAUCAACAAGCGCAGGAGUGGGGGAAAAACUUGUAUCCCUUAUUUUUUCAAUUUUCCAAAUUUCACAUAUCCUAUCUAGAUCUAUAUCACUUUUUAGAUGGGAUUUUUUAUCCAGACUAUAUCUAAAUUUCACUAACAUCGGGACCCCUAGAGUGCCAAAAGUUUGCACAAAAAGACAAUUAAGUGUCAAAAGUUAUGAAAAUGACACUUAAGUGCUAAAAUUGGAAUAAAAUAGAUCACUUAAGUGCAAAUCUGGUCAAAAUAUUGACAUGACAAUUUUCCAGCAAAACAAGUGCAAAACGGUGUCGUUUUGGUGCUGACAUGGAAAAAAUUAAUACAAAAAUUAAUUAAAUGAAAUUUAAAAUUAAAUUUAAUUAAAACAUUUAAAAAUAAAAAUACAAAAAUUUUAAAAAAGGAGAGAGGCGGUUGAGGGCUGAGCCCUUGUCGCUAGGAAGGGUCGGAGAUGGAGGGGGGAGGGUUAGCCGGGGUUGCCGGGCCCUAGGCCAGGGGCCGGCGACCUCGGCCAACUGGUGGCAAGGGCCCGCGAGCCCUCGCCUAGUUUUGGGGCGAGGGUUGCGGCCCUCACCUAGUUGAGCCAAGGGCCGCCGAUCCUCGCAGAAUCUGGGUGAGGGCUGCAACCCUUACUAGAUUUGGGCAAGGGCUCGUGAGCCCUCGCUGCCGGUUAGUUGGGGUCGCUGGCCCCUAGCUAGGGCUCAGCGACCAUGGUUGACCCUCCCCCCUCCGUCGUUGACCCUUCACGGUGACGACAGCGAUGGCUCAACCCUUAGCUACCUCCCCUCCCCCCCUCUUUGUCUCUCUGUCUCUGUCUCUCUCUGUCUAUAUAUAUAAAUAUUUAUGAUUUUUUAAUACUUGUAUUUGUAUUUUUAAAUGUUUUAAAUAAAUUUAAUUUUACAUUUAAUUUAAUUUACAUUAUUUUUUUACCAUAUUAACACCAAAACGACGUCAUUUUUGCAUUGUCUAGCUACGACAGUGUGCAAAAUGAUGCCGUUUUGCACUUACUUCGCCAGAAAUUGCGUACAUCAGAGCCAUGAUUUCGUUUGUAAUAAUAUCCGUUCCAUAUGCUUAAUAGGUGAAUCCAAUGCUGAGAAGGUUUCUUCACAUCAUGACAGAUCUAGAAAUACUAGAAGCAUCUGUUUCUCUUACUGCAUCUCCAUCUUUUUCAACCCCUUCAGAUUUUCAUGUUUUAAAUGCUUCUAAGAUAUACUAUCUCUAUGAAAUCUCUCUUAGCGAUGAAACCAAAAUCUCUGAAACUUAACUUUCCCUGAUGAACUCAUAUUUUGCUUUUGCUAAACCCACCUCAUCCUUUUCUCCCAUUCGUUCCAUUCGCCAACUUAUUCGCCAAACUCCAAAGGAAGUAAAUGAGUACGUUAAGUCCUUCAAGUUCGACCAACAUCCCAUUCUCGCCAUUGAAAAUGAGUACUUUGUUACUCUCUAGAUUCCUCCAGAGUUUCCUAGGCAAUAGAUUCAAAAAGGAUAGUCUCAUGUCCAUUAUGGAGUUGUUCGUCUUGCUCUUACUUUUUAUGGCCGCAAGGGCUUGCCAGUUGUGGCAAGAAUAGCAUUACUGGAUACUAGAUUUCUAAAGUACUAGUAUACUUGUAUCAGUACUAUCCAAACCACUUUAAAUGUUGGAAUAGUUUUUGUGACUUUGUAUCCAAAUUUCAAUUUGCUCUUUCAAAUCCACAGUUACUUUCCUUUUUGAAAGUCUAAGUUUAGCUCACUGGAGCACCUCAGACAGCUGAUUCUGUUGUUGCAACACUACACUACUAGAUCGUUUAUUAAGUGCAGAACCAUGCUCUUGACUUGAAUUUCCACAAUGAAAAUGAAGAUGCUUUAUUCAUCUCCAUGCAAAAUGAUCAUGCAUCCUGCAUUCAUGUUCCCAGACAUAUCCCAAAGGAAAAGUUGCCAAGCUUCUUCUAGAGACUUGGAUCACUAACUAUGAAAAGUUACAUCAGAAUAACAAACCUUUCUAGUCUUCAGACUUUGAAUUUGUCAGAAAGAAAGAUGGAACUGUUUCCAUCAAAUUUGGCAAGGAAAAUAAAGAAAUUCUUUUUAUCUUCCAAAUCCUCUUUAUGAUCGAACCAUGUGUUCCGAGCUAGAUAAAAAAAAAAGAAGCUUGUUUAAUACUUCAAAAGUGAUUAACAUCAUGUCCAUUACUACAAAGACUAGUAUGGUCACUGUUUCUAAGAUCCUUUUUGUCAAUGUUCUUUUUGCACAAACUCUCCCGACGAGGUAGACCCAUAUGCAAGACCUCGACGGAAGCAUAAGAAGCCAAAAGAUCCUAUGUACCAAAGGUACUUGAAUGGAGAUCCCUCCGUUGAUACUCUUGGUGAGUGUGAUAAAUUCUAGUUUAUGGUUUCCUAUACACCAACUCCACCACCAGAGUUCAUUACUCCACUAAUAUCACCAAGUUCAUCACCAUCACCUCCUCCAUCUCCUCCAAAAAAAAAAGAAAACCAACUCUUUCCCCAUUUUAUAAGCCAAUCUUAAAGUGGGCGAAUAAAUAUUCCUACCCACUUGAGGCUCUAGCAGAACACCACCAAGUUCUUUCAUAGCCAUGUUCCAUGAGACAUACUUUCCUCUUUUUAUUCGAGAAAGUUAUAAUCUCGUUUCCUGCUCCAAAAGAAUUCAUUGAUCUACAAGGCAGAUAUCGGCAUGCCCCUAAGAUACCUACCCCCACUGAUGUGGAUGGACAUGGAAGAUAGAAAAGGACUCCUGUUGUUGAAGCUGUCCUAAAUUGGCAAUCGGAAACUCUUUUAGCAUAUAACAAUGCGUUCAAAGCAAUUGAUUCCAAGAUUGUAAAUGUGCAACAAGAUUUUCGAAAUAUGAUGAAACCACCAAGAAGAUGCUUUCAGAUUUCCAAAAGAGGCUUCAUGCCUUGGAAUCUAGAUAACAUUUAGGGUGUCAUCAUCUCGAAAGUCCUAAGGUGGAAAUAGAGAAGCUCAAAAGGCAAAUUCAACUCCUUGAAGAAGGAAGAUUCAAUCCAUUUCCGACUACUUUGCGGACAGAGCAUCCCCCUCUUCCACUAGCCCAUAACACAUCUAUCUUUGUUGCUAUCACAGAUGUUCUUGUUAGGCAAGAUAAGACAAAUGUGGCUGAAAUGCGAAAUCUUCUCAAAGAACUGGACUGAAUAAGAAAAGAAAAGGGAAAAGAGAAGAUGCCUAAAGAAUCCUUGCUUGUCAUAAGGAAAAAGCCAGAUCAAUUGAUGCUGUCGAAUCUAUUAGAAUCUUUCCGAAGAGAUUUGGGUAAUCAGGAAUCACAGUCUGAUCUUGUUACUCAACAUCUUGAUCCCGUCAUUCCAACAGAUCAGAUUCUAUUUUCAGCAGAACUAGCUUUUCCAAAUAUCUUUGAUACUGAAUUAAAUUCGGUAUCCCUCUUGUCCUCCUCAUCCUUCUCAAUCCCUACCAUUGAUUCCUUCCCUAUUGUACUAGUAAUUUCAUCAAUAUUCAUGAUCGAUCAUCCGGACCAAGAUAUGGAAUCAAACCAUUCUGAACCAAAGGUUGUUUAGCCAAACAAUCCCUCCCAGCACGUGUAUUUUGCAUCAAAAUAGUUUAUUUAUUUAUUUAUUUAUCGUUGAUGACAUUCCCUAUCACAAAUGGCCAUAAAGACUUGAAGAAUUUCAUACUUGGUUAAAUACCCAAACCCUUACCAACCAGGAUAAGUAUGAUGUCAUUUUUGAUUUUGUCACAAGGUUUACAGGUAGCCUCAAAUAUUGGUGGCAAUCUGUGUUAGAACAAGACCGGCUUCAAUUUUUACUCUCACUUGAUUUUGGUCAUGCCAUUAUCCUUCUAUAUCAUUUCUUUGUGGGAAAACCUUUUGACCUCCAAGAGCUUAAAAGGAGAGAAUUUUUCGAAAGAAGAUGCUGCUUCUUCCAGAAAAAAACAUCUUGAUAAAUAUUAUCGAGAAAUGUUUAAGCUCUUCUAUGGUAUUGGAGCUGAUCCAAACCAGAAACGCAUCUUCUUGACUUCCAUCCCCAAAGAAUUGUCUCAAUAGGUGGAGAGAACUUUUCUCAGCAAACAAAGAAGGAUUCAGGAUAUUCCGUUAGGAGAAAUCUAACAAGAAAUUCAUUUGUGCCUUGAAGAAUUGUGUAUCAAAUGCCAAAUGAUCCAGACUUAUGUCGACAAUAACAGAGAACUUGAUAUAGCAUGUUCUCGCCAUAAGCUAAAGAUCAAAUGUUCAAAGCGAGAUUGUGAUGGUUCUUGCGGAAAAUUUUCCAGAAAAAAGCACUUCAAGAAGCUCUGGAUAAUGAAAUCUAGGCGUGGCUCUAAGCAUUUUUGAAGAAAGAAGAAAUGGCGACACCUAUGCAAAAGGAAAGAUCACUCAGGCCACAAGAAGUCAAAUCAAUGCUUCAUCUGCAAUUAGAAAAGACAUUUUGCCAAAAAUUAUCCCCAAGCGAGAAAAUGUCAAAAUCAUAUGAUAUAUCAUAUAGAGAAUGAAACAGGUAAUUCUCUUGAAAAUGAUAAUAUCGAAUCUUUAUUAUCUGAGAAUGAAGAACCAUCUGAAUAAACUCUUUGUGUCAUUCCUUGUUACGAAACUUCUAGUGAAAUUGAUUCGGAUUCAAAUCCUGAAGAUAUUUUUCACAUAUCUCUCACUUCUUCAGAAUAAAGCACUAACAUAUUUUCAAGCUAAAUUCAUUGUCCCCAUUUCCCUGUGAAAAUCUUCACUUCAAAGUUUGCCAAGCCUUUCAUUGUCAUUGCUCUCAUAGAUACUGGAGCAAGUUCUUCAAUCUUGGACACCAAAGUUAUUCUUGAAGAAUAUUGGACUUCCUAUGUUUGAUACUUCAAUUCUACCUCAGGAGAUACUUUUUCUACGAAUGUAAGAACUACCCUAGUAAUCAUCUAAUUUUUUCCACAGUGUUCCAUAACCAUAAAAAUCUCUGGUUCCAGUCUUCCCCACAAGGAUUUGAUCAUUGGCUGGGAUAUCAUGACUAAAAUUUCUCAACUUCGUAUCAUUUCUAGAAAAUGUCUUAAGUAUAAGGACUAAUUUUCUAAAUUCGUCAAUAUCCAAAGACUUUUUUUCCAUCCAAAUGAGCCUGCUAGACCCCAUCAUGCAAAAGUUGUUAAAAUCAUGUUUGGAAUUUCAUUUUGAAUUUGCUCAAAAAUGUUCUCACCCUCUAUGGGAAAAUUUAGAGUUCUUUGUUUGCCUUCCUUUUUUAAAAAAAAAUGAGGAUAUCAAUCUAAACAAGGCGAGUUACAUGGGAAUGAAGUCAGAACACUUGGUUUUAACUCAAAGGGAAUGUUCGGAACUAUUGCAGCAAUGCCUUAUUGAAAUCUCCAAUUCUCAAUGGGCCUGUGAAGCUUUUUUAUGUCAAUAAGCGUGCCGAACAAAAUAGAGGAAAUAUGAGAAUGGUAAUUAACCAUCAGCCUCUUAACAUUUUUUUCCAAGAUGAUAAAUUCCCUUUACUCUCCAGAAAUUCCCUAUUUACUAGAUUAUCCAAAGCCCAUAUUUACUCUAAAUUCAAUCUCAAAGCCAGAUUUUGGCAAUUGUGCAUCCAUCCUAAAUACAGACCCAAGAUAGGGUUCUGUAUCAUGAACCAACAUUUCCAAAUGGAAAGUUAUUCAUUUUGGUCUAAAGGUGGUACUAUCCUUAUUCCAAAAGGUCAUGUGUCGAAUUUUCCAACUAAUUUUGUCAAGUGCAGUAAUAUACAUUGACGAUAUCGUGCUUUACAAUCUUAAUGAGCAGUCACACUGCCAACUUCUUAAACAGUUUGUAGAAAUUGUGUAAAAGCAUGGGAUCAUGCUUUCUCAAAAAAAGAUGAACAUUGUCCAUAUAUAAAUUGAAUUUCUUGGUAUGACCUUAACAAAGGUAUGUAUUAUCCAUGGCCAUAUAUUGCUCAUGAAUUGUUGAAAUUUCCUGAGGAAAAUUUCACAACAAAGCAAGUUCAGCAAUUUCUUGGAAUAAUUAAUUAUCUCAAAGAUUUCGUUCCAAACAUUGCAGAACUGUUGAUUCCAUUGAAAUUGAUGCUGAAAAAGAAUCCCCCACCUUGGAGAAAAUCUCAGACUAAAGCAGUCGUCGAACUUAAGGAGAUUAUGUAGACUCUUCCUCUGUUACAAAUCCCAUCGAUAAGGAAGAUAAUUCUCUAGAUCGGCGCCAGUGAUGAAUACUGGACAGCCAUCUUGUUUGAAGAAAUUGAUGGUAAGAGACAUCUGUGUACCUAGAAAAGUGGAAAAUUUUCCCAAGCUGAAAUGCAUUAUCAUUCCACUUUCAAAGAAAUCUUGGUGAUGAAAAAUGGAAUAAAAAAGUUCGAAUUCCAUCUCAUUGGCCAUCACUUCAUGGUAAAAUUGGAUAUCCUCAGAUGAUCAAGUUCAAACAGAAGCAGAUUUCGAAUUUUCAACUGCUUCAAUGGGCUGAAUGAUUUUCAAAAUACUCUUUUGAAACCAAACAUAUUGCCGGAAAAAAAAAUGUGCUUGCUGACUUCUUGUCAAGACCAAAAGCACCAGUAAAAAUCAACAUGUACAUCAUGAGGCAUGCUUUUCAUAUUCUUCAUAACAAUGAAAAGUAUAAGAUUGAAAGAAUACAAGACUAGUCAAGCUGGCAAUAUUACUAGGAGAUUGUGGAACAAAUCUAGAAUGACUGCCUUAUUGAAAAUUUGGAUAAUCUCAUGUGGCAAUUCCACACAGAUCUGUUUAGAUUUAAUGGGGGUUCGAUUCUUUAUCUUUUUAGAUUAAAUUCAGACUAUCCGUUCAUACAUCCUUUAAUCUGGAAGGAAGAUAAUUUCCCUGACCAACUUCGAUGGUUAUUAUGGUACUUAACCAAUAAGUACUGAAUAGUAUUGAAAUUCCAACUAGAAGAUUUAUUACCAACCUCACUAGGAUAUUUAGACUUGGCAGAUGAAACAUUGAAAAAGAGAGUGACAGAAAUCUCAUAGGUUUCCUUAAUUGGUUUUAUCCCUCUACUCACUGGAAAUACCUCUUGCAGAAAGAGCUGAGAACCACACAACUAAACCCUGAGGUCCAUAUUAUUUUGUUUUUUCGACGACCGUGGGCUUUUGUCACAAAUAAUGGUAGCAGUAGCAAUGCCCCCCAAAUUAUAGGUACCACAUCCUAUAAACCUCAACCACAUAGUGUAGAAGCUCAGAUUUACAAAUCUUAUUUAGAACCCGUUGGUUGCUACGAGCACCAGUAUCGAGAACUCCAAAGGAUUUUGUACUAGGAAAAUAAAAUCAUUCCUAAAGAUGCAUGGAACUAUAAUGUACCCACUGUAUGAGAUUAUUAUAGUCUCACACUAGAAGUUAAGGAAGCACUCGAAAUAUUCAGACAAGUUACAUCAUCACAGGAGCAUGAAAUGGCAGACACAGAUGACAUCGCACAGUCCUCUCAAGAUCCCUAUGUCAAAUGGGGAGGUCCUCUUUCUCAAGAUCCCUAUGACCAAGAAACUUUGUCCUUAUCUCAAAGCAUUGACACAUCCUACUAUACUCAGUCAUCCAAUUGGUCUCAGCUAAGCAUUCUUGCCAACACUACAGGCUCCUCUUAGAAUCAAGCGAAAGCAUCCUCGUCAAAUCAAAUUCUCUCACCAGAUUCACUUGUAGGACUUGAGAAAAAAAUAUGAAGAAUAGCUUAUGUCAAUGUAUAGUUCGGACGACUCAGACUAUGACUAUAAUGCUCGUGAUGGACGAGACUAUUGACCGUACAAGUCACUGUAGCAAGUCACUUUUCACUUUCAUUGUAGCAGUAGACUAGGGAAAUAACUGUUCAUUAUCAAUGUUCAUAUCGUGCGAAUAAUCUCCUAUGCCUUUAUUUGUUUCAAGAUUGUGAGAAUGAUCCUUGUUUAUGUGUGACCUCUUAUUGCCUAUAAAAGACAAGAAUGAUGUAAUGUGUUGGGCAGAGUCCCUUGAAGUAAAGUGAGUAUUUUGUGUAAAACUCUCUAUGGCUUUAUAAACUUAUCUUCUUCUCCAGUCUGGUAGGAUCAUUUGAGAAAUGUAGUUCGGAUAGUUAGAAAUGUUACCAUCCUGGUUCUAUAUGAGUGUUUCUAGACUCUGAACUAAAGGGAAGAGUGGUUUUAUGUUAAAAGGCUGUCUCUGAAGGGCUUGAACGGAAGAGGUUCACCUACUGUGGGGUAUGCCAACUUUUGGCACUUGAAAUAAUCUUUUGCCGAAUUUCACGUUACUCUAAACACCGGAUAUGAUCAAACUUUUACUAUCAAAGUUUUAUCUAGCCCAUCAAAGGCAGUCUUAUGAGAUAGGAUGCAAUGAUAUAAUCUAUGAAUUAGAUCAAACAUUUAUUAAAAGUUUAAGAACGAUAUUUCAUUUUUUGAAUGUUAGGAUGCACGAGUAAGUUAUGUUAAAACAAUCCCACAAUAUAUUGAUAGCUUUGAAAUAAGGCUUUCUCUUGGUGAUGACGAAGAUCCAUAUGGAGAAAUUAAUGGGAGGGUUUGUUUGGCCUAACUAAAUGAGAGGCUAUAUCAGUGGGAGGUUUUUCAUUGUAACCUUGUGCUUGGUAUUUGUAUUUUAGUAAAGGAUUUUGUUAGCAUAAUAGUUUCUGAGUUAUUGUGAGAAUAACAACUUAUUAUGAGUUACAAAAUUUUCUCUUUCUUUUUUUCUUCACUUCCUUCUCCUUCCUCCAACCAAUCAUCACUAGUGAUUGGCAAGAGGCAAGGUUGGUGAGGUACCUCGCUGGUCUCGAGGAAGCUUGACCAUGGUUAGGCAACCUUGCUCAUGGCUAGGCGACCUCGCCUAGGCCGCCAACUGGGCUGGUGAGGGUUGACCCUCGACGGCCAUGGGUGAGGACAAAUGCCGCUAGUUGGGCUUGCGAGGCUCGCCCUUAUUGAAUUUGGCGAGAGUUGAGUCUCAUUGGCCAUGGGUAAGGUCAAAGGCCGUGACCUCACGUGGUCUUUGGUGAGGCUUGCCAAAGGUUGGGCAAGGCUCACCGUCGUUGGACUGAUGAGGGUCGAGUCUCGUCGGCCAUGGGUGAGAUUGCAACUUGCCCAUGGCCGGCGAGGUGAGCCUAGGCCAAAGGCAGGCGAGACCUUGCCUAACCAUGGCGAGGGUGGCCUCACCAUUGUUGGGUGAGGCUCACCCUUGCUAGUGGUGUGUGGGGGUAAGCCUUGCCAUUGGUUGGCGAGGCUAACCUUGCUGGCUUGAGUAAAAUAAAAUAUUAUUAAAAGAUUAUCUACAUCAAUAUUAGUUGGACGAGCGGUGUUGGUCGGCCAAAAUUUCUGAAUGAAUUGAAUAGUAUAAUUGCAAAAUGUUUGGGAUUGAAUUGGCUAAAAAAAAAGGUCUAAGUUUGAAUUGGAAAAAUUACAAUAAGUUUAUGAUUGUUUUGGUACGUCCUCCCUAUAUGGGAAGGAUCGUGACUAUGCUUCAAUUGAUGUAAGCAAGUGCAUCUUCACAGCCACUACCGCUCCCCUCCUACUCUUUGUAGCUUAUGCUACUCCCCUCUUAUAAAUCUCGGCUCGCCUGACGCCUUCGCCAUUGUGUAGGGAACGAGCGAGCUCGAGCUAGACCACAGUAAUGGCGGCAUCGACAAUGACGAUAAGGAGGAUCAAGUUGGGGUUGCAGGGCCUGCAGGUGUCGGUGCAAGGGCUGGGCUGCAUGGGCAUGUCCGCCUUUUACGGGCCACCCAAGUCGGAGCCCGACAUGAUCGCCCUCAUCCACCAUGUCGUCGGCUCUGGCGUCACCUUCCUUGACACCUCCGACAGCUACGACCCCCACACCAAUGAAAUCCUCCUUGGAAAGAUCGGUUCUCUCAGUCUCUGUUUUGCCUUCGCAUGAACUAUAUGUGCUUAUAAUGUUACGGAAUGUAGCUUCAUCGAGCAGAGUGCUUUGAUCCUGCGCCUUGGUUUUCUGAUUUCGGGGUUGAUUUUGAGCAGGCACUAACGGGAGGGGUGAGGCAAAAGGUGGAAUUGGCGACCAAGUUCGGAAUCAGCUUCGCGGAUGAGAAGAAAGAGGUCCAGGGCGAUCCGGCAUACGUGAGGGCGGCUUGCAAUGCCAGCUUGAAGCGACUUGACAUCGAUUGCAUCAACCUCUACUACCAGCACCGUAUCGACACUCGCGUCCCCAUUGAAGUCACUAUAUGGAUCCCUUAUCAAACUUUCACCUCGCUUGAGACUUUCUCCGAGCCAUAUGAUUAGUUGCUAAAUUAGAUUGGUGUUGAUGAUGCAUCGUCAUGUUGUUACAAGUUUGUUGAAUUUUGUUAAAUGACACUUAAGUUCAGCUGAUAGCAAAGCUCAAGAUGCGGCACGGUGUUGUUCAGGGGUUGUGGAAUUUAGUAGUUUAAUGGCUUGAGUUUUCGUUUUGUGGGCAUCCUUUACAAGUUAAGGGUCAACAAGCAUGAAAAUCAUUCGAAAUCUUCCUUACCUUUGAGAUGAAAGUGCUCCGGGGUUCAUCCUGAUUUUUUUUUUUUUUGGUGGUGAAAGUAAGUAAUUGUAUUAAGCUUUGCCAACUAUACAAGAUGAAAUCUUGGCACCAAAACUUGCACUCAGAAUGACAUGACGUCAAUGCGAGUGGAAGGAUGCUGAGAUGAAAAAUAGCAAGCAAUAAACGGUGUUGACACCUAAAUUUUGGCGAUCCGAUUAUUUAUUUAUUACAUAAAAAUUAUGGGUCAAUUUGUCUCUUAAAAAAUAUUAAUUACAUAUAGAUUUAGGUGCAUUUAUUUUUAAUUUAAUUUUUUUGUAUUUUAUUGGAUCGAUGGUGGAUGGAUUCAAAUUAAUGGUUAUGAAUUUUAAAUUGACAAAUCGAACUAAGUUCACGAAUAUAAGAAAUUGGCGCAAGCCCGUAUUUGAAAAAAUUCUAUUGUAAUUUUUGAAAAAUCAAUAGAAAACAUUCAUUUUUGCAAAGGAAAUCAAGAAGAGCUGUGGAAAAUAAAAAGUGAUAUUACGUGCGGAAAAGAAAUCUUUGCAGAUGUUGAUUUAAAAAGGAAAUUAAAAUCCUAAUUUUUGGUCUAUAAAAAAGUAACUUAGUAUAGGGUUUUGGGGAGGCUACACAUGGAAUACACAGCCAGUGGAGGGCGAAAUUCGAAAAAAUUUGGAGAGCAAACGCGAGGGGGCUUUUUCCUUCGGUUGAUUGGAGUUGAGAAUUCAAGAAAAAAGAAGAAGAAAGAAUUCGUUUGUUUGUGAAAAAAGGCAGCAAAAGUGUGCAGAAAAAAAGGAAGAGACAGAGACGGGACAGGGAAGAGUGAUGUGAGAGAGAGACGUGGAGUAGAAUAAAAAAGAAAAAAGAAAGUAAAAACAGGGAAGACUGUUCAUCCUCGCAAGCGCCUCAACCGCUGUCGCCGAUCCCUUUCGCCCGCACCGGCCCGCGACCUGCAGCCGCCGCGCUCCGUCGCCGCCUCACCCGAGCCGCCGACCACCACCGCUCGCUGCUCACACUACCGCUGUCCCGAUCUGCCCGCUCGAGCGUCCCUACGCCGGCAGAUCUGAGCUGCUCGCCACUCCACCGCCGCGCGAGUUCCCGCACCGGUCCGCGCCUCCUCUGCUGCUCGUGCCGUGCCACCACCAGGGUUCCUCUCGCUCGCGAGCUCGCACCGCCGCCCCGCUGUGCUGAUCCGCGACGACCCGACGCUCCGCUGCUGCUGCUGCUGCACCUUCGCAGGUCACCCCACCAGCACCACCGUUCGUCGCCCUGGCUGUAGGCGCGACGACUCGACACCGCCUCUGCUCAGUCACUCCUUCACCCGCUCCUGCUGCAGCACCAGUCGCUGCAACCUCCGCCGUCGCUCUUGCAUCCGACCCGACGCCAGCAGCAACGAUCCAGAUCCGGCGCCUGCUGCAGCCACAGCCCGACGCCGCUCCUCUGCCCGCGACCCAAGACCGGACGCCCAGGUCCGACGCCCUGCAGCUCCCUCUCUGAGUGACUCCCGCGACUUCCCUCACCGGAGCAACCCACCACGUUGCUGCUUCGCUUGAAAAAAAGAAAAAGAAAAAGAAAACAAAAAAAGAAAAAUCAAUUUAGGUAAUUUUUCCUUUUAUUUAUCUAUCUUAUUUUAUUAUUUUUGUUAUUUAACUUUAUUUGUUCUUUUUCAGUAUAAUUAUUCCUUAGUGUAAGGAUGAGAUGUUCGACAUGAAAUAGCCUGUGAAAUUUGUGAUUGUCAGUCCGAUUUUCACGCCUAAAAUCCGACUUGCAAUCACUUAAAAAAAAUCGCUAAUCCGAUCUUCCGCCUAAGAUUCAAUUCGCGAUUUAUGUGAAAUUGACCAACUCGAUUUCAUGCGCGAGAUAUAAUUCGUCAAUUUGGAUAUCAUCUUGCUCCGAUUUGUUGUCGUGUCAUUUAAUUAAAUUUGCUUUCAUAAAAAAAAAAUGUAGGUUAGAAUUAGGUUUAUUCCCUAUUUUAGGGUUUACAUAUUUAAAAUAUGAAUUUUAUUUCGAAUUUUUUUUUAAAAAAUAAUAAUAAAUUAAAAAAUCAAAAAUCAAAUCAAUUAAUUUAGGUUGCUAGUUUUUUUUUUUUUUUUUUAAAACUUGGAUUGCAUGUUUAAUUGUUUGGCAAUUAUUAAUUUCGAAAUUAAUAAAACAAAAACGCAACAAAAAAUCAUCAUGCAUAUGUCAUAUAGAAUUAGGGCAUCUUUUGUAUGUCAUUGCAUAUUAGGGUAAAAUUGCUAAUAUUUUUCUUAAUUUAUUAUAAGUUUAGGUAUUUUCUUAGAUAGAUUGCAUUUUAGGAUUGCUUGGGUUAGGAUAAUAUUCUAAUUUAAAUUAGGAUUUGGCUUAACCUAAUUCCUAAUACAAAUUGAAUAGAAUCUUAAUCUAGUUAGAUAAUUUUCACAUUUAAUCUAAUUUCGAAUUUCAUGAAAAAUACAAAAAAAAAGUCUUAGAAUAAAUUGGUUUUAUUCUCUAGGAUAAAUUGCAUUCUCUUUAAGGAAAAAAGAAGAAAAAUAUCAUGUGCAUGCCAUAUAAGAUUAGACUCAUGAGAUGCAUACCAUUUAGUGAUUGUUGCUAGUCCAUUUAAUUAGAAAUUGCAUAUCAUUAGAAUUAGGUCAUUUAGUUAUAUUGCAUUGCAUAUUAUAUGAUUUUCAUUAAAUAAGUGAAAAUAAAGAAAUUGCGUAUUGAUUAGAAAUUAUAUUUAAAACCGUCGAUGUGAAUUUUGAUAUAACAUUGUAGAUGCUUUCGUUGCUAUGAAAUGACUAUUACAAUUUAUUCAUUAUUUAUCUGGGUGUUAAAUUGGUGGUUUGCGCACUCAUAUGAUCACUUCAUAUGUUAAAAAAAUAGAUUUAAAAUCAAUCCAAAUUGCAUGUAAAAACAUUUUUGAAAAUAAAAAGAAGUGGUACCGAAAGGGUAUUAGAGAAUCUAGCAUAAUUAAGUCUCUGAACUCAUAAAUCUCUAAUUCGUAGGAGUGAAGUAAAUCUCCCGUUACUUUAUUUGAAGAUUAAUGGCGACUCCUAACUGAAAUAUCGUUUGUAUGUUAAGAACUUAAACCCAAGUUGCAAAUUGGUAUGGCUUGGGAGAGCUUGAGUUAGGUCUAGGCUUAACAAUUCAUUAGCCAAACCUUAGGUGAUACACACCUGAAAAUUUGGUCGCGACAAAUGGUAACAGCCACCACACAGCAAAGAAGAGCCAAACAACGGCCACCACUAGCAACCAAAGCAAAAAACAAAAGGCAACCGAGGGAUCAAACAGACGCAGCCAGAUCACCCCAAGCACCAAACCAAAAAGGGAAAGGCACAGUUCAAGCGUCCCAGUUGAGAGAAGCCGUGACCGACACGAACCAGGGGAGGAGGAAUCUUCAGUGAAACAGCCAACCCCAAGGACCUCGGCGGUAGCUCAGCACAAGAAUGUCCACCCUAGAAGGGUAUCCAGUUAGAAGGAGAUGGAUGAUGGAACAACCAUUCUCAAGGAUCGAACUCGCCGCUGAAAUAGCAGCUACAUGGAAAUCAGCUUCGUAGAUUUGAUCAAGAAUCACCUAAAGAGAAAACAAUCGGAUCAAUGCCCCAGGCACGCUGGAGUAUCCUGUUCCUCGCGGUACUAUCGACAUUUCUGAAAGUUAGAGCCUUAUCCCGGACAACCCUAAGGAGAUGGUUCUUCAGGGCCGGGAUCGUAGGAGUUAGCUCUCUAAACAAAAUAUCAUUCCUGUUCUUUCAUAUAAUGUGACAGAGGGCUCCAAGGGGUUCAUCCUGAAUUUAUAUACAGGAAUCACAGAUAAAGUUGUUCCUGGACUUUAUGCGGAGACAUUUGAUUCUUGACAUAUUGUGAAAUAUGACAAGUACUUGGAAUACUUCUUUUAUUUGCUCUCUUCUGUGAGAGAUUCAGGAAAUCUACCUCCGUUAACUCAAUACCUUGUGACUUUUUUGUUGCAUUGUGAUGCAUGAUAAUUGAGGGAUCUAGACACAUAAAAAGCUAAUGCCAUGCAUAAUUUUCUGGAUCUUAACAUGUAAGAUCUUUCGUCCAAAAAAAAAAAAAAACAUGUAAGAUCUUGAUUUUGUUGUUUUGUCAUGUGAAUAUGCAUAGAUCGGAGAGCUAAAGAAGCUCGUGGAAGAGGGUAAGAUAAAGUACAUCGGUUUAUCCGAGGCCUCUGCCUCAACAAUCAGAAGAGCACAUGCUGUUCAUCCCAUCACAGCGGUGCAAUUGGAGUGGUCGCUUUGGUCAAGAGAUGUGGAGGCAGAGAUCGUUCCAACGUGCAGGUAGGAUAUCACUCUGUUAAUUGUUUAUGCAGCAACAACAGCUUCCUUCUGACUCUGCUUUUCCUUUAAAAUGUUGACUAGGGAGCUUGGCAUUGGAAUUGUUGCCUACAGUCCUUUAGGACGAGGAUUCUUUUCUGUUGGCUCCAAGUUGGUGGAGAAUAUCUCUAAGGAUGACUUCAGACAGGUCUGUUCCUGCUUGUCAACAUAAUUAGAUGCCAGUAUCGGGCUUUGGCCCUCCGUCCUUUUUCAUUCUCAUCUUUCUUCACAAGAUAAACUAUAUCUUGACACAACCAUUUCUUGAGUAAGGACUCCUAGCACCCUUCUUAUGAGAGUUUUGGCUCAAGUUCCCAUCUGACAUAAAGCCAAUUGUGUAUUACUCCCCGCCAUUAGCGUUUGACUAGCGAUAGUGCUGGGCAAGUGAAGUAGCUAUUUUUUUUUUUUUGUAGCUAAAAGAGCUUUGCGUCUGAUAACGUUCUUCUACACAUCAUCUACAUUUCUGAUUUUUAUUUUAUGUGUGACUCAGGAAAAUGAUAAUUGCUCAUAUGCUCUCUGCUGAGACAUUGCUCUAUGUUAUGCAGUAUCUACCAAGGUUCCGGCCAGAGAACUUGGCUCACAACACGAAGUUAUUUGACCGAGUGAAUGGAAUUGCACAAAGAAAGGGAUGCACCACAUCGCAGUUAGCCCUCGCCUGGGUACACCACCAGGGUGAUGAUGUUUGCCUGAUUCCCGGCACGACCAAGAUCGAGAAUUUCAACUAGAACAUUGGAGCUCUGUCAGUGAAGCUUACACCGGAAGAGAUGGCCGAGCUUGAAUCGAUUGCUUCUGCAGACAGUGUCAAGGGUGGCAGGUACGAUGGAAGCAUGUCUACAUGGGAAAACUCCGACACUCCACCCCUUUCUUAAUAAAAUUAUGUGUUUUUCUAGUAAGGGAUGUUGCGAAAACUUUAUUGUCUUUUGCAUGCGUAAUUAUAACUAUGAGUGUAACUAUGCGUAAUUACAACAUGUGGCGUCACACAAUCCUCAGCACUUGAAUUGGGGUCUAUCAAGGUAGUGCUUGAGUCUAUGAUGCUCAAGCUCUAUUCAAUAGCACUUAGGCUCGGGUCCGCAAAGAUUGUGCAUCAGUCCUCAAUGCUUGAGGUCGGCUCGUUAGUUAAUAAAACGUUUGUUCUUAUAAAAAUAAUUAUUUUUAAAAAAUCUAUUUUUUUAUAUUAUUUGUUUUCUUUCUUUUUAUUUUCCUUCUUCUCGGCUAGUUGCCAACCAUGGCGCCGAUUGCGCCUGAUAACAAGCACCGGAUGAGCUAGCCCAAGGCCAAGAAGACUUGAGAUUGCUGAUUUGGCAAGCUUGAAGCUGGUCAAGUGCAAGCUCGAGUUUCGCCCCGUGGCUAGUCGCCAACUACCACCGUGGCUAGCGUUCGGUCGAGGAAGAAGAAAAAGAAAAAUAAGUAAAAAUCUGAAUAUUUUGUAAUCUUCUAUAGGGAAAUCAAAUAAGAUUUUUCAUAUUAAACGAUAAAAAAUAUUUUCUAGUUUAUUUUUAAGACUUAACCAAAUAUUGAAAAUGACUUUUUGUAAAAUAUUAUUCAAAUAUGUCAUAUUUUUUGCGAAACAAACGGUACAUAAAUUUAAAUUUGAUAAUUGUCCUUGUUAAUUUGGUACACAUUAUCUGUCUCUUUGUUUUGUUGCUGAACUGAUGCUAAUCUCUAGAUGAAGCUUGACUAGUUUCAAUAGGCGGCUUGACUUUUGCGCUUCCUUUUUUUUAAAACCCAAAACACUCAAAACUUUCGUGAUACACGACUUUCGACAUGCAGAGUUACAAUCACUUCAAAUAAUUUAUCUGAAAAUUGUAUAGUGGGCCAUCCGAGAAAGGUGAGGGCAACUUGUCCCCCUAGAAAUUGUCAUGACGUGGAACUCUUGACAUGAAUUGAAGUGACUUUUGUUAAGAGUUAACUAGUCAAGAUCGGGCCACAUCUGUCCAUUCAUGUCCGCCACAUCCGGCCCCUCCAAUCGGACUCCCCGGCGAAAAGAUUCACGGACACGUGGCUGGAUCUAGAAAGUCACGGGUUUGACUUGUCUUUUGUGUCACUAUCAAGAAUGUGCAUGGUCCGGACGGGCGAUUCCCGACCUAGAAUCGGGAACUGCUUGCUAAGGACCGAUUCCAAAACAUUGAAACGGAGAUCCACCAGUUAGUUGAAUGAAUCCACUUGGGAACCAGAUCGCUGAUUCAGUCCGAUUUCUAGGUGGAUCUAUGGAACCGAUCUUGACGCUAAAUAAUUUUAUUUUCAAUAUAGAACGACUACGUGAUUUCCAUAACAACAGCUGGAGAGGUUGUAGAAGGAUAUCAUGGUAGGCACUUACGAUAAUCGUGAGGAAAUGAUAGCAAUUUUGGUUAAACUUGUUUUCUAUCAUGGCUAUCAUGGGUCGAAUAAAAUUUUGCAAGCAAAUUUCGUGUCCUAGGCAUUUUUUUUCUCUUAGGUGUGAUGCUUUAAAAACCCUCUAUGUGAUGCUUAGGAACCUUUGUUUGUGAUGAAGCCUAAAGAUUUAUUCCUUGUUGUGGACUUGUUGUCCUACAUCAAAAUCUCUCAGUCAAACUUUUUUGCUUUGUUUUGGUAAGUCUGUAUAAGGUAUAUUACAGAAGUUGCAUUACGAGAUAUUUCUUCCUUAUUGUCUUUUUAGUUUAACUAAGGCCAAAUUGUUUUGGCAUUUUUCCAAGCAUUUCAUUAUGGAAUGAUGAUAAGAAGCGAUCUUGACUUAAUGCUUUUAGUUAUUUGAUUUGGAUUUAUUAAUUAGUAAUUUCAUUUUUUAAUAUUAAAAAUUAAUAUAUUAUUUUAAUAUAAUCGGUUCGGUCUAGGUGGGCGGGUAGAUAGAUCCGCUCAUGGAACUGGGAACCAGACUGGUACUCACCGGUUCCCAUAAAUUGGAAUCGAGAACCGGACCGGUUCCCUUAAAAACUACCGGUUCUGGGCGGUCCAAGCGGGUUUCGGUUAUUUUGCACAAAGAAUUAAAAAUUCAAUUUUUUUUAAAAAUAUUUUAAAAAGAAUUAUAAAAAUUUUCAUUAAAUUUGUAUUGCAUAAAAAUGUUUUAACAAUACUUUUUUUUAAAUAAAAAAAUCAUAAAAACGAGCUUUUUAAGGGUUAAUUAUUUUUUUUAUGUUAUUGUUUUUAGUUAUUCAAAGGUAUGUUUACUUCAAAUAAGGGAAGCAUGUGCAUAGUUUAAUUCUUUAUAAAUAUUUAAAUGUUUUUUUAAACUUUUCUUAUUUUAUUUUAUUUUCUAUUUUUAAUUUAAUUUGAAGAUUUAAUCUAAUUAGCAUAUAAUAGAAGUGGAUUUUCCUAAAAUAUUAAGAGGUUUUAGCAAUACGAGUUGGAUCGGGUAUGUGUCGGGUAUAUAUGAAUAUGGAUCAGAAUAAGUUAAAUAGAUCAAAUAUGAGUUCAUUCGUUUUCGACCGGACUCAAAUCCGGCUUGAUCCGGUUUCGACCCAACCCAAAUCCGACUCGAUCCACUCAUUUAACGGGUCUAGAUUGAAUUGACGUAAGCACGUGCGUCUUCGUAGCUACUGCCGCUCCCCUCCUAUAAAUCUCGGCUCGCCCGACAUCUUAGCCAUCGUCACGGUGCAGUGCAGGGAACGAGCGAGCUCGAGCUAGACGACGGCAAUGGCAGCGUCGACGACGACGGUGGGGAGGAUCAAGCUGGGGUCGCAGGGCAUGGAGGUGUCGGCGCAGGGGCUGGGCUGCAUGGGCAUGUCCAUCGGCUACGGCCCUCCCAAGCCCGACCCCGACAUGAUCGCCCUCAUCCACCACGCCGUCGGCUCCGGCGUCACCUUCCUCGACACCUCCGACAUCUACGGCCCCCACACCAACGAAAUCCUCCUCGGAAAGGUCGGUUCUCUCAGUCUCUCUUUUGCCUCCGCAUGAAUCAUACGUGCUUAUAGUGUUACGGAAUUCAGCUUCAUCGAGCAGGAUGCUCCGAUCCUGCGCCUUGGUUUUCUGAUUUCGGGGUUGAUUUUGAGCAGGCACUGAAGGGAGGGGUGAGGCAGAAGGUGGAAUUGGCGACCAAGUUCGGAGUCAGCUUCGCGGACGGGAAGAGGGAGAUCCGGGGCGAUCCGGCGUACGUGAGGGCUGCUUGCGAGGCCAGCUUGAGGCGGCUCCACAUCGAUUGCAUUGACCUCUACUACCAACAUCGCAUCGACACUCGCGUCCCCAUCGAAGUCACUGUAUGGAUCCCACAUCAAACCUUUACCUCUCUCGGGACUUUCUCCGAGUGAUCAGUUGCUAAAUUAGAAUGGUGUUGAUGAUGCAUCAUCAUCAAGAUAUCGUUAAAUGUGACUUGAGUUCAGAUGAUAGCAGAGUUCAAGAUGUGGCACGGUGUUGUUCAAGGGAUUGCGGAAUUUAGUAGUUUAUAUGGCUUGAGUUUUUGUUUUAUGGGUCAACAAGCAUGAAAAUUAUUCGAAAUCCAGGGUUCACCCUGAUUUAUAUCUGAGAAUCACAUUUGAAGUUGUUCCUGGACUUUCUGCGCAGACAUUUGGUUCUUGACUUGUCAUUGUGAAAUAUGACAAGUACUUGGAAUACUUCUUUAAUUUGCCUUCUUCUGUGAUAGAUUAGAGAGAUCCAUUUCCGUUAACGAUACCUUGCCAUUUUCUUGUUGCAUUGAGAUGCAUAAAGAUUGACUAUUUUUUGCUAGGAGCUACCUAAUCAAAUUGUAAUGUUUGAGAAGUCAGGGAACACAAACUAUUCAGGCAUCAGGACACAAGAAAAACUAAUGAUGUUCAAUAACUUCUGGAUCUUAACACGUAAGAUUUUGACGAUUGUUGUUUUGUCAUGUGAAUAUGCACAGGUUGGAGAGCUAAAGAAGCUCGUUGAAGAGGGUAAGAUAAAGUACAUCGGUUUAUCCGAGGCCUCUGCAUCAACAAUCAGAAGAGCACAUGCUGUUCAUCCCAUCACAGCAGUGCAAUUGGAGUGGUCGCUUUGGUCAAGAGAUGUGGAGGCAGAGAUCAUUCCCACGUGCAGGUAGGAUAUCACUGUUUAUUUGUUUAUGCAGUAACAACAUCUUUCUUCUGACUCUGCUCUUCCUUAAAAUGUUGACUAGGGAGCUUGGCAUUGGAAUUGUUGCCUACAGUCCUCUUGGACGAGGAUUCUUUUCUGUUGGCUCCAAGUUGGUGGAGAAUCUCUCUAAGGAUGACUUCAGACAGGUCUGUUUCUGCUGGUUAACAUAAUUAGAUGCUCACAGUUACUGUCAUUCCCAUUGAAGUGCUGGAAACCUGUUCUUAUUCUAUAAAGAAAAAGUUUGUGACACGAAUGCUUCAUAUUCUUAUUCGAUCCAGCACUUGCCAGUCAUCCCACCUCUCGUGAUUCUAGAUAAAUUUAAAAAUCACAAGUAAUGGCUUUAAUGAGCCUGAAAGGGGCAGUUUUCUGGAUUCUCGUGCUUUUGGGAAUGAACAAAUAUAGGUUUAUUUGUAAGUUGCUCCGUUUCCCAGCUUUCCCACCAUUUGCUUAUCACUAUCCUUUCCCCACUUUCCACCCGCCCUUUUUCUCUCAUAUCUCUUCACAAGAUUAGCAAUAUUUGCUCAAAAUAACCGAGACCAGUAUCGGGCCUUGGCCUCCGUCCUUUUUGUUUCUCAUCUUUCUUCACAAGAUAAAUUAUAUCUUGACACAACCAUUUCUUGAGCGAGGACUCCCUAACACCCUUCUUAUGAGAGUGUUGGGAUCAAGUUCCCAUCUGACAUAAAGCCAAUUGUGUAUUACUCCUGGCCAUUAGUGUUUGAGUAGCGAUAGUGCUGGGCAAGUGAAGUAGCUAUUUUUCUUUGUAGCUAAAUGAGCUUUGCGUCUGAUAACAUUCUUCUACACGUCAUCUACCUUUUGUGAUUUUUUUUUCUUAUGUGUGACUAAUGUUACCAUCACACGUACAAAACUUAGAUUGUCUAGUUUGUUUCUGUUUUCACUUCCUACAUCAAACCCAUCAGCCUUGUGUGGUAGUUGCUAGAUCACUUCGCUCGACGUUUCUAGUUCUUAUGAUUUGGGGCUAGGUAUUUUAAUCAUUUCAAGAUAAUCAUAACUGAUCAUGCUUUUCCAGGUACACAACAAUUGUGCACUUCUAAAUGCUUAUUAGGUCAAGUAACAAGGCAAUCUGUUGGCAUGCAAUGCGAUCACUUUUGCACCUUGCUGCUGUAGAAUUUGGCCUUAAAAGGAAAAUGAUAGUUGCUCAUAUGCUUUCUGCUGAGACAUUGCUCUAUGUUAUGCAGAACCAACCAAGGUUCCAGCCAGAGAACUUGGCUCACAACAUGAAGUUAUUUGACCGAGUGAAUGAAAUUGCGCAAAGAAAGGGAUGCACCACAUCGCAGUUAGCCCUUGCCUGGGUACACUACCAGGGUGAUGAUGUUUGCCCGAUUCCCGGCACGACCAAGAUCGAGAAUUUCAACCAGAACAUUGGAGCUCUGUCAGUGAAGCUUACACCGGAAGAGAUGGCUGAGCUCGAAUCAAUUGCUUCUGCAGACAAUGUCAAGGGUGGCAGGUACAAUGGAAACCUCUCUCCAUGGGAAAACUCCGACACUCCACCCCUUUCUUCUUGGAAACCUGCCUAGAAACAUGUCUACUUCUGUUGCUGCGUCUUUGAUAUGCAGAGUUUGUGCAUUUGCCGCUGAAGUAAUUUGAGGCUAUGUUGUGUGGCUGUUAUAAGUACGUGUAAUAAGAGAGUGACUGUUUUCGUUUUGUACAUGUGACAUUCACUAUGAGAAGAUUAUGGAUAUGUUCUAAGCUUACUGGGGAAAGAUCACCCGCUAACACGAGAGCAAGUUUUUUAUGAACCGAGCUUGCCGUGCCGACUUUAUCGGGGUGACUUUUAGAAUAUGAGAAAUUGGGAUUUUGAAGAAUUCAAACUCAGUCAUACAUACUAGAGUGAUGCUUUAUUCUCCUCCAACUAGUCUUGGUCCAGUUUCCAGAGAGAUUAGGUCGAUCCUUGGUCCUAGAAUUUCAGGACUAGCACUGUGCGGGUCGAUUCUUAGUCCUAAGAGUUCUAGGUCGGUCCAAUCCAAACCAACCUUAUAUAUAUAUAUAUAUAUUAUUUAUAAUUUUUUUAUAUAGAGAAAACCUUAAAACAAACGGCGUCAAUAACAUUAAAGAGUUAUUUAGUAAAGAGUUCAAGUAAUUUUACAUUGUUCUUUAAUAUUUUAGAUUUUUAAUGUCUUUUACGAUAUUAAUAGUCAUAAUUUACGAAGGAGGAAAUUGUUUUUGUAAGGAGUCCUCAUGAUAUCUAAAAAGGUAUAAAUGGCAUCAUUCUUUAGUAUUCGUUCUCUUUGGUUUUAUUCGUUCUCUUAAUUAUCAAUUUGCCAAAAUUGAAAGAAGCAAUCGCUCACUUUGGGUCACUCCUGCCGCUCGCCGCUUAAUGCUCGCUUGGCUUGUUGCUCCAUGCUCGAUAUUCGAUAUUUAUUCUGUUCGACGCUCACCCCACUUGACUCUCGUUGCUUGCCUUUUUUAGUUGACCUUGCUCAUCAUCGAAUCCAUUAGGUCAAUAUGGUCCUCAGUUGCUUUUUCAAGGAUUACAAAAAAUGAAAUAAAAAAUUAUUAAUUAGUCCUAAGUUGACCUUGAAACCAGACCGAACCCAUUGGGUCCGUUUGAUCUUCAAUCGCUUUUUUAAGGUGUACAAAAAAUGAAAUAAAAAAUUAUUGGUUGGUCCCGGGUUGACCCUAGAACUGGACCGAACCCAUUGGAUCAGUUCGGUCAUUGGUCCUAAGCUUAAUAGGGUUGGUUCUCGGUCCAAAAAACUGAGGACCAGCAUUGUGUGAGUUGGUCAUAGGGUUAGGGGGUGAACCGGCCCAACCUGGACCAUACUCACUCCUACCUCUAACCAUGAGUUCAAUACUAGCACCAUGUGCAACAUACUCUUAGGACUGGAUGCUACACAUAGAUACAACGCUUCGCUUUGUGUUUGGUUUCGUAGCGAAGUAAAGGAACAGUAAAAUGCUAUUGGAUGUUCUCGCGAAAAUGAAGUUUGGGAUAAAAUGUUGGCGCGGUUGAUAUGAGUGUCGAGGAAAUCGAAGGUUUCUUGUUCAAGUUUAACCACCUACGGUUCAUGAGCUUUUAUGUAGCUCAAUACCUUCGCUCAUGCCUCUGCAUUAUUAUAAAACAGUCGGAGAUAUUGCGCAAGUUUCCUAAAAUUAAAAACAACAAUUCUAUUGUUUUUUAUUUGGAGUUAGAGUGGAGCAAUGUCGUUUUGUUUUGAUUUAGGAAAAUAACGCAAAUAGUCAUUGAACUUUGGUCCAAUGUGUUAUGUUCUUAUUGAACUUUUAAUUUAUUUAGUAUGACUGUCGAACUUUUUAUACAUGUUUAAUUUAGAUCCUAGGCUAGAUAAAUCCAACGAUGCUGUGUUUGGUCGUUCGAACAUCUUUGCUGUAUGGGAUAAUGAAUGGAUGAAAAUCCCAUCUAAUAUUUCUUGACGUCUGGAUAUAGCAUGAUUCAAAAUAAAUCUUUUUUUUUUUAAAUGAGUGUUUGAUUUGUAUAAUUAAAAUUAAAAAUAAACCAUGGAAGUCGUGAAUAGUAUUCAUCCUUUCACAAUCUUCAUCGAUAUUAAACACCCCCGUUCCAUGUGACUUCAAGGACGCUCUCUCCUUCUGCAACGCCCCUUUCGCUGCCCUUGAUCAACUUGAUGGAUUACGCUCGCUCUACCUUUGACUUCGCCACAUUGAGAGGCCCUUGGGUUUGAGUUCUCCGCUGGUCUAGCCAUCUUUACUUCGAAUGCCUUUUCCUGCGAUGAAUCCAUCCCCUUCGACGAGUGCGAAUACUGCGUUGAUUCCCUGUUACCGUGCCCCGACUUGUUCAGUCGCUUCAACAGCUUCCCCCGAGACAGCGUGCGGAUCCGGUUUAUGAGUGGUAGCACCAUCGGUGCUACUCGCUCCGAGUGACGUGGUUGAAGAGCUCUAUCACCUUGGCUGCCGCCUCUUUCGGAUCAUCUUCUUCACAGAGAAGAUGUCCAGCUUUGAUCGGGAUCACAAAGUUCCCUACUAAAAUGGAGUUAAGUGACAUAAGAAAGAGGCAGGGCUGACGAGCUCCGACGCCACUUUUCCGAGGCAGCCAAAGGUGGUAAGCAGCUUGUCACUGGUAGGAGGAACGGUGGCCCUUAGACUUUGCUCAGGUCGUUGUGGCGAGGGCUUCUCUAGGUAUCUUCGCGAUACUCAUGCUCUAAGUUUGUGGUGGUCAUUUUAGUGAGAGAAAUUGAAACAAGAGAGAUGAUGCGGCACCGGUCAAAAGUGAGGAUAAGCCAUCAACAAGCGCAGGAGUGGGGGAAAAACUUGUAUCCCUUAUUUUUUUCAAUUUUCCAAAUUUCACAUAUCCUAUUUGGAUCUAUAUCACUUUCUAGAUGAGAUUUUUUAUCCGGACUAUAUCCAAAUUUCACGUUACUCUAAACACCGGAUAUGAUCAAACUUAUCAUAUCAGAGUUUUAUUCGGCCCAUCAAAGACAGACUUAUGAGAUAGAAUGCAAUGAUAUAAUCUAUGAAUUAGAUUAAACAUUUAUUAAAAGUUUAAGAAUAAUAUUUCACAUUUUGAUUGUUAGGAUGCACGAGUGAGUUAUGUUAAAACAAUCCCACAAUAUAUUGAUAGCUUUGUAAUAAGGCUUUCUCUUGGUGAUGACAUAGAUCCAUAUGGAGAAAUUAAUGGGAGGGUUUAUUUGGCCUAACUAAAUGGGAGGCUAUAUCAAUCGGAGCUUUUUCAUUGUAACAUUCCCUUGUGCUUGGUAUUUGUAUUUUAGUAAAAGGAUUUUGCUAGCAUAAUAAUCUUUGGGUUAUCAUGAGAAUAACAAUUUAUUAUGAUUUACAAAAUUUUAAAAUAGUAAACCUCAAUUCAAUUUUAAACUUUUUUUUUUCUAACUAAUUCAAUCCUAAAUAUUUUGCAUUUGUGACAAUUUAGUCUAUUCGGCCAUUUUUCGCCAAGAGGCAUUGAUGUGAACUUUGGCUGAUCGACCAAUGCUGACAUGGACAAUUUUUUUAAUAAUAUUUUAUUUUUCUUAUUUUUUAUUAAUUUUUUCUUUCUUUUUUUCUUCACUUCCUUCUCCUUCCUCCAGCCAGUCGGCAAGAGGCAAGGUUGGUGAGGGACCUUGCUGGCCUUGAGGAAGCUUGGCCAUGGUUGGGCAACCUUGCUCGUGGCUAGGCGACCUCGCCGAGGCCGCCGAUUGGGCUGGCGAGGGUUGACCCUCGUUGGCCAUAGGUCAGGACAAAGGCUGCUAGUUGGGCUUGCCCUUAUUGAAUCUGGUGAGGGUUGAGUCUCAUUGGCCAUGGGCAAGGUCAAAGGCCGCGACCUCUCGUGGUCUCUGGCGAGGCUUGCCAAAGGUUGAGCAAGGCUUACCCUCAUUGGACUGACGAGGGUUGAGCCUCGUCAGCCAAGAGCGAGAUCGUAACUUGCCCAUGGCCGGUGAGGCUCGCCUAGGCCAAAGACAGGCGGGGCCUUGCCUAACCAUGGCAAGGGUGGCCUCACCAUUGUUGGGUGAGGCUAGCCCUUGCCAGUGGCGUGUGGGGGUAAGCCUUGCCAUUGGUUGGCAAGGCUGACUUCACUGGCUUGAAUAAAAUAAAAUAUUAUUAAAAGAUUAUUCACAUCAAUAUUAGCCGAACGAGUGGUGCUCGUCGGCCAAAAUUGGCCGGAUGAAUUGAAUUAGUAUAAUUGCAAAAUGUUUAGGACUGAAUUGGCUAGAAAAAAAAAAGAUUUUAAGACUAAAUUAGAAAAAUUGCAAUAAGUUUAUGAUUGUUUUGGUAAUUUUUUCGUAUAAUAACCCUAGUAAAGAUGACUCACUUAAUUUGAGCGUCAAUAAAUCAAAGGUCACUUGUUUAGUUCUCACAACUUAUUUGUAAAUCACUUUAGAAGUGCAAAUCCAAUCAAUUUAUGAGCUUGCAAAAUGAGUCUCUAGAUAAACCAACUUUUGUAUUCGUGCUUCAGGAUUAUAAUAAAAUAUUAGAGGUUUUCAUCAGUGUAUCAUGAUAGGCUAGAUAGGGCGUUUUCUUUUGCACUUGUCAUACAUGAUCAUUUUGUAUCCUUUGAACUCAUGUUAUUUGUUGGUACUAGGUUGAGUGGUAAUAUGAUCUCCUACCUUAUACUUAGAUAUUUCAUUUAUUAGGCUUCGCCUCACUCCUUUUUUUCUUUUUUUUUCUUUUUUGUUGUAGGAUGAUUCCCCUAAAGAUGGUGACGGAGGGGCCGAGUUGAUAUCGGAAGCCAUUAAUCCUUGAGUUGGAUGGUAGUUUAGUUAGUAUGGAUGUAAUGGUAUUAGGUGACCCCGAUCUUUCCUAGGACUAUAAAAUUUUUUGUGAUAAUUACUAUCGAUAUUGUAUAAAGCCAAAGACACUUUUUUUUUUAAUAAACUCAUGCAUUUUUCUAGUAAAGGAUGUUGUGAAAACUUUAUUGUCUUUUCCAUGCGUAAUUAUAACUAUGAGUAUAAAUGGAAAUGACAUGUGCCGCAUGUGAUGUUCCAAGGCGUCACAUAAUCCCCAACACUCAAAUUAGGGUCCAUUAAGGCAGUGCUUAAAACUAUGAUGCUCAAGUUCUAUUCGGCAGCACUUAGGCUCGGGUCCAACAAGAUCGUGUGUCAGUCCUCAAUGCUCGGGCUCGGCUCGUUAGUUAAUAAAAUGUUGUUCUUAUAAAAAUAAUUCUUUUUAUUUUCAUUUUAUAUUCAUUUGUUUUCUUUCUUUUUCUUUCUCCUUCUUCUUGGCUGGUUGCCGACCAUGAUGACGAUUGCGCCUGAGAACAAGCGAGAGAUGAGCUAGCCCAAGGCCAAGAAGACUUGAGAUUGCUGAUUUGGCAAGCUUGAAGUUGGUUGAUCAAGUGACGCUAAAGCUCCCUAGCGUUGGGCAACCUCGAGUUUCACCUCAUGGCUAGUCGCCAACUACCACCGUGGCGAGCGAUCGGUUGAGGAAGAAGAAAAAUAAAAAUAAAAUUAAAAGAGAAAAUAACUAAAAAUCUGAAUAUUUUGGCAUUUUCUAUAGGGAAAUCAAAUCGAAAAAAUAUUUUCUAGUUUAUCUUUAGGACUUAACCAAAUAUUGGAAAUAUUAUUCAGAUAUGUCAUAUUUUUUGCGAAACAAACGGUGCGUAAAUAUUUAGAUUUGAUAAUUGUCCAUGUUAAUUAGGUACACAUUAUCUCACUCUUUGUUUCGUUGCCGAACUGAUGCUAAUCUCUAGACGAAGCUUGACUAGUCUCAACUCAAUAGGCGGCUUGACUUUUGCGCUUCCUUUUCUUCUUUUCUUUUUUCUUUUUAACUCAAAACACUCAAAACUUUCCUGGUACACGACUGUCGUCGUGUUACAAUCACUUUCAAUAAUGAUGGCCAUCCGAGCAAGAUGAGGGCGACUGGUCCCCCUAGAAAUUGUCAUGACGUUUGACUUUCAUGAAUUGAAAUGACUUUUCUCUGUCAAGGAGAAAAAUAGUUAACUAGUCAAGAUCGUGCCACAUCUCUCCAUCCAUGUCCUCCACAUCCGGCCCCACCAAUCGGACUCCCCGACAAAAAAAAUCGAGGACACGUGGCUGGAUCUAGAAAGUCACAGGUUCGACUUGUCUACUGUUAUCACUGUCCUUUUGCAAUAAUUUUUUUACACCCGUCUAGCUGUUGUGAGCUCCUCUGACAUACUAAUUGUGUGGAUAUGGUGAACUUGGGACCUUCUAUAAUCUGUCCAUAUUAAAAAUUUAAAAUGGACAAAUUCCGCCUCUCAUUGUGGAAUUCCACCCACAUUUCUCGCAAACUUUCAAACAUUAGUUCCAGGUCGUGCAUUCCAAUUGAGCCUUGUCUGGUCAAAUAUCAAAGUACUCUAGAGAAAAAUUUUAAAAAAAAUUGUAAAAAAGAGAGAGAAGGAAAACGAUUCAGCCUUAUAAUAACUUGCUAGGAACCACGUAGUUAAUUAGAGCAUCAAGAAAUUAGAGGUAGCUUGUGUAGUUCUCGCAAGUUACUUGUAAAUUGCUUUAGAAGUACAAACUUAAUUGAUUUAUGAGCUUGCACCAUAUUUUAUGAGUUUCUGAAUAACCAACUUUUGUAUUCAUGCAACUCACUCCGCUGUGACUGAGUUGGUUCGGACGUUCCCUCCUCUUCCAAUUGGGGGGAGGUUUGAGUCACCACGAUUGCAUUUGCGCAACUUAAGUGCGGCGCCAUGAGAGGUGGGUCCCCGUGCUAGCGUCACCGUGGGUUUACGUCGCCAGCUGCCGGUUGUACGGCGAUUCUCAAGUCAUAAAAAAAAAAGAAAAAAGAAAAUUUGUAUUCAUGCUUGUAGAUUAUAAUAAAAUAAUUGGUUGUGGUGGGCAAUUGAGAGUGACACCGUUUUCGCCUUUUAUUUUUUGUAAUAUGUGAAGUGUUGUUCUGUUUUUUGUUUUCGUCACCCUCCCACUUGUGCUAUAUUUGUUAGGUCUCCUCGCCAGGAGUUCGUCACUUUAUGUUAUUGACCUCUUAAUUAAAUACAACAAUACCUUCAAGGACUGCUCUUCAUAAAGGCGCGGAUUGGACGGCCGGUGACCGAGAUAGCAGCCUCCGCCCCUCCCUCGGUCUUGCCCUUUGCAUAACUUUUAGAAAACAUGCGUGAUUAGAGGAUCAAUAGUGACUUAAUUCUAACCCGUAUCGAUGUUACCCGUUUAGCAUCUCUUAGUAAAUGUAAAUAUUGUACGCGGAUGACAGCAUUUUGAAGAAUUUACAAUUGGUGUUCUUUUAUUAAAUAUGGUUGAUAUCAUGAAAAAUCUUAGAUUGAUACAUUUGCGACAAACUUAUCCCAAACUAUUUUUUUUACACAAAAACCGUAAACUAGUAUAUUUGUAAUUUUACCUAAAACUAUUUUUUUUUAUCGUCAAAAACCUCAAACUGAUAUAUUUGUAGCAAAAUUACUCUUUACUAACUAGUGUUAAAUUAUACUAAUAUGAAUUGGUACAUCUAUGACAAACGAAGGGUAAAAUCCUAAAUUGGUACACUCAUUAACUAUCAUAUGUCAUUUAACUCAGUAAUUUAAUAGUACAAUUUAAGGGAAAUUAACGGAGGGUCAAUUUGUCAUAGGUGUAUCGGUAUGAGAUUUUUGAUAGCAAAUGUAGGAGUUUUACAUGGUAUUAAACUCUAUUGCAUAUGAUCAAAAGUCCUAGUUUCUACUAUUUUUGUCGACACAAUACCUUAAAAAACCUCAAACUUAAGCUCUGAUCCUAAUUCUAUCUUUUGUGUUAUAAGACCUCCAACUUUAGAUCAUGUCCCAAUUCCACCCUAACAUACAUAUUUUAGAAAACCCCAUAUUUUAGUUAUAGUCCCAAUCUUAUCUAAACAUCUGUUAUCUCAUAAAAUCCCUCAAAUUUAGGUCAAGUACCAAUUCCAACCUAAACGUUAUUUUGUCUUAUAAAAAGAAUCCUAGCUUUAGGUCCAAUUUCAUUUUCACUUUUUUUUUUUAUCUCAUAAAAGAUUACCAACUUUUACUUGAGUCCCAAAUCCACUCUCCAUUAACCCUCCAUCAAAAUUGCCCUUAGUGAUUUUGUGCUCGGUUUUUGAUCUCGCGUGCUUGGAAAUAUUUCAUUUCUCUUGAACAACUUGUGCUUGAGGGUUUUCCAUCUCUCGAUGUCAGCAGGAAAUUUUGCACGAAGGGUUAAUGGUGGCAAAUAUGCGACUCAAGUAAAAAUUUAUAGUUUUUUCAUCAGACUAUAAAAAUUUUACGGUAAUAUUGAGAGUGGAUAGGCUUUUCAUAAGACAAGAAAAGGUUUAAGGUAGAAUUAGUAUAUUAUUUAAAAUUGAAUUGUGAAUGGCUAUAAAAUUAGUGAUUUUUUUUAUGAGAUAAAAGGUAAAAUUAGGAGAAAAGCUAAAGUUAGAGAGUUUUUUUUAGGGUAUCAAACCUAUUUUUGUCAAUCAUAUGAUGUCAACAUUAUCUUUGUUUUUGUUUUUCUUUCAAUUGUCCAUUUGGUCGGUUCUUUUCUAUUCUUAUUCUCAAACUUUUGCCUUGACUCAUUACAAGUGUGAGAAUUGAAACCACAUUUGAUACUAUAUUGUCCCCCGGUAGGCAUUCAAAACCCCCAUCUCCCGCUUCUCAUGUAAGUUAUGAAUGGAGCCUUCGUGUCGUGUCCGACACGCUCGAAGAUGCGGUCAAUACGUGUUCGAAAUCCGACACGUGAACAAUUCUUAUUGACACAUUCUAACACACAAGUCCGAGAGAGAGGAUCGUUGAAGAAAACAAUGGCAAGGGAGCGAAGGCAACGGCAAGGCCACGACGGUGAGAGAGGGCUAGAGGAAGAGUAGAGACCGAGAUGACCUAAAGAGAGGAUCGUGACUGCAAUGGAGGGCCGGUGGCGAGACUGCACCUAUGUAGGAGGAAGGGUUGGAGGUGAGGCGGCAAGCGAUUAUGACAAGGCAAUCAAGAGAGAGAAGAGAUUGAGAGGUGGAUGGUCGUGCGAGGAGGAGGGGAAGGCCAGGGCUAGGGUUUUUGAAGGGGGAAAAUCAAAAAAUUAAAAACAUGAUUUUGAUGGGACAUUAGGGUUGUGCAAGGAGGAGGGGAAGGCCAGGGCUAGGGUUUUUGAAGGGGAAAACUCAAAAAAAUUAAAAACAUGAUUUUGAUGGGACAUUGCUGUGAUUUCUCCUUUAUGGAGAGGGGGAGCGUGUCGGGAGGUGGAGGGGGAGGGCAGAUAAAUGAGGGAAAGAUGAGUGAAAUAAGUUUGUUGGGGGCACAAAAGGAGGGGUUGGUAGGACCUGAGCAAGUCCUUAGACUGCUCCGUCUGGUCGGAAAUAGCCCACGGACGUAAAAUGUGGGCAAUGUUAAUCGUGGGAGAUCAGACCACCCUGUGUAAGGAUCUCCUGGCUCAGAUUCCCGCGAUGCCUUUCUCCUAACAUAUUAGGCUGGGUACAGGAAAAUGAUGAGUGAAAUAAGUUUGUUGGGGGGGGGGGGCACAAAAGGAGGGGUUGGUAAGGGUUGGCAUGGACCCCAUGGAUUUUUAUUUUUUUUUAAUCAAAAAAAUAAAUAAGGAAGGCCAGAAAGUGGGGGAAGAAACUAUGGAAAGAGAGUGAAGUAAAUGUGGGGGUGAGGGUUGGGGUGGACCACGGGGGUCUUUUCUUAUCAGAAAAAUAAAUAAGAAAAACUAUAAGGUGAUUUCGGAAAAUGAAAGUGUUGAAUGUUGAAUAAUAAUAAAAUUUGAUAAUUGUAAAAGAUUAUAGAUUUAUUUAAAUAAGUUAAUUCUAAUUUUUCUUAAUCAUUAGUUUUAUCAAUAAUUUUUGUUAGAGUUAGAAAUAUGUUCGUAUGGAUGCUAUAUGGCAUAUGGAAAGGGUGGCCUCACUUCUGGCGUUUCAUGUAUGGAAAGAGUGAUUAUUAAUGGCGCAUUUGGUAACGUUUUUGUUUCGGAGGACAAUUUUUGAAUAGAAAUAGUUUUUUUUUUUGUUCUAGGGAAUAAUUUUUGAGUAUAAGAAUGUGUUUGGUAACUGCAAACAAUUUCUACUCUAAAAAUAGAAACGCGCUUGGUAAACUUGUAUAAUUUCUUUGUUUCUUUUAAUUUUUUAAUAUUUUUAAUAUUUUUUUUCUUUUUUUCUUUUUUCUUUUUCUCUUUGGUCGGUUGCUGGCUAUGGCGAUGUCCGUUGAGCCUUGUCCAGGCAACGCGAGGUUCGCCUCGUGCCGAUUGGGGAGGUCAAGGCCUCUUGGCUUUGUCUGGGCUAAGCGAGGUUGACCUUGCCCAGCCACCGGCGAGACUCGGCCUCGCUGGGCCACCGCUAGGCGACUCUGUCCUGGAGGUGGCUCGGCGAGGUCGAGCCUCAUGCGGCCAUGGCGAGGCUCGGCCUCUCUGGGGGCUAGCGACACUCCGGCGAGGUCGUCGGCUCUCGUCUAGCCAGUUGCCGGUGUCAACUAUGGCUAAGGCUGAUGACNNNNNNNNNNNNNNNNNNNNNNNNNNNNNNNNNNNNNNNNNNNNNNNNNNNNNNNNNNNNNNNNNNNNNNNNNNNNNNNNNNNNNNNNNNNNNNNNNNNNCGUCUGGUCGAAAACAGCCCAUGGACGUAAAAUGUGGGCAAUGUUAAUCGCGGGAGAUCGGACCACCCUGUGUAAGGAUCUCUCGGUUCAGAUUCCCGCGAUGCCCUUCUCCUAACGUAUUAGACUGGGUACAGGAAAAUGACGAGUGAAAUAAGUUUGCUGGGGGCACAAAAGGAGGGGUUGGUAAGGGUUGGCAUGGACCCCAUGGACUUUUAUUUUUUUAUCAGAAAAAUAAAUAAGGAAGGCUAGAAAGUGGGGGAAGAAACUAUGGAAAGAGAGUGAAGUAAAUGUGGGGGUGAGGGUUGGGGUGGACCACGGGGGUCUUUUCUUAUCAGAAAAAUAAAUAAGAAAAACUAUAAGGUGAUUUCGGAAAAUGAAAGUGUUGAAUGUUGAAUAAUAAUAAAAUUUGAUAAUUGUAAAAGAUUAUAGAUUUAUUUAAAUAAGUUAAUUCUAAUUUUUCUUAAUCAUUAGUUUUAUCAAUAAUUUUUGUUAGAGUUAGAAAUAUGUUCGUAUGGAUGCUAUAUGGCAUAUGGAAAGGGUGGCCUCACUUCUGGCGUUUCAUGUAUGGAAAGAGUGAUUAUUAAUGGCGCAUUUGGUAACGUUUUUGUUUCGGAGGACAAUUUUUGAAUAGAAAUAGUUUUUUUUUUUGUUCUAGGGAAUAAUUUUUGAGUAUAAGAAUGUGUUUGGUAACUGCAAACAAUUUCUACUCUAAAAAUAGAAACGCGCUUGGUAAACUUGUAUAAUUUCUUUGUUUCUUUUAAUUUUUUAAUAUUUUUAAUAUUUUUUUUCUUUUUUUCUUUUUUCUUUUUCUCUUUGGUCGGUUGCUGGCUAUGGCGAUGUCCGUUGAGCCUUGUCCAGGCAACGCGAGGUUCGCCUCGUGCCGAUUGGGGAGGUCAAGGCCUCUUGGCUUUGUCUGGGCUAAGCGAGGUUGACCUUGCCCAGCCACCGGCGAGACUCGGCCUCGCUGGGCCACCGCUAGGCGACUCUGUCCUGGAGGUGGCUCGGCGAGGUCGAGCCUCAUGCGGCCAUGGCGAGGCUCGGCCUCUCUGGGGGCUAGCGACACUCCGGCGAGGUCGUCGGCUCUCGUCUAGCCAGUUGCCGGUGUCAACUAUGGCUAAGGCUGAUGACUGGCAAAAGGAAGAAGAAGAAGAAGAAGAAGAAGAAAAGAAAGAGAAAAUAGAAGAAGAAAAAUGAUAAGAAAAAAAAGUGUUUUUCGAAAGUGUUCUCGAGAAUAAGAAAUAAGUUUUUUUUUUUAAUUUCUUAUUUUUGUUCCAAAGUUGCUCUCACAAUAAAAAAAAAAGACCAGAAUAAAAGUAUAAACAAAUGAGUUUCUAUUCUUUUUUGGUUCUCUGGAACAAAAUAAUAAAAAUUUAUAUUCCAGGAAAAAAAAAUAAUUUUAAACGAACACACCCUAAGAUAUCUUUUGUAUUCCGGGGAAGUAGUUCAAUUGACGUGAGCCCGUGCGUCUUCCCUACAUGGGAAGGGUCGUCACUGGGUCUCAUCUGACCUAAGCAAGUGCGUCUUCACAGCUUUUACCGCUCCCCUCCUACACUUCGUAGCUACCGCCACUCCCCUCCUAUAAAUCUCGGCUCGCCCGACGCCUUCGCCAUCGUCUCGGUGCAGUGCAGGGAACGAGCGAGCUCGAGCUAGACGACGGCAAUGGCGGCUUCGACGACGACGGUGAGGAGGAUCAAGCUGGGGUCGCAGGGCCUCGAGGUGUCGGUGCAGGGGCUGGGCUGCAUGGGCAUGUCCGCCUUCUACGGCCCUCCCAAGUCCGACACCGACAUGAUCGCCCUGAUCCACCACGCCGUUGGCUCCGGCGUCACCUUCCUCGACACCUCCGACAUCUACGGCCCCCACACCAACGAAACCCUCCUCGGAAAGGUCGGUUCUCUCUCAGUCUCUGUUUUGCCUCCGCAUGAAUUAUAUGUGCUUAUAGUGUUACGGAAUUUAGCUUCAUCGAGCAGAGUGCUCUGAUCCUGCGCCUUGGUUUUCUGAUUUCGGGGUUGAUUUUGAGCAGGCACUGAAGGGAGGGGUGAGGCAGAAGGUGGAAUUGGCGACCAAGUUCGGAAUCAGCUUCGCGGACGGGAAGAGGGAGGUCCGGGGCGAUCCGGCGUACGUGAGGGCGGCUUGCGAGGCCAGCUUGAAGCGGCUUGACAUCGAUUGCAUCGACCUCUACUACCAACAUCGCAUCGACACUCGCGUCCCCAUCGAAGUCACUGUAUGGAUCCCCCAUCAAACUUUCACCUCGCUUGAGACUUUCUCCGAGCCAUAUGAUUAGUUGCUAAGUUAGAUUGGUGUUGAUGAUGCAUCGUCAUGUUGUUACAAGUUUGUUGAAAUUUGUUAAAUGACACUUAAGUUCGGCUGAUAGCAGAGUUCAAGAUGCGGCACGUUGUUGUUCAAGGGGUUGUGGAAUUUAGUAGUUUAGUGGCUUGAGUUUUCGUUUUGUGGGCAUCUUUUACAAGUUAAGGGUCAACAAGCAUGAAAAUUAUUCAAAAUCUUCCUUUGAGAUGAAAGUGCUCCAGGGUUCAUCCAGAAUUUAUAUACGGGAAUCACAUAUAAAGUUGUUCCUGGACUUUAUGUGGAGACAUUUGAUUCUUGACAUAUUGUGAAAUAUGACAAGUACUUGGAAUACUUCUUUUAUUUGCUCUCUUCUGUGAGAGAUUCAAGAAAUCAACCUCCGUUAACUCAAUACCUUGUGACUUUUUUGUCGCAUUGAGAUGCAUGAUAAUAGAGGGAUCUAGACGCAUAAAAAGCUAAUGACAUGCAUAAUUUUCUGGAUCUUAACAUGUAAGAUCUUGAUGUUGUUGUUCUGUCAUGUGAAUAUGCACAGAUCGGAGAGCUAAAGAAGCUCGUUGAAGAAGGUAAGAUAAAGUACAUCGGUUUAUCCGAGGCCUCUGCAUCAACAAUCAGAAGAGCACAUGCUGUUCAUCCCAUCACAGCAGUGCAAUUGGAGUGGUCGCUUUGGUCAAGAGAUGUGGAGGCAGAGAUCGUUCCAACGUGCAGGUAGGAUAUCACUCUGUUAAUUGUUUAUGCAGCAACAACAGCUUCCUUCUGACUCUGCUUUUCCUUUAAAAUGCUGACUAGGGAGCUUGGCAUUGGAAUUGUUGCCUACAGUCCUUUAGGACGAGGAUUCUUUUCUGUUGGCUCCAAGUUGGUGGAGAAUAUCUCUAAGGAUGACUUCAGACAGGUCUGUUCCUGCUUGUCAACAUAAUUAGAUGUUUACAUUGACUGUCAUUCUUAUUGAAGUGCUGGAAACCUGUUCUUGUGGUAUAAAGAAAAAGUAUCUGGAUGGGAUGAAUAAAACUUGGUGACACGAAUGCUUCGUGUUCUUAUAUGUCUUUAAUCCAGCACUUGCCAGACAUCCCACCUCUCUUGAUUCUAGAUAAAUGUAAAAUCACAAGUAACGGCUUUAAUGAGCCUGAAAGAGGCAGUUUCCUGGAUUCUCGUGCUUUUGGGAAUGAAUACAUAUAGGUUUAUAUGUAAGUUGCUCUGUUUCCCAGCCUUCCCAACAUUUGCUUAUCACUAUCCUUUCCCCACUUUCCACCCACCCUUUUUCUCUCAUCUUUCUUCACAAGAAUAGCGAUAUUUCCUCGAAAUAACUGACGCCAGUAUCGGGCUUUGGCCCUCCGUCCUUUUUCAUUCUCAUCUUUCUUCACAAGAUAAACUAUAUCUUGACACAACCAUUUCUUGAGCGCGGACUCCCGACACCCUUCUUAUGAGAGUUUUGGAUCAAGUUCCCAUCUGACAUAAAGCCAAUUGUGUAUUACUCCCCGCCAUUAGCGUUUGACUAGCGAUAGUGCUGGGCAAGUGAAGUAGCUAUUUUUCUUUGUAGCUAAAAGAGCUCUGCGUCUGAUAACAUUCUUCUACUCAUCAUCUACAUUUCUGAUUUUUUAUUUUAUGUGACUAAUGGUAUCAUCACACGUACAAAACUUAGAUUGUCGAGUUUGUUUCUGUUUUCACAUCCUACAUCAAGCCCAUCAGCCUUGUGUGGUAGUUGCUAGAUCACUUCGCUUGACGUUUCUAAUGCUUAUGAUUUGGGACAUGAUAUUUUAAUCAUUUCAAGAUAAUUUAUAACUGAUCAUGCUUUUUCAGAUACACAACGAUUGCACACUUCUAAAUGCUUAUUAUGUCAAGUAACAAGACAAUCCGAUGGCAUGCAAUGCAACCACUUUUGCACUUGUUGCUGUAGAAUUUAGCCUUAAGAGGAAAAUGAUAAUUUCUCAUAUGCUCUCUGCUGAGACAUUGCUCUAUGUUAUGCAGUAUCUACCAAGGUUCCGGCCAGAGAACUUGGCUCACAACACGAAGUUAUUUGACCGAGUGAAUGAAAUUGCGCAAAGAAAGGGAUGCACCACAUCGCAGUUAGCCCUGGCCUGGGUACACCACCAGGGUGACGACAUUUGCCCGAUUCCCGGCACAACCAAGAUCGAGAAUUUCAACCAGAACAUUGGAGCUCUGUCAGUGAAGCUUACACCGGAAGAGAUGGCCGAGCUUGAAUCGAUUGCUUCUGCGGACAAUGUCAAGGGUGGCAGGUACGAUGGAAGCAUGUCUACAUGGGAAAACUCCGACACUCCACCCCUUUCUUCUUGGAAACCUGCCUAGAAGCGUGUCUGCUUCUGUUGCUGCAUCUUUGAUGUGCAGAGGUUGAGCAUUUGCCGCUGAAGUAAUUUGAGUUUAUGUUGUGUGGCUGUUAUAAGUAUGUGUAAUAAGAGAGUGACUGUUUUCAUUUUGUACAUGUGACAUUCACUAUGAUAAGAUUAUGGAUGUGUACUAACCUUACUGGGGAAAGAUCACUCGAUAAACACGAGAGCGAGUUGAAUACGAACUGAGCCUGCCGUGUCGACUUUAUUGGGGUGACUUUUAGAAUCUGAGAAAUCGGGAUUUUGAAGAAUUCAAACUCAGUCGUACAUACUAGAGUGGUAUUCUCCACCAACCAUGAGUUCAAUCUCUUAAGACUGGAUGCUGCACAUAGAUGCAAAGCUUCGCUUUGUGUUUGGUUUGGUAGCGAAGUUAAGGAACAGUAAAAUGUUACCGGAUGUUCUCGCGAAAACGAAGUUGGGGAUAAAAUGCUGGCGCGGAUGAUAUGAGCGUCGGGGAAAUCGAGGGUUUCUUGUUCAAGUUUCACCACCUACGGUUCAUGAGCUUUUAUGUAGCUCGAUACCUUCGCUCAAUGCCUCUGCAUUAUUAUAAAACAGUCGGAGAUAUUGCGCAAGUUUCCUAAAAUUAAAAACGACACUUCUAUUGUUUUUUAUUUGGAGUUAGAGUGGUGCAAUGUUGUUUUGUUUUGGUUUAGGAAAAUAACGCAAAUAGUCACUACACUUUGGUCCAAUGUGUUAUGUUCUUACUGAAUUUUUAACUUGUUUAAUAUGGUUGUCGAGCUUUUUGUAUAUGUUUAAUUUAAAUCCUAGGCUAGAUAAAUCCAAUGAUGCCGUGUUUGGUCGGUUCGAAGAUCGUUGCUAUAUGGGAUAAUGAUAGGAUAAAAAUCCCAUCUAAUAUUUCUUGACGUCUGGAUAUAACAUGAUUCAAAUAAUUUUUUUUUUAAACGAGUGUUUGAUUUGUAUAAUUAAAAUUAAAAAUAAACCAUGGAAGUCGUGAAUACUAUUCAUCCUUUCACAAUCUUCAUCCAUAUCAAGCACCCCCGUUCCAUGUGACUUCAAGGACGCUCGCUCCUUCUGCAACACCCCUUUCGCUGCCCUUGAUCAACUUGAUGGAUUACGCUCGCUCUGCCUUUUGACUUCGCCACAUUGAGAGGCCCUUGGGUUUGAGUUCUCCGCUGGUCUAGCCAUCUUUAUUUUCAACGCCUUUUCCUGCGAUGAAUCCAUCCCCCUCGACGAGUGUGAAUGCCGCGUUGAUUCCCUGUUACCGUGCUCCGACUUGUUCAGUCGCUUCAACAGCUUCCCCCGAGACAGCGUGCGGAUCCGGUUUAUGAGUGGUAGCAGCAUCGGUACUACUCGCUCCGAGUGACGUGGUUGAGGAGCUCUAUCACCUUGGCUGCCGCCUCUUUCGGAUCAUCUUCUUCACAGAGGAGGUGUCCAGCUUUGAUCGGGAUCACAAAUUUCCCUACUAAAAUGAAGUUGAGUGACACAAGAAAGAGGCAGGGCUGACGAGCUCCGCGAUACUCAUGCUCAUGCUCUAAUUUUGUGGUGGUCAUUUUAGCGAGACAAAUUGGAACAAGAGAGAGAUGAUGGUGGCACUGGUCAAAAGCGAGGAUAAGCUAUAAAAAGCGCCCCGCCGCCCGGGGGGGGGGGGGGGGGGGGGGGGGGGGUCAGUUUUUCAAAUUUCACAUAUUUUAUCUGGAUUUAUAUCACUUUCUAGAUGUGAUUUUUUAUCCGUGCUAUAUCCUAAUUUCACAUUACUCUAGACACCAUAUAGGAUUAAACUUAUCAUAUUAGAGUUUUAUCCAGCCCUUCAAAUGCAGUCUUAUGAGAUAGAAUGCAAUGAUAUAAUCUGUGAACUAAAUUUAAACAUUUAUUAAAAGUUUACGAACGGAAUUUCACAUUUUGAUUGUUAAGAUGCAUGAGUGAGUUAUGUUAAAAUAAUCACACAAUAUAUUGAUAGCUUUAAAAAUGGGCUUUCUCUUGGUGAUGACGUUGAUCCAUAUAGAGAAAUUAAUGAGAGGGUUUAUUUGGCCUAACUAAAUGGGAGGCUAUAUCAAUGGGAGGUUUUUCAUUGUAACAUUCCCUUGUGCUUGGAAUUUGUUUUUUAGUAAAGGAUUUUAUUAGCGUAAUAAUAGUCUUUGGGUUAUUAUGUGAAUAACAAUUUAUUGUGAGUCACAAAUUUUUUAAAGUAAUGAACCCCAUAAUAAUUUCAAUUAUUUGUUACUUGAUUUUUUGUAGUUUAGAAUAAAAAUUAUCACCAAGUUAUUUCUUUUUAACAAAUAUAUUGCUCUAACUGUUGUUUUCAAUUAAGUUUGCAUCGGAGAAGAGAUUAUUUUGUUUUGCUACGCUUGUCGGAUAUUGCACAGGAUAUUGUCAUUUUCUUAGCACUAGCAACGUUGCGUUCAGACAAGGCGGCAUGGAAUUAUUUGCUCAGCUGCACAUCACACGACCAUACAUUCAUGGACUGUUCCUCAGGAAAGCAUAUAGACAUGUGGCAGAUGCAGAACAUUUCACGAGAUUAAAAAAAAGAAAAUAAUUUUUAAAAAACAAUACUUUCGACUUCAAAACGUGCCAAUCGAACGCCUGCUACUCCCGCCUAUAAAGCUCGGCUCACCCAACGGCUUCGUUGUCGUCUCGAACUGUCCAUUCUCCAUUCUCUGUUCUUGCAUCGACCUCGAGCUAGACGAUGGUGGCAAUGGCGUCGUCAGACGGUGAGGAGGAUCAAGUUGGGGUCGUAGGGUCUCAAGGUCUCGGCGCAGGGGCUGGGCUUGCAUGGGCAUGUUGGAAGAUAUGCGGAUUGCCUGAUUUGAUUUGAUCUUAAUUGAUCAUGAUUAAUCACGAUCUUCAUGUAUAUGUAAAUUAAAAAUUAGAUCUAGAUCUCGAUUGAUAAUCCAGAUCAUUUACUUCCUUAUUCAAGAUAGAGCUUGUAUUAUAUCUCUGCAAAAUUGUACAUUCAGAUUGUAAUAGUGAUAAUACAGAAAAAUCUCCCCACAUCGAUUCCCAUUUUCCUCUCCAAACUUCAUCCGUUCUUCCUUCACUCUUGCCUUCUUUCAUGGUAUCAGAGCAGCUUUGAUCUCUGACUCGCUUCCGUUCCAAACCACUGCUGAAGAAAAUUCUCAACCUGCAAAAGGGUUGAUCUUUCGGCAUUAGGCAUACUCUCGAAGGAAGAAAUUUAAAUUAUCUUACUAUGGCCUCUCCGCAGGACUCCAGUCUGGCUGCUGACGACAGGACCACCGAAGAAAGUAGUCCUCAAGCUCCACAGAUCCAGAAUCUCCCUGCAGUAAUACCAGUAUCCACCCAACCCCAGCAGUGGCGGCCCACGCAGGCUCAGUUUCAAUUGGGGCAACCCACGACGGGUCAACCAUACUAGUGGAUCCCCUAUCCACUCUAUUUUGGGCCAAGCCCAAAUUUCUCAUCGCCUUUUUUCGUGGGCCACCAGAAUCACAAUGGAGGCCCGCCAGCCACGAAUGGGGCAAGCCCAUCCAUCGCGAGAGAGCAGACGGGCGGUUCAAGCGAAUCGGGUACGGGGCAUAAUCCCUACCCGGGACAUGUCAAUGCGGGGUAUCUAGUUGGAUUGAGCGAAUCGGGUCAAGGGACGAAUCCCUACCCGAAUUUCGCACCGGGUUUUCUGUCCAUUCCAGCGGCGGCGUUCACUGGGCGACUAGAAAUAGGCGAUCCUCUGUUUGUCUCCACCGCUGACGGAUCGGAGCUUUGACUGAUAAACCAGCAACUAACCGGACUAGAGACCUAUUCGAAGUGGUCACAGGAGCUCCGGCGGGCAUUGGUGACAAAAGACAAAGACGGAUUUCUCGAUGGGACAAUUUCCAUCCCCUCCGAUGAACGCCUAGCCGGACACUGGCGGAAAUGCAAUCAACUCGUCCGAAUGUGGAUCAGAAAUUGCAUAUCCCCAGAAGUCAUGGCUGGGCUUCCACCCACAGAGGAUGCCAAAACCAUGUGGGAAAACAUUCGAGAAAUAUACGGUAAAAUGGAUCAAGCAAAAGUUUUUAAUCUUAUGCAGGAAAUUAGCGAACUCAAACAGGGAAAUUCGACGGUCACGGCCUGCUUCAACAGGCUAUCGUCCCUCCUGAAUCAACUCGAAGCAGUAGAAGAAAAGCUCGAAGGGCCAGAAUCUACCCUCAAGCAGUACAAACAAAUCAAAGAGAGAGAAAAAGCCACGCGAUUCUUGCUGAUUUUAAACGAAUCGUACCUCACGUUUCGGUCACAGAUCCUUGUCAUGGAUCCCAUGCCACCGAUCGGACGUAUUUACAAACUGGCGAUGCAGGAGGAGAGUCAGCGACUCACAAUCACGAACAACGGUGAGAGCAUCGCUCUGGCUGCCCGCGGAGAGGGGAGAACCCUAACCCUAGCUCGUGAAAAUGAAAAGAAAAGCCCUUUAGGGUUCGACGAGCUCGAUUCGCGCGGGCUUAAAAGGGAUGGGAUGAACGGCCAGGAUUACAUGCAAGGAUCGAGCGGCUUAGAUUACUCCCGAAAAUAUGACGGCCCAGAUUACGCAUGGAGAUCCGACGGUCGUCAAGGAAUCGAAAUUGCGCCUGGAUUGGACGGUGGACAGCAGAUCGCGAUCAAAGGAACGGACGGCCAGAUCUUCACCACGUCAUCAAAGAAUUUCGCAAAUUUUUUUAAAGGAAAGGGGUAAAUUUUUUUGCGAUUAUUGCAAACGUACUAAUCAUACCAUUGACAGUUGCUGGAAAUUACACGGGAAGCCGGGAGAAAAGGAGAAAAAAAUUUCCACAGCUUAUCAAGUCACUGGACCAGCUGGUCCAAAAAUUGACCAGCCAAUCUCAUAUGGUCAAUAUCAGCAACUCAUGCAAAAACUACAGAAGAUGGAAAUUUCCAACAAAGGGGGCAAUUUCUCAGGUAUUUCACAUUGCCUAAUUAAUUCCAUUUCCAGGAAGGCGUGGAUUAUAAUUCUGGGGCAAGUGACCAUAUUAUACGCGACAAGGGAUUUUUUUUUCAAAUAUAAAUGAAAGUUUGAAUUUUCCUGUCUCCGUACAAUUACCCAACGGAAAUGUUACUCAUGUCAAAGUGAUAGGAACAGUGAAUCUCAGUCCUCAGAUUAUUCUCUAGAAUGUGCUAUAUGUCCCAGAAUUCCAAUUCAACCUCAUAUCUGUGUCUCAAGUCUGCAAAGAGAACUCAUGCCGGGUAAUAUUCAAUGCUGACACAUGUUUAUUUCAGGCCCUUUCGACUGGAAGACAGAUGGACUUGGGUAAUCUUUCUGAAGGACUCUAUUUCUGGACGAGUUUUCCAAGUAAUUUCAAUUUUCCAUGCAAUUCCUUGAAUAAAAAAUCAUUGUGUAAUUCAACUGCCAAUGAUAGAAAUUUGACUAUGCAUAUGAGAUUGGGUCACAGUGCUUCAUUUUCAUAUCAUGAAUGUCUUAUAUGUCCCCUUGCAAAGCAAUCUCGCACACCAUUUUCUUCUAGUACUUCACGGACUAGUCAAAUAUUUGCAUUACUUCACGUGGACAUUUGGGGACCUUAUCAUACAGUCAAUCAUGAUGGCUCCCGUUAUUUUCUUACGAUAGUAGAUGACUAUUCUCGGGCAACAUGGAUCUUCCUAAUACAAUAAAAAAAUUAGGUCUAUUCUCACCUGAAAAAUUUCAUUAUGCUAUCUAAGAACCAAUUCAGGAAAUCCAUUCAGCGGAUUCGCACAGAUAACGGGAGAGAAUUCUUCAGUCAUGAAUGCUCCCAGUUAUUCAAUUCUCAUGGUAUUCGACACGAAAGUUCCUGCAUUUACUCACCACAACAAAAUGGAGUGGUUGAAAGAAAGCAUCGCCAUCUACUGGAAGUGGCUCGUGCCUUGAAAUUUCAAGCAUCAAUUCCAGAAAGAUAUUGGGGUGACUGUGUCACCAUAGCAGCUUAUCUUAUUAAUAGAAUGCCUACUCGGAUUCUUAAUGGACAGAUGCCAUUCGAGCUGUUAUUUGGGAAGAAACCGGACUUGAAUCAUCUCAAGAUCUUCGGAUGUCUCUGCUAUGCUGCAAUCAUGGGGCCUCGAGAUAAAAUGAGCCCAUGUGCGCGGCGAUGCGUCUUUAUGGGAUAUCCCAAUCUCCAGAAGGGGUAUCGGGUGCUUGAGAUUUCCACAGGAGAAUUCAUAGUAAGUCAUGAUGUCAUUUUCCAUGAAACUACUUUUCCAUUUUAUGAAGGGGAAUCUUCACAUGGAGAUCCAAAGAUAACUUCCAGCCAUCAUAAUUUUCUCAAUGAUGAAGCACCAUACCGGGAUCUUUCCUAUGUACCAAUAGUACAGCCGAGGGAUCCUAUUCUUCCUACAGUCCCAGUUCUACAAGAUUCUAAUGGAAAUUCGAAUUCUUCAGAACAUAUUCAGGGAGAUAUCUUGGAGGAACCCAUUGCUGAUGCAGAAGUUGAUGACACUACAACAACUUCAUUACCAGCAACAUCACAGCCCACCACCGAAGCUGGACAUCCUAGGAGGUCUGAACGAGCUACAAGACCACCAACCCGGACGAAAGAUUAUGUCUGUACUACUCACAACUCUCCAAGUAUUCAGUAUCCAGUCUCUUCAUAUGUUUCCUUUGAUAGAUUGUCUCAAGAACAUAGAUGUUGUAUUAGUCGAUUGUUUGAAGAGAAAGAACCGUCCAGUUAUAAAGAAGCCUCCAAUAACCCAAAAUGGCAAGAGACCAUGAAGGCAGAAUUGAAGGCCCUUACUGAUAAUCAUACAUGGGAUCUUGUUCCAUUACCAGCUCAUCGUAAACCAAUUGGAUGCAAAUGGGUUUACAAAAUCAAGUAUCGGGCUGAUGGCUCCAUUGAACGGUACAAGGCAAGAUUGGUAGCUAAGGGGUUCACCCAAAGAGAAGGUUUUGACUACCACGAGACGUUCUCACCAGUUGCCAAAGAUGUUACAGUCCGUUCAUUCUUAGCUGUUGCUGCCAUCAAUGACUGGCACCUACACCAGAUGGAUGUCCAUAAUGCUUUUCUCCAUGGCAAUCUAGAUGAAGAGAUCUACAUGAAUAUUCCUCAAGGCAUACAGAGACAGGGGGAUAAUAAGGUGUGUCGUCUCCGUAAAUCCCUUUAUGGAUUAAAACAGGCAUCCGGACAAUGGUAUGCUAAAUUUGCCAGUGCUCUUACAACAGCAGGCUUCAAGCAAUCCAAGCAUGAUUAUGCUCUGUUCUAAAAAACUAAAGGUAUGUCAUCUAUCUAUUUGAUGAUUUAUGUCGAUGACAUACUUGUUAUGGGAAAUGAUAGAGCCUCUAUAGAGAAUUUCAAGGAAUAUUUGCAUGCUACCUUCCAUAUUAAAGACUUAGGAGCACCAAAAUAUUUCCUUGGAAUCGAAGUUGCUCGAUCUGACAAGGGAAUUUCCCUUAGUCAGCGGAAGUUCAUUCUAGAAAUCAUAUCAGAAGUAGGUCUAUUAGGAUGCAAGCUAGCUGUAAUUCCUAUAGAGCAAAACACUAAGUUGACCAUCGCAGACUAUGAUAAGGGAAUAUUUCGAAAUGAUGAUUCCUUACUCAGUGAUCCGUCAGGCUAUCAAAGACUUGUUGGGAAACUUAUAUACCUGACAAUGACUAGACCUGAUAUCUUAUAUGCGGUUCAGACACUUAGCCAGUUUAUGCAUCAACCAAAGCGUUCUCAUUUGGAUGCAGCCUUAAAGGUCGUUAAAUAUCUCAAGAAAUGUCCGGGGCUAGGGAUACUUCUCUCUAAGGAAUGUGACAUGAGGAUGACAGCAUAUUGUGAUGCAGACUAUGCAACAUGUCCGAUUAGUCGAAGAUCUGUUACUGGAUAUUGCAUUAAAUUGGGAGGAUCUCUUCUAUCUUGGAAAACCAAGAAACAAGCUACUGUGUCUCUGUCCUCAGCCGAAGCAGAAUAUCGAGCUGUGGCCAAGGCCACUUGUCAAGUAGUUUGGAUGCGAGGAUUACUCAAGGAUCUUGGAGUAGAAGUGCAAGGACCCACAAGGUUAUAUUGUGAUAAUGAUACAGCUCUUAAACUUGCAACUAAUCCUAUAGUACAUGAAAGAACCAAGCAUAUAGAAGUGGAUUGUCACUUCACACGGGAAAAGAUCCAGGAAGGAGUAAUUGAGACGAGGAAUUUGGACAACGGAGCAACCAGUAGACUUGUUCACCAAGCCCCUAUGUCAGAGGCAACAUGCAUAUCUAUUAAAAAAGCUAGGCGUCUUGGACAUCUACAAGCCACCAGCUUGAGGGGGAGUGUUGGAAGAUAUGUGGAUUGCCUGAUUUGAUUUGAUCUUAAUUGAUCAUGAUUAAUCACGAUCUUCAUGUAUAUGUAAAUUAAAAAUUAGAUCUAGAUCUAGAUUGAUAGUCUAGAUCAUUUACUUCCUUAUUCAAGAUAGAGCUUGUAUUAUAUCUCUGCAGAAUUGUACAUUCAGAUUGUAAUAGUGAUAAUACAGAAAAAUCUCCCCACAUCGAUUCCCAUUUUCCUCUCUAAACUUCAUCCGUUCUUCCUUCACUCUUGCCUUCUUUCAGGGCAUAUCUACUUUGCCGGCCCUCCCAAGCCCAACCCCGACACGAUCGAGCUUGUCCACCACGCCGUUGAAUCUGGCGUUGCCUUCCUCGACACCUCCGACAUCUAUGGCCUUAACGCCAAGGAAGUCCUCCUUGGAAAGGUCGGUAUUUAUUUUGUAGAUAUAAUUGAAGAUCUUGAUCGUGACGCCAAUCCUAAUUGCGGACUAAUUGAUUUGGUCAAUUUGUGAUUGUUUAGUGAAUAUGGAAAUUUUUGUAAUUCUUUAUAUAUUAUUUCAUUUUUUCUCUUUCAUUCUUACACUAUAAAUAGACCAAUGAACUAAUAUACAGAUCAAUCAAUAUACAACAAAAUUUUCUUCAUUUUCUCUUUUGUUUUCUAUUAUGUUAUCAGUGUCAUUCUUCCUCGCCUAGCUUCCCAUAUCUUAGAGUUGCCUUUCUUUUUUUCUUUGUUUUUUUUUUUUUUUUGGUUAUUGCAAGUCCUCAUCCUGCAAUACAAAUCAGCAAAUCGAUUAGGAAUUCAAUUUUUUUUUUCAAUACCAAGGCAAAAAAUAAGAACACUGAGAGCUCCAUGAUAGAGGAGACACCUACCUCACCUCAAAAUCAAGCCCCAUCGCCGUCGGAUUCGAUUAUGAUUUGGGACAAUAUAUUUUAAUCAUUUCGAGAUAAUCUUUAACUGAUCAUGCUCUUCCAGAUACACAGCAAUUGCGCACUUCCAAAUGCUUAUUAUGUCAAGUAACAUGACAAUCUGAUGGCAUGCAACGCAACCAAUUUUGCACUCGUUGAUGUAGAAUUUGGCGUUAAAAGGAAAAUGAUGGUUGCUCGUAUGCUCUCUGCUUAGACAUUGCUUUAUGUUAUGAAGUACCUACCAAGGCUGCGGCCAGAGAACUUGGCUAAUGCAAAGUUAUUCGACCAAGUGAAUGAAAUUGCACAAAGAAAGGGAUGCACCCCAUUGCAGUUAACCCUCGCCUGGGUACACCACUGGAGUGAUGACGUUUGCCCGAUUACCGGCACGAUCAAGAUCGAGAAUUUCAACCAGAACAUUGGAGCUCUGUCAGUGAAGCUUUCGCCAGAAGAGAUGGCCAAGCUCAAAUCGAUUGCUUAUACGGACAAUGUCAGGCGUGAGAAUUAAAACCACAUUUGAUACUAAAUUAUGCCUAGGUAGGAAUUCAAAACUCCACCUCCCGCUUUUCAUGUGGGAAGGUUGGCCCCACCUCGCGCUUAUGGAAAGAGUAAUCACGAAGACAUCACAAUAGUUCAAUUGACGUGAGCAGGUACGUCUUCCCUACAUGGUAAGGGUCGUCACUGGGCGUGCAAUUGACGUAAGCACGUGCGUCUUCACAGCCACUACCGCUCCCCUCCUACUCAUCGUAGCUUCUGCCACUACCCUCCUAUAAAUCUCGGCUCGCCCGACGACUUCGCCAUCGUCUCGGUGCAGUGCAGGGAACGAUCGAGCUCGAGCUAGACUACGGCAAUGGCGGCAUCGACGACGACGGUGAGGAGGAUCAAGCUGGGGUCGCAGGGCCUGGAGGUGUCGGCGCAGGGGCUGGGCUGCAUGAGCAUGUCCGCCUUCUACGGCCCUCCCAAGUCCGAGCCCGACAUGAUCGCCCUCAUCCACCACGCCGUCGGCUCCGGCGUCACCUUCCUCGACACCUCCGACUUCUACGGUCCUCACACCAACGAAAUCCUCCUCGGAAAGGUCGUUCUCUCAGUCUCUCUUUUGCCUCUGCAUGAAUUAUAUAUGCUUAUGGUUUUACGGAACUUAGCUUCAUCGAGCAGGAUGCUCUGAUCCUGCGCCUUGGUUUUCUGAUUUCGGGGUUGAUUUUGAGCAGGCACUGAAGGGAGGGGUGAGGCAGAAGGUGGAAUUGGCGACCAAGUUCGGAAUCAGAUUGGCGGACGGGAAGAGGGAGAUCCAGGGCGAUCCGGCGUACGUGAGGGCUGCUUGCGAGGCCAGCUUGAAGCGGCUCGACAUCGAUUGCAUCGACCUCUACUACCAGCACCGUAUCGACACUCGCGUCCCCAUUGAAGUCACUGUAUGGAUCCCUUAUCAAACUUUCACCUCGCUUGAGACUUUCUCUGAGCCAUACGAUGCAUCGUCAUGUUGUUACAAGUUUGUUGAAUUUUGUUAAAUGACACUUAAGUUCAGCUGAUAGCAGAGUUCAAGAUGCGGCACGGUGUUGUUCAAGGGUUGUGGAAUUUAGUAGUUUAGUGGCUUGAGUUUUCGUUUUGUGGGAAUCUUUUACAAGUUAAGGGUCAACAAGCAUGGAAAUUAUUCGAAAUCUUCCUUUGAGAUGAAAGUGCUCCGGGGUUCAUCCUGAAUUUAUAUACGGGAAUCACAUAUAAAGUUGUUCCUGGACUUUAUACGGAGACAUUUGAUUCUUGACAUAUUGUGAAAUAUGACAAGUACUUGGAAUACUUCUUUUAUUUGCUCUCUUCUGUGAGAGAUUCAAGAAAUCUACCUCCGUUAACUCAAUUCCUUGUGGGUUUUUUGUCGCAUUGAGAUGCAUGAUAAUUGAGGGAUCUAGACACAAAAAGCUAAUGACAAAAAUAAUUUUCUGGAUCUUAACAUGUAAGAUCUUGAUGUUGUUGUUCUGUCAUGUGAAUAUGCACAGAUCGGAGAGCUAAAGAAGCUCGUUGAAGAGGGUAAGAUAAAGUACAUCGGUUUAUCCGAGGCCUCUGCAUCAACAAUCAGAAGAGCACAUGCUGUUCAUCCCAUCACAGCAGUGCAAUUGGAGUGGUCGCUUUGGUCCAGAGAUGUGGAGGCGGACAUCGUUCCAACGUGCAGGUAGGAUAUCACUCCGUUAAUUGUUUAUGCAGCAACAACAGCUUCCUUCUGACUCUGCUUUUCCUUUAAAAUGUUGACUAGGGAGCUUGGCAUUGGAAUUGUUGCCUACAGUCCUUUAGGACGAGGAUUCUUUUCUGUUGGCUCCAAGUUGGCGGAGAAUUUCUCAAAGGAUGACUUCAGACAGGUCUGUUUCUGCUGGUCGACAUAAUUAGAUGCUCACAGUGACUGUCAUUCUCAUUGAAGUGCUGGAAACCUGUUCUUGUGGUAUAAAGAAAAGUUUCUGGAUGGGAUGAAUAAAACUUGGUGACACAAAUGCAUCACGUUCUUAUAUGUCUUCAAUCCAGCACUCGCCAGACAUACUACCUCUCUCGAUUCUAGAUAAAUGUAAAAUCACAAGUAAUGGCUUUAGUGAGCCUGAAAGAGGUAGGUUCCCGGAUUCUCAUUCUUUUGGGAAUGAAUACAUAUAGGUUUAUAUGUAAGUUGCUCUGUUUCCCAGCCUUCCCAACAUUUGCUUAUCACUAUCCUUUCCCCACUUUCCACCCACCCUUUUUCUCUCAUCUUUCUUCACAAGAUUAGCGAUAUUUCCUCGAAAUAACUGACGCCAGUAUCGGGCUCUGGCCUUCCGUCCUUUUUCAUUCUCAUCUUUCUUCACAAGAUAAACUAUAUCUUGACACAACCAUUUCUUGAGUGAGGACUCACGACACCCUUCUUAUGAGAGUUUUGGAUCAAGUUCCCAUCUGACAUAAAGCCAAUUGUGUAUUACUCCCUGCCAUUAGCGUUUGACUAGCGAUAGCGCUGGGCAAGUGAAGUAGCUAUUUUUCUUUGUAGCUAAAAGAGCUCUGCGUCUGAUAACAUUCUUCUACACAUCAUCUACAUUUCUGAUUUUUUAUUUUAUGUGUGACUAAUGGUAUCAUCACACGUACAAAACUUAGAUUGUCGAGUUUGUUUCUGUUUUCACAUCCUACAUCAAGCCCAUCAGCCUUGUGUGGUAGUUGCUAGAUCACUUCGCUUGACGUUUCUAAUGCUUAUGAUUUGGGACAUGAUAUUUUAAUCAUUUCAAGAUUAUUUAUAACUGAUCAUGCUUAUCCAGAUAGACAACGAUUGCACACUUCUAAAUGCUUAUUAUGUCAAGUAACAAGACAAUCUGAUGGCAUGCAAUGCAACCACUUUUGCACUUGUUGCUGUAGAAUUUAGCCUUAAAAGGAAAAUGAUAAUUGCAAUUGCUUUCUGCUGAGACAUUGCUCUAUGUUAUGCAGUAUCAUCCAAGGUUCCAGCCAGAGAACUUGGCUCACAACACGAAGUUAUUUGACCGAGUGAAUGAAAUUGCGCAAAGAAAGGGAUGCACCCCAUCUCAGUUAGCCCUGGCCUGGGUACACCACCAUGGUGACGACAUUUGCCCGAUUCCCGGCACAACCAAGAUCGAGAAUUUCAACCAGAACAUUGGAGCUCUGUCAGUGAAGCUUACACAGGAAGAGAUGGCCGAGCUUGAAUUGAUUGCUUCUGCGGACAAUGUCAAGGGUGGCAGGUAUGAUGGAAGCAUAUCUACAUGGGAAAACUCCGACACUCCACCCCUUUCUUCUUGGAAACCUGCCUAGAAGCGUGUCUGCUUCUGUUGCUGCAUCUUUGAUGUGCAGAGUUUGAGCAUUUGCCGCUGAAGUAAUUUGAGUUGAUGUUGUGUGGCUGUUAUAAGUAUGUGUAAUAAGAGAGUGACUGUUUUCAUUUUGUACAUGUGACAUUCACUAUGAGAAGAUUAUGGAUGUGUACUAACCUUACUGGGGAAAGAUCACUCGAUAAACACGAGAGCGAGUUGAAUAUGAACUGAGCCUGCCUUGUCGACUUUAUGGGGUGACUUUUAGAAUCAAUUGGGAUUUUGAAGAAUUCAAACUCAGUCGUACAUACCGCUGGAAAUAUGGCUUCGAAAUUGGGUAGAACAAUGAAAUCGGAUCGAGUAAAAUAACUCGGACUUUGAGGCGCGAUAUCACUUUCUUUAAGGAUUUAUUUACCCCACAACGUUGCUAAUGGUCACCAGCAAAAAUCCUCCAGGAUACAACAAAGUCUCGGAUGAGAAUACUAGAUAGCAAUUCAAGUAUUUCUCCAGGGUCUCUCUAAGAAACAAUCGAAAAAUUGGAUGCUGUUUUUCAGAAAGGAAUACUCGAAAAUGACACUCUUUUUCUUUCCGAAAAUGAUAGAUAUAUAUAUGAAACAGUCUUGCNNNNNNNNNNNNNNNNNNNNNNNNNNNNNNNNNNNNNNNNNNNNNNNNNNNNNNNNNNNNNNNNNNNNNNNNNNNNNNNNNNNNNNNNNNNNNNNNNNNNUUUUUUUUUUUUAUUUCUUAUUUUUGUUCCAAAGUUGCUCUCACAAUAAAAAAAAAAAAGACCAGAAUAAAAGUAUAAACAAAUGAGUUUCUGUUCUUUUUUGGUUCUCUAGAACAAAAUAAUAAAAAUUUAUAUUUCGGGAAAAAAAAUAAUUUUAAAUGAACACACCCUAAGAUAUCUUUUGUAUUCCGGGGAAGUAGUUCAAUUGACGUGAGCCCGUGCGUCUUCCCUACAUGGGAAGGGUCGUCGCUGGGUCUCAUCUGACCUAAGCAAGCGCGUCUUCACAGCUAUUACCGCUCCCCUCCUACACUUCGUAGCUACCGCCACUCCCCUCCUAUAAAUCUCGGCUCGCCCGACGCCUUCGCCAUCGUCUCGGUGCAGUGCAGGGAACGAGCGAGCUCGAGCUAGACGACGGCAAUGGCGGCUUCGACGACGACGGUGAGGAGGAUCAAGCUGGGGUCGCAGGGCCUCGAGGUGUCGGCGCAGGGGCUGGGCUGCAUGAGCAUGUCCGCCUUCUACGGCCCUCCCAAGUCCGAGCCCGACAUGAUCGCCCUCAUCCACCACGCCGUCGGCUCCGGCGUCACCUUCCUCGACACCUCCGACGUCUACGGUCCUCACACCAACGAAAUCCUCCUCGGAAAGGUCGUUCUCUCAGUCUCUGUUUUGCGUCCGCAUGAAUUAUAUGUGCUUAUAGUGUUACGGAAUUUGGCUUCAUCGAGCAGAGUGCUCUGAUCCCGCGCCUUGGUUUUCUGAUUUCGGGGUUGAUUUUGAGCAGGCACUGAAGGGAGGGGUGAGGCAGAAGGUGGAAUUGGCGACCAAGUUCGGAAUCAGCUUCGCGGACGGGAAGAGGGAGGUCCGGGGCGAUCCGGCGUACGUGAGGGCGGCUUGCGAGGCCAGCUUGAAGCGGCUUGACAUCGAUUGCAUCGACCUCUACUACCAACAUCGCAUCGACACUCGCGUCCCCAUCGAAGUCACUGUAUGGAUCCCCCAUCAAACUUUCACCUCGCUUGAGACUUUCUCCGAGCCAUAUGAUUAGUUGCUAAGUUAGAUUGGUGUUGAUGAUGCAUCGUCAUGUUGUUACAAGUUUGUUGAAAUUUGUUAAAUGACACUUAAGUUCGGCUGAUAGCAGAGUUCAAGAUGCGGCACGUUGUUGUUCAAGGGGUUGUGGAAUUUAGUAGUUUAGUGGCUUGAGUUUUCGUUUUGUGGGCAUCUUUUACAAGUUAAGGGUCAACAAGCAUGAAAAUUAUUCAAAAUCUUCCUUUGAGAUGAAAGUGCUCCAGGGUUCAUCCAGAAUUUAUAUACGGGAAUCACAUAUAAAGUUGUUCCUGGACUUUAUGUGGAGACAUUUGAUUCUUAACAUAUUGUGAAAUAUGUCGAGUACUUGGAAUACUUAUUUUAUUUGCUCUCUUCUGUGAGAGAUUCAAGAAAUCUACCUCCGUUAACUCAAUACCUUGUGACUUUUUUGUCGCAUUGAGAUGCAUGAUAAUAGAGGGAUCUAGACGCAUAAAAAGCUAAUGACAUGCAUAAUUUUCUGGAUCUUAACAUGUAAGAUCUUGAUGUUGUUGUUCUGUCAUGUGAAUAUGCACAGAUCGGAGAGCUAAAGAAGCUCGUUGAAGAAGGUAAGAUAAAGUACAUCGGUUUAUCCGAGGCCUCUGCAUCAACAAUCAGAAGAGCACAUGCUGUUCAUCCCAUCACAGCAGUGCAAUUGGAGUGGUCGCUUUGGUCAAGAGAUGUGGAGGCAGAGAUCGUUCCAACGUGCAGGUAGGAUAUCACUCUGUUAAUUGUUUAUGCAGCAACAACAGCUUCCUUCUGACUCUGCUUUUCCUUUAAAAUGCUGACUAGGGAGCUUGGCAUUGGAAUUGUUGCCUACAGUCCUUUAGGACGAGGAUUCUUUUCUGUUGGCUCCAAGUUGGUGGAGAAUAUCUCUAAGGAUGACUUCAGACAGGUCUGUUCCUGCUUGUCAACAUAAUUAGAUGCUUACAUCAACUGUCAUUCUUAUUGAAGUGCUGGAAACCUGUUCUUGUGGUAUAAAGAAAAAGUAUCUGGAUGGGAUGAAUAAAACUUGGUGACACGAAUGCUUUGUGUUCUUAUAUGUCUUUAAUCCAGCACUUGCCAGACAUCCCACCUCUCUUGAUUCUAGAUAAAUGUAAAAUCACAAGUAAUGGCUUUAAUGAGCCUGAAAGAGGCAGUUUUCUGGAUUCUCGUGCUUUUGGGAAUGAAUACAUAUAGGUUUAUUUGUAAGUUGCUCUGUUUCCCAGCCUUCCCACCAUUUGCUAAUCACUAUCCUCUCCCCACUUUCCACCCACCCUUUUUCUCUCAUCUUUCUUCACAAGAUUAGCGAUAUUUCCUCAAAAUAGCUGACGCCAGUAGCGGGCUUUGGCCCUCCGUCCUUUUUCAUUCUCAUCUUUCUUCACAAGAUAAACUAUAUCUUGACACAACCAUUUCUUGAGUAAGGACUCCUAGCACCCUUCUUAUGAGAGUUUUGGAUCAAGUUCCCAUCUGACAUAAAGCCAAUUGAGUAUUACUCCCCGCCAUUAGCAUUUGACUAGCGAUAGUGCUGGGCAAGUGAAGUAGCUAUUUUUCUUUGUAGCUAAAAGAGCUCUGCGUCUGAUAACAUUCUUCUACACAUCAUCUACAUUUCUGAUAUUUAUUUUAUGUGUGACUAAUGGUAUCAUCACACAUACAAAACUUAGAUUGUCGAGUUUGUUUCUGUUUUCACAUCCUACAUCAAACCCAUCAGCCUUGUGUGGUAGUUUCUAGAUCACUUCGCUUGACGUUUCUAAUGCUUAUGAUUUGGGACAAGAUAUUUUAAUCAUGUCAAGAUAAUUUAUAACUGAUCAUGCUUUUCCAGAUACACAACGAUUGCGCACUUCUAAUGCUUAUUAUGUCAAGUAACAAGACAAUCCGAUGGCAUGCAAUGCAACCACUUUUGCACUCGUUGCUGUAGAAUCUAGCCUUAAAAGGAAAAUGAUAAUUGCUCAUAUGCUCUCUGCUGAGACAUUGCUCUAUGUUAUGCAGUAUCUACCAAGGUUCCGGCCAGAGAACUUGGCUCACAACACGAAGUUAUUUGACCGAGUGAAUGAAAUUGCGCAAAGAAAGGGAUGCACCACAUCGCAGUUAGCCCUGGCCUGGGUAUACCACCAGCGUGAUGAUGUUUGCCCAAUUCCCGGCACGACCAAGAUCGAGAAUUUCAACCAGAACACUGGAGCUAUGUCAGUGAAGCUUACACCGGAAGAGAUGGCCGAGCUUGAAUCGAUUGCUUCUGCGGACAAUGUCAAGGGUGGCAGGUACGAUGGAAGCAUGUCUACAUGGGAAAACUCCGACACUCCACCCCUUUCUUCUUGGAAACCUGCCUAGAAGCGUGUCUGCUUCUGUUGCUGCAUCUUUGAUGUGCAGAGUUUGAGCAUUUGCCGCUGAAGUAAUUUGAGUUUAUGUUAUGUGGCUGUUAUAAGUACGUGUAAUAAGAGAGUGACUGUUUUCAUUUUGUACAUGUGAUAUUCACUAUGAGAAGAUUAUGGAUGUGUACUAACCUUACUGGGGAAAGAGCACUCGAUAAACACGAGAGCGAGUUGAAUACGAACUGAGCCCGCCGUGCCGACUUUAUUGGGGUGACUUUUAGAAACUGAGAAAUCGGGAUUUUGAAGAAUUCAAACUCAGUCGUACAUACUAGAGUGACGCUUUAUUCUCCUCCAACCAUGAGUUCAAUACUAAAACCGUGUGCAACAUGCUCUUAAGACUGGAUGCCACACAUAGAUACAAAGCUUCGCUUUGUGUUUGGUUUGGUAGCGAAGUUAAGGAACAGUAAAAUGUUACCGGAUGUUCUCGCGAAAACGAAGUUGGGGUUAAAAUGCUGGCGGGGUUGAUAUGAGUGUCAGAGAAAUCGAAGGUUUCUUGUUCAAGUUUUACCACGUACGGUUCAUGAGCUUUUAUGUAGCUCGAUACCUUCGCUUAUGCGUCUGCAUUAUUAUAAAACGGUCGGAGAUAUUGUGCAAGUUUCCUAAAAUUAAAAAUGACACUUCUAUUGUUUUUUAUUUGGAGUUAGAGUGAAGCAAUAUUGUUUUGUUUUGGUUUAAGAAAAUAACGCAAAUAGUUAUUGAACUUUGGUCCAAUGUGUUAUGUUCUUACUGAACUUUUAACUUAUUUAAUAUGGUUGUCGAACUUUUUGUACAUGUUUAAUUUAAAUCCUAGGCUAGAUAAAUCCAAUGAUGCUGUGUUUGGUCGUUCAAACAUUGUUGCUGAUGCAGCCCGCAUUGAAGACCAGCUCUCUUGAUCAAGAAGAUCGGCCCACAUGCAAGCUCGAUGAAUCCUCUUAUCAAUGAAGUUGUCGAUUGUCGAUGAAGUUCGAUGAAGUUGUCGAUUCAACCGAGAAGCCAUAUUGAUAUCUUGAGUCCAUCCUGGAAGCUUGAAAGAAAACACCUUGUCGAUCUGUAUCGACAAAGAUAUGAUUGUUCUCCUAAGCUUGCAUAGUAAAUUUCUGUUCGUCUUAUUUCCUGUGUGCGAGUCACUCUCCCGAUCCUACCGUUUGAGAAAGCUUAACCUUGGCUUGCAUCAUUUUGGUAUUAGAGCUUUGGAGGAGAGGACAAUGCCUCCAAGACAAGCUAGAUGUCGUGGUGGCAGAACCAUUCCCCUCGAUGAAGUGCACACACUCGCUGAGAAUUUGCAACAAUGUAUGCAACAACAAAUUGACGAAUUGACGCUAGAAGUUUAGCGUUUGAGGGCUGAAGCAAAUAAUUCUCCACCUCGUUCCAGGACUGAAGAUUCCUAUGGUGACUCUUCCUCUUUGGAGAGUGUUCAAUCUAUUCACGGUUAGAGGAAUGUUUGACAUCAUUUACAACAUGUUCGUGAGCCAGAUUGGGAAAAGGAAGUCAUGUUCCAGAAUUUACAUGUACUAAGUCUCCUGAUGAAAUUGUUGAUUGGCUGACACUUGUGAAUGAGGUAUUUGAGCAUCGAAAUGUUCCGGAGAAUCGUCAAGUUGGGAUCAUUGCUAUGUGAUUCCAAGGCAAGGCAAUUGCUGGUGGAGACAUGAAAAACAAACUUGCCAAGCAGUUGGCAAAGCACUAAUCACUUUGUGGAGAAAGAUGGAGGGCAAGAUUCAAAAAUAUUUUCUUCCCAUAGGAUAUAAGAGAGAGCUCUACCAACGGUACCAAAAUCUAAAACAAGGUAAACAAACGGUGGAUCAAUACACCAAUGAAUUCAAUGUGUUGGUGAUUUGUAACAAUAUCUAGGACUCGGAGGAGGUGCUUGUGAACAAAUACUUGAACGGUCUUCAAUUUUACAUUCAAGAUGCCUUGGAAGUCCUCGACAUUUGGGACUUAGGACAUGCACACCAACGGGCACUCAAAAUGGAGCGCUCUCGUUCUUGGAGAUAGCAAUCAAUUACCAUGACAAGUCGGGCCACUAAGAGUACCACUAGCAUUGCUAAAGUUGUUGAGGGUACAAUGCAAUAUGCUAGUAAGCCUUCUACGCAACCCCAUGUUUCGAAGCAACCUGCUAUGUUCAAAAUAUGUUGCUAUUCUUGUGGGGAGUUGGGUCAUCAUGCUAGCAAUUGUCGAAUCAAUAAGAGUCAACCUAUCGGUAAAGCCUUCUUAGUGGAUAAUGAUUCUGAUGAGAAUAUUGAGGAUCCACUUGAAGAGGAGUUGAACAAUGAUGAAGAAGCUGUGCAUGAUGAACAAAUAGUGCAUGUUGACACUAGCGAACUUCUUACGGUGAGGAAAUUUUUUUUACUCCUUGAGAUGACACUGGAGAUAGAUGGCUGCGUACCAAUAUUUUUCAUUCUGCUUGCACAAUCAUGGGAAAGGUGUGUCAAUUAAUUAUUGACUAUGGUUGUUGUGAGUAUAUAAUUUUUGAAGUAGUGGCUAACAAGCUGGAGUUGGAAUUAAAGACGCACCCUACGCCUUAUAAAAUGUUGUGGUUGAAGAAAGGCGCUGAGGUAACUAUUUCAAAAUGAUGCCUUGUUAAUCUGUCCAUUGGUUUUGUUUAUAAUGACAAGAUAUGGUGUGAUGUUCUGCCGAUAGAUGCUAGUCACAGUAUUCUUGGUCGACUGUGGCAAUUCGAUAGGAGGACUAUGCAUGAUGGUUAUCGAAAUACAUAUUCUUUUGAAUUUGGAGGCAAGAAGAUUAUGUUGGCACCUAGUAGGGAACCUUGAGAAUUCCUUCUCCCCUACGUUGUUUACAAUGAAGGAUAUGAACGAUGCUUUGAAAGGAGUUUGUAUCUUGUAUAUUUUGCUUAAUAAAACUAGUGAGAAGAAUGAAGUUGCCUCUAUCAUGCCUCAUUGAGUUCAACCUCUUUUGGAAGAGUUCAAGGAUGUCCUCUCGAUGGACUUACCCGAUGGUCUCCCUCCUAUUAGAGAUAUUCAGCAUCAAACCGACUUGAUGCCUGGAGCCUCUUUGUCGACUCUCGCUCAUUACCGAAUGAGUUUGACCGAACAUGAGGAAUUGCAUCAACAAGUUAUGGAGCUAUUGAAUAAGGGUUUUAUAAGGGAGAGCCUCAGUUCGUGUGCUGUUCCAGCUCUUUUAGUGCCUAAGAAAAAUGGUACUUGGAGGAUGUGUGUCGACAAUAGAGCGAUCAACAAGAUCACCAUCAAGUAUUGAUUUUCUAUUCCUCGCCUUGAUGAUCUCUUAGAUCAACUUUCUGGUGCAAUUAUAUUCUCGAAGCUAGAUUUGAAGAGUGGAUACCAUCGAAUUAGAAUCAAACUCGAAGAUGAAUGGAAGACAGCAUUCAAAAAUAAAGUUGGGCUACAUGAGUGGCUAGUCAUGCCAUUUGGAUUGUCGAAUGCACCAUUGACAUUCAUGAGGUUCAUGACUCAGGUGUUGAAGCCUUUUCUGGGAAAGUUUAUUGUGGUUUAUUUUGAUGAUAUCUUGAUUUUUAGCAAGUCUACUGAUGAGCACUUGUAGCAUCUUCAAGAAGUAUUAUGUGUGUUGAGGCAGGAAUGAUUGUAUGAGGCUCUCAACAAGUGCUAUUUUAUGGUACCACAAAUCCUUUUCUUGGGGUUAUAUAUUUCAAAGAAUGGCAUUUCGGUGGAUGAUUCUAAGAUCAAGGUGAUUCGAGAAUGGCCAACUCCAACAAAUGUGCAUGAAGUGCAACGUUUUCUUGGUCUCGCUUCAUUUUAUCGACAGUUUAUUGCGCAUUUUAGCACCACUGCAGCCCCACUCACUUCUUGCAUGAAGAAGGGAGAGAAAGCCCAACCUUGGCUUGCAUCAGUUGCUCUAUGGGAUGAUGAUAGGAUAAAAAUCCCAUCUAUUAUUUCUUGACGUCUGGAUACAGCAUGAUUCAAAUAAAUAUUUUUUAAAUGAGUGUUUGAUUUGUAUAAUUAAAAUUAAAAUUAAACCAUGGAAGUCGUAAAUACUAUUCAUCCUUUCACAAUCUUCAUCCAUAUCAAACACCCCCGUUCCAUGUGACUUCAAGGACUCUCGCUCCUUCUGCAACACCCCUUUCGCUGCCCUUGAUCAACUUGAUGGAUUACGCUCGCUCUACCUUUGACUUCGCCACAUUGAGAGGCCCUUGGGUUUGAGUUCUCCGCUAGUCUAGCCAUCUUUACUUUCAACGCUUUUCCUGCGAUGAAUCCAUCCCCUUCGACGAGUGCGAAUACUGCGUCGAUUCCCUGUUACCGUGCCCCGACUUGUUCAGUCACUUCAACAGCUUCCCCCGAGACAGCGUGCGGAUCCGGUUUGUGAGUGGUAGCACGAUCGGUACUAGUUGCUCCGAGUGACGUGGUUGAGGAGCUCUAUCACCUUGGCUGCCGCCUCUUUCGGAUCAUCUUCUUCACAGAGGAGGUGUCCAGCUUUGAUCGGGAUCACAAAUUUCCCUACUAAAAUGAAGUUGAGUGACACAAGAAAGAGGUAGGGCUGACGAGCUCCGCGAUACUCAUGCUCAUGCUCUAAUUUUGUGGUGGUCAUUUUAGCGAGACAAAUUGGAACAAGAGAGAGAUGAUGGUGACACUGGUCAAAAGCGCCCCGGGGGGUGGUCAGUUUUUCAAAUUUCACAUAUUUUAUCUGGCUUUAUAUACUUUCUAGAUGUGAUUUUUUAUCCGGACUAUAUCCUAAUUUCACAUUACUCUAGACACCAUAUAGGAUUAAACUUAUCAUAUUAGAGUUCUAUCCAGCCCUUCAAAUGCAGUCUUAUGAGAUAGAAUGCAAUGAUAUAAUCUGUGAACUAAAUUUAAACAUUUAUUAAAAGUUUACGAACGAAAUUUCACAUUUUGAUUGUUAAGAUGCAUGAGUGAGUUAUGUUAAAAUAAUCACAUAAUAUAUUGAUAGCUUUAAAAAUGGGCCUUCUCUUGGUGAUGACGUUGAUCCAUAUGGAGAAAUUAAUGAGAGGGUUUAUUUGGCCUAACUAAAUGGGAGGCUAUGGGCUCGUUUGAUAACGUUUCUGUUCAAAAAUUGUUCCAGGGAAUAGAAAUAAAAAAAAAAGUGUUUCUGUUCCGGGGAACAAUUUUUGACCAAAAACACUCGUUUGGUAAACUUGUUCUGGGAACAAUUCUUUUUUUGUUUCUUUUAAUUUUUUAAUAUUUUUAUUUUAUUUUUAUUUUUUUCCUUUCUUUUUUCUUUUUUCUUUUUUUCUUCUUUUGGCGGGCGACCGGCUGACGGGGGCCGACAGCCUCGCCCAGCCACGGCGAGGCCAAGCCUUGCCGGUGCGGGCGAGGCUGAGCCUCGCCUUGGCUGGGUGAGCUUGGCCUCGCCCAGAUCUAGUGAGGCCGAGCCUUGUUGGCCACUGGGCAAGCUCGGCCUCAUCAGCCACUGGGCGAGCUCGCCCAGCCAAGGCGAGGCCGAGCCUCGCCCAACUACAGCCAGGCUCGGCCUCGCUGGGGGCCGGCGACGCUCCGGCGAGGUCGUCGGCCCUCGACGGCGUCGCUGACCCUCGACGGCCGGUCGCCGGCCAUGGCCGAGGCCAGCAAUCGGCCAAAGAAAAAAGAAAGAAAAAAGAAGAAGAAAAGAAAAAGAAAAAAGAGAAAAGUGUUAAAAAAAUUUGUUUCAGAAACAAGAAACAACUUUUUUUUUGUUUUUUGUUUCUGUUCCAGAUGUGUUUUUGGGAACAAAAAAAAUAGUUUUGGAACAAAAACGCACACAAACGCGUUUCUGUUCCCUUUUUGUUCUCAGGAAAAAAAAACAGAAAAAUUGUUCAAAAACAUAAAAAAGAAACAACAACAAAUGCAGCCUAUAUCAAUGGGAGGUUUUUCAUUGUAACAUUCCCUUGUGCUUGGAAUUUGUUUUUUAGUAAAGGAUUUUAUUAGCAUAAUAAUAGUCUUUGGAUUAUUAUGUGAAUAACAAUUUAUUGUGAGUCACAAUUUUUUUUUUAAAGUAAUGAACCCCAUAAUAAUUUCAAUUAUUUGUUACUUUAUUUUCGUAGUUGUUAGAAAAAUAGAAAGCUUGGAAUUUUGGGAGAAUUGUAUAUUGCUUUUCUAUAUUCCUUUCAAUAUGUAAUUACAAUCUAUUUAUAAUACAGAGAGUCUAAAAUAAUAAAGGAAUAAAAAUAUACACAAUAUCCCAAAGAUGUACAUAAAAUAUUCCCUAUCAAUUAAGAUCAAUCGACAUCAGCAACGGUAUCUUCAACACUCCCCCUCAAGCUCGGCGGUUUAUACACAUCGAAGACGCCUAGCUUGUUUAAUAGAUACAAAUGUUGCCUCUGACAUAAAGCCUUGGUAAAAAUGUCUGCAGGUUGCUCUGUUGUUCUUAUCUCUUUUGUUCUAAUCACCCCACUUUGGAUCUUGUCUCGAAUGAAGUGACAAUCAACCUCUAUAUGUUUUGUCCUUUCAUGAAAUACUGGGUUCAUUGCAAGCUUAAUUGCAGCAUCAUUAUCACAAAAUAGGACAAUGGGCUCUCUUAUCUGUACACCAAGGUCUUGAAGGAGGCCUCUUAUCUAGACUAUCUCACAGCUAGUCUUCGCCAUUGCUCGGUAUUCUGCCUCAGCGGAUGAUAAAGAUACGGUUGACUGUUUCUUUGUCUUCCAUGAAAUUAGAGAAUCCCCUAAUUUUAUACAGAAUCCUAUGACUGAUCUUCUACUCAUGGGACAAGUAGCGUAAUUUGUGUCACAAUAUGCUGUCAUCUCCAAAUUGUUGUCUCGAGACAACAAUAUUCCCAAUCCAGGACACCCUUUUAAGUAUUUUAUGACUUUCAGUGCCGCAUUCAUGUGAGACUGUUUCGGAGCAUGCAUAAACUGGCUAAGAAUCUGAACUGCAUAAGAAAUGUCUGGCCUGGUCAUGGUCAAAUAAAUAAGCUUUCCAACAAGUCUUUGAUAAGCAGAAGGAUCUUUAAGCAAAGGAUCCUUGUUUACAGGUGACAACCCUUUGUCAUAUUCAGCUGUCGUUAAUCUGAUAUUCUGAUCAAUUGGAAUAACAGCCGGUCUAGAUCCUAACAAACCGGCUUCUGACACAAUUUCUAAGACAAAUUUCCGUUGGCUAAGACAAAUGCCCUUAUUUGACCGUGCAAUUUCUAUCCCAAGAAAGUAUUUGGGAGAACCCAAAUCCUUAAUAUGAAAUGUAGAAUGCAAAUACUCAUUGAAUUUCUCAAUGGCAGGCGCAUCGUUUCCCAUAAUGAGUAUAUCGUCAACAUAUAUAAGUAAAUAGAUUGACGACAUACCUUGUUUCCAUGUGAAUAAAGCAUAGUCAUGCUUAGAUUGCUGGAAUUUUGCAGUUGUAAGUGCACCGGUGAACUUGGCGUACCAUUGACGAGAAGCUUGCUUGAGUCCAUAUAGGGAUUUCUGAAGACGGCACACACUCCCCUCCCCCUGUCUGCGAAAUCCCGGUGGAAUAUCCAUAUAAAUCUCUUCUUCAAGAUCUCCAUGUAAAAAAGCAUUGUGAACGUCCAUUUGAUGAAGGGGCCAGUCACGGAUGGCAGCAAUGGAAAGAAAAGACCGUAUGGUGACUUCUUUGGCAACUGGAGAGAAAGUUUCCGUAUAGUCAAAGCCUUCCUUCUAUGUGAAUCCCUUCGCAACCAAUCUGGCCUUGUAAUGUUCAAUGGAUCCAUCUGCUUUAUAUUUGAUAUUGUAUACCCAUUUGCAUCCUAUGGAUCGACGAUGGGGAGGUAGACGAACAAUAUCCCAAGUCUCAUUUUCGAUGAGAGCUUGUAACUCAUCUUUCAUAGCCUGUUGCCAACGAGGAUCCUUGGCAGCCUCAUCAUAAGAGGAAGGUUCCUGCUGUGCAAAAAUUCUACUAACAUAGCAUAUAUGUUCAAGAGAGAGAUUAGCAAAACUGACAUAAGAGGAGAUGGGGUAUUGUGUACCACGCCUUUUUGACGAUGAACAAACGUAAUCCGCUGUCCAUGUUGGUGGUCGGACUGUGCGUCUUGAUCGCCGAAGAUUAGUUGGUUCAGAUGGAACAUCAGUUUGUGAGGCUGCAGAGACAUCAUCCGCCGGAAUAUUUGCUUGCAAAAAAUCAGGUCCUUCAAGUAUACUUGAUGAAGGAAGACUGGAAAUUGCAUUGUCCCCAUCUGAGCUGAUAGGUGCAUUGAUACUUGAGGAUGCUAUAGGAGAUAUCAUUUGUGGAAGCAUCAUCAUUGAUCCUUGUGGAGGAUCGUCUUCAUGCAGAAAGGGACGAGAAGAUGUCAGGGGAUCAUCAUGCUGAUAUGAUGGUAGCCUAUCCUUGAAAGGGAAGACAUCUUCAUGAAAUGUGACAUCUCUGCUGACAAAGAAUCUGCCAGUAGAUGGAUCAAGAACCAAGUAUCCUUUUUGAAGGGUAGAAUAUCCCAUAAAUACCGCAAGAAAGGCACGNNNNNNNNNNNNNNNNNNNNNNNNNNNNNNNNNNNNNNNNNNNNNNNNNNNNNNNNNNNNNNNNNNNNNNNNNNNNNNNNNNNNNNNNNNNNNNNNNNNNGGACGUUUUCCAAACAAUGACUCGAAUGGAGUCUUUCCACUCAAAAUUCGAGAUGGCAUUCUAUUGAUCAGGCAUGCUGCUGUGACCACACAGUCUCCCCAAAAAAUUUUAGGAAUUGAAGCUUGAUACUUAAGAGCUCGAGCGACUUCUAACAAAUGACGGUGUUUCCUUUCUACAAUCCCAUUUUGUUGGGGAGUAUAAACACAAGAGCUUUCAUGAAGAAUGCCAUUGGAAAUGAACAAUGAAGAACAUUCAUGAUUAAAGAAUUCUCGUGCAUUGUCAGUACGAACCCGUUGUACGGAUUUGUUAAAUUGAUUUUUGAUCAGGACAAUGAAAUUUUUGAGAUGUGAAAGAACUUGGGCUUUGGAUUGCAUAAGAAAAACCCAAGUUGCUUGAGUAUGAUCAUCUACAAUAGUAAGAAAGAAGCGUGACCCAUCACGAUGAGAGGUGUGAUAUGGGCCCCAAAUGUCUAUGUGCAAUAGAGAGAAGGCUCUAGUAGCACGCGAUGCACUUUGUGGAAAAGACAUUAUAGACUGUUUAGCUAAUGGGCAUAUAGGACACUUAGGAUGAGGAAAAAUGGCGCUGUGGCCUAGACGCUGAUGAGAUAAAAAAGGUAUCUUUAUUAUGAUUGGCAUUACAUAAGAUGCUCUUAUUGAAUGAAAAAUUCUUUGGAAAUGCCGUCCAGAAAUAAAGUCCCUCGAAAUUCCUACCUGAGCCCAUCAGUGUCCUAGUCAAAGGGGCCUGGAAGAGACAAGUGUCAAAAUCGAAAAUGACCUGACAGAAAUUGUCUUGACAAAUCUUGGAUACAUAAAUGAGAUUGAACUGAAAAUUCAGAAUGAAGAGGACAUUUUUUGGUGUGAUGGAAGAGCUCAGUUUAACAUCCCCAAUUUUAUCUACUGAAAUAUCACUACCAUUUGGGAGGCGAACGGAAGUGUGAUUUGAGGAUUUUUCUAAUUUAGAGAAGAACCGUUCAUCACAGACUAUAUGGUCACUAGCACCUGAAUCAAUAAUCCAUGCGUUGCUCGAAAUAUUGCAGUUCAAACAAUGAGAAAUACCUGCAUAGCUAGGCAUCUUUUCUUGAAUGCCCAUCUGACUUAAGGUCCUCAUGAUUUGUUGGAGUUGGUCAUUGCUGAUGGGUUGAUUUACCUUAGCAUUUGUUGCUAUAGAAUUUCCAAUAGAAAAUUCUCAUUCCUUCUUCUCCCCUGGUCUUCCAUGCAAUUUCCAACAAUUUUCUUUGGUAUGAUAAGGUUUUUUGCAAUAAUCACAAAAUUUACCUUUCCAUUUGUUUGAAUUAUUUCUGGUCGAAGACGUGGCAAAAUUUGGGCCGUUGGAUCGCUUUAAAACGGACGCUGAUGGUCCGUUCGAUCGCGGUGCUGCAAGGGCGAAAUUUGAGCCGUCCGAUCGCGCAAAAGAACCUCCACUGUCCGAUCGCGCAAAAGAACCUCCACCGUCGGAUCCGAAGAUUGGAUCUCGGCCAUUCAAUCCGCGCGAGCUGCCCGAGCCGUCCGAUCUCCCGAAAUGAUCCUGGCCGCCCAUUUGAGACAUAUAAAAAACCUCAUCUUCUUCCUUCCGAAACCCUAGUGUUCCUGCCCUUUUCGAAAAACCUCCAUGGUCGGACCUUGAAGACCCGAGCCGCUGCUCCGACGAAGCCUUGGCCGCGAGAACGACGCGCUCGCCACUCUUCACAUACUCGGACGACGCCAGCUUCUGGGAUUCUUCUUGAACCGCAAGCUGGUAUAGGACNNNNNNNNNNNNNNNNNNNNNNNNNNNNNNNNNNNNNNNNNNNNNNNNNNNNNNNNNNNNNNNNNNNNNNNNNNNNNNNNNNNNNNNNNNNNNNNNNNNNNNNNNNNNNNNNNNNNNNNNNNNNNNNNNNNNNNNNNNNNNNNNNNNNNNNNNNNNNNNNNNNNNNNNNNNNNNNNNNNNNNNNNNNNNNNNNNNNNNNNNNNNNNNNNNNNNNNNNNNNNNNNNNNNNNNNNNNNNNNNNNNNNNNNNNNNNCACUCUGACCCGGGAAGGACCAGUUCGCCCCAUAUCCGGACCCGCUCCAGGUAUGUGAGAUGAGCUUUCCUUUAGCCCACCAAUCCUUCCGGGGUUGAUUUGAGGUGAAUUCUGUGUCGAAUCUCCUUGAUUUGGUUGGAUUGAUACAGGUACCCACUGAACGUAUGGUCUUGUGAGGGGAUUUCCAGGAUUAAAUCCUAUGUUGAGCUGUGCAGGCUGCACGAGGCUUGUUUGACUUUCUGAUGGAUUCAUCUGUCGUUUUGUAGGGAUGACUUGUGGAUUUCCCUCAAUCCCCACAGAAACGCCGGAAGUUGAAUCCUCAGUCUUUGACAUGAUUUCUCCCUAAGAAGGCGUUGCGGAAGCUAGGCCAAGGCGGGAGGCUCUGAUACCAUGUCAGAAAAAUAGAAAGCUUGGAAUUUUGGGAGAAUUGUAUAUUGCUUUUCUAUAUUCCUUUCAAUAUGUAAUUACGAUCUAUUUAUAAUACAGAGAGUCUAAAAUAAUAAAGGAAUAAAAAUAUACACAAUAUCCCAAAAGAUGUACAUAAAAUAUUCCCUAUCAAUUAAGAUCAAUCGACAUCAGCAACGGUAUCUUCAACAGUAGUAACUGUUGUUUUCAAUUAAGUUUGCAUCGGAGAAGAGAUUAUUUUGUUUUGCUACGCUUGUCGGAUAUUGCGCAGGAUAUUGUCAUUUUCUUAGCACUAGCAACGUUGCGUUCAGACAAGGCGGCAUGGAAUUAUUUGCUUAGCUGCACAUCGCACGACCAUACAUUCAUGGACUGUUCCUCAGGAAAGCAUAUAGACAUGUGGCAGAUGCAGAACAUUUCACGAGAUUAAAAAAAAAAGAAAAUAAUUUUUAAAAAACAAUACUUUCGACUUCAAAACGUGCCAAUCGAACGCCUGCUAGUCCCGCCUAUAAAGCUCGGCUCACCCAACGGCUUCGUUGUCGUCUCGAACUGUCCAUUCUCCAUUCUCUGUUCUUGCAUCGACCUCGAGCUAGAGGAUGGCCCGCAAUGGCGUCGUCAGACGGUGAGGAGGAUCAAGUUGGGGUCGUAGGGUCUCAAGGUCUCGGCGCAGGGGCUGGGCUGCAUGGGCAUGUCUACUUCGCCGGCCCUCCCAAGCCCAACCCCGACACGAUCGAGCUUGUCCACCACGCCGUUGAAUCUGGCGUUGCCUUCCUCGACACCUCCGACAUCUAUGGCCUUAACGCCAAGGAAGUCCUCCUUGGAAAGGUCGGUAUUUAUUUUGUAGAUAUAAUUGAAGAUCUUGAUCGUGACGCCAAUCCUAAUUGCGGACUAAUUGANNNNNNNNNNNNNNNNNNNNNNNNNNNNNNNNNNNNNNNNNNNNNNNNNNNNNNNNNNNNNNNNNNNNNNNNNNNNNNNNNNNNNNNNNNNNNNNNNNNNNNNNNNNNNNNNNNNNNNNNNNNNNNNNNNNNNNNNNNNNNNNNNNNNNNNNNNNNNNNNNNNNNNNNNNNNNNNNNNNNNNNNNNNNNNNNNNNNNNNNNNNNNNNNNNNNNNNNNNNNNNNNNNNNNNNNNNNNNNNNNNNNNNNNNNNNNNNNNNNNNNNNNNNNNNNNNNNNNNNNNNNNNNNNNNNNNNNNNNNNNNNNNNNNNNNNNNNNNNNNNNNNNNNNNNNNNNNNNNNNNNNNNNNNNNNNNNNNNNNNNNNNNNNNNNNNNNNNNNNNNNNNNNNNNNNNNNNNNNNNNNNNNNNNNNNNNNNNNNNNNNNNNNNNNNNNNNNNNNNNNNNNNNNNNNNNNNNNNNNNNNNNNNNNNNNNNNNNNNNNNNNNNNNNNNNNNNNNNNNNNNNNNNNNNNNNNNNNNNNNNNNNNNNNNNNNNNNNNNNNNNNNNNNNNNNNNNNNNNNNNNNNNNNNNNNNNNNNNNNNNNNNNNNNNNNNNNNNNNNNNNNNNNNNNNUUAGACAUUGCUUUAUGUUAUGAAGUACCUACCAAGGCUGCGGCCAGAGAACUUGGCUAACGCAAAGUUAUUCGACCAAGUGAAUGAAAUUGCACAAAGAAAGGGAUGCACCCCAUUGCAGUUAACCCUCGCGUGGGUACACCACUGGAGUGAUGACGUUUGCCCGAUGCCCGGCACGAUCAAGAUCGAGAAUUUCAACCAGAACAUUGGAGCUCUGUCAGUGAAGCUUUUGCCAGAAGAGAUGGCCAAGCUCAAAUCAAUUGCUGAUAUGGACAAUGUCAGGCGUGAGAAUUAAAACCACAUUUGAUACUAAAUUAUGCCUAGGUAGAAAUUCAAAACUCCACCUCCCGCUUUUCAUGUGGGAAGUUUGGCCCCACCUCGCGCUUAUGGAAAGAGUAAUCACGAAGACAUCACAAUAGUUCAAUUGACGUGAGCAGGUACGUCUUCCCUACAUGGUAAGGGUCGUCACUGGGCGUGCAAUUGACGUAAGCACGUGCGUCUUCACAGCCACUACCGCUCCCCUCCUACUCAUCGUAGCUUCUGCCACUCCCCUCCUAUAAAUCUCGGCUCGCCCGACGCCUUCGCCAUCGUCUCGGUGCAUUGCAGGGAACGAUCGAGCUCGAGCUAGACUACGGCAAUGGCGGCAUCGACGACGACGACGGUGAGGAGGAUCAAGCUGGGGUCGCAGGGCCUCGAGGUGUCGGCGCAGGGGCUGGGCUGCAUGAGCAUGUCCGCCUUCUACGGCCCUCCCAAGUCCGAGCCCGACAUGAUCGCCCUCAUCCACCAUGCCGUCGGCUCCGGCGUCACCUUCCUCGACACCUCCGACGUCUACGGUCCUCACACCAACGAAAUCCUCCUCGGAAAGGUCGUUCUCUCAGUCUCUCUUUUGCCUCUGCAUGAAUUAUAUAUGCUUAUGGUUUUACGGAAAUUUGCUUCAUCGAGCAGGAUGCUCUGAUCCUGCGCCUUGGUUUUCUGAUUUCGGGGUUGAUUUUGAGCAGGCACUGAAGGGAGGGGUGAGGCAGAAGGUGGAAUUGGCGACCAAGUUCGGAAUCAGAUUCGCGGACGGGAAGAGGGAGAUCCAGGGCGAUCCGGCGUACGUGAGGGCUGCUUGCGAGGCCAGCUUGAAGCGGCUCGACAUCGAUUGCAUCGACCUCUACUACCAGCACCGUAUCGACACUCGCGUCCCCAUCGAAGUCACUGUAUGGAUCCCUUAUCAAACUUUCACCUCGCUUGAGACUUUCUCUGAGCCAUAUGAUGCAUCGUCAUGUUGUUACAAGUUUGUUGAAUUUUGUUAAAUGACACUUAAGUCAGCUGNNNNNNNNNNNNNNNNNNNNNNNNNNNNNNNNNNNNNNNNNNNNNNNNNNNNNNNNNNNNNNNNNNNNNNNNNNNNNNNNNNNNNNNNNNNNNNNNNNNNUUUUAUAUAUUUUAUUUCCGAAAUUCUCAAAAUAAAAGACAACAUUUGAAUUUACUAACAAUUAAUAAAAAUUGUUGGAGAAAUCUUCCUGGAGUAUUUUGAAGCUGACAAAACGUUUCCAUCAGUCUAAUCUGAAGAUUUGCAGACUCUACUAUUUAAAGUCUGAAGACCUCCGGACUGCCAGAUUCAAGAUUCAAAGUCUAUUCUCAUUGACAGUUUCUAGAUCGUCGAAGAAGGGUUAUCCAGAACUUGAUGUUUCAUUAAGGAUUUGACCUUAUCGACUGGAGAAGAUCUCUUGGCUGGAUAUGUCAUAACAGAAUCCUUUAUUUGAUCAUGAUUGAUUCAGAGAUUAAGGAUCUGAUGAUUGGCGAAGUAUACUUGGUUCUACUUAUGGAAACCGAGAUCCUAAUUGUAUGGGCGAGCAAAAUUGAUGGGCUAUCGACAUGUUCCUUUAAUAGCUCGAAUGAUCUUCCUAAUUGAUUUCGUCCAACGGGUAGAUUGGAGGAAUUCUUUUGGUAAGUGCCAACGGAUAUGAUGGCAUAAAGGAGUAUAAAAGGAAGACGUUCCAGUUGUUCGAGUGUGUACACGAUAGAAAAAUUCCAAAGUCUGAAGCUCUUUGUUCUUAGUCAAUUCAUUUACUGAGCAAAAUCUUGUACACAAAAGAGAGUAUAUACUUUGAGAGACCUUAAAGAAGUGUGGUAGAGGUUCUACACUGUGGAAUCAAGGAAGAGACUUGAUGUAACAUCUCUUUUGUUCAUAGUGAAAUCUAGCCGGUGGGCUGUUAGUGUGGAAGAGUGGAUGUAGGCUUGAAAUAAGCCGAACCACUGUAAACCUCGUGUUCAAUUUUCUCUUUCCUACUCUCUGCUUUACUUUGAUCAUAAUUCAUCCUGUUAACCAAAGAAGAACUUCCUUCUAUUGUCUGCUUAGUAUUGUUCUUAUAUCACGAAGAAUUAUUUUUACACACCUACUCACCCCCCUCCAUGUGCUUAUACUAGCUAUCUCAAUUGGUAUCAGAGCUUGUGUACUCACUUUGUUUGAAGUGUUUUACUUCAGAGUUAAAGAUCCAUAACUAGUAUGUUAACUCCAAGGCUGGUAGAAGGCCAAAGCAAUACCAGACCGCUUUACUUUGAUGGAAAGCAUUACAAUAUAUGGAAAAACAAGAUGAAGGCGUUCCUAAGAUCAAAGGAUCCUCUGGAAUGGGACGUUGUUGAAAAAUGAAUCAUUCCUAAAGCUGCGCCUAUCUCAGAGAGAGAAAAAUAUACUGUUGAGUCUAGUAAAAUGACUCAGGAAGAGAUAAUCAAGAGACAAGCUCUUGAUACAAAAGCAAUUUAUUUUUUAUAUUGUGCAUUGUCACCUACUUAAUAUAACAAAAUAUUUUCUUGUUUUACAGCUAAAGAAGUCUGGGAUAGAUUACACAUCACUUAUGAAGGAACUGAUCGAAUGAAAGAAACCAGAAUCAACAUUCUGCUCGGUCAAUAUGAAGCAUUCAAAAUGAAAUCUAGAGAAUCUAUCACUGACAUAUUUAGUCGUUUUACAGAGAUUGUGAAUGGCCUUGAAAAUCAAGAGCAACCAAUUUCUGAUCCCAUAAAAGUAAACAAGCUUCUUUGUGGACUCUAUAAGGAUUGGAAUAACAUAAAGACCUUAAUAAGAGAGACACAAAAAAUUAUGCCACUUUCGGUCGAUGAAUUGGUUGGGACUCUUCAGUCUUAUGAAGUAGAGCGAAUCAACGAAGAUGAAGAUCCUUAAGGUAAGAAAUCCAUUCCAUUAAAAUCUAAUGAUAAUUCUGAUGUCACAGAUUCUGAAGACGAUAUGGAUGGCGAAGAGCUUGCUCUCAUGAUAAGAAAAUUCAGAAAACUGAACAGAAAAUGAAGAAGAUUCAAUCCAAAGAAACAGAGUUUUCAAAAGCAACAGACUAAGUCUGUUGAGGAUGAUGAAUCAAACAAAGAUGUAGUCUGCUUUGAAUGCAAGAAAAAUAGACACAUCAGACCCAACUAUCCUCUUUUGAGGAAGAAGAAAGGAAAAUCUGAAAAAUAUUGAAAGGCUCUUAAAGUAGAAACCUGGAGUGAUAUAGAGUGUGAAGAAAGUGAUGAUGAUUAUGCCAAUAUAUGUUUGAUGGCACAAUCGGAUUCAGAUUCAAACUCCGAGACAAACUUAGAUUCAGACAGUGAAUUUAAGGUGAGUAACUUUAAAAUCCCUAUUAAAGUUUCUAAAUACAUUGAUGAAUUGUGUUUCAGUCUUAAGACUUCUCUUAAAAGGAUUUCCAAACUUAAAAAGGAAAAUUCUGCACUAAAACAACAAGAAAAUGUUUUGAAAGAAAAUGUCAAAGUUUUAGACAAAAAUGUUUCUACCUUGAAAGAAAAUGAAGGCAAUCUUUCAAAAGAAAAUGCAUUCUUGAAAAAUGAUAUCUCAAAUAUUUCUAAAUGAUUUUCUAUAGGAUCUGAGAAACUAGAAAAAAAUUCUUUCUGUUCAAAGACCUUAUUUCAAUAAAUCUGAUUUGGGAAUGUCUGCAUAAACCAUUCAUUUAAUUGAUUUUCCUAAAGUAAAGGAAAUAAUUAAGCAAAGACCCACAAGAGAUGCUUACAAAAAUCAUUUUAAAAAGAUCUUUGUAAAACUAGUAGGUCACAAUGCUCUCAGAUGUUCAAAGUGCAAUAGUGCAAAUCAUUUUGAAAAAGAAUGCCCUAUGGUUUGGAAACUUGUUAAGAAAGUAUGGGCAAAAACCGCAUGUCAUACUAACACCAAUGGACCCAAGAAAAUAUGGGUACCAAAGAAAGUUUGAGUUUCUUUUUUAAAUGCAGGUCACUAUCAAGAAAAAGGUAAAAUGGUAUCUGGAUAGUGAUGCUCAAGACAUAUGACAGGAGAUUCAAAUUUUUUGUAAAGCUCGUUCAAGUAAAUUGUGGAAAAGUCUCAUUUGGAGGGAACGGCAAAGGAAGAAUUGUGGGAUUUGGAACUGUAAAAAUUGGAAACCUCACAAUAAGUAAUGUUUCCUUAGGGGAAGGACUCAACUACAAUCUGCUCAAUAUCAGUCAGCUGUGUGAUACCGGUUUCAAAAUCAAUUUUCAAGAGGGAAUAUAUUCAGGAACCAGUAAAGAUUCUACUCAGUCAUUCAUGGGUCGAAGACAUGGAAAUAUCUACCUCUUGGAUGUGAAACCAGAUGCAUCACAAUGUCUAAUCUCAAUUCAAGACAAAGCGAACUUAUGGCACAGAAAACUUGGGCACAUCAAUAUAAAGCAGAUAGCCAAAAUUUCAGCAAAAAGGCUUGUUCGUGGUUUACCCAAUCUAUCAUACCAAAAGUCUGAUCUAUGUACACCAUGCAUAUUGGGAAAGCAGGUAAGAAAUUCCUUUAAACCAAUAAAUCAAGUUUCCACUAAUCGUGUAUUGCAGCUUCUGCAUAUGGAUCUCUUUGAACCAACUAGAACUUAAAGCAUUGAAGGUAAGAAAUAUUGCCUAGUAACUGUGGAUGACUACUCACGAUUUACUUGGGUAUAUUUCCUGGUAAGUAAGUCUGAAACCUUCUCUUACUUUAAAAAGUUUGCUAAAAAUGUUCAAAAUGAAAAAAAGGGUAUAUUAUUUCAAGCAUAAGAACAUACCAUGGAGGUGAAUUUGAAAAUCAAGAUUUUACAAAGUUUUGUGAUGAAUCUGGUUUUCAGCAUGUGUUCUCCUCUCCAUAUACUCCAGAGCAAAACGGAGUUGUGGAAAGAAAGAACAGGUCGCUUCAAGAAAUGGCUAGAACACUUUUAAUUGAAAGUAACAUCUCUUCACGUUUUUGGGCUGAAGCCGUUUCUACAGCAUGUUAUAUUAUUAAUAGAGUUUUUCUAAGACCAAUUCUAGAAAAAAAAAACCCCCUAUGAGUUAUUCAAAGAAAAGAAGCCUAUUGCUUCAUAUUUUCAUGUGUUUGGAUGUAAAUGCUUUAUAUUGAAAAAUGCAAAUGAUCGAGUUGGCAAGUUUGAAGAAAAAUCAGAUGAAGGCAUCUUCCUUGGAUAUUCAACCACAAGCAAAGCAUAUAGAGUCUACAACAAGAAGACUCAAUCUGUGGAGGAAUCAAUGAAUGUCAAAUUCCAAGAUUCUAUGCAAAAUGAAUCUAUUCAGACUCAUCUUGAAGAAUCUGAAUCUGCUCUAGACUCUACAAAGUCUAAAUCUCAGCAAGCAGCUCAGACUUCGAAAGACCAUCAUCAAAUGAUUGAUGAAGAUUCAAAUGAAGAAAGUGAUCAUCAAUCUGAUAAAUCGACCAGUAACUGGAAGCAUAAGUCCAGUCAUCCCAAAGAUCUCAUUAUUGACGACAUUAAUGAAGGAAUUCGCACAAGAUCCAAAAGGCGCAAAUAGUCUAGUGCUGUGACUCUUAUUUCUGAAAUAGAAUCCAAAAGCAUAUAAGAAGCUUUAUCUGAUGAAAGCUGGAUUGAAGCUAUGCAAGAAGAACUCAGGCAAUUCAGCAUUAAUGAUGUCUGGGAGUUGACUCCUAAACCGAAAGGUAAAUCUAUUAUUGGAACUAAAUGGGUUUUCAGGAACACGAUGAACGAGAAAGGAAAUGUCGUAAGAAACAAAGCAAGACUCGUGGCCAAGGGAUAUACGGAAGAAGAAGGGAUAGACUAUGACAAGACUUACGCACUAGUAGCAAGGUUAGAAGCAAUUCGAUUAUUACUUGCUUUUGCUUGUUAUAAGAAUUUCAGGUUAUUCUAAAUGGACAUCAAAAGUGCUUUCCUGAAUGGAUUUAUCCAUGAGGAAGUCUAUGUGGAACAACCAUCUGGGUUUGAAGACCCAAGGAAACCAGACUCAGUAUUCAGAUUGAAAAAUGCCUUAUAUGGUUUAAAGCAAACACCUCGAGCUUGGUACGACAGGCUGAGUAAGUUUUUAAUUCAAAACGGCUUUGUCAAAGGUAAAGUAGACACUACUCUGUUCAUCAAAAGAGAAAACAAAAGUUUUAUGCUUGUUCAAAUAUAUGUUGAUGAUAUUAUUUUUGGAUCCUCUAAUGAAAGUCUGUGCAAGAAAUUCUUUAAGUCUAUGCAAGAUGAAUUUGAAAUGAGCAUGAUGGGUGAACUAACCUUCUUUCUUGGACUUCAAGUGAAACAAUUGAAGAAAGAAACUUUUAUUCAUCAAGAAAAAUAUGCUAAUGAUCUUGUAAAAAAAUUUGAACUUGAAAAUUGCAAAAAGACUGAUAUACCAAUGUCAAGCUCUUUGAAGAUAGGCAAAGAUGAAUGAGGAAAGAAAGUUGACCAGAAGCUAUAAAUGAGUAUCAUUGGUUCACUUCUUUAUCUUACUGCUUUUAGACUUGACAUUUUGUUUAGUGUUUGCAUUUGUGCUAGAUUUCAAGCAGACCCAAAAGAAUCUCAUCUAAGUGCUGCCAAGCGUAUUAUCAAAUACAUUGCAUCAACUCCGAGCAUUGGUCUCUGAUAUCCUAAAAAUGGAGACUUUACUCUUCUCGGAUAUUCAGACGCAGACCUAGCUGGAUGCAGAGUUGAUAGAAAGAGCACCUCGGGUACCUAUCAACUACUUGGAAGCAGGACAGUAUCUUGGUUUUUAAGGAAGCAAAAUACAGUAGCUCUUUCUACAGCAGAAGCAGAGUAUGUAGCUCUUGGAAGUUGUUGUUCACAAAUUCUGUGGAUAAAACAAUAGCUAAGAGACUUUGGAAUUGAAGAUUAAUGCACGGAGAUUAACUGUGACAAUACCAGCGCAAUCAAUCUCACUAAGAAUCCAAUUCUUCACUCAAGAGCAAAGCAUAUAGAGAUUCGACAUCACUUCAUUAGAGAUCAUGUUCAAAAUGAAGAAGUUUCGAUUCAGUUUGUUGGCUCAAAGAACUAACUGGCAGAUAUAUUUACAAAGCCUUUGGAGAAAAAUCAAUUUGAAAUCAUUCGUUCCAGACUCAACAUCUUGAAGUUUGAAGAAGUUAAAGUCUAGAGACUCCUAGACUCAAACGAUCAGGAUUUUCUUUCCUUGGAAUCUCUCAAAGACUGUUAAAAAUGUCUUCCCAAAGAAAGUCUUCGAGGAUCGCAAGUAGGGGACCACAGCAAAUGCGUGAGGGGCCUACGCACUUCGAUCUCAACGAAGAAGAAGAGUUUCCUAGUCAGUAGUAAAGCCUACAACAUUCUUAGCAGUGUCCAUCUUCUCCAUCUAGACAACAGGAGGUUGCUCGACAAGAAAAGGAAGAGAUAAUUGAAGAUGCAAAACCUGUAAGAGUCUAUAAGCCUUCUUUUACCUACACGUUUUAUCGUGCUUUAAAAAGGGGUGGAACUCCUUUGAGCUACAUUGACGAAUUUCUGAAAGACAAAGGGUACAAAAAUGAAACCUUCUUUUUACACAUAAUGGAGUGUUUGGGAAUUGCCCCUGCUGGAUCAGCGGAAGAGGCAUUCGCAAAUAUCCCAAUCGAUCAUCGUGUUGGAGGGCUGAAUCAGAUAGAUGGGAAUGAUGAUGACAAGUUGUACAGUCAGUUUCAACCGAGAAUGGGUGUUGCGGCAAAAAUUCGGGGAAAAAUGACAGACUUGUUUCGAUCGGAGGAACAAAAGCAUCUAUACUCUAAGUUGUUGAAGUGUGGGGUAAUAAACCCUAGAAGUGUAGACUUUGAUUUCCUUGAUGCUGUGAAUGUUAAAUUGAGGGAAAAAUUUAGUCUUCUUCAACUUGAACAGUUCUGUUCUAACUCUACAGAAGCCUAUGCUGAACUCACUACUUAUUUCUAUUCAAAUCUUAGUUUCCUAGAUGCGAAUAGAUUCUUUUUUAGUGUCCGAGAUCAGGACUAUGUGGUGGAUGUAGAUAUGUUGGUUGAUGUGAUUGGGGUUGAGAGAGGGAGAUAUCAACCUAUCAAUGUCUCUAUUACUCGUACUACGUUGGAACUUAUUAAGGAUAAAAGAACCGAGGGAAAGGUUUCCUACUCAAGGAUGAGUGCAUUCAACAUUCUGCUUCACAAGAUUGUGAUUAAUUGCCUCAGACCAAAAUCUACUUCAAAGACUGAUGUUUCAAACUUAGAGGCAAAGCUGAUGUAUGCCAUUAAUGCAGGGAAAAAAGUUAUCUCUUCCACAUACUAUUAUGUUCCACAUGUAUAGGGCAUUGGUGAAGGACAAGGGUCAACUUCCUUAUUCAGCUCUUGUGACAAAGUUAUUCAGACAUUUGAAUGUUCAGCCUCCAUGAAUUCUUUGUGUUCGAUCGUGCGAUCAAAUGGUGGUGGGACUGAAAAUGGUCUCUAAAAUGCGUCUGAAGGAACUCAACAAGGCAUUGGAAAAAUUCAAGGAGAAAACCCCUGUUAAGUCUCAUCAAGUCUCUUCAGCUACAAAGAGAAAAGGAAAGGAGCCCAUGGUAGCUCCAUUCAAGAAAAGAAGAGCUCCCAUUGUUGAGGAUGAAGAUGAUGAGGAAGACAUCACCAUUUCUGCUAUGGCAUUGAAGAACUUGAGUCGUUCUGUUCCAGAAUCAAUGGAGAGACAAGAAAAGGACACAGAUGAGACAGAAUAGAGGACUGGAGAAAGAGAAAAUUUGGAAGCAGAGGAGAAAGAAGCAGAGGAAAGACAAACAGAGGAGAGAGAAGUAGAAGAAGUAGAUGAAGAGGAGGAAAGAAUUAAAGAAGAAGAAGAGAGAGGAGAUCAAGCGGAAACAGAGCAUGAGGAUCACUCUUCUCCACCUGAAGGCAUGGAAACAGGGGGAGAUCAUGAGAAAAGAAGAAUGUCCUCAUAUCAUGCUAUCAGUGAGGGAGUCAAUCACUCUCCAGCAAAUCCAUAGGACAUCUAUGCCUCUCAAUUUCCUGAAGAGGGACAUGAUGUUUCAUCGCCCAAUCUGCGUGACCAUGCUGAUUUGUCAUCGUCUGCCUUUACUCCAUCUGAUCGAGCAGAAGCCAAUACGCAGACUGAAAAUCAGCAUACUUUCGUAGAAUUCUUGAUGUUCUCUUGGAAAUGCGGGGUCACAUUUAUGCUCUGGGAUACGAAGUUCAGAAUUUGUAGAAUGCGGGUCAAGCUUCUUCAGUAUCCUUGAAUAAUCAGAUCCAAGCCAUUUCUCUUCAGAUUCAGGCAAAUGCUAAGGGUGAAGAUGUGGCACAACUGAAUGAGGACUUGAAAAAGCUAAAAGGCAUUGUCCAGUCAAUGGGAGAUUUCCAGCUUGUUCGUGUUCCCAAGCAUUCUUGAAUCCAUUCUUUUUCCAUCUCAACCUUUUUUAUGAUGACAAAAAAGGGGAGAGAUGCGAGAUUUGAAACUUUGAACUUAAUCUUGUUGAACUUUGGUUUUUGAACUUUGGUUUGUCUUGAUGUUUGACUUGACUUGACUUGUGUGUCUGGAUGUGGACUGAAUUUGGGAUUUGGAUUUGACUGCUUAUUGACUACUUAUAUUAAGUACUAUUGAUAUCUUAUGAAUGGCUUCACUCACAUGAAAGACUAACCUAUUUUCUGUGGUUGCAAAUUCUAGUGUUAUCAUUAAGCUAUUUAUCUUUAUAAGAUAUCCAUAUUUGCUUGAGUAAUAUUUUGCAGGUCAAAGUUAUUCAAAUCUGCAGGAAAGUUUUGUCACCAUCAAAAAGGGGGAGAUUGUUGGAGAAAUCUUCCUGGAGUAUUUUGAAGCUGACAAAACGUUUUCAUCAGUAUAGUCUGAAGAUUUGUAGACUCUACUAUUCCAAGUCUGAAGACCUCCGGACUGCCAGACUCAAGUUUCAAAGUCUAUUCUCAUUGACAGUUUCUAGACCGUUGAAGAAGGGUUAUCCAGAACUGGGUGUUUCAUUAAGGAUUUGACCUUAUCGACUGGAGAAGAUCUCUUGGAUGGAUAUGUCAUAACGGAAUCCUUUAUUUGAUCAUGAUUGAUUCAGAGAUUAAGGAUAUGAUGAUUGACGAAGUAUACUUGGAAAGUUCUACUUAUGGAAACCGAGAUCCUGAUUGUAUGGGCAAGCAUAAUUGAUGGGCUAUCGACAUGUUCCUUUAAUAGCUCGAAUGAUCUUCCUAAUUGAUUUCGUCCAAUUGGUAGAUUAGAGGAAUUCAUUUGGUAAGUGCCAACAGAUAUGAUGGUAUAAAGGAGUAUAAAAUGAAGACGUUCCAGUUGUUCGAGUGUGUGCGCGAUAGAAAAAUUCUAAAGUCUGAAGCUCUUUGUUCUUAGUCAAUUCAUUUACUGAGUGAAAUAUUGUACACAAAAGAGAGUAUAUAUUUUGAGAGACCUCGAGGAAAUGUGGUAGAGGUUCUACACUGUGGAAUCAAGGAAGAGAUUUGCUAUAACAUCUCUUUUGUUUAUAGUGAAAUCCAGCCGGUGGGCUGUCAGUGUGGAAGAGUGGACGUAGACUUGAAAUAAGCCGAACCACUAUAAACCUCGUGUUCAAUUUUCUCUUCCCUACUCUCUGCUUUACUUUGAUCAUAAUUCGUCCUGUUAACCAAAGAAGAACUUCCUUCUAUUGUCUGCUUAGUAUUGUUCUUAUAUCAUGAAAAAUUAUUUUUACACAUAUUUACCCCCCUCUAGGUGCUUAUACUAGCUAUCUCAAAAAUAAAAUAAAAAAUAAUAACAAAGGAAUUAGUGUUAAUUAAACCGUGGCGGGCAUGUGUGUUAAGUGUGCCAAAACCGCACAAUUAUUCGCGCACCCGCACGCUGGUAUGGUGGGGUCUAGCCCCACCCAAUCAUUCCUUGAUGUACACAAGGAAACCAUUCACUUAUAAAUCAGCCCACUUCUUCCCACUUUUCCUAUUUGAGACUAGAAAAACACACUCAGCUUGUUUCGACAAACAAACCUCCAACAAUCCCCCACUUUGUUUGUAAAACAAAGAUUUUAGAAUUAAAAUUUAAAAAAACAUACAGCCAAAAUUUUAGUAAGAUUAAUAUACAUACAUAAAGGUCUCUUUCGAGUUAAACCUUUAUUUAGUGCAAGUAUAUCAAAGCUCUAUCAAAGUGACAAGUAGCUCGGCUUUAAACUUGUACUUUAAUGUAAUAGAACCGGACAUACCGCAUAUACACUAACCUCUUGUUUAAGUGAGAAGUUCUAUAUUACUCCGCACUAUUUGUGGCAUCCCAAAAUUCAAGUCAUCCUCUAGAGAAAUUAAAGCCUAUAAUUAGGUAAUGAAAUUACCUAUGGUCUAUGUGUUAGCCAUUAGUUUUCUUAAGGCUAGGUGUUAUUGUGCUUGUGUUUAUGAAUUUUGAAUUUAGGACUAUAGGAUAAAUUAAUAAUCUAUGCUUGGCCAUGCACUUUAUAAAUUAAAUUUCAAUAAAUGAAAUGUCAAAAGACUUUGGCCAUGUGGAAAAUUUAAAGUUUAAAAUAUUUAUAAAAGAAAUUUUAAAAAAAAAAGAGAGGAAAAUGUCAAUUUUUAGGAUGGGCGUUAGGCCCAUUGGCCUAAGCUUUUAAUGGGCCAAGAUGGCCGGCCCAAUAGAGGCCCAAAAGGAGUGGUCGACCAGCCCAUUUGAUGGCCCAAGGUUGGCCCAAGAAGAAGGCCCAUUAACCUUGCAUGUCAUCCAACACUUGUCCUCUCCUUGUUGCCACUUGUUCUCCUCAUGAGAACACUUGUCCCCCCAUGCAAAGAGGGGAUACAUGCAAUAUAAAAGGGAAGGAAAGGAGAGAGAAUGGCUGGUUAGCCAUUCGGCCAAGAGAGAAAGGGAGAGAGAGAGAGAACCGUGCGAGAGAGAGAGGAAGAGGGUGCGGCCGAGAGAGAGAGGAAGGAGGUGGAGCCGAGGGGUUGCCGCCGUCCGUCCGCCGUGUUCGCCGCCGUACACCAUCGUUUCCUUCGGUUUAGAGGCAAGUGGAGUCCUAUAACUUCUCUUGCAUGUGUGUAUAUGGUUUGCAUUUUCGAUUUUGGGUGAUAUUUGUGAGAAAAACCGAGGUAAGGGUUGGUUGUUUUCAAGCCGUGUGACUGUUCUUGUUCGGGUUGUGUGAGUCCGAAACUUGUUUGACCUUGCAUGUGUGUUUAAAGACAGAUUUUUGCUUUGAUGUCUUCAUGGAAGUUGUAGCUAACAUCUUGUACUAUAACAUACUGAAAUUUCGUGAAAAAUGAUGGAGAUUUGAGGGGUUAAAGCCUUGUUAUACGGAGACCUCAGAUCUGUGAUGUUUUCACUGACUUCUUGUUGGAUUCUUGGUUGCAUGUUGGUUUGUGAUGAAAAUAUGACUUCGGUGUCUUCAUGAAAGUUGUAGGUAACACCUUAAAAUACAACAUACUCAAAUGUUAAGAGAAAUGAACAAGUAUAGCCUAGUAAAUCGGCUAGAUCUUGGAGACGAUGAUUCUGGUGAUGUGUUCCGAGACACCCGAGACUUAAUGGACUUAAAUGGUGAUCAUACCUUGGUUAUUUGACCUAGAUCUCUUCAUGAAACUUGUAAAGGACACCUUGAUACAUAACUAUCCGAAUUUCAGAAGAAACUAAAGAGAAUAGAUGGGUGAAAUCUUAAUAUUUCGGAGAUGUGUAUUCUGGACGAUGCGGUAAGGGUUCCAGAAGCUUCAUGAGGUUGAAUAAAAUAAUCUAUAAGAAAUUUGACUUGUAGUUCUUCAUGAAAGAUGCACGAAAAUUUCUUGGAUAUCACCCUGUAAAAUUUCGUAAUUUUUGGAGGCCGAAUGGAUAUUUUAAUUGAAUUUAUUCGGAAACUGUGCAUUUGGUUUAAAUCCGAGAAUCAUAGGAUGUUUUGGAAAAUUGUGGAAUUUGGUAAAAAUUUCAUAUUGGCCAUGAAUUUUGCAAGUAAAUAUCAUCCUAUGGGUUUGUUUAAUAAUUUCUUGGAUUUUUGUAAUCUUGGGAAAUUAUUGAUAUUAAAAUAAAAUAAUAAAAUAAUAAUAAAAUAAUAAUAAAAUAAAAUGGAUUUAUAUUUGGCCAUGGAUUCAAUUCUAUUUGUGUGGCAUAUGUGUGAUGAGGUCUUUGCACAUGUAUUGGAUUGAGAUGUAUAUGUGAUAAAGUUUUGGUAUGCGUAUGACAUGGUCCUUGUACAUGUAUUGAAUUGAGAUGUGUAUGGGAUAAAGUUUUGGCAUGUGUAUGACAUUCGAAUUGAGAUGCAAGUGUGAAUUCCAUGUCAAAUGUGAUUUGUUUGAUACCAUGCCAAUUGCCAUGUUAAAUUGAGAUAAGGAAAUGGUAUAUGUGGGUGAUGAUGCUCGGUGGCCUAGUGGCGUAAUUCCGGAGAUUCCCCGGGAGUGUCGGGAUGCCCGGUGGUAUACGGUACGUAAUUCCAGGGGAGGCCUGGUGGUAUGUCGGUACAUAAUUCCGGAAGCCCUGUCGGAGGUCUUUGCCCGAAGGGAAUGCCUCGCGAUGCCAGAUUUGGGUGCGAGAUGCCUGGCUAGAAAGGUAAAGGCCAGAUGUCCGGUUGUAUCUGGAUACAUGCCCGGAGGUUUUUCUCGCAUGGGAUGCGAGUGUAAAUAUGGGAUGAAUUGAUGAUCGAGGAAGGGUGAUGUGGUGAUCAAAUUUAAAGAUAAAGAUGAAAAUUAACUCAUGGCAUGAUAUGGUAUGAUAUGCAUGAUGAUAUGCAUGAUGAUGGUGAUGAUAUGUGAUGUGAUAUGAUGAUCACCCAUGGUAUGAUAUGCAUGAUGAUAUGCAUGAUGAAAUGAUGAUAUGUGAUGUGAUAUGAUGAUCACCCAUGGUAUGAUAUGCAUGAUGAUAUGUGAUGUGAUAUGAUGAUCACUCAUGGUAUGAUAUGCAUGAUGAUAUGCAUGAUGAUGAUGAUAAUAUGUGAUGUGAUGAUAUCAUGAUAAGGAUGACAUGUAUGAUAUAGUGAUGCCAUGAUGAUGAUUAUUAUGAUGACAUAUGAUGAUAUGAUAUGCAUGAUGAUAAGGCAUGAUGAUGCAUGAUAGUAUUACGCAUGGCUGCAAGGUAAGUUACGCCUGCAAUGCAUGUAUGAUUUGCAUGAUGCAUUGAGUUGUUAUUGGAUUCCUUUAUCUGCUGAGUGGUUGUACUCACCCCUUUUGGGGACCAACAUUUCAGAUUAGUAGAUGGUUUGAACGGUUGGAUGUGACCGUGAGGAGGAGGAUAACAAGGGAAGGAGCUUUUGGACGCUGACACGGAUCGAUGGACUUAAAGUGUAUGACUGUUUGAGGAAAUGUCGGUCAUCUUUUGGAGUGUAGCCGAAUAUAAAAGACUACGGCAUUUUGAUGUACCGAUGAAUGAUGUCCAUCUGAUUUAAGUAAAUAAAAGUGUACGGCUUUUACUUAUAAAUAUUUAGUAGGUGUGCAUCGUUUUCUGAAUAUAGGGAAGUGAGUUGUUGGACGUGCUUCCAUAUAUGAAUUGCGCAAGGGACCUUUAGUUGAAAAGAAAAAAAAAAGUGUAAACCCCCAUGGUUGUAUGGACCCGCUGCAAUUGAAAUGGUAUCAGAGUAACAUGUUAAUAGGGAAAUUGAAAGGUAGAGCGAACUGUGGCGACCCUAACGGAUCGGGGGCCGUCGAGGGGUGUCACACUAUUAUGGCCUUGUGCUUGAUCAUGUUUCAUGAGCUCUCUAGAAAGCAACCCUAACUUUCGUAAGAAGUGGCACCACUUCUAAGCUCAUAUAGGUGAAGUAUCUACCAUGUGUUUCUGUUACUAUCAACACACUACAAACUUGUAUCAUACUUUAUUAAGAAUUCAAUUCAGCCUACAAAACGUAACAGACGAUACUGACUUCUCAUAUCAGGGCUAUGUCAGUAUCAAACAAUCACAUUCAAUAACUUGUUCUUACCCAUUAAACCUUGUAACUAGUGAUGUUCUAGAAAAAUGUCGGGUUACCAUUUUUGGUGAUUUCAAUUAAAGGGUUUCAGCCCAAUUUCUUGUGAGGUCGUUAUUACCAUAUGGGCUUGGUNNNNNNNNNNNNNNNNNNNNNNNNNNNNNNNNNNNNNNNNNNNNNNNNNNNNNNNNNNNNNNNNNNNNNNNNNNNNNNNNNNNNNNNNNNNNNNNNNNNNNNNNNNNNNNNNNNNNNNNNNNNNNNNNNNNNNNNNNNNNNNNNNNNNNNNNNNNNNNNNNNNNNNNNNNNNNNNNNNNNNNNNNNNNNNNNNNNNNNNNNNNGAAUGCCGUCGAUGUGUUGACGAAGUGCGCUCUAAGGAGGGGAGGCGAUGCCUAGCUAGAUAUCAGUAGAUAGCCGGAUUGUGAGUAGGCUAUGCCCUGGUGUGACAGUGGAUAAUGAUGAUUUGGAAAUGCUUACUGUGAUUGCGAAAUUGAGUGAAAUUGAUUGAGUUCCGAUAAAUUGCCUUCUUGUCAUUACUUGUGCUUAAGUGAUAUGAAUUGUACUAACCUGCAGGGAGGCAAGAAGGUGAGGUAAGUCUUCUUGAUGUCGUGGCUAAGCUACUCUGGGGCGUAUUUACUUUCUAAUAGGGGUUUAGGAGGGGUGAACUUGCUGAGACAAAGUCUCAUCCCGGUUUGGGGAAAAAUAUUACAGGACCGUAGAUGGCGAGACCCCCGGAGAUGAGUGGCCUGCCGACGGAGAUUGACCAGACGACGGAGAGUGCUCCUGACCCUGGGAGUCCUUGGGUCUAUCAGUUGGUUAGGACCCUCAUCUGGGUCGAAGUGAGCGUGCACGGCAGGGUACCGUACAUGUUUAGGGCAUGGUUUCGUACCGGAGCAGAUGGUGUUAGGGUCGGCCCCCUAGAUAGCAUGGAUAUUCCGCUGGCAGUCUUGAAUGCCAUCCUGGGUGAAGGUGUGGCGGACCUUCCUACCGGUGGAGUGAUCAACGCCUCGCCCCCGCAAUCUUGGGUGUCAGAUCCGGAGGACGUGGGAUCGUCCAAUGGGGCUGACCUGUAGUUCUAGAGUGGUUGAUUGUUUUCUUUUUGGCGGACUAAUCCUUGCUAUGUAGGCUGACCCCCUUUUGAUGCACAUAAACUCUAACCCAUUUUUGGUGCAUAUAGCCUCCGGAUCCUGUUGAUGUAUGUAAGACUUGGAUUGUUGAUGAUGUAUGGAAUUAUGCUCGUUUGAUUUUUGAAUUAAUUCUUCCUGCUGUCCUAUCCCGCGAGUUUUUGUCAGGGGUUUUAUAAUACAUUCCGCUUGCGCAUUAAUAAAUGAAUGGGUCGGCGACUUAUCCUGGGACGUCGCAUUUGAAUGACCAUGGUGGGAUGUUGACGCGUUCGAGGUUCGGGGCGUGACAGAGUGUCUAUCACUUCCGCUUCAUCCUACAUCAUUCUUGGAGGAUCGGGGAAUGUCUCGUGAAUGCUCAGGGGUAGUGGGUUUUGCCUCCCUUGCCCUUGGUCAAGUGGCAAGCUCCGCCUUUCUUGUCUUUGUCGUUCAGAACUUCCCCCAUCUCUUCCAUGGUAUCCUAAACCAGUAGGACAGGACCUCUGAGGGGCUUCAAUGGGGCUUUGAAUGCCCUGACUAUUUCUCCCAAGACCAUUACUAGGGACGAAGCCAUUCCCAACCAUUACUCUUCCCACCAUGAGGGCAGCAUCUGAUACUUUAGGGGUAGGCGGUGAUGAACCCCGAGAAGCAUGUAUGGUGGACACCAAUUUAAAUGAGUGGUAACUUGAUUCAAAUUGGGAAUCCAGCUUUACAUAGGGGAUAUCCGUCUCAUGAUAGAUCCGGUGGUCUUCCUCACUAUACAUAGUGACCAACUUCUUUUCAAUCACAAAUUUCACAGCUUGAUGUAGACUUGAAAGCACUGCUCCAACAGUAUGUAUCCAGGGACGACCUAGCAGAAAAUUGAAUGCAGUAGGGAUGUCCAGCACUUGGAAGGGAAUGUUGAAAACGACCGGUCCUAUUUGUACAUCGAGGUGGAUUUCCCCGAUCACCUCCUUUUUUGUUCCAUCGAAAGCUCGCACCGAAGUUUUCGCGACAUGUAUCCUCGACGGGUCUACCUUGAGGCGGUGAAGAGUGGCCAAUGGAUAAAUGUUCAGAGCAGAUCCAUUAUCGAUGAGCACUCGGGACACAUGGGAAGACUUGUGCUUAACGGAUAUGUAGAGUGCUUUGUUAUGUCCCCUGCCUUUGAGAGGGAAUUCCUCAUCAGAGACGCAAUCAAAUCCUUAAGAUGACCGAUCCCAGAAUUCUUCCAGCUUGUCUGCUUUUAUAAUCNNNNNNNNNNNNNNNNNNNNNNNNNNNNNNNNNNNNNNNNNNNNNNNNNNNNNNNNNNNNNNNNNNNNNNNNNNNNNNNNNNNNNNNNNNNNNNNNNNNNGAUGCACGGGGGACGUCAUCAAGAGCUCGAGUAAGGAGAUCUGAGCGGGCAUCUUUGCGGUUGGUCAAACCACGUUAUACUCGCUUGCUUUGAUUACGGCCAAAAACUCCUUAGCUUCUUCAUCGGUGACCGGCUUUUCAGGUUGAGCACUUGCUUGACCAUCGGUCUAACCAGACCUUGUUACAAGGUCCACAUCCAGGUCAUAGGACCAAGGCACUGCCUUAUCAUUGACAUACUCAUACGGCUGAGGCACCUCUAUCACUAUCUUUCGUCGGAUGCAUCUUUUAAUGGGGGCAUGUCCACAGGCGAAGGAUCAACCUCUUUCUUGUUAGCAUCAAGUGCAGCCUGCUCCUCCUCCCAAUCGAUGAUGAGGUGGGAAAUAGUAGAAACUAUACAAUUACGAUCAGCAUACACAAUGAUACCGUCAUCCACCAUUUUGGCAACUCUUUCUCUCAUCAUUGAUAAAGAGACAUCUUCUUGACCUCGGUAAUACCCAGCUCUCACUAGCCCGUUGUGGGCAUCUGCCACGUGCACCUUUGAGUUCCUGAUCCUUCCGACUUCAGGUUCCAGGAUAGUAUUCACCGUACCCUCAUGCUUUGGUAACAUAUUUUUCUAGACGUUUGGCUAAGCAAUUUGGAAUGGAAAGGCCUUUGUGUCCAGGAGAUUUUGGAUCUUGUGCAUGAGGGUGAAACAUUCAUCAGUUGAAUGUCCCAGUUUACCGUUAUGGUAGUCACAUUUCUUUGUCGGGUCGUAACCGCAAAUGCCUUUGCGGUUAGGGCGCUUUGGUUUACUAGUAAGCAAACCCUUCUUUCGGAGGACUGUCAGCACUUGGGAUGGAGAUCCGGGGAGAGGGGAGAACUGCCUUCUAUUAUUUGCUUAGGCGAAUGAUCGACGGCCAGCGGGUUGUUGCUGUCUUGGGUUCACUCGUAUAGUCGGGGCACGUUUGGCACUUUCUUGGCUAUAAGCCAUGUUCACAUCCACGGCUGCUUCCUUCUCCUUCUUAGCAGAGAACCUUUUAGUAGAUGACUCAGAAAACCAUCAUUCCCUUAUCCCCAUCUCGAUCUGUUCUCCAACAGGAAUAAGCUGAUUGAAGCUCUCGACAUGCGUACUAGCCAUUGGGUUACGAAACUCAAAUGGAAGGGUCUUCAUGAAUAACUUCAUCAACUCCUUGUUGGUGGGCUCAGGAGUAAUUUGGGUCGCCAGGUUUCUCCAUCUCACAUCAUACUCUUUAAAUGACUCGCUCCUUUUCUUUUCCAUCCGCUCCAAGUCUUCUCGGGAAGGCGCGAUGUCCAUGUUGAACUUGUGCUGUUUGAGGAACGCGUCUGCUACUUCGUUCCAGGUUUUGAGGAGGUUUACGUUCUUCAUCACGUAUUAGUUUAGUGCGGGCCCAAUCAAACUCGCAUGAAACGAUUGGAUCAUAAGGGACUCAUUUUUGACGUGCUGGGCUAUGCGCACGUGGUACAUCUGCAAAUGAGAUUUCGAACAAGAUGUCAUGCCAUACUUCUCGAACUCUGGCAUUUUGAAGUUGCUUGGCAUUUUGACCUACUAAUAGACCGAGAGGUCGGAUGGGAGUGAGCUUUGAGACUCCUGUAGCUGUCUCACUUUCUCUUCUAGCUUUACAACGCACUCAUCCUGAUCUGCCUUGGGAACAUUGUCAAGCUUGGCCUUUUCAACAAGGACCAUGUCAUCUUCCAACUCAAGCAUUUCGUCGUCACUCAUUUAGGCCCUAUUUGCCGGCCUUGGAGCUCCAAUUUCAGGGAGAGCGGGUGCAGGAUUUGGAUUCACCCGGAAGGAUUGAAAUUGAGCUGUUAUAAGCUGCAUAGAGACAGCUAGCUGUUGGAGUUGCUCUUCCAUGGAGGACAUAUGAUCAUGCAUCUCGUUUUGGUUAGCCAUUUUAGCCUUUGAUCACGUAAUAAUGAGAGGGUGCGGAGGAUCCGUUAUUACCUAAUUUGAAUAAAUGAAUACACAUAAACACUUCAUAUAAAACAAUGCCGGUCCAUGACGAAAGUCUAACCGCUUUUAUUCAUUACUGAAAUUGUUUGACAUUAAUAAUGUAAAGAACUUGUAAAAUCUUAAACUAAUCAAGUAAACAACUCAACUUCCUAAACAUUAAGCUAAAGUAAAAAGACCGAAUAGAUUCAAGCCACUUUAUUUGGCCCGAUCUAUAAACACAUGGGAAGCCAACGCUCGAUGUAAUUGCCUCUUCUCCUUAGCGUCCUUCUUGGCUUGCUCUUCAAGUUCUUCAAUCUUCCUCUUGUGACGGUUAAGCUCCGCUUGCCGAGUGGGCUUCUCGGUCACAUUUGGCACAUUUGGGAGAUACUCGGCUGGAAUCUUGUGCUGACGAAUGUAUCGAGCUGUGGCAUAGUAAGUUUUUUCAUUCCUCUCAAGCUCAUCUUCAGGUAAGAUCAACUUUUGUUCACGACAUGCGAGCCAAGCUUGUUCGAUACAGUGAAGUUCUUUCUUGUGAUUGCCAUCCAUAACAGUGAAUUGGACUUGGAACAAACCCAGCUUGAGAGGGAGCAGUAGAUCUUGCACAACUCGAUACUGACGAGCCACUUGGAGUGGGUAGUAGGAAAUGGCACCGAUGAUCCCCAAUAGCGGGAUCGGCUCAUCAUCGCCACGAGAGAGAUGUGCUUUGNNNNNNNNNNNNNNNNNNNNNNNNNNNNNNNNNNNNNNNNNNNNNNNNNNNNNNNNNNNNNNNNNNNNNNNNNNNNNNNNNNNNNNNNNNNNNNNNNNNNAGCCUUCGUCAAUUUCUAGGUGUAAGUAAUGUACUUGACCUCACAUAGGACAAUUGUUAUGGUACCAUCUUUAAUCAAUUGUCUCACAUAUUCAUGUCUUAGACUAAUGUGUCUAGACUUACCAUUAUAGGUGCUACUAUAGGCUCUUGCCAAAGUGGCCUGACUAUCAUAAUGGAUAGAAAUAGGAGGCAUAAGACUAGGCCAUAAUUUGAUAUCUAACAACAAAUUUCUAAUCCAUUCAGCCUCUUUCCCAGCUACCGCCAAAGUAAUAAAUUCAUAUUCCAUUGUUGAGUGAGUUAUACAUGUCUGUUUCUUGCUUGCCCAAGAUACAGCACCUCUAGCUAAUGUGAAAAUCCAUCCAGAAGUGGAACGCUCAUCUCCCACACUUGUAAUCCAACUAGCAUCAGUGUAUCAUUCUAAUACAGCCGGAUAAUUAUUGUAGAACAAUCCUAAAUUUUUAGUUCUCUUAAGAUAACCAAAAAUUCUAGUAAUAGCUCUCCAAAAUUCUGUACUUGGAUUACUAAUAUACCUACUCAACUUGCAUACAAAAUAAGCAAUAUCGGGUCUAGUACAUUGCAUCGCAUACAUUAAAGACCCUAUAGCACUUGCAUAUUUUAGUUGUGCCACCGCUCUACCAGUAUUAUAAUUUAAUUUAAUAUUAGAAUCAAAUGGAGUACUUAUUUCUUUAAAACCAAGAUGUUGAAAUUUAUUUAAUAAUUUUUCAACAUAACUACAUUGGCUUAAAGAAUAACCCACACUAUUUUUCUUAACAUUAAUACCUAAGAUAAUAUCUACUUCACCCAAAUCCUUCAUUUUAAGCAUGGAAGUUAGAUACUUCUUAAUCUCAUUAAUUCCAGUAAUAUUUUUCCAAAGAUAAGCAUAUCAUCAAUAUACAAGCACACUAAGACAUCAUAGUCUUUAGUGAAUUUAGAGUAUAUACACCUAUCGGCACUACUAUUGAUGAAACCAUUUGACAAUAUGACCGAAUUAAACUUUUCAUGCCACUGCUUAGGAGCUUGCUUAAGUCCAUAAAGAAACUUAAUCAAUUUACAUACUUUUCUUUCAUUUCCAAGAAGAACAAAACCCUCCAAUUGUUCCAUGUAAAUCUCCUCAUUUAAGUCUCCAUUUAAGAAAGCAGUCUUAACAUCCAUUUGAUUAACACAAAGAUCAUAAAUGGAAGCUAGAGCAAAAAGAACUCGAAUAGAAGUUAUACGUGCAACAGGAGCAUAUGUAUCAAAAUAAUCUAUUACUUCUUUUUGUCUAUAUCCCUUAGCUACAAGCCUAGCUUUAAAAUCUUGAAUAGAACCAGCAGAAUGAUAUUUUCUUCUAAAAACCCAUUUGCACCCAAUAGGUUUUGAUCCUUUCGGUAAAUCUACUAAUACCCAAGUAUUAUUGUACAUAAUUGAGUACAUUUCAUCAUUCACAGCUUCUUUCCAAAAAGAAGCAUCUCUAGAAGAUAUAGCAUCAUUAAAGCUUCUAGGAUCAUCUUCUAAAUUUAAUACUAAAUGAUAUUUAUUUAUCACGUUAUUAUAUCCAUCUCCUUCAACAAGAAAAACAUGAGUUAUAAAAACAGGACCUAAGUCUUUUAUUUUCCUAGCUCUAGUACUUCUCCUUGGUUCAAUCAUGUCUUUAGAAUCAUUCGUUUCUUUCUCUUGACAAUCACUUUGAGUUUCCAUAGAUCUUGAAUUAUUUUCAGUAAUUUCAGAACUUGUAAAACAUAUAUUCUCAAAGAAUUCAACGUCUCUCGAUUUUACUAUGACAUUAGACUCUAAAUCAAGAAGUCUAUAAGCUUUACUAUUUUCAGCAUACCCAAUGAAAACACUUUUGAUAGCUCUAGGACCGAGCUUUGUUCUCUUAAGAUCUGGAGCUCGGUAGUAUGCCAAACACCCCCACACUUUAAGAUAUGAUAAAUUUGGCUUUCUACCUUUCCAUAUUUCAUAGGGGGUUAUGUCAUUUUUCUUGGAAGGUAUUCUGUUAUGAAUAUAGCAUGCAGUAAGUAAUGCUUCUCCCCAAAGAUUAAUUGGUAGAUUUGAAUUUGAAAGCAUACAAUUAACCAUUUCUCUAAGAGAUCGAUUUUUCCUUUUAGCUAAACCAUUUUGUUGUGGAGUAUGUGGUGCUGAAUCUUGAUGAAUAAUAUCAUAUUCUUCACAAAACGAAGAGAAUUCAUUUAAGAAAUAUUCUACACCUCUAUCUGAUUGUAGAACUUUAAUUUUCUUUUCUAAUUGAUUCUUUAUUCAGCCUUAUAUUUCAUAAACAUGGUAAAUGCUUAAUCCUUUGAUCUCAUGAGAUAAACAUAUAAGAACCUACUGCAAUCAUCCACAAAGGUAAUAAAAUACAUUUUACCUCCACGUGUUAGCAUACCAUUAAAUUCACAUAUAUCACUAUGAACCAAAUCCAAUAAAUUCGAAUUUCUUUUAACACUAGGAAAUGGCUUCUUAGUAAAUUUUGACUUAGCACAUAUUUCACAUUUAUCAAAUUCGCCAUUAAAAUUUAUCAAGUCUAAUUUUCUCAUAUUCUUCAAAUAACGAAUAUUUAUAUGUGUCAACCUACUAUGCCAUAAAAUUGAAGACUCGACAAUAUAAGAAGAACUAUAAAUAUUAUUAUUGAUACUCAGUUGAUACAUGUCAUCAUUGGCAUAACCCUUCCCAACAAACAGCCCAUUUUUCGACAGGAUAACCUUGUCGAAUCUAAACAGAAUCCGAAACCCCCUUUUACAAAGUAAAUCAAUAGAAACUAGGUUCUUCAUAAUUUCAGGUAUAAAUAACACAUUAAGAAGAGUUAUCUUCUUUCCAGAAGUGAAGUCUAUCUCCACCGUACCUUUUCCAGCAACCUUUACAAGAGCAUUAUUCACCAUCAGGACCUCUUAAACAUUUGAGUCAACAAUCUCUUCAAAUUGCUUGAACAUGUACUUGUCCUUGCACACAUGGACUGUUGCUCUAGAAUCUAUCCACCAACCGGAUUGGACAGUGGUAGAUUUAAUUUCAGAAACCAUAGCCAUCGCAUCAUUGAUUUCAGAAAUUUCCAUGUUUGAAAACAUGUUUGAAAUCAUGGCUACAUAAUUUUCUUCAACCAGAUUUGCAUCUGCUUUCACCACCGGAAUGUUCUUGUCCUUUGAAAUGCUCUUGCGGUGAAUACAAUCCUUGGCGAAGUGUCCCUGUUUGCCACAAACAAAACAGCAACCCUUUUGCUUCUUUUGUGUUCUCUUGAAUUUAUGCCCCCCGCUUUUUACUUUGAAGUUCUGGCCGAGUUUCCGUUUUUUGUCCACAGCAUUCACCUUGGAAUUGUACAAAACAGAAUUAUCAUGUAAACGUGACUCUUCCUCAAUGCGAAGAUGUUUCUGUAUUUGCUCCAAAGUAAAGUCUCCCGACUUGUGAAUCAGCCUUUUUACAUAGUCUUUCUAACUUGGAGGCAAUUUCGCAAUAAUUGCUCCAACUUGAAAAGCUUCUGGAAUAUCAAUUUUGAGGGCAUGAAUCUUAUUCACAAUCACUUGCAAUUCAUGGACUUGUUCUAGCAAGGGUUCAGUAUUAAUAAACUUGAAAUCAAAAUACUUUGUGAUUAGAUAUUUGUUGGUACAUUGCUCCUCCGCUUUGUACUUGAAUUCCAGUGCAUUUCAAAUUUCUCUGGCCAACUUUAUUUCAGUGAAUAAGUCAUACAGACGAUUGGAUAGUGUGUUCAGAAUGUUUCCUCGACAAAGUAAUUCAUCCUCCGCACGUUUCUUCUUUUCCUUAUUAACCCUCUCAAUGACUUCCGCACUUAGCUAUCCUCCCUCGACAGUAGGCUUAGGAUCUUCUAUAGCCGCCAAGAGUUAGGAUCUAGUAGGUAGGAAAUCUUCAAAGCAGUGAGUAAGAACGUCAUCUUGUCUCUCUAGCGAGCAAAAUCGUUCCCAUCGAACCGGUCCAAUUUGACCAUAUCUUGAUUCAUAACUUUGAUUGUCUCCAACUCCAUUGUAGCAAACUAAAUCCUUAAAUUUUUUGUAAAAUUAUGGCUUUGAAAUUGGGUAGAACAAUGAAAUUGGAUCGAGUAAAAAAACUCGGACUUUGAGGCCCGAUAUUACUUUCUUUAAGGAUUUAUUUGCCCCACAACGUUGCUAAUGGUCACCAGCAAAAAUCCUCCAGGAUACAACAAAGUCUCGAAUGAGAAUACUAGAUAGCAAUUCAAGUAUUUCUCCAGGGUCUCUCUAAGAAACAAUCGAAAAAUUGGCUGCUGUUUUUCAGAAAGAAGACUCGAAAAUGACCACUCUUUUUCUUUUCGAAAAAUGACAAGUAUAUAUAUGAAACAGUCUUGCAACUCUUCGUGAAAAUUGCGAACAAACACGUCUUUUUUAAUAAAUUGUUCUGAUAAACAAAUGCGACUCUUCGGAAGAAAUCGAAAACGAACAAUUGCAACCCUUCGGGAAAAGUUGAAAACCGGAUAAGUAAUUUUCCAAAUGUUGUACUGAAAGAACACAAAUAAAAUUCGGAAUAAUUUUUUUAAUAGAAUUUCGAAUUUUCAUUUUAUAUAUUUUAUUUCCGAAUUUCUCAAAAAUAAAAGAACCUUUGAAUUUACUAAAAAUUAAUAAAAAUUAAUAAAAAAAUAACAAAGGGAUUAGUGUUAAUUAAACCGCGGGUGCGUAUGCGUGUUAAGUGUGCCAAAUCCGCGCAAUUAUUCACGCACCCACACGCGGGUAUGGUGGGGUUUAGCCCCACCCGAUUAUUCCUUGAUGUACACAAGGAAACCCUUCACUUAUAAAUUAGCCCACUUCUUCCCACUUUUCCUAUGUGGGACUACUAGAAAAACACACUCAGCUUGUUUUGAUAAACAAACCUCCAACACAUACUAGAGUGACGCUUUAUUCUCCCCCAACCAAGCAUUCAAUACUAACACCGUGUGCAACACACUCUUAAGACUAAAUGCUACACAUAGAUACAAAGCUUCGGUUUGUGUUUGGUUUGGUAGCGAAGUUAAGGAACAGUAAAAUGUUACCGAAUGUUCUCACGAAAGCGAAGUUGGGGAUAAAAUGCUGGCGCGGUUGAUAUGAGUGUCGGGGAAAUCGAAGGUUUCUUGUUCAAGUUUCACCACCUACGGUUCACGAGCUUUUAUGUAGCUCGAUACCUUCACUCAUGCCUUUGCAUUAUUAUAAAACAGUUGGAGAUAUUGCGUGGGUUUCCUAAAAUUAAAAACCACACUUCUAUUGUUUUUUAUUUGGAGUUAGAGUGGAGCAAUGUUGUUUUGUUUUGGUCUAGGAAAAUAACGCAAAUAGUCAUUAAACUUCGGUCCAAUGUGUUAUGUUCUUACUGAACUUUUAAUUUAUUUAGUAUGGUUGUCGAACUUUUUGUACAUGUUUAAUUUAGAUCCUAGGCUAGAUAAAUCCAAUGAUGCUGUGUUUGAUCGUUCGAACAUCUUUGCUAUAUGGGAUAAUGAUAGGAUAAAAAUCCCAUCUAAUAUUUCUUGACGUUCGGAUAUAACAUGAUUCAAAUAAAACAAAUUAAAAUGAGUGUUUGAUUUGUAUAAUUGAAAUUAAAAAUAAACCAUGGAAGUCGUAAAUACUAUUCAUCAUUUCCCAAUCUUCAUCCAUAUCAAGCACCCCCAUUCCAUGUGACUUCAAGGACGCUCGCUCCUUCUGUAACACCCCUUUCGCUGCCCUUGAUCAACUUGAUGGAAGUCGUAAAUACUAUUCAUCAUUUCCCAAUCUUCAUCCAUAUCAAGCACCCCCAUUCCAUGUGACUUCAAGGACGCUCGCUCCUUCUGUAACACCCCUUUCGCUGCCCUUGAUCAACUUGAUGGAUUACGCUCGCUCUACCUUUUUGUUGGAGAAAUCAUCUUGAAGUGUUUUGAAGUUGACAAAACGUUUCCAUCAGUCUAGUCUGAAGACUUGCAGACUUUGCUAUUUAAAGUCUGAAGACCUCUGGACAGCCAGACUCAAGACUCAAAGUCUAUCCUCAUUGACAGGUUCUAAUCCGUUGAAGAAAGGCUAUCCAAAACUAGAUGUUUCAUUAAGGAUGUGGCCUUAUCGACUGGAGAAGAUCUAUUGGCUGGAUAUGACAUAACGGAAUCAUUUAUUUGAUCAUAAUUAAUUCGAAGAUUAAGGAUCCGAUGAUUGGGAAAGUAUACUUGGAAGGUUCUAUUUAUGGAAACCGAGAUCCUGAUUGUAUGGGCGAACAAGAUUGAUGGGCUAUCGACAUGUUCCUUUAAUAGCUCGAAUAAUCUUCCUAAUUGAUUCCGUCCAACGGGUAGAUUGGAGAAAUUCCUUUGGUAAGUGCCAACGGGUAUGAUGGCAUGAAGGAGUAUAUAAGGAAGACGUUCCAGUUGUUCGAGAGUGUGCACGAUAGAAGAAUUCCAAAGUCUGAAGCUCCUUGUUCUUAGUCAAUUCAUUUGUUGAGCAAAAUCAUGUAAACAAAAGAGAAUCUAUAUUCGUGAGAAACUUUGAGGAAGUGUGGUAGACCAUCUACAUUGUGGAAUCAAGGAAAAACUGUGAUGUAACUUCUCUUUUGUUCAUAGUGAAAUCCAGCCGAUGGGCUGUCAGUGCGGAAGAGUGGACGUAGGCUUGGAAUAAGCCGAACCACUAUAAAUCUUGUGUUCAAUUUUCUCUUCCCUAACCUUUACUUUACUUUGAUCGUAUUUUCUUUUCUAUCAUUUGCCUAGAAUCGCUUCCAUAUCUCGAGAAAUUGUUUGUGCACCUAUUCACCCCCCUCUAGGUGCUUAUACUAGUUAUCUCAAUUAGUAUCAGAGCCUGUGUACUCACUUUGUUUGAAGUGUUUUAUUUCAGAGUUAAAGAUCCAUAACUAGUAUGUUGGCUCCAGGGCUGGUAGAAGGGCAAAGCAAUACCAGACCACCUUACUUUGAUGGAAAGGAUUACAACAUAUGGAAAAACAAGAUGAAAGCGUUCCUAAGAUCAAAGGAUCCUCCGGAAUGGGACGUUGUAGAAAAAUGAAUCAUUCCUAAAGCUGCAUCUGUCUUAGAAAGAGGAAAAGAUGUUGUUGAGUCUAGCAAAAUGACUCAGGAAGAGAUAAUCAAGAGACAAGCUCUUGAUGCAAAAGUAAUUUAUUCCUUAUAUUGUGCUUUAUCCCCUAUUGAAUAUAACAGAAUAUCUUCUUGUGUUACAACUAAAGAAGUCUGGGAUAGAUUACAUAUUACCUAUGAAGGAACUGAUCGAGUGAAAGUGACUAGAAUCAACAUUCUCCUCGGUCAAUAUGAAGCCUUCAAAAUGAAACCAGGAGAAUCUAUAAUUGAUAUGUUUAGUCGUUUUACAGAAAUCGUGAAUGGUCUUGAAAAUCAAGGUCAACCAAUUUCUGAUCCCAUGAAAGUAAACAAGCUACUGCGUGGACUCUCCAAGGAUUGGAAUCACAUAAAGACCUCAAUCAGAGAGACCCAAAGAAUCAUGCCACUAUCUGUUGAUGAGUUGGUUAGGACUCUUCAGUCUUAUGAAGUGGAACGAAUCAAUGAAGACAAAGACCCUAAAGGUAAGAAAUCCAUUGCAUUAAAAUCUAAUGAUAAUUCUAAUGUUACAGAUUCUGAAGACGAUAUGGAUGAUGAGGAACUUGCUCUCAUGAUAAGAAGAUUCAGAAAGUUGAACAGAAAAGGAAGAAGAUUCAAUCCAAAGAAACAAAGUUUUCAAAAGCAAUAGACAAAGUUUGUUGAGGAUGAUGAAUCAAACAAAGAUGUAGUCUACUUUGAAUGUAAGAAAAAGGGACACAUCAGACCCAAUUGUCCUCUUCUGAGGAAGAAGAAAGGAAAAAUUGAAAAGUAUCGAAAAGCUCUUAAAGCUGAAACCUGGAGUGAUACAGAAUGUGAAGAAAGUGAUGAUGAUUAUGCCAAUAUAUGUCUGAUGGCACAAUCGGAUUCAGAUUCAAAUUCCGAGACAGAUUCAGAUUCAGAAAGCGAAUUUGAGGUAAGUAACUUCAAAAUCCCUAUUAAAGUUUCAAAAUACAUUGAUGAACUGUGUUUUAGUUUUAAGACUUCUCUUAAAAGAAUUUCCGAACUCAAGAAGGAAAAUUCUGCUCUAAAACAACAGGAAAAUAUUUUGAAAGAAAACGUGAAAUGUUUAGACAAGAAUGUUUCUUCUCUUAAGGAAAGUGAAGAUAAUCUUUUAAAAGAAAAUGCAUUCUUGCAAAGUGAUAUAUCAAAUAUUUCCAAAAGAUUUUCUAUAGGAUCUAAGAAACUGGAAAAAAUUCUCUCUGUUCAAAGACCUUAUUUCAAUAAAUCUGAUUUGGGAAUGACUGCUGAAACCAUUCCUUUAAUUGAUUUUCCUAAAGUAAAGGAAAGAAUCAAACAAAGACCCACAAGAGAUGCUUACAAAAAUCAUUUUAAAAAGAUCUUUAUAAAACCAGUAGGUCGCAAUGCUCUCAGAUGCUCAAAGUGCAAUAGUGCAGAUCAUUUUGAAAAAGAAUGUCCUAUGAUUUGGAAACCUGUUAAAAAGGUAUGGGCAAAAACCACAUAUCAUACUAACACCAAUGGACUCAAGAAAAUAUGGGUACCAAAGAAGGUUUGAGUUUCUUUUUUAAAUGCAGGUCACUAUCAAGAAAAAGGUAAAAUGGUAUCUGGAUAGUGGAUGCUCAAGACACAUGACAGGAGACUCAAAUUACUUCAUAAAGUUUGUUCGAGUAAAUGGUGGAAAAGUUUCUUUUGGAGGAAACAGCAAAGGAAAAAUUGUGGGAUUUGGAACUGUAAAGAUUGGAAAUCUCUCAAUCAGCAAUUUUUCAUUAGUGGAAGGACUUAAUUACAAUUUGCUCAGUAUUAGUUAGCUAUGUGAUACUGAUUUCAAAAUCAACUUUCAAGAGGGAAUAUGUUCAGGAAUUAAUAAAGAUUCUACUCAGUCAUUCAUGGGUUGAAGACAUGGAAAUAUCUACCUUUUGGAUGUGAAACCAGAUGAAUCGCAAUGUCUAAUCUCAAUCCAAGACGAAGCAAACUUAUGUCACAGAAAGCUUGGGCACGUCAAUAUGAAGCAAAUAGCCAAAAUCUCAGCAAAGAAGCUUGUUCGUAGUCUACCCAAUUUAUCAUAUCAAAAGUCUGAUCUAUGUACACCAUGUAUAUUGGGAAAAGAGGUAAGAAAUUCAUUUAAACCAAUAAAUCAAGUUUCCACUAACCAUGUAUUGCAGCUUCUGCAUAUGGAUCUUUUUGGACCAACCAGAACUCAAAGCAUUGGAGGUAAGAAAUACUGCCUAGUAAUUGUGGAUGACUACUCACGAUUUACUUGGGUAUAUUUCUUGGCAAGUAAGUCUGAAACUUUCUCUUACUUUGAAAAGUUUGCUAAAAAUGUUCAAAAUGAAAAAUGAUAUGUUAUCUCAAAUAUAAGAACAUAUCAUGAAGGUGAAUUUGAAAAUCAUGAUUUUACAAAAUUCUGUGAUGAAUCUGGUUUUCAGCAUGUAUUCUCCUCUCCAUAUACUCCAGAGCAAAAUGGAGUUGUGAAAAGAAAGAAUAGAUCAUUUCAAGAAAUGGCUAGAACUCUUUUAAUUGAAAGUAACAUCUCUUCACGUUUUUGGGCUGAAGCAGUUUCUACAGCAUGUUACAUUAUAAGUAGAGUUUUUCUAAGGCCUAUUCUGGAAAAAAAAACCCCUAUGAACUAUUUAAAGAAAAGAAGCCUAUUGUUUCAUAUUUUUAUGUAUUUGGAUGCAAAUGUUUUAUACUGAAAAAUGAAAAUGAUCGAGUUGGUAAGUUUGAAGAAAAAUCAGAUGAAGGCAUCUUCCUUGGAUAUUCAACCACAAGCAAAGCGUACAGAGUUUACAACAAGAAGACUCAAACAGUGGAAGAAUCAAUGAAUGUUAAAUUCCAAGAUUCUAUGCAAAAUGAAUCCAUUCAAACUCAUCUUGAAGAAUCUGAACCUGCUUCAGACUCUACAAAGUCUAAAAUAGCUCAGACUUUGAAGGACCAGCAACAAGUGACUAUUGAAGAUUCAAGUGAAGGAAGUGACCAUCAGUCUGACAAAUUAACCAGCAACUGGAAACAUAAGUCCAGUCAUCCCAAAGAUCGUAUUAUUGGUGACAUCAAUAAAAGAAUUCGCACAAGAUCCAAAUGGCGCGGAGAGUCUAGUCAUGUGGCUCUUAUUUCUGAAAUAGAACUCAAAAGCAUAGAAGAAGCUUUAUCUGAUGAAAGUUGGAUUAAAGCUAUGCAAGAAGAGCUCAGGCAAUUCAGUAUUAAUGAUGUAUGGGAAUUGACUCCUAAACCAAAAGGUAAGUCUGUUAUUGGAGCUAAAUGGGUUUUCAGGAACAAGAUGAACGAGAAAGGAAAAGUCAUAAGAAACAAGGCAAGACUCGUGGCCAAGGGAUACACACAAGAAGAAUGGAUAGACUAUGACGAGACUUACGCACCAGUAGCAAGGUUAGAAGCAAUUCGAUUAUUACUUGCUUUUGCUUGUUAUAAGAAUUUCAAGUUAUUCCAAAUGGAUGUCAAAAGUACCUUCCUAAAUGGAUUCAUCCAUGAGGAUGUCUAUGUGGAACAACCACCUGGGUUUGAAGACCCAAGGAAACCAGACUCAGUAUUCAUACUCAAAAAGGCUUUAUAUGGCUUAAAACAAGCACCUCGAGCUUGGUAUGACAGACUGAGUAAGUUUUUAAUUGAAAAUGGAUUUGUUAAAGGUAAAGUAGACACUACUCUUUUCAUUAAAAGAGAAAGCAAGAGUUUUCUACUUGUUCAAAUAUAUGUCGAUGAUAUUAUUUUUGGAUCCACUAAUGAAAGUCUGUGCAAGAAAUUCUCUAAGACUAUGCAGGAUGAAUUUGAAAUGAGCAUGAUGGGUGAGUUAACCUUCUUUCUUAGACUUCAAGUGAAACAACUGAAUGAAUGAACUUUUAUUCAUCAAGAAAAAUAUGCUAAUGAUAUUGUGAAGAAGUUUGGACUGGACAAUUGCAAAAAGGCCGAUAUACCAAUGUCAAGUUCCUUGAAGAUAGAUAAAGAUAAAAGAGGAAAGAAAGUCGACCAAAAGUUAUACAAGAGUAUCAUCGGUUCACUUAUUUAUCUUAUUGCUUCUAGACCUGACAUUUUGUUUAGUGUUUGCAUUUGUGCCAGAUUUCAAGCAGACCCUAAAGAAUCACGUUUAAAUGCUGCAAAGCGUAUUAUCAAAUAUAUUGCAUCAACUUCAAGCUUUGGUCUUUGGUAUCCUAAAGGGGGAGACUUUACUCUUCUUGGGUACUCAGACGCAAACUUAGCCGGAUGCAGAGUUGAUAGAAAGAGCACCUCAGGUACCUGUCAACUACUUGGAGGCAAGACAGUGUCUUGGUUUUCAAGAAAGCAAAGUACAAUAGCUCUCUCUAUAGCAGAAGCAGAAUAUGUAGCUCUUGGAAGUUGUCGUUCACAAAUUCUGUGGAUAAAGCAACAGCUAAAAGACUUUGGAAUUGAAGAUUCAUGCACGGAGAUUAAAUGUGACAACACCAGCGCAAUUAAUCUCACCAAAAAUCCAAUUCUUCACUCAAGAGCAAAGCAUAUAGAAAUUCGACAUCACUUCAUUAGAGAUCAUGUUCAAAAUGGAGAAAUUACGAUUCAGUUUGUUGACUCAAAGAACCAACUGGCGGAUAUAUUUACAAAGCCUUUGGAGAAAAAUCAAUUUGAAAUUAUCCGUUCCAAACUCAACAUUUUGAGGUUUGAAGAAAUGAAAGUCUAGAGACCCUCAGACUUAGACAAAUAAGACUUUGACUAUAAGUUAUUCUCUCUCUCUAAUCUCAUCUUGAAAAGGCACGUUCAUCAAUCGUGUUUGAUUAUUGUUAUCUCAACCGCUAUCUUUAAUUAAUGAGAUUAUUGCAUCGUUUCCUUUAGAAAAAGGAGUUAUUUUGAAAUGACCAUUUUUCGAAAAAGGCAGUUAUUUUUUUAAAAAGGCAUCUUUUCACUUUCCAUUACGACGAUUGGUAUCCCCUCCUUUCGACUGUCUUAUAUACAGUCGGUUUCUCUUUGCUUAACUCCAAAACCCUAAAAAGCAUCAAUCUUCCAUUCCUGUUUUCUUCUCUUGUUUAAUCUUUGAAAAAGUUGUCAUCUUUCUUGGGAAAGUCAAGCAAAGAAUCUUUCAAAGACUAAGAAAGAUUUCGUAUUCAAGAAAGUCUUCAAGGAUCGCACGCAGGGGACCACAGCGAAUGAGUGAGGGGCCUACGCACUUCGAUCUCACUGAAGAAGAAGUGUCUCCAAAUCAGCAGCAGAGCCCACAACAUUCUCAACAGCGUCAUUCUCCUCCAUCUAGUCCUCAAGGUGUUGUUCAUCAACAAGAGGAAGAAAUCAUUGAAGAUGCAGAUCCUGUAAAAGUUCAAACGCCCUCUUUUAUUUAUAAGCUGUAUCGGGCUUUCAAAGGGACUGGUACUUCAUUGAACUAUGUCGAUGAUUUUCUUAAGGACAAAGGAUAUGGAAAUGAAUAUAUCUUUUUGCGAAAAAUUGAAAGUUUGGGAAUUGCUCGUAAAGGGGUGGCAGAAGAAAGCCUUGCGAAUAUCCCAAGUGAUCCUCGGGAUUGGGGAUUUAAUCCGGUAGAUGGAAAUGAUGAUGACAAAUUAUACAGCCAAUUUCAACCAAGAAUGGGAGUCGCGGCGGAAAAUCGAGAAAAAAAGGGAGAGUUGUUUAGAUCGAAGGAACAGAAGGAUCUAUACUCAAAACUGUUGAAGCGUGGGGUGAUAAACCCUAGGAGUGUGGAUUUUGAUUUUCUGGAUGCUGUGAAUGUGAACUUGAGGGAAAAUUUCGGUCAUCUUCAACUUGAAAAAUUUUGCUCUGACACCACAGAGGCCUAUCCUCAACUAACUGCAUAUUUCUAUUCAAAUCUUAGUUUUUUGGAUGCGAAUAGAUUCUCCUUCAGCGUCAAAGAUCAAGACUUUGUAGUAGAUAUGGAUAUGCUAGCAGAUGUGUUAGGAGUGGAGAGAGGAAGAUAUCAACGGAUCAAAGUUUCUAUUGCUCGUACUACACUGAAACUUGUUAAGGACAGGAGAACAGAGGAAAAGAUUUCCUAUUCAAGGAUGAAUUCAUUCAACAUCUUGCUGCACAAAAUUGUAAUAAAUUGCCUCAGACCAAAAUCAACUUCCAAGACUGAUGUCUCAAGUUCAGAGGCAAAGCUAAUGUAUGCCAUCAUCACUGGGAAAAGGUUUUCACUUCCUCACACUGUUAUGUUCUACAUGUAUAGAGCUGUGAUGAAGGACAGAGCUCAACUUCCUUAUCCAAGUCUUGUGACGAAGUUAUCCAGACAUUUGAACAUUCAGCCUCCGCAAAUUCUUUGUGCUCGAUCGUGCGAUCAUAUGGUGGUAGGAUUGAAAAUGGUGACCAAGAUGUGUCUGAAGGAACUAAGCAAGGCAUUGGAGAAAUUUAAGGAGAAGACUCCAGUCAAAUCUCAUCAAUUCUCUUCUAUAGGAAAAAGGAAAGGGAAUGAGCCCAUGGAUGCUCCAUCCAAGAGAAGAAGAGCUCUCCUCGUUGAGGAUGAAGAUGAUGAGGAUAACAUCACCAUUUCUGCAAUGGCUUUGAAGAAUCUCAGUCGAUCUGUUCCAGAGAAAGAGUCAGAACAGCAGAUAGAAGAAAGAGCAGAGAAAGAAGCAGAGGAAAAAGAAACGGAGGAAAGAGAAGAAGAAGAAGAAGAAAGAGAUGCUGAGAAAGAGAGAGUUGAAAAAGAAGAAGAAGAGAAAAGAGAUCAAGAAGAAGGAGAAAAUGAGGAGCACUCUCCACCUGAAGGCAUGAACACAGGGGGAGACCAAGAGAAAAGAGGAAUGUCCUCAAAUCCUGUAACCAGUGAGGGAGUCAGUCAAUCCCCAGCAGAUCCAGAGGAUAUUUAUGCCUCUCAGUUUCCUGAGGAAAGUCAUGAUGUUUCUUCGCCAAAUCUGUGUGAUUAUGCUAAUAUACCAUCGUCUGCAUUUACUCCAUCAGAUCGUGCCAAUGCUAGUAUGCAAACCGACAAUUCAGUAGACUUUCGCAGAGUAAUGGAUAUUCUCUUGGAGAUGCAAGGUCAGAUAUAUGCAUUGGGAUGCGAAGUUCAGAACUUGCAGAAUGCAGGACAAGCUUCUUCGGGUUCAUUGAAUGAUCAAAUCCAAGCCAUUUCUCUUCAGAUUCAGGCUAAUGCUAAGGGUGAGGAUGUUGCACGACUGAAAGAAGACUUGAAAAGGCUAGAAGGCAUCGUUCAGUUGAUGGGAGAUUUCCAGCUUGUUUGUGUUCCCAAGCAUUCUUAACUCCAUUUUCAUCUCAAUCUUUUUUAUGCUGACAAAAAUGGGGAGAGUUGCGAGGACUUGAAAAACUUUGAACUUAAAUUUGUCGAACUUUUGGCUUGUUUGGUUUGUGGUUUAUUUUGACUUGACUUGUGUGUCUGGAUGUGGACUAAAUUUGGGAUUUGGAUUUGACUACUUAUUAUUGAUUUCUUAUGGAUGGCUUUAUUGCAUACUGGACUAACCUAUUUUCUGUGAUUGCAAGUUCUAGUGUUAUUCAUUUAGCCAUUUAUCUCUAUAAGAUAUGCAUAUGUGUUUGAGAAAUGUUUUGCAGGUCAAAGUUUUCCAAAUCUGCAGGAAAGUUUUGUCACCAUCAAAAAGGGGGAGAUUGUUGGAGAAAUCCUCUUGAAGUGUUUUGAAGUUGACAAAACGUUUCCAUCAGUCUAGUCUGAAGGCUUGUAGACUCUGCUAUUUAAAGUAUGAAGACCUCCGAACAGCCAGACUCAAAAUUCAAAGUCUAUCCUCAUUGACAGGUUCUAAUCCGUUGAAGAAAGGCUAUCCAGAAUUGGAUGUUUCAUUAAGGAUGUGGCCUUAUCGACUGGAGAAGAUCUCUUGCCUGGAUAUGACAUAACGGAAUCCUUNNNNNNNNNNNNNNNNNNNNNNNNNNNNNNNNNNNNNNNNNNNNNNNNNNNNNNNNNNNNNNNNNNNNNNNNNNNNNNNNNNNNNNNNNNNNNNNNNNNNNNNNNNNNNNNNNNNNNNNNNNNNNNNNNNNNNNNNNNNNNNNNNNNNNNNNNNNNNNNNNNNNNNNNNNNNNNNNNNNNNNNNNNNNNNNNNNNNNNNNNNNNNNNNNNNNNNNNNNNNNNNNNNNNNNNNNNNNNNNNNNNNCCAGUUGUUCGAGAGUGUGCCACGAUAGAGAAUUCCAAAGUUUGAAGCUCAUUGUUUUAGUCAAUCAUUUGUUAAGCAAAAUCGUGUAAACAAAGAGAGUCUAUAUUCGUGAGAAACCUUGAGGAAGUGUGGUAAACCAUCUACACUGUGGAAUCAAGGAAAAGCUGUGCUGUAACUUCUCUUUUGUUCAUAGUGAAAUCCAGCCGGUGGGCUGUCAGUGUGGAAGAGUGGACGUAUGCUUGGAAUAAGCCGAACCACUAUAAAUCUUGUGUUCAAUUUUCUCUUCCCUAACCUUUACUUUACUUUGAUCGUAUUUUCUUUUCUAUCGUUUGCCUAGAAUCGCUUCCGUAUCUCGAGAAAUAGUUUGUGCACCUAUUCACCCCCCUCUAGGUGCUUAUACUAGCUAUCUCACUUUUGACUUCGCCACAUUGAGAGGCCCUUGGGUUUGAGUUCUCCGCUGGUCUAGCCAUCUUUACUUUCAACGCCUUUUCUUGCCUUUUCCUACGAUGAAUCCAUCCCCUUCGACGAGUGUCAAUACUGCAUUGAUUCCCAGUUACCGUGCCCCGACUUGUUCAGUCGCUUCAACAGCUUCCCCCGAGACAGCGUGCGGAUCCGGUUUGUGAGUGGUAGCACCAUCGGUACCACUCGCUCCGAGUGACGUGGUUGAGGAGCUCUAUCGCCUUGGCUGCCCCCUCUUUCAGAUCAUCUUCUUCACAGAGAAGAUGUCCAGCUUUGAUUGGGAUCACAAAGUUCCCUACUAAAAUGGAGUUAAGUGACAUAAGAAAGAGGCAGGGCUGACGAGCUCCGAUGCCACUUUUCCAAGGCAGCCAAAGGUGGUAAGCAGCUUGUCACUGGUUGUGACAGUCUGAUUUUUCGCUUCUGUUUUCAAUUAAUUCGGGCUUUUCGUCGACGUGCCUAUAGCGCUAUUCUCUGAGCUGAUCACUCAUGAGAUAACUUGACUAAUCGGGAAAGUUAUUAAAGAAUUUUGGUGCAACAGACUUGAAAAUUCGACCAGGAAUCGACUGCUCGACCGUGUUAGUCUACAAGGAUCAGUUCGGCACAGUCGAAAAUCUAUCAGAAAUCGGAAAUAGGUCGAUUCGAUAGAAAUAAAAUUAGGCUUGGGUGAUUCCAACUAAUUUACAAAUUUCUCGUCGAUCGGCACUAAACCGAUUUUUCUGUUGUUUUGGUACCCUGUGCUCGUAAUUGAAAUCUCGAGAUUUUUCACGACAAUCGAGAGUUGCUAAUGCGUCGAAAAUAUAUAUCGUGGCUCGGGAAUAAUCGACCACGGGUCAGUGCACCAAAAGUUCCCAAAAACUAACCGAUAGUUUAAGUUGUGCUAGAAAUCACAUUUUGACUGAAAUUAACCGAGGAAAUGAUGUCGAUUACAGAAAUUAAGAAUUGUCACAUGUCACAAUUCAUCCCAAGGACAUUGUUGCGUCUUCUCAAAAUUUACGGAUGAUGGGAAUUGCUCACGAAAUAUGCAAGAUCAGCAAAUUAGAAGAGCAAGGGAAUUGCCACAUUUUAAGUAGGAUUUUAAGACCUCUAAUGUGAAACAAUUUAAGAGGCAUUAUAAUUGGUUACUAAAGGACUUGACCCUAUUGAAUGGGAUAUUAGAUUGGUAAUUAAAUAAAAAGAGAGGUCUCCUCAAAAAGGAAAUUCGUAGGACUCCCUCUCUCCUACAACCUCACCUCAAUUUCCCUUGGUAUUUAAUGAAAAUUGACUUGAAAAGAUAGGGGGACCACUUGAUAAGGAAGAAACUCAUUCUCCAUGGAAAAGACUAUGAGAGUCACUUCAAAUUCGNNNNNNNNNNNNNNNNNNNNNNNNNNNNNNNNNNNNNNNNNNNNNNNNNNNNNNNNNNNNNNNNNNNNNNNNNNNNNNNNNNNNNNNNNNNNNNNNNNNNAAAUGUUUCAGCUAGAAUAGUAUUGACAAAACUUAUCCUAGCACACACUUGUUUGACCACCCAUGCGACAAAAGGAUUAAUGGCGCCCUUACGAAGAGGGAAAAUAACAAAUCUGAAAGAAGCUAGGAGGAAAAUCCUACUUUUUAAGAGAGUGUUAGCACUAGUAAAACUCUGAUCUAGAAAAGAAAAAUGACAUGCAAGACAAUUAUCUUUCAGCACUCUUUUUAUCAAAUUCUUAUCCAUCUUAAGAAAAUUUGACAAAAUUGAUUUUGGUUCUAAUCCGAUGGGUGGAUUUAUUAAUUCCAAUUCCAAGGGUUUUCCUAUGGCAAUAUUGUAUUCUUCCAGAGUUGGAGUCAGCUUAUGCUUACCAAAUAUAAACGUUGAUGUUCGGGGGCUCCAGAAAUGAGCAAGUGCUUGCAUGACGCCACUCUAGACAUCAAUGUCAAGGAGGGGAACAAUGCGACCAAGUCUGCUCUCUACAUAGCUUUGGUUCUCGUGGCCUAAACAAUCCCACCAUGAUUUGAGUUCAACCUUUGGUGCAGGCACGAAUCGAAUGUCGGAUCUUCCCAUUGUUUAUAGACCAGGACUCGACCAACCUAAUGUCAUGGACCGACCAAAUACAUAAAUAAGUAAAUUGCAAGAGUAAAGGAUAGAGAGCUUACUUUACCAUACGAUUAAAGCCAUCACAUAGACAGUGCAUGAAAGUGUAAGGCUCAAUUUCUAUAUAGAUGGGCUUAGCAAAGUGGAGUUAAAAGGGUGGGAUGACUUAGUUGCAGUCUCGCAUACUAAGUCAAGUCUUCCUAACUCCGGGCUUAGUCGAGAAUGAUACCCCAAUGCGACGGAGCCUCGCGGGAAAAGGUAAACAUUCUUAACACCAAGAAAAACUUUCGGAAUGGAGUUGGGCAACUUCUACUACGCGGCCUCGCGGUUGAAGUUGUAUCCAACUCAAUACCAUCCUAAGUGUCCUAGUGCGGCCCAGGUCUGGCGGCAGGUUGUGUGUGCAAAAGUAUAGUAUAAAUGCAAGACAUACACAACAGUUUAAAUCAAGCAACAGUUCAAUAACUUGAAUUUAAAACAUUCAUCCCUAACUUCAACCUGCAAGACAGGGGUUAGCAAAGACUACUCCCCUUAUAUCUCCCCAUCUGCAAAAAUAUUUAACACCUUAAAUAUUAGGGACGUACCUGGAAUCCUCGUUGCCAAACAAAAACAUUUUUCAUAAAGAAGAAAAUUGGCCUAAGUCCACUAAGUGUUUUAACACAAGUCCCCAACGGAGUCGCCAAGUUGUCGCGACCAAUUUUUCGGGGUGUGAACUACCUAAAAAUUGGCUAAUGGAUUGUUAAGGCUAAACUUAACUUAGGCUCUCCCAAGCUCAUACCAAUUCACGACUUAGGUUUAAGUUCUUAUCAUGCAAUUGAUUUUUUAACCAGGAAUCGCCACUAAUCUAUUUUUUGGUGGGUCGAUUAGAAACCCAAGUAAAGUAAUGGGAGUUUCACUUUACUCCUACAAACCAAAUAUUAUGGGCACGGGGACUUGGUUACACUAGAUUUCUUUAAUGCCCAUUCGGUACCACUUCUUUUUAAUUUUCAAAAAUGUUUUUUGCAGGCAAUUUAAACUGAUGUUAAAUCUAAUUCCAUAACAUGUGAAAUGAUCAUGCGGAUACCCAAUUCACCAAUUUAACACCUGGAUAAACAAUAAAUAAAUUGCAAAAACUUACCUCAAAGCAACAAAAUCAUCUGCAAUGUUAAAUUAAAAUCCACAUCAACAACCCUAGAUAUGGUUUCUAAUUAACACGUAAUUUCUUUUUGUUUUCACUUAAUUAAUGAAAAUCAUGCAAUAUGCAAUGCAACAUUAACUAAAUGACCUAAUUCUAAUGACAUGUAAUUUCUAAUUAAAUGGGCCAAGCAAAAAUACUAAAUGACAUUCAUCUUAAUGAAUCUAAACCUAAUGACGUGCAUAUGACAUUUUUUCUUUUUCCUAAAAGAAUGCAUUUUAUCCUAAAUAAUAAAACUAAUUUAACCUAUGACAUUUUUUGUAUUUUUUAUGAAAUUCGAAAUUAGAAAAUUGUGAAAAUUAUCUAAUUAGAUGAAGAUUCUAUUCAAUUUGUAUUAGGAAUUAGGUUGAACUAAAUCCUAAUUUAAACUAAAAUAUUAUCUUAACCCAAAUAAUCCUAAAAUGCAAUCUAUUCAAGAAAAUACCUAAACUUAUAAUAAAUUAAGAAAAGUAUUAUCUAAAACUAAACUAAGUGCAGUUUUACCCUAAUAUGCAAUGAUAUACAAAACAUGCCAUAAUUCUACAUGACAAAUGCAGGAUGAUUUUUUUGUUGUUUUUCCUUUUUUCUUUGUUUUUUAUUUUGAAAUUAAUAAUUGCCAAAUAAUUAAACAUGCAUUCCAAGUUUAAAGAAAAAAAAAUAGCAACCUAAAUAAAUUGAUUUGACUUCUUUUUUAUUAUUUUUAUUAUUUCUUUGAUUUUUAUUUUUUAUUUUUUAAAAAUUUCGAAAUAAUAAAACUCCUAUCCUAAACAUGCAAGAUAACCCUAAACCAUGCAAUAUUCUAAUUCAAACAUAUUUCAAAAUAAACAAAGCAAUCGAGACAAGCCAAACCAUAGAUAUCAUACAUUGUUCAAAUCAAGGGAUAGUAUUUCGCUAGUAAAAUCGAUAGAUUAAUCUUAAGCCUUAAAGAUCAAAAUAUCAAUUUCAUUCUCGCUUAAUUAAUUAUUUCAUCUAAAGCCUUAUAGAUAAAAUAAAAAAAUUCAAAUGCGGUUGUGAAUCAGGUGGCACAUCAUAAUUUCUAAAUAUGCAUUGGGAAACAUUUCGACUAAAGAAAAGCAAGAAAUAAAUAAAAUAUAGAUAAAAUGAAUUUGCAUAAUAAAAUAAAGUAAAUCUACCUAAUUUGAUUUUUUUUUCUUCCAAAACAGAGUUUGGCAACUGGUUCGGAGCUUUGGGGCUGGAAGUCAGGUGUUGGUGCAGACACGAGUAAGGCAAGCAGCGGUAGCGUGGGCACGAAGCUAGCUGUCGGGCACCGAGGAGAGGUGAGCAGCGACGGUGCGAGCUCUAGCGGCAUCGGGUUGCGGCAGGGACAGCGGCACGGCAGCGGCUGAGCGUCAGGUGGAGAUGAGCAGGGGCGCCAAGACUCCUGGUGCUGCAGAUUGGCGACGGCAGAGGCGGAUCAAAGGUGUUCGGGUCGCAACUGUUGUGCUCGGGCUGCUGCAAGUGACGGGGUUGUACUAGUGUUACGCGGUUGCAGAGGCGCGGGUCGUCACAGGCAAAGGUCACCGGCAAGGGGUCACUGCAGUUGUUGCGAGCGAGCGGCAGCAGGAGGGAAGCAGCAAUAGUGGCGUCGGGCUCUAGUGGUGCCGGUCGCGGCUAAAGCAGGGAACAUCAAGAGCUGGGUUGCAAGUAAAUCUCGGGCACGGGUGUCGGGGAGCUCCGCAGGUGUCGGCGGGGGCAGAGAUGCGGACGGAGCGGCGAGACCGGUGGCGCAGCGUGGCGGAGGUGAGCGGACCAGCAAGGUGGCGAGGCGCGGUGGUAUCCGGUGUGGCACGGAUUGGCGCAAUCGAGGGGGUCUUCUCUGUUCUAAACCAAAACCCCCACUUUUCUGACUUUGACCUAAAACAAAGAAAUCCAGAAAAAAAAAAAAAGACAACUUUUCCUCAAAUUCUUUUUCUCUCAAUUCUCUUGAAAAUUCCCCCAUUUUUCUUUUCAUUUUUUCGUUUUAUUUGUUCCGAUGCAAUUUUUAUUUUAUUUAUUUUCCUAAAUUUGCUAAAAUUAGGUGUAAACAGAAGGUUUAUUUAGCCUAACUAAAUGGGAGGCUAUAUCAAUGGGAGGUUUUUCAUUGUAACAUUCCCUUGUGCUUGGAAUUUGUAUUUUAGUAAAGGAUUUUAUUAGCAUAAUAGUCUUUGAAUUAUUAUGAGAAUAACAAUUUAUUAUGAGUCACAAAUUUUUAAAGUAAUGAACCCCAUAAUAAUUUCAAUUAUUUGUUAUUUGAUUUUUUGUAGUUUGGAAUAAAAAUUAUCACCAAAUUAUUUCUUUUUAACAAAUAUAUUGCUUAACUGUUGUUUUCAAUUAAGUUUGCAUCGGAGAAGAGAUUACUUUGUUUUGCUACGCUUGUCGGAUAUUGCACAGGAUAUUGUCAUUUUCUUAGCACUAGCAACGUUGCGUUCAGACAAGGCGGCAUGGAAUUAUUUGCUUAGCUGCACAUCGCACGACCAUACAUUCAUGGACUGUUCCUCAGGAAAACAUAUAGACAUGUGGCAGAUGCAGAACAUUUCACGAGAUUAAAAAAAAAAAGAAAAUAAUUUUUAAAAAACAAUACUUUCGACUUCAAAACGUGUUAAUCGAACGCCUGCUACUCCCGCCAAUAAAGCUCAGCUCCCCCAACGGCUUCGUUGUCGUCUCGAACUGUCCAUUCUCCAUUCUCUGUUCUUGCAUCGACCUCGGGCUAGACGAUGGUGGCAAUGGCGUCGUCAGACGGUGAGGAGGAUCGAGUUGGGGUCGUAGGGUCUCAAGGUCUCGGCACAGGGGCUGGGCUGCAUGGGCAUGUCUACUUCGCCAGCCCUCCCGAGCCCAACCCCGACACGAUCGAGCUUGUCCACCACACCGUUGAAUCUGGCGUUGCCUUCCUCGACACCUCCGACAUCUAUGGCCUUAACGCCAACGAAGUCCUCCUUGGAAAGGUCGGUAUUUUAUUUUGUAGAUAUAAUUGAAGAUCUUCAUCAUGAUGCCAAUCCUAUUUGCGGACUAAUUGAUUUGGUCAAUUUGUAAUUGUUUAGUGAAUUUGAAAUUUAUAAUUCUUUAUAUAUUAUUUAAUUUUUUCUCUUUCAUUCCUACACUAUAAAUAGACCAAUGAACUAAUAUACAGAUUAAUCAAUAUAUAAUGAAAUUUUCUUCAUUUUCUCUAUUAUUUUCUAUCAUGCUGUCAGUGUCGUUCUUCCUCACCUAGCUUCCCAUAUCUUAGAGUUGCCUUUCUUUUUCUCUUGGGUUUUUUUUUUUUUUAAUUGCAAGUCCUCAUCCUGCAAUACAAAUCAGCAAAUCGAUUAGGAAUUCAAUUUAUUUAUUUUUUUCGAUAUCAAGGCAAAAAUUAAGAACACUGAGAGCUCCACUACCUCACCUCAAAAUCAAGCCCCAUCACCAUCGGAUUCGAUUAUGAUUUGGGACAAGAUAUUUUAAUCAUUUUGAGAUAAUCUUUAACUGAUCAUGCUCUUCUAGAUACACAGCGAUUGCGCACUUCCAAAUGCUUAUUAUGUCAAGUAACAUGACAAUCUGAUGGCAUGCAAUGCAACCAAUUUUGCCCUCGUUGAUGUAGAAUUUGGCGUUAAAAGGAAAAUGAUAGUUGCUCGUAUGCUCUCUGCUUAGACAUUGCUUUAUGUUAUGAACUACCUACCAAGGUUGCGGCCAGAGAACUAAGCUCACAACGCGAAGCUAUUCGACCAAGUGAAUGGAAUUGCACAAAGAAAGGGAUGCACCCCAUUGCAGUUACCCCUCGCCUGGGUACACCACCAGAGUGAUGACAUUUGCCCGAUUCCUGGCACGAUCAAGAUCGAGAAUUUCAACCAGAAUAUUGGAGCUCUGUCAGUGAAGCUUUCACCAGAAGAGAUGGCCAAGCUCAAAUCGAUUGCUUAUGCGGACAAUGUUAGAGAAUUGAAACCACAUUUGAUACUAAAUUAUGCCUAGGUAGGAAUUCAAAACUCCACCUCCCGCUUUUCAUGUGGGAAGGUUGGCCCCACCUCGCGCUUAUGGAAAGAGUAAUCACGAAGACACCACAAUAGUUCAAUUGACGUGAGCAGGUACGUCUUCCCUACAUGGUAAGGGUCGUCACUGGGCGUGCAAUUGACGUAAGCACGUGCGUCUUCACAGCCACUAUCGCUCCCCUCCCACUCUUCGUAGCUUCUGCCACUCCCCUCCUAUAAAUCUCGGCUCGCCCGACGCCUUCGCCAUCGUCUCGGUGCAGUGCAGGGAACCAUCGAGCUCGAGCUAGACUACGGCAAUGGCGGCAUCGACGACAACGGUGAGGAGGAUCAAGCUGGGGUCGCAGGGCCUGGAGGUGUCGGCGCAGGGGCUGGGCUGCAUGAGCAUGUCCGCCUUCUAUGGCCCUCCCAAGUCCGAGCCCGACAUGAUCGCCCUCAUCCACCAUGCCGUCGGCUCCGGCGUCACCUUCCUCGACACCUCCGACGUCUACGGUCCUCACACCAACGAAAUCCUCCUCGGAAAGGUCGUUCUCUCAGUCUCUCUUUUGCCUCUGCAUGAAUUAUUAUAUAUGCUUAUGGUUUUACGGAACUUAGCUUCAUCGAGCAGGAUGCUCUGAUCCUGCGCCUUGGUUUUCUGAUUUCGGGGUUGAUUUUGAGCAGGCACUGAAGGGAGGGGUGAGGCAGAAGGUGGAAUUGGCGACCAAGUUCGGAGUCAGAUUCGCGGACGGGAAGAGGGAGAUCCAGGGCGAUCCGGCGUACGUGAGGGCUGCUUGCGAGGCCAGCUUGAAGCGGCUCGACAUCGAUUGCAUCGACCUCUACUACCAGCACCGUAUCGACACUCGCGUCCCCAUUGAAGUCACUGUAUGGAUCCCUUAUCAAACUUUCACCUCGCUUGAGACUUUCUCUGAGCCAUAUGAUGCAUCGUCAUGUUGUUAUAAGUCUGUUGAAUUUUGUUAAAUGACACUUAAGUUCAGCUGAUAGCAGAGUUCAAGAUGCGGCACGGUGUUGUUCAAGGGUUGUGAAAUUUAGUAGUUUAGUGGCUUGAGUUUUCGUUUUGUGGGAAUCUUUUACAAGUUAAGGGUCAACAAGCGUGGAAAUUAUUCGAAAUCUUCCUUUAAGAUGAAAGUGCUCCGGGGUUCAUCCUGAAUUUAUAUACGGGAAUCACAUAUAAAGUUGUUCCUGGACUUUAUACGGAGACAUUUGAUUCUUGACAUAUUGUGAAAUAUGACAAGUACUUGGAAUACUUCUUUUAUUUGCUCUCUUCUGUGAGAGAUUCAAGAAAUCUACCUCCGUUAACUCAAUACCUUAUGGGUUUUUUGUCGCAUUGAGAUGCAUGAUAAUUGAGGGAUCUAGACACAUAAAAAGCUAAUGACAAAAAUAAUUUUCUGGAUCUUAACAUGUAAGAUCUUGAUGUUGUUGUUCUGUCAUGUGAAUAUGCACAGAUCGGAGAGCUAAAGAAGCUCGUUGAAGAGGGUAAGAUAAAGUACAUCGGUUUAUCCGAGGCCUCUGCAUCAACAAUCAGAAGAGCACAUGCCGUUCAUCCCAUCACAGCAGUGCAAUUGGAGUGGUCGCUUUGGUCAAGAGAUGUGGAGGCGGACAUCGUUCCAACGUGCAGGUAGGAUAUCACUCUGUUAAUUGUUUAUGCAGCAACAACAGCUUCCUUCUGACUCUGCUUUUCCUUUAAAAUGUUGACUAGGGAGCUUGGCAUUGGAAUUGUUGCCUACAGUCCUUUAGGACGAGGAUUCUUUUCUGUUGGCUCCAAGUUGGCGGAGAAUUUCUCAAAGGAUGACUUCAGACAGGUCUGUUCCUGCUUGUCAACAUAAUUAGAUGCUUACAGUGGCUGUCAUUCUUAUUGAAGUGCUGGAAACCUGUUCUUGUGGUAUCAAGAAAAAGUAUCUGGAUGGGAUGAAUAAAACUUGGUGACACGAAUGCUUCGUGUUUUUAUAUGUCUUUAAUCCAGCACUUGCCAGACAUCCCACCUCUCUCGAUUCUAGAUAAAUGUAAAAUCACAAGUAAUGGCUUUAGUGAGCCUGAAAGAGGCAGUUUCCUGGAUUCUCGUGCUUUUGGGAAUGAAUACAUAUAGGUUUAUAUGUAAGUUGCUCUGUUUCCCAGCCUUCCCAACAUUUGCUUAUCACUAUCCUUUCCCCACUUUCCACCCACCCUUUUUCUCUCAUCUUUCUUCACAAGAUUAGCGAUAUUUCCUCGAAAUAACUGACGCCAGUAUCGGGCUCUGGCCCUCCGUCCUUUUUCAUUCUCAUCUUUCUUCACAAGAUAAACUAUAUCUUGACACAACCAUUUCUUGAGUGAGGACUCCCGACACCCUUCUUAUGAGAGUUUUGGAUCAAGUUCCCAUCUGACAUAAAGCCAAUUGUGUAUUACUCCCCGCCAUUAGCGUUUGACUAGCGAUAGUGCUGGGCAAGUGAGGUAGCUAUUUUUCUUUGUAGCUAAAAGAGCUCUGCGUCUGAUAACACUCUUCUACACAUCAUCUACAUUUCUGAUUUCUUAUUUUAUGUGUGACUAAUGGUAUCAUCACACGUACAAAACUUAGAUUGUCGAGUUUGUUUCUGUUUUCACAUCCUACAUCAAGCCCAUCAGCCUUGUGUGGUAGUUGCUAGAUCACUUCGCUUGACGUUUCUAAUGCUUAUGAUUUGGGACAUGAUAUUUUAAUCAUUUCAAGAUUAUUUAUAACUGAUCAUGCUUAUCCAGAUAGACAACGAUUGCACACUUCUAAAUGCUUAUUAUGUCAAGUAACAAGACAAUCUGAUGGCAUGCAAUGCAACCACUUUUGCACUUGUUGCUGUAGAAUUUAGCCUUAAAAGGAAAAUGAUAAUUGCUCAUAUGCUCUCUGCUGAGACAUUGCUCCAUGUUAUGCAGUAUCAUCCAAGGUUCCGGCCAGAGAACUUGGCUCACAACACGAAGUUAUUUGACCGAGUGAAUGAAAUUGCGCAAAGAAAGGGAUGCACCACAUCGCAGUUAGCCCUGGCCUGGGUACACCACCAUGGUGACGACAUUUGCCCGAUUCCUGGCACAACCAAGAUCGAGAAUUUCAACCAGAACAUUGGAGCUCUUUUAGUGAAGCUUACACAGGAAGACAUGGCCGAGCUUGAAUUGAUUGCUUCUGCGGACAAUGUCAAGGGUGGCAGGUAUGAUGGAAGCAUAUCUACAUGGGAAAACUCCGACACUCCACCCCUUUCUUCUUGGAAACCUGCCUAGAAGCGUGUCUGCUUCUGUUGCUGCAUCUUUGAUGUGCAGAGUUUGAGCAUUUGCUGCUGAAGUAAUUUGAGUUUAUGUUGUGUGGCUGUUAUAAGUAUGUGUAAUAAGAGAGUGACUGUUUUCAUUUUGUACAUGUGACAUUCACUAUGAGAAGAUUAUGGAUGUGUACUAACCUUACUGGGGAAAGAUCACUUGAUAAACACGGGAGCGAGUUGAAUACGAACUGAGCCUUCCGUGUCGACUUUAUGGGGUGACUUUUAGAAUAUGAGAAAUUGGGAUUUUGAAGAAUUCAAACUCAGUCGUACAUACUGUUGGAAAUAUGGCUUCGAAAUUGGGUAGAAUAAUGAAAUCGAAUUGAGUAAAACAACUUGGACUUUGAGGCGCGAUAUCGGAUUUAUUUGCCCCACAAAGUUGCUAAUGGUCACCGGCAAAAAUCCUCCAGGAUACAACAAAGUCUCGGAUGAGAAUACUAGAUAGCAAUUCAAGUAUUUCUCCAGGGUCUUUCUAAGAAACAAUCAAAAAAUUGGCUGCUGUUUUUCAGAAAGAAGACUCGAAAAUGACCACUCUUUUUCUUUCUGAAAAAUGACAAGUAUAUAUAUGAAACAGUCUUGCAACUCUUCGUGAAAAUUGUGAACAAACACGUCUUUAGAAAAUUGUUUGGAUAAACAAAUGCGACUCUUCGGAACAAAUCGAAAACGAACAAUUGCAACCUUUCGGGAAAAGUUAAAACCGAAUAAGUAAUUUUCCAAAAGUUGUAUUGAAAGAACACAAAUAAAAUUCAGAAUAAUUUUUUUAAUAGAAUUUCCAAUUUUCAUUUUAUAUAUUUUAUUUCCGAAAUUCUCAAAAUAAAAGACAACCUUUGAAUUUACUAAAAAUUAAUAAAAAUAAAAUAAAAAAUAAUAACAAAUGGACUAGUGUUAAUUAAACCGCGGCGGGCAUGCGUGCUAAGUACGCCAAAAUCGCGCAAUUAUUCGCGCACCCGCACGCGGGUAUGAUGGGGUCUAGCCCCACCCAAUCAUUCUUUGAUGUACACAAGGAAACCAUUCACUUAUAAAUCAAGCCACUUCUUCCCACUUUUCCUAUGACAAACAAACCUCCAACAAUCCCCCACUUUGUUUGUAAAACAAAGAUUUCAGAAUUAAAAUUUUAAAAAACAUACAGCCAAAAUUUCAGUAAGAUUAAUAUACAUACAUAAAGGUCUCUUUCGAGUUAAACAUUUAUUUAGUGCAAGUAUAUUAAAGCUCUAUCAAAGUGACAAGUAGCUCGGCUUUAAACUUGUACUUUAAUAUAAUAGAACUGGACAUACCGCACAUACACUAACCUCUUGUUUCAGUGAGAAGUUCUAUAUUACUCCGCACUAUUAUGGCCUUGUGCUUGAUCAUAUUUCAUGAGCUCUCUAGAAAACAACCCUAACUUUCGUAAGAAGCGGCACCACUUCUAAGCUCAUAUAAGUGAAAUAUCUACCAUGUGUUUCUAUUACUAUCAACACACUACAAACUUGUAUCAUACUUUAUUAAGAAUUCAAUUCAUCCUACAAAACGUAACAGACAAUACUGACUUCUCAUAUCAGGGCUAUGUCAGUAUCAAACAAUCACAUUCAAUAACUUGUUCUUACCCAUUAAACCUUGUAAAAGGUCAGGUUACCAUUAUCGGUGAUUUCAAUUAAAGGGUUUCAGCCCCAUUUCUUGUGAGGUCGUUAUUACCAUAUGUCUUGGUAAAGCCUUCGUCAAUGGAUCGGCAAGAUUUUUACUUGACCUCACAUAGACAAUUGUUAUGAUACCAUCUUUAAUCAAUUGUCUUACAUAUUCAUGUCUUAGACUAAUGUGUCUAGACUUACCAUUAUAGUUGCUACUAUAGGCUCUUGCCAAAGUGGCCUAACUAUCAUAGUGGAUAGAAAUAAGAGGCAUAGGACUAGGCCAUAAUUUGAUAUCCAACAACAAAUUUCUAAUCCAUUCAGCCUAUUUCCCAGCUACCGCCAAAGCAAUAAAUUCAGAUUCCAUUGUUGAGUGAGUUAUACAUGUCUGUUUCUUGCUCGCCCAAUAUACAGCACCUCCAGCUAGUGUGAAAAUCCAUCCAGAAGUGAAAUGCUCAUCUCCCACACUUGUAAUCCAACUAAAAUCAGUGUAUCCUUCUACAUCGGAUAAUUAUUGUAGAACAAUCCUAAAUUUUUAAUUCUCUUAAGAUAACAAAAAAUUCUAGUAAUAGCUCUCCAAUGUUCUGUACUUGGAUUACUAGUAUACCUACUCAACUUGCUUACAUAAUAAGCAAUAUCGAGUAUAGUACAAUGCAUCGCAUACAUUAAAGACCUAUAGCACUUGCAUAUUUAGUUGUGCCAUCGCUCUACCAAUAUUAUAAUUUAAUUUAAUACUGGAAUCAAAUGGAGUACUUAUUUCUUUAAAAUCAAGAUGUUGAAAUUUAUUUAAUAAUUUUUCAACAUAACUACAUUGGCUUAAAGAAUAACCCCUACUAUUUUUCUUAACUUUAAUAUCUAAGAUAGUAUUUACUUCACCCAAAUCCUUCAUUUUAAGCAUGGAAGUUAGAUACUUCUUAGUCUCAUUAAUUCUAGUAAUAUUUGUUCCAAAGAUAAGCAUAUCAUCAACAUACGAGCACGCUAAGACACCAUAGUCUUUAGUAAAUUUAGAGUAUAUACACAUGUCGGCACUACUAUUGAUGAAACCAUUUGACAAUAUGACCGAAUUAAACUUUUCAUGCCACUGCUUAAGAGCUUGCUUAAGUCCAUAAAGAAACUUAAUCAAUUUACAUACUUUUCUUUCAUUUCCAGGAAGAACAAAAUCCUCCGGUUGUUCCAUGUAAAUCUCCUCAUUUAAGUCUCCAUCUAAGAAAGCAGUCUUAACAUCCAUUUGAUAAACACAAAGAUCAUAAAUGGAAGCUAGAGCAAAAAGAACUCGAAUAGAAGUUAUAUGUGCAACAGAAGCAUAUGUAUCAAAAUAAUCUAUUCAUUCUUUUUGUCUAUAUCCCUUAGCUACAAGCCUAGCUUUAAAAGCUUGAAUAGAACUAUCAUAAUGAUAUUUUCUUUUAAAAACCCAUUUGCACCCAAUAGAUUUUGAUCCUUUCGGUAAAUCUACUAAUACCCAACUAUUAUUGGACAUAAUUGAGUACAUUUCAUCAUUCACAGCUUCUUUCCAAAAAGAAGCAUCUCUAAAAGAUAUAGCAUCAUUAAAGCUUCUAGGAUCAUCUUCUAAAUUUAAUACUAAAGAGUACUUAUUUAUCACGUUAUUAUCUCCAUUUCCUUCAACAAGAAAAAGAGUUAUAAAAUCAGGACCGAAGUCUUUUAUUUUCCUAGCUCUAAUACUUCUCCUUGGUUCAAUCAUGUCUUUAGAAUCAUUCAUUUCUUUCUCUUGAGAAUCACUUUGAGUUUCCAUAGAUCUUGAAUUAUUUUCAAUAAUUUCAGAACUUGUAAAACAUUUAUUCUCAAAGAAUUCAACGUCCCUCAAUUCUACUAUGACAUUAGACUUUAAAUCAAGAAGUCUAUAAGCUUUACUAUUUUCAGCAUACCUAAUGAAAACACUUUUGAUAGCUCUAGGACCGAGCUUUGUUCUCUUAGGAUCUGGAGCUCGGUAGUAUGCCAAACACCCCCACAUUUUAAGAUAUGACAAAUUUGGCUUUCUACCUUUCCAUAUUUCAUAGGGGGUUAUGUCAUUUUUCUUGGAAGGUAUUCUGUUAUGAAUAUAGCAUGCAGUAAGUAAUGCUUCUCCCCAAAGAUUAAUUGGUAGAUUUGAAUUUGAAAGCAUACAAUUAACCAUUUCUCUAAGAGAUCGAUUUUUCCUUUUAGCUAAACCAUUUUGUUGUGGAGUAUGUGGUGCUGAAUCUUGAUGAAUAAUAUCAUAUUCUUCACAAAACGAAGAGAAUUCAUUUAAGAAAUAUUCUACACCUCUAUCUGAUUGUAGAACUUUAAUUUUCUUUUCUAAUUGAUUCUUUAUUCAGCCUUAUAUUUCAUAAACAUGGUAAAUGCUUAAUCCUUUGAUCUCAUGAGAUAAACAUAUAAGAACCUACUGCAAUCAUCCACAAAGGUAAUAAAAUACAUUUUACCUCCACGUGUUAGCAUACCAUUAAAUUCACAUAUAUCACUAUGAACCAAAUCCAAUAAAUUUGAAUUUCUUUUAACACUAGGAAAUGGCUUCUUAGUAAAUUUUGACUUAGCACAUAUUUCACAUUUAUCAAAUUCGCCAUUAAAAUUUAUCAAGUCUAAUUUUCUCAUAUUCUUCAAAUAACGAAUAUUUAUACGUGCCAACCUACUAUAUCAUAAAAUUGAAGACUCGACAAUAUAAGCAGAACUAUAAAUAUUAUUAUUGAUACUCAGUUGAUACAUGCCAUCAUUGACAUAACCCAUCCCAACAAACAACCCAUUUUUCGACAGGAUAACCUUAUCGGAUUCAAACAAAAUCCGAAACCCCCUCUUACAAAGUAAAUCAAUAGAAACUAGGUUCUUCCUAAUUUCGGGUAUAAAUAACACAUUAAGAAGAGUUAUCUUCUUUCCAGAAGUGAAGUCUAUCUCCACCGUGCAUUUUCCAGCAACCUUUGCAAUAGCAUUAUUCGCCAUCAGGACUUCUUGAACAUUUGAGUCAACAAUCUUUUCAAAUUGCUUGAACAUGUACUUGUCCCUGCACACAUGGAUUGUUGCUCCAGAAUCUAUCCAUCAACUGGAUUGGACAGUGGUAGAAUUAAUUUGAGAAACCAUAGCCAUCGUAUCAUUGAUUUCAGAAAUUUCCAUGUUUGAAAACAUGUUUAAAAUCAUGGCUACAUAAUUUUCUUCAACCAGAUUUGCAUUUGCUUUCACCACUGGAAUGUUCUUGUCCUUUGAAAUGCUCUUGCGGUGAAUGCAAUCCUUGGUGUAGUGUCCCCGUUUGCCACAAACAAAACAACAACCCUUUUGCUUCUUUUGUGUUCUCUUGAAUUUAUGCCCCCCGCUUUUUACUUUGAAGUUCUGGCCGAGUUUCCGUUUUUUGUCCACAACAUUCAUCUUGGAAUUGUACAAAAUAGAAUUAUCACGUAAACGUGACUCUUCCUCAAUGCAAAGACGUUUCUAUAUUGCUCCAAAGUAAAGUCUCCCAACUUGUGAAUCAGCCUUUUUACAUAGUCUUUCUAACUUGGAGGCAAUUUCGCAAUAAUUGCUCCAACUUGAAAAGCUUCUGGAAUAUCAAUUUUGAGGGCAUGAAUCUUAUUCACAAUCACUUGCAAUUCAUGGACUUGUUCUAGCAAGGGUUCAGUAUCAAUAAACUUGAAAUCAAAAUACUUUGCGAUUAGAUAUUUGUUGGUACCUUGCUCCUCCGCUUUGUACUUGAAUUCCAGUGCAUUUCAAAUUUCUCUGGCCGACUUUAUUUCUGUGAAUAAGUCAUACAGACGAUUGGAGAGUGUGUUUAGAAUGUGUCCUCGACAAAGUAAUUCAUCCUCCGCACGUUUCUUCUUUUCCUUAUUUACCCUCUCAAUGACUUCCACGCUUAGCUAUCCUCCCUCGGUAGUAGGCUUAGGAUCUUCUAUAGGUGCCAAGUUAGGAUCCAGUAUGUAGGAAAUCUUCAGAGCAGUGAGUAAGAACGUCAUCUUGUCCCUCUAGCGAGCAAAAUCAUUCCCAUCGAACCGGUCCAAUUUGACCAUAUCUUGAUUCAUAACUUUGAUUGUCUCCAACUCCAUUGUAGCAAACUAAAUCCUUAAAAUUGUUGUAAAAUUAUGGCUUCGAAAUUGGGUAGAAUAAUGAAAUCGAAUCGAGUAAAACAACUUGGACUUUGAGGCGCGAUAUCACUUUCUUUAAGGAUUUAUUUGCCCCCACAAAGUUGCUAAUGGUCACGGGCAAAAAUCCUCCAGGAUACAACAAAGUCUCGGAUGAAAAUACUAGAUAGCAAUUCAAGUAUUUCUCCAGGGUCUUUCUAAGAAACAAUCGAAAAAUUGGCUGCUGUUUUUCAGAAAGAAGACUCGAAAAUGACCACUCUUUUUCUUUCUGAAAAAUGACAAGUAUAUAUAUGAAACAGUCUUGCAACUCUUCGUGAAAAUUGUGAACAAACACGUCUUUAGAAAAUUGUUCGGAUAAACAAAUGCGACUCUUCGGAAGAAAUCGAAAACAAACAAUUGCAACCCUUUGGGAAAAGUUAAAACCGAAUAAGUAAUUUUCCAAAAGUUGUAUUGAAAGAAUACAAAUAAAAUUCGGAAUAAUUUUUUUAAUAGAAUUUCGAAUUUUCAUUUUAUAUAUUUUAUUUCCGAAAUUCUCAAAAUAAAAGAACCUUUGAAUUUACUAAAAACUAAUAAAAAAAUAACAAAUGGAUUAGUGUUAAUUAAAUCGCAGGCGUGUAUGCAUGUUAAGUGCGCCAAAUCUACACAAUUAUUCGCGCACCCACACGCGGGUAUGGUGGGAUCUAGCCCCACCCGAUUAUUCCUUGAUGUACACAAGGAAACCAUUCACUUAUAAAUCAGCCCACUUCUUCCCACUUUUCCUAUGUGGGACUACUAGAAAAACACACUCAGCUUGUUUUGACAAACAAACCUCCAACACAUACUAGAGUGACGCUUUAUUCUCCCCCAACCAAGCGUUCAAUACUAACACCGUGUGCAACACGCUCUUAAGACUGAAUGCUACACAUAGAUACAAAGCUUCGGUUUGUGUUUGGUUUGGUAGCGAAGUUAAGGAACAGUAAAAUGUUACCUGAUGUUCUCACGAAAGCGAAGUUGAGGAUAAAAUGCUGGCACGGUUGAUAUGAGUGUCGGGGAAAUCGAAGGUUUCUUGUUCAAGUUUCACCACCUACGGUUCAUGAGCUUUUAUGUAGCUCAAUACCUUAACUCAUGCCUUUGCAUUAUUAUAAAACAGUUGGAGAUAUCGCGUGAGUUUCCUAAAAUUAAAAACGACACUUCUAUUGUUUUUUUUAUUUGGAGUUAGAGUGGAGCAAUGUUGUUUUGUUUUGGUUUAGGAAAAUAACGCAAAUAGUCAUUAAACUUUGGUCCAAUGUGUUGUGUUCUUACUGAACUUUUAAUUUAUUUAGUAUGAUUGUCGAACUUUUUGUACAUGUUUAAUUUAGAUCCUAGGUUAGAUAAAUCCAAUGAUGCUGUGUUUGGUUGUUCGAAUAUCUUUGCUCUAUGGGAUAAUGAUAGGAUAAAAAUUCCAUCUAAUAUUUCUUGACGUCCGGAUAUAACAUGAUUCAAAUAAAACAAAUUUAAAUGAGUGUUUUAUUUGUAUAAUUAAAAUUAAAAAUAAACCAUGGAAGUCGUAAAUACUAUUCAUCCUUUCCCAAUCUUCAUCCAUAUCAAGCACCCCCGUUCCAUGUGACUUCAAGGACGCUCGCUCCUUCUGCAACACCCCUUUCGCUGCCCUUGAUCAACUUGAUGGAUUACGCUCGCUCUACCUUUGACUUCGCCACAUUGAGAGCCCCUUGGGUUUGAGUUCUCCGCUGGUCUAGCCAUCUUUACUUUCAACGCCUUUUCCUGCCUUUUCCUGCGAUGAAUCCAUCCCCUUCGACGAGUGUCAAUACUGCGUUGAUUCCCAGUUACCGUGCCCCGACUUGUUCAGUCGCUUCAACAGCUUCCCCCGAGACAGCGUGCGGAUCCGGUUUGUGAGUGGUAGCACCAUCGGUACCACUCGCUCCGAGUGACGUGGUUGAGGAGCUCUAUCGCCUUGGCUGCCGCCUCUUUCGGAUCAUCUUCUUCACAGAGAAGAUGUCCAGCUUUGAUCGGGAUCACAAAGUUCCAUACUAAAAUGGAGUUAAGUGACAUAAGAAAGAGGCAGGGCUGACGAGCUCCGACGCCACUUUUCCGAGGAAGCCAAAGGUGGUAAGCAGCUUGUCACUGGUAGGAGGAACGGUGGCCCUUAGAGUUUGCUCAGGUCGUUGUGGCAAGGGCUUCUCUAGGUAUCUUCGCGAUACUCAUGCUCUAACUAAGUUUGUGGUGGUCAUUUUAGUGAGAGAAAUUGGAACAAGAGAGAGAUGAUGGUGGCACUGGUCAAAAGUGAGGAUAAGCCAUCAACAAGCGCAGGAGUGGGGGAAAAAGUUGUGUCCCUUAUCUUUUCAGUUCUCUAAAUUUCACAUACCAUAUUUGAAUUUAUAUCACUUUCUAGAAGGGAUUUUUAUCCGGACUAUAUCUGAAUUUCACAUUACUCUAAACAACGUAUAGGAUCAAACUUAUCAUAUUAGAGUUUUAUCCAACCCAUCAAAGAUAGUCUUAUGAGAUAGAAUGCAAUGAUAUAAUUUGUGAGUUAUAUUAAACAUUUAUUAAAAGUUUAAGAACAAUAGUUCACAUUUUGAUUAUUAUGAUGCACCAAUAAGUUAUGUUAAAACAAUCCCACAAUAUAUUGAUAGCUUUGAAAUAUGGCUUUCUCUUGGUGAUGAUGUCGAUUAAUAUGGAGAAAUUAAUGGGAGGGUUUAUUUGGCCUAAUUAAAUGGGAGGCUAUAUCAAUGGGAGGUUUUUCAUUGUAACAUUCCCUUGUGCUUGGCAUUUGUAUUUUAGUAAAGGAUUUUGUUAGCAUAGUAAUUUUUGGAUUAUUAUGAGAAUAAUAGCUUGUUAUAAGUCAUAAAUUUUUAAAGUCGUGAACCCCAUAAUAAUUUCAAUUAUUUGUUAUUUGAUUUUUUGUAGUCUAGAAUAAAAAUUAUCAUCAAAUUAUUUAUUUUUAAUAAAUAUAUUGCUCUAACUGUUGUUUCAAUUAAGUUUGCAUCGGAGAAUAGAUUAUUUUGUUUUGGUGCGCUAGUCGAUUAUUGCACAGUACAUUGUCAUUUUCUGAGCACUAGCAACGUUGCGUUCAGACAAGGCGGCAUGGAAUUACUUGCCCAGCUGCACAUCGCACGACCAUACAUUCAUGGACUGUUCCUCAGGAAAGCAUAUAGACAUGUGGCUGAUGCAGAACAUUUCACGAGAUUAAAAUAAUAAUAAUAAUAAUUUUUAAAAAACUAUAGUUUCAACUUCAAAACAUGUCGAACGCCUACUUCCACAUCAAGAAUUUGGGACUUCCCAAAUAUUUUCUUGGUAUUAAGAUUGCUCAAUCUGGUAAAGAUAAUAGUCUUAGUAAGAGGAAGUUCAUCCCAGAAAUCAUUUCUGAAGCAGGAUUAUCUAGAUACUAAUCGGCCAUCAUACUAAUUGAACAAAAUACUAAGCUGCCAACUCAUGGACUUAGAGUCUUCAUCUUUUGAGGAUUCAUUGCUCAAGGAUCCAUUGGCAUAUCGGCAACUUGUUGCAAAAUUAAUAUACCUCACCAUCACAGGGCCUGAUAUAUGUUAUGUAGUGCAAGUACUCUUAAUUCAUGCAUAGUCCAAAAUAAUCUCAUAUGAAUGUAGCCCUAAAAGUUGUGAAAUAUUUGAAGUGAUGUCUCAGACUUAGAAUAUUUUUAUCUUCUGACUGCAACAUGAAGAUGAGAGCUUUUCGUAAUAUAAAUUAUGCCAAGAGAUCUAUUUUUGUUUAUGCAUUAAAUUGGGAAAGACAAUAAUCUCGUGGGAAAGGAAGAAGUAGUCAAUUAUAUCAUUGUCCUCAGCUGAAUCGAAGUAUUAAGCCAUGGGGAAAACUACCUGCGAAGUAGUUUGGAUAGGAGGAUUACUCUCAGAUCUUGGAUUACAGGUUAGUGGAGCAACUAAAUUGUUUUGUGAUAAUGAUGCUCCACUCAAAUUAACAACAAAUUUGGCAACAACAAAAAAAACAACAAAUCUAGUUUUUCAUGAAAGAAUAAGACAUGUAGAAGUUAAUUGCCAUUUUACUCGAGAUAAAAUCAUAGAAGGAGUUGUUGUAACUAAAGGAGUUGGAAUUAUGGACCAACCUGUAGACAUCUUCGCUAAGCCACUAUGUUAGAGACAACAUAUGUACCUAGUAUGUAGAAGGUUGUUAGCCUUCUUUUUGUCAAUCAUAUGACAAAAUCCCCAAUUUUAGUUCUAGUUCCAACCCAUCUAAACUUUUUUUGUCUCAUAAAAACCCUUAAAUUUAGAUGCAGUACCAAAUUUAUCUUAAAUGUUGUUUUGUCUCAUAAAAGAAACCCAGCUGUAGGUCCAAUUUUAUUUUCAUUGUAAUUUAUUUAUCUCAUAAAAGAUUAUCAACUGUUACUUGAGUCCUAAAUCUACUCUGCAUUAACCCUUUGUUAAAAUUGCCCCUAGGGAUUUUGCGCUUGGUUUUCGAUCUUUCGUGCUUGGAAAUGUUCUAUCUCUCUUGAACAACUCGUGUUUGGGAGCUUUCCUUCUCUUGAUGUCAAUAGAAUAUUUUGGAUGAAGGGUUAAUGGGAGCAAAUUUGCGACUCAAGUAAAAAUUUAUGAAUUUUUAUGAGAUUGUAAAAAUUUUAGGGUAUUAUAAAAAAAAAAGGUCUAAGGUAGAAUUAGUAUGUGAGUUAAAGUUGAGGAUUUUUUAUGGGACAAAAGAAGGUAAUGGUAGAAUUGUGAAUGGAUCUAAAAUUAUUGUUCUUUUUUUAGACGAAAGGUACAAUUAGGAGAAAAGCUAAAGUAGGGGGUUUUUUUAUAAGGGUGUUAGGGUCCAUUUUGUCAAUCAUAUGACGUCAGCAUUUCUUAUUUUCUCCUCCCUUUUCGUCAGCACGUGCGUCUACGGUAGCAUAUCCGGCCCCUCGCACCUACUGCUACUCCCCCUCAUAAAUAUCUGGGCUCGCCCGACACCUUCUUCAUCGGCGACUUCGGUAGCACGUGCAGGGAUCGAGCGAGCUCGAGCUAGACGACGGCAAUGGCGGCGGCGUCGACGACGACGGUGACGAGGAUCAAACUGGGGUCGCAGGGGCUGGAGGUGUCGGCGCAGGGGCUGGGCUGCAUGGGCAUGUCCGCCUUCUAAGGCCCUCCCAAGCCCGAGCCCGACAUGAUCGCCCUCAUCCACCACGCCGUCGGCUCCGGCGUCACCUUCCUCGACACCUCCGACAUCUACGGCCCCCACACCAACGAAAUCCUCCUCGGAAAGGUCGGUUCUCUCAGUCUCUGUUUUGCCUCCGCAUGAAUUAUAUGUGCUUAUAGUGUUACGGAAUUUAGCUUCAUCGAGCAGGAUGCUCUGAUCCUGCGUCAUGGUUUUCUAAUUUCGGGGUUGAUUUUGAGCAGGCGCUGAAGGGAGGGGUGAGGCAGAAGGUGGAAUUGGCGACCAAGUUCGGAGCCGUCAUUGGGGACGGGAAGAGGGAGGUCCGGGGCGAUCCGGCAUACGUGAGGGCGGCUUGCGAGGCCAGCUUGAAGCGGCUCGAGGUCGAUUGUAUCGACCUCUACUACCAACACCGUGUCGACACUCGAGUCCCCAUCGAAGUCACUGUAUGGAUCCUCCUUAAACCUUUACCUCUCUCUCGAGACUUUCUCGGAGCCAUAUGAUCAGUUGCUAAACUAGAUUGGUGUUAAUUAUGCAUCGUCAUGUUGUUACAAGUUUGUUGGAUUUUGUGGCAGUUGCUUGUAAAUAUUGUUAAAUGAGAUUUAAGAUCGGCUGAUAGCGGAGUUCAAGAUGCGGCACGAUGCUGUUAAAGGGGUUGUGGAAUUUAGUGGUUUAGUGGCUUGAGUUUUUGCUUUAUGGGCAUCUUUUACAAGUUAAGGGUCAACAAUCAAGAAAAUCAUUUGAAAUCUUCCUUUGAGAUGAAAGUGCUCCGGGGUUCAUCCUCAUUUAUAUACAAGAAUCACAUUUGAAGUUGUUCCUGGACUUUCUAUGGAAUGGAGACAUUUGGUUCUUGACAUAUCAUCGUGAAAUGUGACAAGUACUUCGAACACUUCUUUAAUAUGCUCUCUUCUGUGAUCGAUUAGAGAAAUCCACCUCCGUUAACUCAAUACCUAGUGACUUUUUUGUCACAUUGAGAUGCCUAAUAAUUGACUAAACUAUUCAGGGAUCGGGAAACAUAAAAAGCUAAUGAUGUGCAUAAUUUUCUGGAUCUUAACACGUAAGAUCUUGACGGUUGUUGUUUUGUUUUGUCUUGUGAAUAUGCACAGAUCGGAGAGCUAAAGAAGCUCGUUGAAGAGGGUAAGAUCAAGUACAUCGGUAUGUCUGAGGCCUCUGCGUCAACAAUCAGAAGAGCACAUGCUGUUCAUCCCAUCACAGCGGUGCAAUUGGAGUGGUCGCUGUGGUCAAGAGAUGUGGAGGCAGAGAUCAUUCCCACGUGCAGGUAUGAUAUCACUCUGUUAAUUUAUUUAUGCAGUAACAUCAUCUUUCUUCUGACUCUGCUCUUCCUUCAAAAUGUUGACUAGGGAGCUUGGCAUUGGAAUCGUUGCCUACAGUCCUUUAGGACGAGGAUUCUUUUCUGUUGGCUCCAAGUUGGCGGAGAAUUUCUCAAAGGAUGACUUCAGACAGGUCUGUUUCUGCUGGUCGACAUAAUUAGAUGCUCACAGUGACUGUCAUUCUCAUUGAAGUGCUGGAAACCUGUUCUUGUGGUAUAAAGAAAAGUUUCUGGAUGGGAUGAAUAAAACUUGGUGACACAAAUGCAUCACGUUCUUAUAUGUCUUCAAUCCAGCACUCGCCAGACAUACUACCUCUUUUGAUUCUAGAUAGAUGUAAAAGCACAAGUAAUGGCUUUAAUGAGCCUGAAAGAGGUAGGUUCCCGGAUUCUCAUUCUUUUGGGAAUGAAUAAAAAUAGGUUUAUUUGUAAGUUGCUCUGUUUCCAAGUCUUCCCACCAUUUGCUAAUCACUAUCCUUUCUCCACUUUUCGCCCACCCUUUUUCUCUCAUCUUCCUUCACAAGAUUAGCAAUAUUUCCUCAAAAGAACCGACACCAGUAUUGGGCCUCAGCCCUCCAUCCUUUUUUAUUCUCAUCUUUCUUCACAAGAUAAAUUGUAUCUUGACACAACCAUUUCUUGAGUGAAAACUCCCAAACACCUUUCUUAUGGAAGUUUUGGGAUCAAGUUGUGUAUUACUUCCUGCCAUUAGUUUUGGGCGAGUGAAGUAGCUAUUUUUCUUCGUAGCUAAAAGAGCUUUGCAUCUGAUAAUAUUCAUCUACACAUCAUCUACAUUUGUGAUUUCUUUCUCUAUGUGACUAAUGGUACCAUCACAUGAACAAUACUUAGAUUGCGGAUUUGGUUUCUGUUUUCACAUCUUACAUCAAACCCAUUAGCCUUGUGUGGUAGUUGCUGGAUCACUUAAUGAUUUGGGAAAAGAUAUUUUAAUCAUUUCAAGAUAAUCUUUAACUGAUGAUGCUUUUCCAGAUACACAGCGAUUGUGCACUUCCAAAUGCUUAUUAUGUCAAGUAAAAGACAAUCUGAUGGCAUGCAAUGCAACCACUUUUGCUCUUGUUGCGGUAGAAUUUGGCGUUAAAAGGAAAAUGAUAGUUGCUUAUAUGCUUUCUGCUGAGACAUUGCUCUAUGUUAUGCAGUACCUACCAAGGUUACAGCCAGAGAACUUGGCUCACAACGCCAAGUUAUUUGACCGAGUGAAUGAAAUUGCACAAAGAAAGGGAUGCACCCCAUCGCAGUUAGCCCUCGCCUGGGUACACCACCAGGGUGAUGAUGUUUGCCCGAUUCCCGGCACAACCAAGAUCGAGAAUUUCAACCAGAACAUUGGGGCUCUGUCAGUGAAGUUUACACCAGAAGAGAUGGCUGAGCUCGAAUCGAUUGCUUCUGCGGACAAUGUCAAGGGUGACAGGUACGAUAGCAGCGUUCCUACAUGGGAAAACUCCGACACUCCACCUCUUUCUUCAUGGAAACCUGCCUAGAAACAUGUCUGCUUCUGGUGCUGCAUCUUUGAUAUGCAGAGUUUGAGCAUUUGCUGCUGAGGUAAUUUGAGGCUAUGUUGUGUGGCUGUUAUAAGUACGUGUAAUAAAAGAGUUCGUUAUCUUGUAAUAAAAUCUGAACUCCAGAGAGUGACUGUUUUCGUUUUGUACAUGUGACAUUCAAUAUGAGAAGAUUAUAGAUGUGUACUAAGCUUAUUGAGGAAAGAUCACUCGAGAAACACGAGAGUUAGUUGAAUACUGUGAGAUAUUUGUAGGACUACUGUCAAUUACUCUAAAAACUUAAGCUGUAUGAAUGUGUGAAUAUUCUAAUAUUCUCUCAGAUGCUUAGUUUGGUCUUUUAUCUAAUACUAAGCAUGCAAAUUUAAUUGAGGAGACAAAUGGAGUAUGGAAAGAUUUAAACUUGGGACCUUCAACUCUGAUAUCAUGUAAAAUUUAAUCGUAUGAGAUUUUAUGAUAUUGCUAUCAACUAUUUUAAAAUCUUAAGUACAUAUUUCUGGUCCUCUCAUCCCCUAGCUUUGUGUUUAUAGACAAGACUGACAGCCAGGAAUUAGUUGCCAGUCAUCACAUUGUGUACCUCCACAUUAAUGGACUAUUCCUCCAGAAAAUAUAGAGUAUACAUUGAUGGACAUGUGCAGGUGCCCGUAAAACUUAAGGAAGAAGAAUUAGGAAGAAGAAUCCUCAAGGGGUGGAACUCCUUAAUGUCACAUCCUAUAUUCCCACCUAGGAAGAAAAAGAUAUGAAGGGAAUUAGGAGACCUUUAGUGGGAAAGGUAAAUAUUAUGUCAAGAUUUUGGUUCUGACUAUCUUAGAAUAGACAUAUAUAGUAGUCUCGUGCACUUAGAAUAAGAAAGUGGAGUGUCCAACCUCCUGCUAGGUUGCCUAAGGAUACACAUGGCAAUGAGUCCCUGAACAUAAGCCUAAUGUAUAGCGUCGUUCAAUUUUUAAUUUAUUCAAUAUAGUCUAUAAACGUUAGUCCAAUAUGCAAUGUAGACUCUGUAUUUUUUAUUUGUUCAAUCUAAUCCCUAAACUUUCGGUAUAUGUUUAAUUUGGUCCUUAAAUUAUGAUAAAAUGUUCAAUGUUUCCCUGAUUUUGAAUUCAUGGAGAGAUUACAUUUAACAUUUUCAUAGAUUUAAAUGAUUACAUUGAACAAAUUGAACAAAUUAAAAAUUAAAGGACUAUAUUGCAUAUUGAGUGAAAAUUUAUGGACCAUUUUUGUCAUUAUUCCCAUCACAAAAAUAGAACAUUUAACAAGGAAAAAAAAUCUAUACAUAGAUAAUAGAGAUACAUAGCAAUAAAUAUGUCAUGAAAAUAAUUAAAUCUACAAAAUAUUUAAUACCUUCAUUAUACGAAAAACGAGGUGGCUGAGGAUUGCGGCCUCCAGUCCAUCCCCCAAUUUUUCCAUUCACAUAACUUCAAAGUCGUGCAAAACUAUUAUUGAUGAUUACUCAAUCCGGACUUGCCUUUUGAGUCGCACAUUGUUAAUUUUGUUAGCAAAAAUUUUAUCAUGCACAUAUCACAAUUUUUCAACAUUGUGCAAUCAAUUCCUGAAAGUUCUGAAAUUGCAGAGUUAUGUAAUAUGAUAUAAACCUUUAUUCUUUCACGACUCCUAGUUAUGAUUAUUUUUAGGACCGUGCGAUUUUCAUUCCAAAUUUUGUUUUUCACAAGUCCUUUUACAUCGUUUUUCUUCUGAUCAUAUUACAUCCGCUAUCCCUCCUUUCGUUCGAUUGCUUGCUUUUCUUUUCUUGCAAGUCUCAUGUUGUUCUUUCUUUGCUAUUAUUGUAAUGACAUAAAGUAGUUUUUAAAUUUUGACUCAAUAUAUAAUUUGAAUGUGAUUUCUGGACUUUAUCCUAGAGUUGAUUUUCCUUGCUUUGUUGUCUCCCCUUUCGGCUCAUGCUGACCAGCCAUUUGUACCCCAUUCCUCUUCUUCUUACUCUGUUUUCGAGCUUUCGUCCACCCUUUCCUUUCCUUGCUGACCAUCUGAGGGAAGACGAAGAGCUGGGCUCUCUCUUCUCUAAAGAAGAGUCGCAGGACGUGCAUUCGAACCUGCAAUAAUGUCUCUCCUCAUUGAUUUUUGCCCCGAAAAUGUCUGUCUUCCAGCUGUUCGAUAAAAUGCCUCUGAGAAAAGUGUCAUUGGGUUGGCUUGUUCGGUUGCUCUAUUUGCUUUCGUUAUAUUUGUCUUUCAGGACGGGGACAGUAACUUCGUCUUCGAGGGAAAACCAUACGGAGGAUGCCUUUGUCCGGCGGCGCGAGAACGACGGGGAAGAAGGUUCGGGCACGGGUUCUUCCGUCGGGUAACCGCCGAACGACGGCACGGCGGACUCCGGAAUCUCGCCGGCAAGCUUGUUGUGGGAUUCAGUCGAGAGUAGGUGACGAGAGCCUGACGUCAGCACGCGCGCCUUUUUGUAGACCCGUUGACUUUUCACCGCCGGCAGCUUCGUUGUCGCGUCGGUUCAGUGGAGGAAGUGAGCGAGCGAGCAAGCUCUCGGACCGUUUCUUCUCCGCGCUCUCUUCUCGCAUCGACCUCGAGAUAGGCGGCGGCGGCGAUGGCGAUGGCGUCGGCGGCGGUGAGGAGGAUCAAGCUGGGGUCGCAGGGCCUGGAGGUCUCGGCGCAGGGGAUGGGCUGCGCGCGCAUGUCCCCCUUCUCUGGCCCCCCCAAGCCCGACCCCGACAUGAUCGCGCUCAUCCGCCACGCCGUUGGCUCCGGCGUCACCUUCCUCGACACGGCCGACGUCUACGGCUUUAGUGCCAACGAAGUCCUCAUCGGAAAGGUUGGUUUUUUGAGAUAUUGAGUCGCGUCUCCAUUCUAAAGGUUUCGUCUUGUUAGAUCAACUAGCUGACAGUCGUCGCAGAUAAUUCUGUAAUCUGAUCGAUUUCGGUGCUCGUGUGUGUUAUAAAGCUUAGUCUCAGCUUCUGCAUGAUGUAGAUAUGCUACAGUCAUGCCGAAUUCUAAGAUCCUGCAUCUCGAUUUCCGAAUUUCGGGGUCUUGUUGUGGUGAUUUGGUGUGGAUUUUGAGCAGGCACUGAAGGGAGGGGUGAGAGAGAAGGUGGAAUUGGCGACCAAGUUCGGGCUCUGCUAUGCAGAUGGAAAGUGGGAUGUCCGGGGCGAUCAAGUGUACGUGAGGGCGGCCUGCGAGGACAGCUUGAAGCGUCUCGACGUCGAUUGCAUCAACCUCUACUACCAACACCGUAUCGACACUCGCGUCCCCAUCGAAGUCACUGUAUGGAUCCCUCAUUAAACCUUUCCCCCUUUUGAGACUUUCUCUGAGCCAUGUGAUGAGUUGUUAAACUAGAUUCGUGUUGAUGAUGCAUCCUCGCGUCGUUAAUAGUUUGGGGGAUCUUGUGACAGAUUUAACUAUUUCCUUGCCUUUGACUGGUAAGGUUUUGUUAAAUGAGAUUUUGAUAUUCGAGAUCGGGAUGCAGCACGGUGUUGUUAAAGAGGUUGUGGAGCCUAGUCUUUUCAGUGGCUGAGCUUUUUGCCUUAUGGGCAUCUUUUACAAGUUAAGGGUCAACAAGCAUGAAAAUUAUUCUGGAUAUUCCUUCAAAAUGAAAGGGCCAUGGGCGUUCAUCCUAAUUUAUGUAAGUGAAUAUCGCAUUGAAAGUUGUUUAUGGACUUCCUGUAAAGACCUUUGAUGGUUGACAGAUUAUUGUGAAAUGAGACUGAUAGUUGAAAUGCUAUUUUUGUUUGCCCUCUUCUGUGAUAGAUUAGAGAAAUCUUACUCCGUUAACUUAAUUCUUCUGUUAUUUGCCCUCUUUUGUGAUAGAUAUAUGUCCGUUAACUUAAUGUCCAGUGACUUUUUUGUUGCAUUGAGAUGCAUGGGGAUCUACUCAUCCUUGCUAAGAACUGCCUAGUCAAGACGUAAUGUUUGAAUAGUGAUGUGAUAAAUGUGCAUAAACUUCUGGGCCUUAAUAUGUACGGUCUUGACUGUUGUUGUUGUUGUUGUUGUUGUUGUUGUUGUUGUUGUUUUGUCAUGUGAAUAUUUGAAGAUCGGGGAGCUAAAGAAACUCGUUGAAGAGGGCAAAAUCAAGUACAUCGGCUUAUCCGAGGCCUCUGCAUCAACAAUCAGAAGAGCACAUGCUGUUCAUCCCAUCACAGUGGUGCAAUUGGAGUGGUCACUGUGGUCAAGAGAUGUGGAGGCAGAGAUCAUUCCCACAUGCAGGUAAAGGAAUCACCUCAUUAGUUUGUUUAUGCAGAGCAACAGCUUUUUUCUGAUGCUGCUCUCCUUAAAAUGGUGACCAGGGAGCUUGGCAUUGGAAUUGUUGCGUACAGUCCUUUAGGACGAGGAUUCUUUUCUGUCGGUUCCAAGUUAUUGGAGAAUUUCUCUGAGGAUGACUUUAGACAGGUUUGUUUCUGCUGAUCAAACAUAACUAGAUGCUCACAGUGACUGUCAUUCCUAUUGAAGUUCUGGGAACUACGAGUUCUUGUGGUAUACAGAAAAUGCAUCUGGGUGGGAUGUUUAACAAUUGGUGACACAGAUUCUUUAUAUUCCUAUAUUUCUUCUCCGGCACUAGCCCCACACCCACCUCUCUGAUUCCACAUUAGUGUAAAAUCAUAACUAAUGGCUUAAUGAGCCUGAAGAGGCAGUUUCACGACUCUCAUGCUUUUGGGAAUAAGCAGAUAUAGGUUCAUUUGUAUGCUCCUCUGUUUCUCAGCCUUCACCAUUUGCUAUUCACUAUCCUUUCCCCACUUUCUACCUGUCCUUUUUCUCUCAUCUUUCUUCCCACGAGGACAAUUCUCCUCCAUUUGGCCGACACUGGUGUUGAGUCUUAGGCCUCCGUUCUUCUUUUUCUCAGCUUUCUUUAUGGGAUAAAUUAUAUCUCGACACACCAGUUCUGGAGUGGGGACUACCUAACACCCUUCUCAUGGAAGUUUUGGGAUCAAAUUCCUAUCUGACAUAAAGCCAAUUGUGGAUUACUUCCCGCAAUUUGCAUUUGACUAGUCAUUGCGCUGGGAAAGUGAGUAGCUAUUGCUUUUUAGCUAAAAAGGGCUUUACUUCUGAUAAUGUUUCUCUACACAUCAUCUAGAUUUGUGAUUUGUUUCUUUUAAGUGCGAUAAAUGGAUACCAUCCAUGGAGAAAACUUAGAUCGAUUUUGUUUCUGUUGUCAUGUCUUACAGCAAAACCAUCAGCCUUGUGCAGUAGUUUCUAGAGCACUUUGCUCCACAUUUUGAAUGCUUAUGAUAUUGAACAACAUUUUCUAAUCCUUUCAAGAUGAUCUUUUACUAAUCAUGCUUCUCAUAUCAAGACAAUCUGAUGACCACUUCUAGUAUUGUUUGCCCUUGUUGCAGUAGAGUUUUGUGUUAUAAAGAACAUGAUAAUAGCUCAUAUUCUCUCCACUGAGACAGUGCUCCAUAUUAUGCAGAAACUACCGAGGUUCCAGCCAGAGAACUUGGCUCACAACGCGAAGUUAUUUGACCGAGUGAAUGAAAUUGCGCAAAGAAAGGGAUGCACCCCAUUGCAGUUAGCCCUUGCCUGGGUACACCACCAGGGCGAUGACGUCUGCCCAAUUCCCGGCACAACCAAGAUCGAGAAUUUCAAUCAGAACAUCAGAGCUCUAUCGGUGAAGCUUUCUUCAGAAGACAUGGCUGAGCUUGAAUCGAUUGCUUCCGCGGACAAUGUCAAGGGCAGCAGGUAUGAUAGCAGCAUCUCUACAUGGGAAAACUCCGAUACUCCACCCCUUUCUUCAUGGAGCGCUGCUUAGAAAGCACGUCUCCUUCUGUCUGUCUCCGCAUCUUUGAUGUGCAGAGUUUGAGCAUUUGCUGCUGAAGUAAUUUGAGGCUAUGCGGUGCGGCUGUAUAAGCAUGUGUACGAAGAGAGUACUUAUUAUCCUGUUAGUAAAGUAAAAUCUGAACUGCAAAGCGUAAACGUUAACAUUUUGUAUAAGCAACGUUCACUAUGAGAAGAUCAUAAUAAGCUUACUGGGAAAUGAUCACUCAAGAAAGAUGGACCGAUGGCUCUCCAUAAGGCUUUGUCUUCGGGUCGGGAUCGGAGUUAUAGAAAAGUAGAAUGUGAAGCAAUGCUGAUGGACCCCGACCACCUAGAUCGCCGGCACGUGUCACUCCAUGUUGCUUCUCUUGAAAGUUGUCGAAGCCUCCUAAGGCACAAUUGGGUGAGCCUCGAUUGAUCAUUAUACUAUGCGGGAAGGGGAAUGCGUGUGCGGACUUCGUUGCCAAUUGCUAUGCACAUGGAGUUUCAUCUCCUAUUUUUCAAUUUCUCUCUCUCUCUCUCUCUCUCUCUCUCUCUCUCUCUCUCUCUCUCUCUCUCUCUAAUAGUAAAGAAAGAAAGGCCGCCUCACACUCAAAUUCCGUUUAUUCUGCCAAAAAUAAAUAAUUUAGAAAAUAUUUUCUUAAAUAUGGUCACCAUAUUAUUUAUAAAAUGGUUAAUAUUAUGAAAAAUUCUAAACUGGAUAAAUUUAUGCCAAAUUAAUUUUUGAGUCCACAAAAAUCAUAAUUUAUGCAAAUGUGACAAAUUACCUUAAAUUAAUUUUUGGACCAUCAAAAAACCUAAAUUAAUAUAUUUGUGAUAACUUUUUCCUAAAUUGAUAUGGAUUUCCGUUUGAACUUGUUAUAUCAAUUGAAUUAUUGUCAAUAUUCAUCAAACUCAGUAAUUUCAUAGUAAAAUUUAACAGAAAUUACUAGAUGAUAAAUAUGUUAUGGAUAUACUAGUUUAGGGUUUUUAAUGACCCAAAAAUUAGUUUAUGAUAAGUUUAUCACAUGUGUAUCAGUUUGGGGUUUUUUGUGAUAAAAAACCUAAUUUUGAGUAAAUUUGUCACAAGGGUAUUAGUUUGGAGAUUUUCGUGAUAUUAUCCCUAAGUCACUAGGAAAAUAUUUUCAUUGUCCAUAAAAAUAUUUGGAUAUAAAUUGUUGUUGAUAAUGUAAAAAAGUUUUCUUUCACUAAUUAUUUCAAAUGAUACAAUUGAUUUAUUUUCAAAAAAAUGUUUUCAAAAUCGUUCAAUUUCUAUGAAAAAAACAUAACGUUUGAAAAAACAAAAUUCUUCCCGACAAAAAGUGUGGAUCUGUGCAUUUGGUCCUUUUUUUUUUUCUUUUUAGCUUGGACUUUUAUCACUCCGCCGGGAAAAUUCCCAAAAUCUUGGAUUCAUUCAACCAACAUUUCUUGAAAUUUCAAACGUUAGUUUCUAGUUCGUGCAUACCAAUUGGGCCUUGUCUAGUCAAAAGCAUCAAGCGUAUAGUCCUCAUCAAAUGGGGAAAAUGAGUUUUGCCAUGAAAUGUGAAAAUCAAAGAAAGAGUACAUGUAACAAAAAUUAAGGAAAAUUAUUUGGUCCAUUAGAAAAAUUACCCAAAAAAUCCUCAGUAUAAUGCACUUUUAUUAAUUCAAUUCUAAAUCUUUCAAUUUUAUCAAUUGAAUUUUAAACAUUUUCAUUUUUUGCCAAGUGAAUCCAUCAUGUCAAUUUUGGUCAGAAAUUGCUAAGGUAGACACCAAUCAUUCAACAUGAAUAGUUUUUAAUAAUAUUUUAACUUUUUGUCGAAUUAUUUUUUUCUUUCUUUUUUUCCAAACCCUAGGUUGGCAAGGGCCAGUGACCCUUGUUUGGCAUGGGUGAAGGCAUUGCUGCUCUCGCUUGCAAGGGCAUUGAGGGGAGGGCGUUACAACCCUUGCUAGCCAAUUGGCGAGGGUUGUAGCCCUCGCUUGGUUCCAGAUGAGGGCCUCACACCCUCGCUAGUCCAAGGUUAGACGUAAAAGAAAAAGAAAAAGAAUAAAACAUUAUUCAAAAUUGUCCUUAUUAGCAUUGGUUGUACCACAUAGGAUGAUAAAUGUCUAUGUUAGCGAUUUCCAACCAAAAUUAAUUGAAUGGACUUAAUUAAAAAAAUGUGAAAAUAUUUAGAAUUUAAUUAGCAAACUUGAAAUGUUUAUAAUAGAAUUGACAAAAGUACAAUAAAUUUAGGACUUUUUGAAUAAUUUUCCCAUGUGAUAAUAACCUUUGCAGAGUCGGCGCAAUCAGUUGAAUAGUUUGGGGAUUUCCAGGUUAGAAGCUUGAGGUUAUCGGUUGAAUUCUCACAACUCACAUGUUAGGGGUGAGUGGUUGCACGUUUCGUUGAGAUUCUAUAUGAAGCUUGAAACUUACUUGUUGGAACACAUUUCCUAAUUUUUGGAACCUUGAAUUUACCUUACAUACUUAGGAACCUAGAAUCUACCUUGUCAUAGGUAUUAGGUUCUACCUAUACUCUGUACUCUUAAUGACUAGCAUUUACUACAAUCCACUAAUAACAAUUCAUAUAUAAUACACGAAAAUUAUGAAAUAUAAACAAAUAAAAUUUUUAAUUAUAGAUAUUAUUGAAAAUGGAAGCUCGAAUUAGCAGUUUUAGAUUGCAUACUUAUUAUUAGAGGCUAUGAAAUGUCACAAGAUCACAUGAAGACAUUAAAUAAGAAAAACAUAAAGAAUUAUUUCAGAUUCCAAGUUUCAGAUUUCUCACAUGUUGAAACAAAUUCUUCAAUUUUUAGAAGUUAAAACCUACUAUGUAUGUUCUAAAAUUGGAACAAGACUGGUUCUCAUUAAUUCGAUUCUCAGUACCUACCACGCAUAAUCUAUUAUGAGCAACAAACAUAGACUACAUUCAUGAGAUUACGACAUUUUUCCGGAGCCGUCGACGUCGGUGGCUCCGGAUUAUAAUAAAAUAAAAAUCGGAUAUAACGGGCAAGUUCACUAAAAUUGAAAGUGGACACAUAACAUAAUCGUCUUUGUAACUUUCUAAGUAGUGCCGUACUGUUGGGUGAUUUCGCCAAAAAGCCGCGUACCUGUCAUUUCCGACCAAUGAAUGAGGAAUCGAGGGCAGCUCCACCGAUCUUGCAGGUAAGUGCUGUUUUCAGAGCGCUCGUGGACAAGACAGCAUGGAAUCUCCCGCCUCCCUACUAUAAAGCUCGGCUCGCCCCAUCACUUUCAUUAUCGUCUUAGUGCCGAAAUUUUCUUCAUUUUCUCUAUUAUUUUCUAUCAUGUUAUCAAUGUCGUUCUUCCUCGCCUAGCUUCCAUAUUUUAGAGUUGCCUUUCGUUUUAUCUUGGUUUUUUUUUUUUUUUGGUUAUUACAAGUCCUCAUCCUGCAAUACAAAUCAGCAAAUCGAUUAGGAAUUCAAUUUUAAUUUUUUUCGAUACCAAGGCAAAAAUUAAGAACACUGAAAGCUCCAUGAUAGAGGAGACACCUACCUCACCUCAAAAUCAAGCCCCAUCGCCGUCGGAUUCGAUUAUAAUUUGGGACAAGAUAUUUUAAUCAUUUCGAGAUAAUCUUUAACUGAUCAUGCUCUUCUAGAUACACAGCGAUUGCGCACUUCCAAAUGCUUAUUAUGUCAAGUAACAUGACAAUCUAAUGGCAUGCAGUUCAACCAAUUUUGCACUCGUUGAUGUAGAAUUUGGCGUUAAAAGGAAAAUGAUAGUUGCUCGUAUGCUCUCUGCUUAGACAUUGCUUUAUGUUAUGAACUACCUACCAAGGUUGCGGCCAGAGAACUAAGCUCACAAUGCGAAGUAAUUCGACCAAGUGAAUGAAAUUGCACAAAGAAAGGGAUGCACCCCAUUGCAGUUAACCCUCGCCUGGUACACCACUGGAGUGAUGACGUUUGCCCGAUUACCGGCACGAUCAAGAUCGAGAAUUUCAACCAGAACAUUGGAGCUCUGUCAGUGAAGCUUUCGCCAGAAGAGAUGGGCCAAGCUCAGAUCGAUUGCUUAUAUGGAUAAUGUCNNNNNNNNNNNNNNNNNNNNNNNNNNNNNNNNNNNNNNNNNNNNNNNNNNNNNNNNNNNNNNNNNNNNNNNNNNNNNNNNNNNNNNNNNNNNNNNNNNNNCCUCGCGCUUAUGGAAGAGUAAUCACGAAGACAUCACAAUAGUUCAAUUGACGUUAGCAGGUACGUCUUCCCUACAUGGUAAGGGUCGUCACUGGGCGUGCAAUUGACGUAAGCACGUGCGUCUUCACAGCCACUACCGCUCCCCUCCUACUCAUCGUAGCUUCUGCCACUCCCCUCCUAUAAAUCUCGGCUCGCCCGACGCCUUCGCCAUCGUCUCGGUGCAGUGCAGGGAACGAUCGAGCUCGAGCUAGACUACGGCAAUGGCGGCAUCGACGACGACGACGGUGAGGAGGAUCAAGCUGGGGUCGCAGGGCCUGGAGGUGUCGGCGCAGGGGCUGGGCUGCAUGAGCAUGUCCGCCUUCUACGGCCCUCCCAAGUCCGAGCCCGACAUGAUCGCCCUCAUCCACCACGCAGUCGGCUCCGGCGUCACCUUCCUCGACACCUCCGACGUCUACGGUCCUCACACCAACGAAAUCCUCCUCGGAAAGGUCGUUCUCUCAGUCUCUCUUUUGCCUCUGCAUGAAUUAUAUAUGCUUAUGGUUUUACGGAACUUAGCUUCAUCGAGCAGGAUGCUCUGAUCCUGCGCCUUGGUUUUCUGAUUUCGGGGUUGAUUUUGAGCAGGCACUGAAGGGAGGGGUGAGGCAGAAGGUGGAAUUGGCGACCAAGUUCGGAGUCAGAUACGCGGACGGGAAGAGGGAGAUCCAGGGCGAUCCGGCGUACGUGAGGGCUGCUUGCGAGGCCAGCUUGAAACAUCUCGACAUCGAUUGCAUCGACCUCUACUACCAGCACCGUAUCGACACUCGCGUCCCCAUUGAAGUCACUGUAUGGAUCCCUUAUCAAACUUUCACCUCGCUUGAGACUUUCUCUGAGCCAUAUGAUGCAUCGUCAUGUUGUUACAAGUUUGUUGAAUUUUGUUAAAUGACACUUAAGUUCAGCUGAUAGCAGAGUUCAAGAUGCGGCACGGUGUUGUUCAAGGGUUGUGGAAUUUAGUAGUUUAGUGGCUUGAGUUUUCGUUUUGUGGGAAUCUUUUACAAGUUAAGGGUCAACAAGCAUGGAAAUUAUUCGAAAUCUUCCUUUGAGAUGAAAGUGCUCCGGGGUUCAUCCUGAAUUUAUAUACGGGAAUCACAUAUAAAGUUGUUCCUGGACUUUAUACGGAGACAUUUGAUUCUUGACAUAUUGUGAAAUAUGACAAGUACUUGGAAUACUUCUUUUAUUUGCUCUCUUCUGUGAGAGAUUCAAGAAAUCUACCUCCGUUAACUCAAUACCUUGUGGGUUUUUUGUCGCAUUGAGAUGCAUGAUAAUUGAGGGAUCUAGACAAAUAAAAAGCUAAUGACAAAAAUAAUUUUCUGGAUCUUAACAUGUAAGAUCUUGAUGUUGUUGUUCUGUCAUGUGAAUAUGCACAGAUCGGAGAGCUAAAGAAGCUCGUUGAAGAGGGUAAGAUAAAGUACAUCGGUUUAUCCGAGGCCUCUGCAUCAACAAUCAGAAGAGCACAUGCUGUUCAUCCCAUCACAGCAGUGCAAUUGGAGUGGUCGCUUUGGUCAAGAGAUGUGGAGGCGGACAUCGUUCCAACGUGCAGGUAGGAUAUCACUCUGUUAAUUGUUUAUGCAGCAACAACAGCUUCCUUCUGACUCUGCUUUUCCUUUAAAAUGUUGACUAGGGAGCUUGGCAUUGGAAUUGUUGCCUACAGUCCUUUAGGACGAGGAUUCUUUUCUGUUGGCUCCAAGUUGGUGGAGAAUAUCUCUAAGGAUGACGUCAGACAGGUCUGUUCCUGCUUGUCAACAUAAUUAGAUGCUUACAGUGGCUGUCAUUCUUAUUGAAGUGCUGGAAACCUGUUCUUGUGGUAUAAAGAAAAAGUAUCUGGAUGGGAUGAAUAAAACUUGGUGACACGAAUGCUUCGUGUUUUUAUAUGUCUUUAAUCCAGCACUUGCCAGACAUCCCACCUCUCUCGAUUCUAGAUAAAUGUAAAAUCACAAGUAAUGGCUUUAGUGAGCCUGAAAGAGGCAGUUUCCUGGAUUCUCGUCCUUUUGGGAAUGAAUGCAUAUAGGUUUAUAUGUAAGUUGCUCUGUUUCCCAGCCUUCCCAACAUUUGCUUAUCACUAUCCUUUCCCCACUUUCCACCCACCCUUUUUCUCUCAUCUUUCUUCACAAGAUUAGCGAUAUUUCCUCGAAAUAACUGACGCCAGUAUCGGGCUCUGGCCCUCCGUCCUUUUUCUUUCUCAUCUUUCUUCACAAGAUAAACUAUAUCUUGACACAACCAUUUCUUGAGCGAGGACUCCCGACACCCUUCUUAUGAGAGUUUUGGAUGAAGUUCCCAUCUGACAUAAAGCCAAUUGUGUAUUACUCCCCGCCAUUAGCGUUUGACUAGCGAUAGUGCUGGGCAAGUGAAGUAGCUAUUUUUCUUUGUAGCUAAAACAGCUCUGCGUCUGAUAACAUUCUUCUACACAUCAUCUACAUUUCUGAUUUUUUGUUUUAUGUGUGACUAAUGGUAUCAUCACAAGUACAAAACUUAGAUUGUCGAGUUUGUUUCUGUUUUCACAUCCUACAUCAAACCCAUCAGCCUUGUGUGGUAGUUGCUAGAUCACUUCGCUUGACGUUUCUAAUGCUUAUGAUUUGGGACAAGAUAUUUUAAUCAUUUCAAGAUAAUUUAUAACUGAUCAUGCUUUUCCAGAUACACAACGAUUGCACACUUCUAAAUGCUUAUUAUGUCAAGUAACAAGACAAUCCGAUGGCAUGCAAUGCAACCACUUUUGCACUUGUUGCUAUAGAAUUUAGCCCUAAAAGGAAAAUGAUAAUUGCUCAUAUGCUCUCGGCUGAGACAUUACUCUAUGUUAUGCAGAAGCAACCAAGGUUCCAGCCAGAGAACUUGGCUCACAACACGAAGUUAUUCGACCGAGUGAAUGAAGUUGCGCGAAGAAAGGGAUGCACCCCAUCUCAGUUAGCCCUCGCCUGGGUACACCACCAGGGUGACGACAUUUGCCCGAUUCCCGGCACAACCAAGAUCGCGAAUUUCAACCAGAACAUUGGAGCUCUGUCAGUGAAGCUUACACCGGAAGAGAUGGCCGAGCUUGAAUUGAUUGCUUCUGCGGACAAUGUCAAGGGUGGCAGGUACGAUAGCAGCGUUCCUACAUGGGAAAACUCCGACACUCCACCUCUUUCUUCAUGGAAACCUGCCUAGAAGCAUGUCUGCUUCUGGUGCUGCAUCUUUGAUGUGCAGAGUUUGAGCAUUUGCUGCUGAAGUAAUUUGAGUUUAUGUUGUGUGGCUGUUAUAAGUACGUGUAAUAAGAGAGUGACUGUUUUCAUUUUGUACAUGUGACAUUCACUAUGAGAAGAUUAUGGAUGUGUACUAACCUUACUGGGGAAAGAUCACUCGACAAACACGAGAGCGAGUUGAAUACAAACUGAGCCUGCCGUGUCGACUUUAUUGGGGUGACUUUUAGAAUCUGAGAAAUCGGGAUUUUGAAGAAUUCAAACUCAGUCGUACAUACUAGAGUGACGCUUUAUUCUCCUCCAACCAUGAGUUUAAUACUAACACCGUGUGCAACAUGCUCUUAAGACUGGAUGCUACACAUAGAUACAAAGCUUCGCUUUGUGUUUGGUUUGGUAGCGAAGUUAAGGAAAAGUAAAAUGUUACCUGAUGUUCUCGCGAAAACGAAGUUGGGGUUAAAAUGCUGGCGCGGUUGAUAUGAGCGUCAGGGAAAUCGAAGGUUUCUUGUUCAAGUUUCACCACCUACGGCUCAUGAGCUUUUAUGUAGCUCGAUACCUUCGCUCAUGCCUCUGCAUUAUUAUAAAACAGUCGGAGAUAUUGCGCAAGUUUCCUAAAAUUAAAAACGACAAUUCUAUUGUUUUUUAUUUGGAGUUAGAGUGGAGCAAUGUUGUUUUGUUUUGGUUUAGGAAAAUAACGCAAAUAGUCACUGCACUUUGGUUUAACGUAUUAUGUUCUUACUGAACUUUUAAUUUAUUUAGUAUGGUUGUCGAACUUUUUAUACAUGUUUAAUUUAGAUCCGAGGCUAGAUAAAUCCAAUGAUGCUGUGUUUGGUCGUUCGAACAUCUUUGCUAUAUGGGAUAAUGAUAGGAUAAAAAUCCCAUCUAAUAUUUCUCCACGUCUGGACAUAACAUGAUUCAAAUAAAACAAAUUUAAAUGAGUGUUUGAUUUGUAUAAUUAAAAUUAAAAAUAAACCAUGGAAGUCGUAAAUACUAUUCAUCCUUUCCCAAUCUUCAUCCAUAUCAAGCACCCCCGUUCCAUGUGACUUCAAGGACGCUCGCUCCUUCUGCAACACCCCUUUCGCUGCCCUUGAUCAACUCGAUGGAUUACGCUCGCUCUACCUUUGACUUCGCCACAUUGAGAGGCCCUUGGGUUUGAGUUCUCCGCUGGUCUAGCCAUCUUUACUUUCAACGCCUUUUUCCUGCGAUAAAUCCAUCCCCUUCGACGAGUGUGAAUACCGCGUUGAUUCCCUGUUACCGUGCUCCGACUUGUUCAGUCGCUUCAACAGCUUCCCCCGAGACAGCGCGCGGAUCCGGUUUAUGAGUGGACAUGGUUGAGGAGCUCUAUCACCUUGGCUGCCGCCUCUUUCGGAUCAUCUUCUUCACAGCGGAGGUGUCCAGCUUUGAUCGGGAUCACAAAGUUCCCUCCUAAAAUGGAGUUAAGUGACAUAAGAAAAGAGGCAGGGCUGACGAGCUCCGCGAUACUCAUGCUCUAAUUUUGUGGUGGUCAUUUUAGUGAGACAAAUUAAGAGAGAUGAUGGUGGCACUGGUCAAAAGUGAGGACAAGCCAUCGACAAGCGCAGGAGUGGGGGAAAAAGUUGUACCCCUUAUCUUUUCAGUUUUCUAAAUUUCACAUAUCAUAUUUGAAUUUAUAUCACUUUCUAGAAGGGAUUUUUAUCCGGACUAUAUCUGAAUUUCACGUUACUCUAAACAAUGGAUAGGAUCAAACUUGCCAUAUCAGAGUUUAUCCAACCCAUUAAAGACAGUCUUAUGAGAUAGAAUGCAAUGAUAUAAUUUGUGAACUAGAUUAAACAUUUAUUAAAAAUUUAAGAACAAUAGUUUACAUUUUGAUUAUUAGGAUGCAUGAAUAAGUUAUGUUAAAACAAUCGCACAAUAUAUUGAUAGCUUUGAAAUAUGGCUUUCUCUUGGCGAUGAUGUCGAUUAAUAUGGAGAAAUUAAUGGGAGGGUUUAUUUGGCCUAAUUAAAUGGGAGGCUAUAUCAAUGGGAGGUUUUUCAUUGUAACAUUCCCUUGUGCUUGGUAUUUGUAUUUUAGUAAAGGAUUUUGUUAGCAUAAUAGUCUUUGGAUUAUUAUGAGAAUAACAGUUUGUUAUAAGUCAUAAACUUUUAAAGUCGUGAACCCCAUGAUAAUUUCAAUUAUUUGUUAUUUGAUUUUUUGUAGUCUAGAAUAAAAAUUAUCAUCAAAUUAUUUAUUUUUAACAAAUAUAUUGCUCUAACUGUUGUUUCAAUUAAGUUUGCAUCGGAGAAUAGAUUAUUUUGUUUUGGUGCGCUAGUCGAGGGCAGAAGAACACCACAAGUGCCAUAACUUGGCACGCCGGGACACUUAAGUGCCAUAACUUCCAAACGGUACACUUAAGUGCCACUUUUUUUUUCAAGUGGGACACUUAAGUGCCACCUCCGGCGACCCUUGCCGGAAAUCAUACGUGGCACUAUUUUAUUACUAUUUUUGCCAACGUGGCUCGCCGGAGAGCUGAGUCGGCGCUCAGUCACCAGAAACGACGUCGUCUCCAUAAUAAAAGCCCCAAAUCUUCCAAAAACGACGUUGUCUCCCCAAAUGCCCCAAAUCUAAAACCCUAAAUCGGCCAAAAUCCCUAUUGAAGUGCUCGAAUUGAAGUCUCGAACCCUAAUUUUCAUUUGCCCAAAAUUCCUUCGUCGAAUCUUGGAAAUGGAGAGCAGGACUCGCAGCAGCGCCUCAAUUUCCUCUCAUCGAAGCGAAGGAGAAGGCCAGCGUUUCUGUUUUUGUGGGUUACCGAGUCCAAGAAGAACAUCGUGGACUCAAAUCAAUCCUGGGAGAAGAUUUUAUGGAUGCGCCCGAUAUAAAGAAGCGUCGAAGUGCAAAUACUUCAAAUGGAUUGAUGAGAAGUUCUCUGACCGAGCCACAGAGGUGAUAUUGGAUCUACUUCAUAAAAGACAGCAAUCUUCAUCUGUGUUCGUGGACGACUUGGACGAUGUUGACUCAAUGCAAGCUCAAGUGUCUUCAGUGAAACUUUCGAAGAAUGAAGUGUCAAUGCACGCUCAAGCAUCUUCAACUAAACCUUUCAAGAAUGAAGUCCCAAUGAUGAAGAUUGAACGAAAGUGUUACCAAGCGUGUAUUAUGGUGUUGUUUUGUUGUCUAUUGUACUUUAUGAUGAAAUGUAAAGUACUUGAGAAUGAGAAAAAGUUUCUGCGACUGCCAUAGUUAAAAAUGGUGUUGUUCUGGAUUAAACGUUGGGUUUUUUCUUUUUGAAAGAUGCGAAGAAGUUUGUGUUGUGGAACAAGAUCAUUGUUGCUUUGUUGUCGUUUGUGCUGUGGUAUGGACUUGCCAUAAGUUUACCAUCAUCUUCUCUGUUUUGAUGCAGAAUCAUCUUCUCUGUUUUGCAAUGCAGAAUCAUGUUCUCUGUUUUGAUGCAGACCGACAUAUACACAAGACAAACAUGAGUCAUUACCCGAGUGCCAUAAGUUGUAUUCAGUAAUCACGUAAGUGCUAGUCGCGAUGAAAAAAGGAUCACUUUAGUGUAAAGUUAUUGUUAAAGUGAUCGGUUAAGUGUCACUUGUAGUUAAAAGUGAACAGUUAAGUGCCAAGUUUUUUUAGAAUAGGAUCAGUUAAGUGCCAAUUUUUUUGUCGGUUUUCUGUAAAAAUUGCGCCAGCCACCAGCACCGGCGACACCACCAACCAUCACCACUAUCCACACUACACACUAGGCGCUCCAGCCACCACCAUGCUGGUGGUGUUGCUGCACAAGAUACUAGUGCAAGGCUCAGCUUGCACUAGUUUGCACCAGUACACAUGGUGUAAGAUGUGCAAACUGCACACUUGUACCAGGUGUAGGUGCAGCUGCUUAAGCCUAUAACCCCCACCACAAACCAAUAAUCACCAGGCAUCACCAUCAGCCACACCAGCACCCCAGCCACGACAUUAGCACCCCACCAACAAACUGACUACCACCUACCACCAAACAUCACCAUCCACCAUCACUAGAUACACCAGCACUCCAGCUAUCACCACAGAACACCAACAGCAGCAGCAACAAGUAAAAGCCAGAAUCCAUGAUAAACAACAACAUAAAUUGACAAGCAGCGCAAGAUCAUUUCAUUGAUAUUAAUAUCAUCAAGUCUGAGUCUGACAACAUUCAUUUCAUUGAUAUUUCAUCAAGUGUGAGUCUGAGUCUGACAACAUCAAUGAAUGACAAACUAAAGAAAAAAAACAAAAGAUAACCAUCGAUGCAUAGACUUUCUAUAUGCACGACAACAUCAUCGUUUACAUAACUGUUUUUACUCCUAAGCUCCACAAAUCCUAUCACAUCUCAUCUCAUCAAUCAAUAUGCACGACACCCCCUGUUCGUCCUCCUUUCGAUGGGCCUUUCACUUGAUUCAUAAUUCUGGCACUCUUUCUAACUGGACGUGCAACUUCUUCUUCAACCUUCUCAGUAUCCACUGACUCAGAUGGAGCUGCAAAUGUCAUAGGCCGAAUUGAAUCAAAAGGAGCUGGAGCUGGAGCUGGAGAUGGAGCUGGAGCUGGAGCUCGAGCUCGAGCUGGGUUCUUUCUCUUAUUUUUUUUUGGCACAGUUGAUGUUGAUGUUUUCUUCUUUUUUGUUGGUGCAGCCGUCGAUUCUUGAGUUGGGCCUGAGAUAAGAACUUCUGAACUUCUCCCAGGCUACAAAAAAACAAUAAAUUGUUAGCAAAAAUCUACAGCAUAAAUUAAAUUAAAUGCAGCCAAUAAAACUUACAUUGAGAAUGACUGUUCCAGUAGGCUCAUCUGUAUACAGGCCAUAGCCAUAUUGUCUGAACCUCUUCCCAAGUGCCCCUCUUGUUUGAAUAGGGGCGUCACUUUCAGGAACUUGUGAUUUGUUGCCCCUUUGUCCUGCUUUCUUGGGCCCUUUAACUACAGCCGAGGCUUGUUCGACCCAUUGUGUUGGGCGUCUUCUAGAUGGCCUUUGUGUACCUGCCCCUUCACCUGGCCUUGUUCUAGUUGUCCUUCUGUGUAGCCCUUCAACUUCAGUGACACCUCCUUCUGUUUGGCCUUCUGGUGGUACUGGUGGUGGUACUUGUGGUGCCCCUUGCAGCUCCUGUGAUGAUCCUUGAGAGCAUGAUCCUUGAGGUGGCUCCUGUGAUGAUCCUUGAGGUGGCUCCUGUGAUGGCCCUUCAGUUGGCAGUUGAGUUCGAACUUGCUUUCUUCGAACCUGAGAAAGAGGCGAAAAUCGAACCUGAGAAAGAGGCGAAAAGAUACCAUAAAUAUAAUAUCGAGACAUAUAAUAAUAAAAACUGAAUACAAAUUGAUUGAAUUUAGCACUGGGUAUUUCUUUCGCUGCUGAAGAACAGUCGACUGCACUGGCCGUGAUGCUGCUUGGGUCAAUCCUUCAGCUGGCCGUGAUGCUGCCACUUGGGCCAAUCCUUUACCUGGCUGUGUUCUACCUUGCCUUCUUCGAACAGGCUGUUCAGUUUCAUGACUUACUGAGGUUCUUCUUGUGACCUAACAAACACAUUACAUACAAGGCCAAAUAGGAUAUCAUUAUGUACAUUUUUAUGAUAAACGACAAGAAAGCAACAUAAACAUAAAAUAAAUUUCAUGACUUACCGGGGUUCUACUUGUUGACUGAAGAACAGUCGACUCACUUGGCCCUGCUGUGUGCAUUUCUCCAACUGUCUCUUCACUAGGCCCUUCACCUUGCCUCAACCGUUGUUGCUUCCUCAAUUGACAACCUUUAAUAUUGUGGCCUGUUAGGCGACAAUAAGAGCACGUGAUCUUUGCACCCUCCCUGCUCAUUCUUUGCUGACCCGAGACCUCUCCCUCCGCCAUUCUUCGUCUUCGUUUUGUCCUUCCAAUUGUCUUCUUCAGUGGCAAAGGUAGAGGUGCUUCACGAUCCGUGGGCUCCCAAAACUUGCUACUUCUAAUUGGCUGCAUCAUGAACUGAUAGGAAGCAAGAUACUUUGAUUUAUGGUACCAAUCAUCGAUGUAAUCAUCUAUAUUGUCGCCCUUCAACUGGAUGGCACAUAUGGCAUGUGCACAUGGAAUUCCACUUACUUGCCAUGAUCUACAUGAACACUUCCUACUUCCUAGAUUGACAACAUACUUAUCUGCACCCUUCAUUAUCUCAUAUCCGUCAUCUCCAUUCCAAAUGGGAUGACAAUGCGUACUUGCAGCCAAGUUGUCAUCCAAUUUCUUCACAAUCCUAGGACCAUAUUGUCUUGUCCACUUUGCAGCCUCAUCUCUUUGUUUCUGCAGCCGAGUCAUAACCGCAACUCGUAUAUCUUCAAGCAUUGAGAUGACUGGUUUGCAUCUGGCAUCUAUUAUCUUCGAAUUAAAUACUUCACAAAUGUUGUUGUCGACGUUAUCGCACUUGAACUCCUCACUGAAGAAUGCCCUGCACCAAUGCUUCGGUUCUAGUUGAAAUAGGGUAGCACAACCUUCCUUUGUCAACUGAAGCAGUCCUUCUUUGGCUAUUCUAAAGUCAGCCAUGUUUGCACUCUUUGCUAAUUGCCAAAAUUGCAAUUGCAGCUUAUCCCCUUUAUAGUUCUUUGCCCAAUUUCCGUAUAUGUGCCGCGCACACAUUCGAUGUUCAGCAUGGGGCAACAACUCGGCUACUGCCGGAACCAAUCCCUGCAAUAAUUCAAAGUAAGAAAUAUUAUAGCAAAUUACAUGUUCAUAUUACAAAGCAAAGCAAAGCAAACUAUUGACUAAACUUUUCAAAAAGCAAGCAUUACCUUCUGUUGGUCACUCGUGAAUGCCCACCCUUCCCCGUUUGUUAUCUCCAAGUCAGCCAUCAGAUUUUUCAAGAACCAAGACCAAUUGUCCUUGUUCUCAAUCUUUACAAUAGCCCAAGCUAGUGGGAACAUUUGGUUAUUCGCAUCUCUUCCAAUCGCUGCCAACAAUUCUCCCUUGCACAAGCCCUUCAAGAAACAGCCGUCCAAUCCUAUAAUCCGUCUACAACCAGCUAAAAAACCUCGUCUGCAUGCAUCAAAGCACACAUAGAACUUAUCGAACUUGGUCCCAUGAUCAGGAAGUGGUCUCUCAAUCACCUCUACAUACACUCUACUUGUAGGGUUUUGCAGCCUACACUCCCAAGCAUACUCCCACACCUGCCCAUAUUCCUUAGCAUACUGACCAAUAAGUACCUUUAUCACCUUUUGCUUUGCUCUUUUGCACUGAUUCCUAGAUACAUUGAUGCCUACACGCUCCUUCACCAGCAUCCUAAAGUUAGCAAGUUUCAAGUUGGGCAUCACCUUGAUCAGAUCGAAGAAGUGCUUCGACAACCAUGAACUUGUUACCCUUUUGUUUUGAAAAUUAAUGGAACAAGUGUGUUCCUCUUGGUAGGCUCUAAUCUGAAAAGACCCACUCUUCUUAACAAACGCACCGUAAAUCUUCCAUGGACAGUUUUGCUGCGAACACCUAGCUCUUACAAAUUUCUUGGUAUUUCUAAUGAAAUCAAUAUUUCUUUGUGCAGCAAUGGAAGAACUCAGUAUAGCUUCCCUAAAUUGUAUCGCAUCAUGGAAUUUCAUACCUACUGACAAAGUAGGAGAUGCAACAGAUGGAUCAUAGGAAGGAAACUUACUUUUCCUUCUACGCACAGCUCGUUGAUCUUCUUCAACUUCGUCCUGGGAAGUUGCGGUGUCGAUGCUUUCUUCAUAAUCUGUCUCCAGGACCUGGCCAGCAACACCAACAUCUGCAGGGCCUUCGUCUCUGUUUGGAUGAACAGCUACAUGCAAAGUUGCAAAUCUAUCUAACAAAAAGUCCCUUUGUUUUUUCCUUGACUGUGUAAGCUCCUCAUCGUCGACGUCACUUAAGAUUAACAAAUUUUCAGCUUCAGCAGCCAACCCUUCAUCGUCAUCGUCACCCUCACUGGAUUCAGCUACUUCCCAAUCUAAUUCAGUGAUGGUGACAUCACCCAUGUCACAAUCGCUCUGGUGAACAGCAUCUGCGCCCCUCUCCUCCCCAUCCUGUCCAUCAUGACCUACUUCAUCUCCUCCUUCUCCUACUUCGGUGGUAUCUGUGUCAUCAUGUUCGUCCUCACUAUUGUUUUCAACAAACACUUUCGCCUCUUCGCCAUGAAGAAAAUGAUAUAAGACAUCCCUAAAACCAUUAUCAUCUUCCAAAACUCUCAAACCAUCUCUCAAGCCUUUCCCAGGAACACAGUACAGUAACUUUUGUACUCUACAAGGCAAAAAUGUCACUAUAUCCCUAACAAAUCCAAUAUAAGAUGCCUUCUUUAUAUCUACAAAGAUAGUACCCUCAUUCCCCCCCUCAUACUCCCACUCAUCCUCCCCAAUCACAAAAUCUCCACCGUAGUAAACGAUGACAGCAACAUAGUCUUUAUGCGCCAUUUCUGCAACAAAAGAGGACAAAUAUACAAUUAACUAUUUUGGGACCACAUUCACAAAGAACAGACAAUUGCAAGUGGAGGUCCCCACACUCUUUAUUAAAGAAAAGAAAAGAAAAGAAGAAGAGAGAGGGAAGAUGCGGUCGUCGACAGCUGCAGCUUGAAAACAACAGGCCUCAGGACAAGGACAAAUAAAAAUUAAGAUGGGACCCGACAACUGCUUUGAUUAUGCCGUCGCAUUUCUUUAAAAUAUGGAGAGAUUCCUCAGCAUGGGUCCUCAACAAUGCAAUUUAUUAAACAAAUAUCCAGAAGUCCCCAUCCCCACAACCUUCGAUUCUCACAUGUGCAAAGUCCAAUACUCUGAACCCUAACAAUCACCAAUCAUCGCACAUUUCACAUCCGACCACUACAAAUUACUUUCGCACAUCACAAUUCAACACCCUGAAUGAAUCACACAUCACAGUGGAUGAGGCGACGUCGAGCCCUACACUGAGCCCUAAUUUCCCCCCCCUCGAGCCCUACACCGAGCCUAUAUUUCAAUGCCGCUCCUAAACUGUCAAUUUGAACCCCCCAAUAGGAUUGUAGCACUACAUCUCAGCCAUUAAAUCUCACAUCAAGCCUGACCUUUCCCAGCCGACCCCCAAAUUUGAAGUCCGAGCCCUAAUAAACGAGUCGGAGCCCUAAUUUCACCACAGGGGAGAGGAAGAAGAGAAAAAACCUGAGCAAAUCGACGACGGCGAGCGAUGACGGCGCUCGACGACGGCGACCGACGACGGCGACCGACGACGGCGACCGACAAAGGCGAGCGACGACGGCGAGCGAUCACCUGCGAACGGCGAGCUGUGAACGGCGAUGGAUGGAUGGAGAGGACGUCAGACCUACUGUGAACCGACAAAAUGUUAAAUUCCAAAUAAACGAACGACGUCGUUUUGUUUGGCCAAGUGCACAGUGGAUGGGGCGACGUCGUUUUCCUCCUCCACGUCUGCUUUUUUUAAAAAAAAAAAUUGCCACAUCAGUUAAGCUUGUCGCCGGAAAAUGCCACGUCUGCAUUUUGGCCGGUUUUUCGCCGGAUUGGCACUUAAGUGUCCCAUUUUACUCCGAUGAUGGCACUUAAGUGUACCAUUUUAAAGUUAUGGCACUUAAGUGUCCCGGCGUGCCAAGUUAUGGCACUCCAGGUGUCCCGACCUCCUAGUCGAGUAUUGCACAGUACAUUGUCAUUUUCUGAGCACUAGCAACGUUGCAUUCAGACAAGGCGGCAUGGAAUUAUUUGCCCAGCUGCACAUCGCUCGACCAUACAUUCAUGGACUGUUCCUCAGGAAAGCAUAUAGACAUGUGGCAGAUGCAGAACAUUUCACGAGAUUAAAAAAAAGAAAAUAAUUUUAAAAAAACUAUAGUUUCAACUUCAAAACAUGUCGAACGCCUGUUUCCACAUCAAGAAUUUGGGACCUCCCAAAUAUUUUCUUGGUAUUAAGAUUGCUCGAUCUAGUAAAGGUAUUAGUCUUAGUAAGGUAUUAAGAUUGCUCGAUCUAGUAAAGGUAUUAGUCUUAGUAAGAGGAAGUUCAUCCUAUAAAUCAUUUUUGAAGCGGGAUUAUCCAAAUACAAGUCCGCCAUCAUACUAAUCGAACAAAAUACUAAGCUGCCAACUCAUGGACUUAGAUUCUUCAUCUUUUGAGGAUUCAUUGCUCAAGGAUCCAUCAGCAUAUCGGCAACUUGUUGCAAAAUCAAUAUACCUCAUCAUCACAUGGCCCGAUAUAUGUUAUGCAGUGCAAGUACUCUUUAUUCAUGCAUAGUCCAAAACAAUUCCAUAUGAAUGCAGCCCUAGAAGUUGUGAAAUAUUUGAAGUGAUGUCUAAGACUUGGAAUAUUUUUAUCUUGUGACUGCAACAUGAAGAUGAGAGCUUUUUGUAAUAUAAAUUAUGCUACUUGCCUGAUGAACAAGAGAUCUAUUUUUGUUUAUGCAUUAAAUUGGGAAAGUCAUUAAUCUCGUGGAAAAGGAAGAAGUAGUCAAUUAUAUCAUUGUCAUCAGCUGAAUCAAAGUAUCAAGCCAUGGGGAAAACUACCUGCGAAGUAGUUUGGAUAGGAGGAUUACUCUCGGAUCUUGGAUUACAGGUUAGUGGAGCAACUAAAUUGUUUUGUGAUAAUGAUGCUACAUUUAAAUUAACAACAAAUCUAGUUUUUCAUGAAAGAACAAGACAUAUAGAAGUUGAUUGUCAUUUUACUCAAAUAAGAUUAGAGAAAGAGUUGUUGUAACUAAAGGAAUUGGAAUUAUGUCAAUAGGAUAUUUUGGACAAAGGGUUAAUGGGAGCAGAUUUGUGACUCAAGUAAAAAUUUAUGAAUUUUUAUGAGAUUGUAAAAAUUUUAGGGUAUUAUACAAAAAAAAAAGGUCUAAGGUAGAAUUAGUAUGUGAGUUAACAUUGAGGAUUUUUUAUGGGACAAAAAAAAGGUAAUGGUAGAAUUGUGAAUGGAUCUAAAUUAUUGUUCUUUUUUGAGACAAAAGGUACAAUUUGGAGAAAAGCUAAAGCAGGAGGUUUUUUUUCAUAAGGGUGUUAAGGUUCAUUUUGUCAUUCAUAUGACGUCAGCAUUUCUUAUUUUCUCCUACCUUUUCGUCAGCACGUGCGUCUUCGGUAGCACGUGCAGGGAUCGAGCGAGCUCGAGCUAGACGACGGCAAUGGCGGCGGCGUCGACGACAACGGUGAGGAGGAUCAAACUGGGGUCGCAGGGGCUGGAGGUGUCGGCGCAGGGGCUGGGCUGCAUGGGCAUGUCCGCCUUCUACGGCCCUCCCAAGCCCGAGCCCGACAUGAUCGCCCUCAUCCACCACGCCGUCGGCUCCGGCGUCACCUUCCUCGACACCUCCGACAUAUACGGCCCCCACACCAACGAAAUCCUCCUCGGAAAGGUCGGUUCUCUCAGUCUCUCUUUUGCCUCCUCAUGAAUUGUAUGUGCUUAUAGUGUUACGGAAUUUAGCUUCAUCGAGCAGGAUGGGAUGCUCUGAUCCUGCGUCAUGGUUUUCUAAUUUCGGGGUUGAUUUUGAGCAGGCGCUGAAGGGAGGGGUGAGGCAGAAGGUGGAAUUGGCGACCAAGUUCGGAGCCGUCAUCGGGGACGGGAAGAGGGAGGUCCGGGGCGAUCCGGCAUACGUGAGGGCGGCUUGCGAGGCCAGCUUGAAGCGGCUCGAGGUCGAUUGUAUCGACCUCUACUACCAACACCGUGUCGACACUCGAGUCCCCAUCGAAGUCACUGUAUGGAUCCUCCUUAAACCUUUACCUCUCUCUCGAGACUUUCUCGGAGCCAUAUGAUCAGUUGCUAAACUAGAUUGGUGUUAAUUAUGCAUCGUCAUGUUGUUACAAGUUUGUUGGAUUUUGUGGCAGUUGCUUGUAAAUAUUGUUAAAUGAGAUUUAAGAUCGGGUGAUAGCAGAGUUCAAGAUGCGGCACGAUGCUGUUAAAGGGGUUGUGGAAUUUAGUGGUUUAGUGGCUUGAGUUUUUGUUUUAUGGGCAUCUUUUACAAGUUGAGGGUCAACAAUCAAGAAAAUCAUUCGAAAUCUUCCUUUGAGAUGAAAGUGCUCCGGGGUUCAUCCUCAUUUAUAUACAAGAAUCACAUUUGAAGUUGUUCCUUGACUUUCUAUGGAAUGGAGACAUUUGGUUCUUGACAUAUCAUCGUGAAAUGUGACAAGUACUUGGAACACUUCUUUAAUUUGCUCUCUUCUGUGAUCGAUUAGAGAAAUCCACCUCCGUUAACGCAAUACCUAGCGACUUUUUUGUCACAUUGACAUGCAUAAUAAUUGACUAAACUAUUGAGGGAUCGGGAAACAUAAAAAGCUAACGAUGUGCAUAAUUUUCUGGAUCUUAACACGUAGGAUCUUGACGGUUGUUGUUUUGUCUUGUGAAUAUGCACAGAUUGGAGAGCUAAAGAAGCUCGUUGAAGAGGGUAAGAUCAAGUACAUCGGUAUGUCUGAGGCCUCUGCGUCAACAAUCAGAAGAGCACAUGCUGUUCAUCCCAUCACAGCGGUGCAAUUGGAGUGGUCGCUGUGGUCAAGAGAUGUGGAGGCAGAGAUCAUUCCCACGUGCAGGUAGGAUAUCACUCUGUUAGUUUAUUUAUGCAGUAAAAUCAUCUUUCUUCUGACUCUGCUCUUCCUUCAAAAUGUUGACUAGGGAGCUUGGCAUUGGAAUCGUUGCCUACAGUCCUUUAGGACGAGGAUUCUUUUCUGUUGGCUCCAAGUUGGUGGAGAAUUUCUCCAAGGAUGACUUCAGACAGGUCUGUUUCUGCUGGUCGACAUAAUUAGAUGCUCACAGUGACUGUCAUUCUGAUUGAAGUGCUGGAAACCUGUUCUUGUGGCAUAAAGAAAAGUAUCUGGAUGGGAUGAAUAAAACUUGGUGACACAAAUGCUUCACGUUCUUAUUUGUCUUCAAUCCAGCACUCGCCAGACAUCCCACCUCUUUUGAUUCUAGAUAGAUGUAAAAUCACAAGUAAUGGCUUUAAUGAGCCUGAAAGAGGUACGUUCCCGGAUUCUCAUUCUUUUGGGAAUGAAUAAAAAUAGGUUUAUUUGUAAGUUGCUCUGUUUCCAAGCCUUCCCACCAUUUGCUAAUCACUAUCCUUUCUCCACUUUUCACCCACCCUUUUUCUCUCAUCUUCCUUCAGAAGAUUAGCGAUAUUUCCUCAAAAGAACCGACACCAGUAUUGGGCCUCAGCCCUCCAUCCUUUUUUAUUCUCAUCUUUCUUCACAAGAUAAAUUGUAUCUUGACACAAACAUUUCUUGAGUGAGGACUCCCAAGCACCUUUCUUAUGGAAGUUUUGGGAUCAAGUUGUGUAUUACUUCCUGCCAUUAAUUUUGGGCGAGUGAAGUAGCUAUUUUUCUUCAUAGCUAAAAGAGCUUUGCGUCUGAUAAUAUUCUUCUACACAUCAUCUACAUUUGUGAUUUCUUUCUCUUAUGUGUGACUAAUGGUACCAUCACAUGAACAAUACUUAGAUUUUGAAUUUCGUUUCUGUUUCCACAUCUUACAUCAAACCCAUUAGCCUUGUGUGGUAGUUGCUGGAUCACUUCACUCUACAUUUCUGAUGCUUUUGAUUUGGGACAAGAUAUUUUAAUCAUUUCAAGAUAAUCUUUAACUGAUCAUGCUUUUCCAGAUACACAGCAAUUGUGCACUUUCGAAUGCUUAUUAUGUCAAGUAAAAGACAAUCUGAUGGCAUGCAAUGCAACCACUUUUGCUCUUGUUGCGGUAGAAUUUGGCAUUAAAAGGAAAAUGAUAGUUGCUCAUAUGCUUUCUGCUGAGACAUUGCUCUAUGUUAUGCAGUACCUACCAAGGUUACAGCCAGAGAACUUGGCUCACAACGCCAAGUUAUUCGACCGAGUGAAUGAAAUUGCACAAAGAAAGGGAUGCACCCCAUCGCAGUUAGCCCUCGCCUGGGUACACCACCAGGGUGAUGACGUUUGCCCAAUUCCCGGCACAACCAAGAUCGAGAAUUUCAACCAGAACAUUGGGGCUCUGUCAGUGAAGUUUACACCAGAAGAGAUGGCUGAGCUUGAAUCGAUUGCUUCUGCGGACAAUGUCAAGGGUGACAGGUACGAUAGCAGCGUUCCUACAUGGGAAAACUCCGACACUCCACCUCUUUCUUCAUGGAAACCUGCCUAGAAACAUGUCUGCUUCUGGUGCUGCAUCUUUGAUAUGCGGAGUUUGAGCAUUUGCUGCUGAGGUAAUUUGAGGCUAUGUUGUGUGGCUGUUAUAAGUACGUGUAAUAAAAGAGUUCGUUAUCUUGUAAUAAAAUCUGAACUCCAGAGAGUGACUGUUUUCGUCUAGUCUGAAUGCUUGCAGACUCUGCUAUUUAAAGUCUGAAGACCUUGAGACAGCCAGACUCAAGACUCAAAGUCUAUCCUCAUUGAUAGUCACUAAUCCGUUGAAGAAAGGUUAUCCAGAACUUGAUGUUUCGUUGAGGAUUUAACCUUAUCAACUGGAGAAGAUCUCAUGGCUGGAGAAGACAUAAACGGAGUCCUUUGAUUGAUCGAAGAUUGAUUCUAUAAUUGAAGAUCCGGUGAUUGCCUAAAUAUUAUUGGAAGGUUCUGCUUAUGGAAACCGAGAUCCUGAUUGUAUGGGCGAACAUGAUUGAUGGGCUAUCAACACGUUCCUUUAAUAGCUUGAACAAUCUUCCUAAUUGAUUCCGUCCAACGGGUAGAUUGGAGGAAUUCCUUUGGUAAGUGCCAACGGGUAUGAUGGCAUAAAGGAGUAUAUAAGGAAGACUGUCUUAGUUGUUCAAGGUGUGCGCGAUAGAAGAAUUCCAAAGUCUGAAGCUCCUUUUCGUUUAGACAAAUCCUUUGAGCGAAUACUUGUAUACAAAAGAGAGAGUCUAUAUUUGUGAGAAAUCUUGAGGAGGUGUGGUAGAAUAUCUACACUGUGGAAUCAAGGCAAAGCUGUGCUGUAACCUCUCUCUUGUUCAUAGUGGAAUCCAGCCAAUAGGCUGUCAGUGAAGAAGAGUGGACGUAGGCUUGAUAUAAGCCGAACCACUAUAAACCGCGUGUUAAAUUUUCUCUUCUCUCAAGUCUUACUUUGAUUAUCGUUUCCUUCAACUGUCUAGUAUUGUGCAAUUGCUUGAGAAAAAUUCUUUAUAUACCUAUUCACCCCCCUCUAGGUACUCAUACUAGCAAUAUCAAUUGGUAUCAGAGCCUGUGUACUUACUUUAUUUGAAGUGUUUUACUUCGUAGUAAAAGAUCCAUGGCUAGUAUGCUAGCACCAGGGCUGAUGGAAGGGCAAAGCAAUACCAGACCACCCUACUUUGAUGGAAAGGAUUACAACAUCUGGAAGAACAAGAUGAAAGCUUUCCUUCGAUCAAAGGAUCCUCUGGAAUGGGACGUUGUAGAAAAAUGAAUUACUCCUACCACUGCAUCAGUCUCUGAAAGAGGAAAAGAAACUGAUGAAACCAGCGGAAUGUCUCAAGAAGAAAUAAUCAAGAGAGAAGCACUCGAUGCAAAAGCAAUUUACUCCUUAUAUUGUGCUUUAUCACCAACUGAAUAUAAUAGAAUAUCUUCUUGUGGUACAUCAAAAGAAGUUUGGGACAGAUUGCAUAUCACUUAUGAAGGAACAGAUCGAGUGAAGGAAACUAGAAUCAACAUUCUUCUCGGUCAAUACGAAGCCUUCAGAAUGAAACCAAGAGAAUCUAUAUCUGACAUGUUUAGUCGUUUUACAGAUAUUGUGAAUGGUCUUGAAAAUCAAGGUCAACCAACUUCUGAUCCCAUGAAGGUAAACAAGCUACUGCGUGGACUCUCCAGGGAUUGGAAUCACAUAAAGACUUCGAUAAGAGAGACUCAAAGAAUUAUGCCACUAUCUGUCGACGAGCUAAUUGGAACUCUUCAGUCUUAUGAAGUGGAACGGAUCAAUGAAGAUGAAGAUCCAAAAGGUAAGAAAUCCAUUGCAUUAAAAUCAAAUGAUGAUUCUGAUGAUACAGAUUCUGAAGAAGAUUUGGAUGAUGAGGAGCUUGCUCUCAUGAUAAGAAGAUUCAGAAAACUGAAUAGAAAAGGAAGAAGGUUCAACUCAAAGAAACAAAGCUUUCAAAGACAGCAUACCAAGUAUGUUGAUGAUGAGGAACCAAAUAAAGACAUAGUCUGCUUUGAAUGUAAGAAAAAGGGACACAUCAGACCCAACUGUCCUCUUCUGAAGAAGAAGAAAGGAAAAGCUGAAAGAUUUCGAAAAGCUCUCAAAGCCGAAACCUGGAGUGACACAGAGUGUGAAGAAAGUGAUAAUGAAUAUGCCAAUCUAUGUCUGAUGGCACAAUCAGACUCAGACUCUGGAUUAGACUCAGACAAUGAAUUUGAGGCAAGUAAUAUUAAAAUUCCUGUCAAAGUUUCUAAAUAUAUUGAUGAAUUAUGUUUUAGUCUUAAGACUUCUCUCAAAAGAAUUUCCGAACUGAAAAAGGAAAACUCAGCUCCAAAACAAAAGGAAAAUGUUUUACUAGAAAGAGUUAAAAGUCUAGACUUGACUGUUUUCACUCUUAAAGAAAAUGAAGAUAAUCUUUUAAAAGAAAAUGCUUUUUUAAAAACAGACUUAUCAAAUAUCUCAAAGAAAUUUUCAAUAGGGUUCGAAAAACUUGAGAAAAUUCUUUCAGCUCAAAGACCUUACUUCAAUAAGUCCGGUCUAGGUAUGACAGAAGAAACAAUUCCCCUGAUUGAUUUUCCUAAAGUAAAAGAAAGAAUUAAGAAAAGACUCUCGAGAGAGAUUUACAAAAGUCACUUCAAGAAAGUUUUUGUAAAAUCUGUAGGUAGAAAUGCUCUAAAAUGUUCAAAAUGCAACAGUCCGGAUCACUUUGAAAAAGAGUGUCUUAUGGUUUGGAAACCUGUUAAGAGAAUAUGGGCUAAUACUGCUUAUGUUACUAACACCAAAGGACCCAAGAAAGUUUGGGAACCAAAGAAAGCUUGAGACUCUUUUUUAAAUGCAGGUCACCGUCAAGAAAAAAGGUAAAGUGGUAUCUUGACAGUGGAUGCUCAAGACACAUGACAGGAGACUCAAAUUGUUUUAUAAAGAUUGCUCAAGUGAAUGGUGGAAAAGUUUCAUUUGGAGGAAACAACAAAGGGAGUAUUGUGGGAUUUGGAACUGUGAAAAUUGGAAAUCUCACAAUAAGUAAUGUUUCCUUAGUGGAAGGUCUCAAUUACAAUCUUCUCAGCAUUAGUCAAUUGUGUGAUACCGGUUUCAAGAUCUUUUUUUCAAGAAGGAAUAUGUUCUGGAAUCAGUAAAGACUCUACUCAGUCUUUCAUGGGUCGUAGACAUGGAAACAUUUAUAUUCUGGAUGUGAAACCAAAUGAAUCGCAAUGUUUUAUCUCAAUUCAAGACGAAGCAAGCUUAUGGCACAGAAAGCUUGGUCAUGUCAACAUGAAGCAAUUAGCCAAAAUCUCAUCAAAGCAGCUUGUUCGAGGACUACCCAAAUUACCUUAUCAAAAGACUGAUCCAUGCACUCCAUAUAUUCUGGGAAAGCAGGUAAGAAAUUCAUUUAAGCCAAUAAAUCAUGUCUCUACUAAUCAUGUACUACAGUUGCUGCAUAUGGAUCUCUUCGGACCAACCAGAACACAGAGUAUUGGAGGUAAGAAAUAUUGCCUAAUAAUUGUGGACGAUUACUCCCGUUUUACUUGGGUAUAUUUCCUUGCAAGUAAGUCUGAAACCUUCUCGUAUUUUGAAAAGUUUGCUAAAAAGGUUCAAAAUGAAAAAUGAUGUGUUAUCUCAAGUAUAAGAACAGAUCAUGGAGGUGAAUUUGAAAAUCAAGAUUUUACAAAAUUUUGUGAUGAAUCUGGCUUUAAUCAUGUGUUCUCCUCUCCAUAUACUCCUCAGCAAAAUGGAGUUGUGGAAAGAAAGAACAGAUCUCUUCAGGAAAUGGCUAGAACUCUUUUAAUUGAAAGCAAGAUUUCUUCACGAUUUUGGGCUGAAGCUGUUUCAACAGCAUGUUAUAUCAUCAAUAGAGUCUUCUUAAGACCUAUUCUAGAGAAAACCCCUUACGAAUUGUUCAAAGAUAAGAAGCCUAUUGUUUCAUACUUUCAUGUAUUUGGUUGCAAAUGUUUUAUAUUGAAAAAUGCAAAAGAUCGAGUUGGUAAGUUUGAAGAAAGAUCAGAUGAAGGUAUCUUCCUUGGAUAUUCUACAUCACGCAAAGCCUUCAGAGUCUAUAACAAGAAGAGUCAGUCUGUGGAGGAGUCAAUGAAUGUCAAAUUUCAAGACUCAACACAAGAUGAAUCAAGUCAGACUCAUCAAGAAGAGUCUGAACCUGCUCCAGAUCUUCCAAAGCUUACAACUCAAGAAGCAUCUCAGACUCUAGAAAACCAGCUUCAAGAUGUUCGUGAAGAUCCAAACAAAGAAAGAGAUCAUCAACCAGACAGAUCAACGAGUAACUUGAAGCAUAAGUCCAGUCAUCCCAAAGAUCUUAUAAUCGGCGAAAUGAAUGAAGGAAUUCGCACCAGAUCCAAAAUGCGAGAAGAGUCUAGUGCUCUGGCUCUCGUUUCUGAAAUUGAACCAAAAAGCAUAGAAGAAGCUUUAUCUGAUGAAAGUUGGAUUAAAGCUAUGCAAGAAGAGCUCAGACAGUUUAGCAUUAAUGAUGUCUGGAAGUUGACAUCCAAACCAAAAUGUAAAACUGUUAUUGGAGCUAAAUGGGUGUUCAGAAACAAGAUGAAUAAGAAAGGAAAAGUCGUACGAAACAAAGCAAGACUCGUGGCCAAGGGAUAUACGCAAGAAGAAGGAAUAGACUAUGAUGAGACUUACACUCCAGUAGCAAGGUUAGAAGCUAUUUGACUAUUACGUGCGUUUGCUUGUUAUAAGAAUUUCAGGUUAUUCCAAAUGGACGUCAAAAGCGCCUUCCUAAAUGGAGUCAUCCAAGAGGAAGUUUAUGUGGAACAACCACCAGGGUUUGAAGACCCAAAGAAGCCAGACUCAGUCUUCAGACUGAAGAAGGCUCUGUAUGGUUUAAAGCAAGCACCUCGAGCUUGGUACGACAGAUUAAGUAAGUUUUUAAUACAAAAUGGUUUUGUCAAAGGUAAAGUGGAUACUACUUUAUUUAUCAAAAAGGAGAACAAAAGUUUCUUACUUGUUCAAAUAUAUGUGGACGACAUUAUUUUCGGAUCUUCUAAUGAAAAUAUGUGCAAGAAAUUUUCUAAGUCUAUGCAGGAUGAAUUUGAAAUGAGUAUGAUGGGAGAGUUAACAUUCUUUCUUGGUCUUCAAGUAAAACAAUUGAAGGAAGGAACCUUUAUUUAUCAAGAAAAAUAUGUUAAUGAUCUUGUCAAAAGAUUUGGACUGGAAAAGUGCAAAAAGACCGACAUACCGAUGUCAAGUUCUUUGAAGAUAGACAAAGAUGAAGAAGGGAAGAAAGUUGAUCAAAAGCUGUACAGGAGCAUCAUUGGUUCACUCAUUUAUCUUACUGCUUCUAGACCUGACAUCUUGUUGAGUGUUUGCAUCUGUGCUAGGUUUCAAUCAGAUCCUAGAGAAUCCCAUCUCAGUGCUGCGAAACGCAUCAUUAAAUACGUUGCUUCAUCAUCAAGCAUCGGUCUUUGGUAUCCUAAGAAGGGAGACUUUAAUCUUCAGGGAUAUUCAGACGCAGAUCUGGCCGGUUGCAGAGUUGAUAGAAAGAGCACUUCGGGAACUUGCCAGUUGCUUGGAAGCAGGACAGUGUCUUGGUUUUCAAGGAAACAAAGCACUGUGUCUCUUUCAACAACAGAAGCAGAGUAUGUAGCCCUGGGAAGCUGCUGUUCGCAAAUUUUAUGGAUAAAACAACAGCUAAGAGACUUUGAAAUUGAAGACUCAUGCACGGAGAUUAAUUGCGACAACACCAGCGCUAUCAACCUCACCAAAAAUCCAAUUCUCCACUCAAGAGCAAAGCACAUAGAGAUUCGACAUCACUUUAUAAGAGACCAUGUUCAAAAUGGAGAUGUUUCAAUUCAAUUUAUUGACUCAAAGAAUCAACUGGCGGAUAUAUUCACAAAGCCUUUGGAGAAAAAUCAAUUUGAGUCUAUACGCUCCAGACUCAACAUUUUGAGGUAUGAGGAUAUCAAAGUCUAAAGACUUUCAGACUCAGACUUACAAGACUUUAUCUGAAAGACAGUCUUGGUACGUCUGUCAGACUGUAAGUCUUUCUCUCUUGAAUCUCAACUUGAAAAUGUACGAUUGUCAGACUGUGUUUAAAUUGUUGCUAUAUUUAAUUGACGUAAAUAUUGCAUCGUUUCAUUUUCAAAAGGGAAGUUAUUUUUGAAAUGGCUAUUUUUGCGGAAAAAGACAGUUAUUUUGAAAAGACAUAUUUUUAUUUCCUUUAUGACGGUUCGUUUAUCCCUCUUUUUAACCGAUCGUGAACUGUCGAUUCCUCUUCACUUUUCUCUCAAAAACCCUAGAAAGCAUCGAUCCUCCAUUCCCGUUUGUCUUCUUCGUUUAAUCCUCAAAAAGUUGUCAUCUUUCCUGGGAAAGUCAAGCAAGAAAUCUUCCAAAAACUGAGAAAGAUGUCAUCUUCAAGAAAGUCUUCGAGAAUUGCAAGCAGGGGACCACGGCGGAUGAGUGAGGGGCCUACGCACUUCGAUCUUACUAAAGAUGAAGUGACUCCAGAACAACAAGCGAGCCCACAACAUUCUCAACAGCGUCAUUCUCCUCCAUCUAGUCCUCAAGGCGUUGAUCAUCAACAACAGGAAGAAAUCAUCGAGGAUGCAAACCUUGUAAGAGUUCAAAAGCCCGCUUAUAUUUACCAGUUAUAUCGUGCCCUAAAAGGAAUUCGUACUCCUUUGAACUACAUUGAUGAUUUUCUUAAAGACAAAGGACAUGGGAACGAAUAUAUCUUUCUGAAAAAAAUGGAAAGUUUAAGAAUUGCUCGAAAAGGGGUGGCUGAGGAAACCCUUGCAAAUAUCCCAAGUGAUCCUCGUGAUUGGGGGCCGAAUCCUGUAGAUGGGAAUGAUGAUGAUAAAUUAUACAGUCAAUUCCAACCGAAAAUGGGUGUUGCGGUUGAUAAUCAAGGAAAAAUGGGAGAUUUGUUCAGAUCAAAGGAGCAAAAGGAUCUGUACUCAAAAUUGCUGAAGCGUGGGGUAAUAAACCCUAGGAGUGUAGAUUUUGAUUUUCUGGAUGCUGUGAAUAUGAACUUGAGGGAAAAGUUCAGUUAUCUUCAACUUGAAAAGUUCUGCUCUGACUCUAUAGAGGCCUAUGCUGAAUUAACUGCAUAUUUCUAUUCAAAUCUAAGCUUUUUGGAUGCGAAUAGAUUCUCGUUCAGCGUUAAAGACCAAUAUUAUGUUGUGGAUAUAAAUAUGCUGGCAGAUGUGUUAGAAGUUGAAAGAGGAAGAUAUCAGCCAAUCAAAGUUUCCAUUGCUCAGGCCACUCUUGAACUGGUGAAGGACAGGAGAACAGAUGAAAAGAUCACCUACUUAAGGAUGGGUGCAUUCAACAUCUUGCUUCACAAGAUUGUGAUUAAUUGCCUCCGACCGAAAUCAACUUCCAAGACUGAUGUUUCAAGUUCAGAGGCCAAGCUGAUGUAUGCUAUUCUCUUUGGAAAAAGGUUUUCUCUCCCUCACACUGUGAUGUUUCACAUGUAUAGAGCAAUGAUGAAGGACAGAGGUCAACUCCCUUACCCAAGCCUUGUUACGAAGUUAUUCAGACAUCUGAAUAUUCAGCCUCCACAAAUCUUUUGUGUUCGACCAUGCGAUCAUAUGGUGGUAGGUUUGAAAAUGGUGACCAAAAUGCGUCUGAAGGAACUGAGCAAGGAGUUGGAGAAAUUCAAGGAGAAGACUCCUGCAAAAUCUCAUCAAAUACUUCUGCAGCUAAAAGAAAAGGGAAGGAGCCCAUGGUUGCUCCAUCCAAGAGAAGAAGAGCUCUCCUUGUUGAGGAUGAAGAUGAUGAGGAAGACAUCACCAUCUCUGCAUUGGCUUUGAAGAAUUUAAGUCGUCAUGUUCCACAGAAAGAAUCGGAGCAAAUGACGAAAGAAGCAGAGGAGAAGGAAGAAGAAGAAAUAGAAGCUGAAAAAGAAACAGAGGAGGAAAGACCUGAAGAAGAAAGAAGAGAAGAAGGAGAACCUGAAGAACACUCUUCUCCACCUGUAGGCAUGGAAACAAGGGGAGAUCAGGAGAAAGGAGUGAAGUCUUCAUGUCCUGAUGCAAGUGAAGGAGUCAGACGCUCACCAGCAGACCUAGAGGAUGUUUAUGCAUCUCAAUUUCCAGAAGAAGGUCAUGAAGUUUCAUCGCCAAACCUGCAAGAUUAUGCUGAUCUACCAUCAUCUGCAUUUACUCCAUCAUAUCGAGCCGAAGCAAGUACUCAAACUGAUAAUGGAGCAGAUUUUCGCAGAAUCAUGGAUAUUCUUUUGGAGAUGCGAGGUCAGAUUUAUGCCUUGGGAUGCGAAGUUCAAAGCUUGAAGAAUGAAGGUCAAGCUUCUUCCUGUUUAUUGAAUGAUAAAAUGCAAGCCCUCUCUGUUCAGAAUCAGGCCAAUGCCAAAAGUGAGGAGAUUGCACAGCUAAAGGAAGACUUUAAAAGGCUGGAAGGCAUCGUUCAGUCUAUGGAAGAUUUCCAGCUUGUCCGCGUUCCCAAGCAAUCUUAACUUCAUCUCAUCAUUUUUAAUGAUGACAAAAAGGGGGAGAGAUGCAAGAUUUGAUCAAAAACCUUUCAUUCAACUUUUAAUUGUUUGUUAGAUUGUUUUGUGGUUUGAAUCUGUUUGACUUUGGUUUGUGUCUGCAUGAGAACUGAACUAGACUUGGACUUGACUGCUUCUAUUAACUAAUAUUGAUAUCUUAUGGAUGGCUUCAUCAUAUACUGGACUAACCUAUUUUCUGUGGUUGCAGAUUAUAGUGUUAUUCUAUUAAGACAUUUAUCUCUAUAAGAUAUGCAUAUGUGUUUGAGAAAUGUUUUGCAGGUCAAAGAUAUCCAAAUCUGCAGGAAAGUUUUGUCGCCAUCAAAAAGGGGGAGAUUGUUGGAGAAAUCUUCUUGAAGUGUUUUGAAGUUGACAAAUCGUUUCUAUCAGUCUAGUCUGAAGGCUUGUAGACUCUACUAUUUAAAGUCUGAAGAUCUUGAGACAGCCAGACUCAAGACUCAAAGUCUAUCCUCAUUGACAGUCACUAAUCCGUUGAAGAAAGGUUAUCCAGAACUUGAUGUUUCGUUGAGGAUUUAACCUUAUCAACUGGAGAAGAUCUCAUGGCUGGAGAAGACAUAAACGGAGUCCUUUGAUUGAUCGAAGAUUGAUUCUAUAAUUGAAGAUCCGGUGAUUGCCUAAAUAUUAUUGGAAGGUUCUGCUUAUGGAAACCAAGAUCCUGAUUGUAUGGGCGAACAUGAUUGAUAGGCUAUCAACACGUUCCUUUAAUAGCUUGAACAAUCUUCCUAAUUGAUUCCGUCCAACGGGUAGAUUGAAGGAAUUCCUUUGGUAAGUGCCAACGGGUAUGAUGGCAUAAAGGAGUAUAUAAGGAAGACUGUCUUAGUUGUUCAAGGUGUGCGCGAUAGAAGAAUUCCAAAGUCUGAAGCUCAUUUUUGUUUAGACAAAUCCUUUGAGCGAAUACUUGUAUACGAAAGAGAGAGUCUAUAUUUGUGAGAAAUCUUGAGGAGGUGUGGUAGAACAUCUACACUGUGGAAUCAAGGCAAAGCUGUGCUGUAACCUCUCUCUUGUUCAUAGUGGAAUCCAGCCAAUAGGCUGUCAGUGAAGAAGAGUGGACGUAGGCUUGAUAUAAGCCGAACCACUAUAAACCGCGUGUUAAAUUUUCUCUUCUCUCAAGUCUUACUUUGAUUAUCGUUUCCUUCAACUGUCUAGUAUUGUGCAAUUGCUUGAAAAAAAUUCUUUAUAUACCUAUUCACCCCCUCUAGGUACUCAUACUAGCAAUAUCAAUAUGUUCCAUCAUCAUCACUUUCAUUUAAACCACUUUGAGUAAAAAGUAAGGAUUUAAUAUGUCCAUGAGCUCGCGGGAUGUUUUAUGAGAAUUAAAAUAAUUCACUUUUACGCCCAUGCCCUCUAGAUAUUAGUAAAGUAUUCGGAUAUAUUGUGCAAGUAAACUAAAAUUGUAAAUGGCACCUUUUAUUAUUAUCUUCUCUUUUUCUUCUUUUUCUUUUUUCCUUUUUUUCGGGGCGAGGGGGGGGGGGGGGUUAACGUUGUGCAAUGUUCUAUUUUUGUCACCCUCUUAAGUUGCGCCAUAGUUAUAGGUCCUGAUGCCAAGAGGUGUGUCAUGUAAUGUUCUGGUCCUCUCAUCCACUAACUUUGUGUUCAUAGACAAAAUUGACAGCCAGGAAUUAGUUGCCAAUCAUCACAUUGUGUACCUCCACAUUAAUGGACUAUUCCUCUAGAAAAUAUAGAGUAUAUAUGACCACCGCUUGCGGUGGCCCAAUUGGAUAAAUGCUCCUAUGAUCCUUUACGAGAGGAGAGGAGUUCGAAUCUCACUGGUCGCACGGGAUCUUAAGUGCGACGUCCGAAUGGUGGAUCCUCCGCUAGCGUUGCCCUAGGGUUUACCCCUGUUACCUCAGGCCUAUCGGGCUAUAUAUAUAUAUAUAUAUAUAUAUAUAUAUAUAUAUAUAUAUAUAUAUAUAUAUAGAGUAUACAUGGAUGGACCAUGUGCAGGUCCUUGUAAAACUUAAGGAAGAAGAAUUAGGAAGAAGAAUCCUCAAAGGGGUGGAACUCCUUAAUGUCACCUCCUAUAUUCCCACCUAUCCAAGAAGAAAAAGAUAUGAAGGGGAUUAGGAGGCCUUUAGUGGGGAAGGUAAAUAUUAUGUCAGGACUUUGGUUCUGACUAUUUUGGAAUACACAUAUAUAGUAGUCUCAUGCACCUAGAAUAAGAAAGUGGAGCGUCCAACUUCCUGCUAGGUUGCCUAAGGAUACACAUGGCAAUGAGUUUCUGGACAUUGGCCUAAUGUAUAUCGUCGUUCAAUUUUUAAUUUGUUCAAUAUAGUCUAUAAACAUUAGUUCAAUAUGCAAUGUAGACUCUGCAGUUUUUAUUUGUUCAAUCUAAUCCCUAAACUUUCGGUAUAUGUUUAAUUUGGUCCUUUAAUUAUAAUAAAAUGUUCAAUGUUAUCUCUGAUUUUGAAUUAAUGGAAAAAUUACAUUAAACAUUUUCAUAGAUUUAAAUGAUUACAUUGAACAAAUUGAACAAAUUAAAAAUUAAAUGACUAUAUUGCAUAUUGAGUGAAAAUUUAUGGACCAUUUUUGUGAUUAUUCCCAUUGCAAAAAUAGAAUAUUUUGACCACCCACCUGGGUAGUGUUGCUGGCGGCGAGCUUCUCCCCCUAACGCAAUGGGAGGAGUUCGAUUUCCGGGCGUCGCAGGGUGACUUAUCCGGUGGUAUGUGUGUGAUGGCUAGCACGUGUCCUCCAGGGUUUACUCCCGUUACCCCUGGCCUUUCGGGCUAUCCGUGUUAGUACGGUGCGCAGGUUCCCUAGGUCACCAAAAAAAAAUAGAACAUUUAACAAGGAAAAAAAAUCUAUACAUAGAUAAUAGAGAUACACAUCAAUAAAUAUGUCAUGAUAAUAAUUAAAUCUACAAAAUAUUUAAUACCUUCAUUAUAAGAAAAACGAGGUGGCUGAGGAUUGCGGCCUCCACUCCCUCCCUCAAUUUUUCCAUUUACAUAACUUUAAAGUCGUGCAAAACUAUUGUUGAUGAUUACUCAAUCUGGACUUGCCUUUUGAGUUACACAUGGUUAAUUUUGUUAGCAAAAUUUGUAUCAUGCACAUAUCACAAUUUUUCAACAUUGUGCAAUCAAUUCUUGAAAGUUCUGAAAUUUCGGAGUUACGCAAUAUGAUAUAAACCUUUAUUCUUUCACGAGUCCUAGUUAUGAUUAUUUUUAGGACCGUGCGAUUUUCAUUCCAAAUUUUGCUUUUCACGCUUCCUUUUACAGCGUUUUCCUUUUUGAUCAUAUUACAUCCGCUAUCCCUCCUUUCGUUCGAUUGCUUGCUUUUCUUUUCUUGCAAGUCUCACGUUGUUCUUUCUUUGCUAUUAAUAUAAUGACAUAAAGUAGUUUUUAAAUUUUGACUCAAUAUAUAAUUUGAAUGUGAUUUCUGGACUUUAUCCUAGAGUUGAUUUUCCUUGCUUUGUUGUCUCCCCUUUCAGCUCAUGCUGACCAGCCAUUUGUACCCCAUUCCUCUUCUUCUUACUCUGUUUUCGAGCUUUCGUCCACCCUUUCCUUUCCUUGCUGACCAUCUGAGGGGAGACGAAGAGCUGGGCUCUCUCUUCUCUAAAAAAGAGUCGCAGGACGUGCAUUCGAACCUGCAAUAAUGUCUCUCCUCAUUGAUUUUUGCCCCGAAAAUGUCUGUCUUCCAGCUGUUCGAUAAAAUGCCUCUGAGAAAAGUGUUACUGGGUUGGCUUGUUCGGUUUCUCUAUUUGCUUUCGUUAUUAUUUUUUUUUUCUUUCAGGACGAGGACAGUAACUUCGUCUUCGAGGGAAAACCAUACGGAGGAUGCCUUUGUCCGGCGGCGCGAGAACGGCGGGGAAGAAGGUUCGGGCGCGGGUUCCUUCGUCCAGGUUCCCGCCGAACGACGGCACGGCGGACUCCGGAAUCUCGCCGGCGAGCUUGUUGUGGGAUUCAGUCGAGAGUAGGUGACGAGAGCCUGACGUCAGCACGCGCGCCUUUUUGUAGACCCGUUGACUUUUCACCGCCGGCAGCUUCGUUGUCGCGUCGGUUCAGUGGAGGAAGCGAGCGAGCGAGCGAGCGAGCUCUCGGACCGUUUCUUGUCUCAGAUAAUUCUGUAAUCUGAUCGAUUUCGGUGCUCGAGUGUGUUAUAAAGCUUAGUCUCAGCUUCUGCAUGACGUAGAUAUGCUACAGUCAUGCCGAAUUCUAAGAUCCUGCAUCUUGAUUUCCGAAUUUCGGGGUCUUCUUGUGGUGAUUUGGUGUGGAUUUUGAGCAGGCACUGAAGGGAGGGGUGAGAGAGAAGGUGGAAUUGGCGACCAAGUUCGGGCUCUGCUAUGUGGAUGGAAAGUGGGACGUCCGGGGCGAUCCGGUGUACGUGAGGGCGGCCUGCGAGGCCAGCUUGAAGCGUCUCGACGUCGAUUGCAUUGACCUCUACUACCAACACUGUAUCGACACUCGCGUCCCCAUAGAAGUCACUGUAUGGAUCCCUCAUUAAACCUUUCCCCCUGUUGAGACUUUCUCUGAGCCAUGUGAUGAGUUGUUAAACUAGAUUCGUGUUGAUGACGCAUCAUUGCGUCGUUAAUAGUUUGGGGGAUCUUGUGGCAGAUUUAACUAUUUCCUUGCCUUUGACCGGUUAGGUUUUGUUAAAUGAGAUUUUGAUAUUUGAGAUCAAGAUGCGGCACGGUGUUGUUAAAGAGGUUGUGGAGUGUAGUCUUUUCAGUGGCUGAGCUUUUUAUCUUAUGGGCAUCUUUUACAAGUUAAGGGUCAACAAGCAUGAAAAUUAUUCUGGAUAUUCCUUCGAAAUGAAAGGGCCAUGGGCGUUCAUCCUAAUUUAUGUAAGUGAAUAUCGCAUCGAAAGUUGUUUAUGGACUUCCUGUAAAGACCUUUGAUGGUUGACAGAUUAUUGUGAAAUGAGACAGAUAGUUGGAAUGCUAUUUUUGUUUGCCCUCUUCUGUGAUAGAUUAGAGAAAUCUUACUCCGUUAACUUAAUUCUUCUGUGAUUUUCCCUCUUUUGUGAUAGAUAUAUGUCCGUUAACUUAAUGUCCAGUGACUUUUUUGUUGCAUUGAGAUGCAUGGGGAUCUACUCAUCCUUGCUAAGAACUGCCUGGUCAAGACGUAAUGUUUGAAUAGUCAGGAAAAGCUACUAUUCAGGGAUCAGGGAUGUGAUAAAUGUGCAUAAACUUCUGGGCCUUAAUAUGUACGGUCUUGACUGUUGUUGUUGUUGUUGUUGUUGUUGUUGUUGUUGUUGUUUUGUCAUGUGAAUAUUUGAAGAUCGGGGAGCUAAAGAAACUCGUUGAAGAGGGCAAAAUCAAGUACAUCGGCUUAUCCGAGGCCUCUGCAUCAACAAUCAGAAGAGCACAUGCUGUUCAUCCCAUCACAGUGGUGCAAUUGGAGUGGUCACUGUGGUCAAGAGAUGUGGAGGCAGAGAUCAUUCCCACAUGCAGGUAAAGGAAUCGCCUCAUUAGUUUGUUUAUGCAGAGCAACAGCUUUUUUCUGAUGCUGCUCUCCUUAAAAUGGUGACCAGGGAGCUUGGCAUUGGAAUUGUUGCGUACAGUCCUUUAGGACGAGGAUUCUUUUCUGUCGGUUCCAAGUUAUUGGAGAAUUUCUCUGAGGAUGACUUUAGACAGGUUUGUUUCUGCUGAUCAAAAACAUAACUAGAUGCUCACAGUGACUGUCAUUCCUAUUGAAGUUCUGGAAACUACGAGUUCUUGUGGUAUACAGAAAAUGCAUCUGGGUGGGAUGUUUAACAAUUGGUGACACAGAUGCUUUAUAUUCCUAUAUGUCUUCUCCGGCACUAGCCCCGCACCCACCUCUCUGAUUCCACAUUAGUGUAAAAUCAUAACUAAUGGCUUAAUGAGCCUGAAGAGGCAGUUUCAUGACUCUCAUGCUUUUGGGAAUAAGCAGAUAUAGGUUCAUUUGUAUGCUCCUCUGUUUCUCAGCCUUCACCAUUUGCUAUUCACUAUCCUUUCCCCACUUUCCACCUGUCCUUUUUCUCUCAUCUUUCUUCCCGUGAGGACAAUAUCUCCUCCAUUCGGCCGACACUGGUAUCGAGUCUUAGGCCCCUGUUCUUCUUUUUGUCAGCUUUCUUUAUGGGAUAAAGUAUAUCUCGACACACCAGUUCUUGAGUGGGGACUCCCUAACACCCUUCUCAUGGAAGUUUUGGGAUCAAAUUCCUAUCUGACAUAAAGCCAACUGUGGAUUACUUCCCGCAAUUUGCAUUUGACUAGUCAUUGCGCUGGGAAAGUGCGUAGCUAUUGCUUUUUAGCUAAAAAGGGCUUUACUUCUGAUAAUGUUUCUCUACACAUCAUCUAGAUUUGUGAUUUGUUUCUUUUAAGUGCGAUAAAUGGAUACCAUCCAUGGAGAAAACUUAGAUCGAUUUUGUUUCUGUUGUCAUGUCUUACAGCAAAACCAUCAGCCUUGUGCAGUAGUUUCUAGAGCACUUUGCUCCACAUUUUGAAUUCUCAUGAUAUUGAACAACAUUUUCUAAUCCUUUCAAGAUGAUCUUUUACUAAUCUUGCUUCUCAUAUCAAGUAUCAAGACAACCUGAUGACCACUUCUAGUAUUGUUUGCACUUGUUGCAGUAGAGUUUUGUGUUAUAAAGAACAUGAUUAUAGCUCAUAUUCUCUCCACUGAGACAGUGCUCCAUAUUAUGCAGAAACUACCGAGGUUCCAGCCAGAGAACUUGGCUCACAACGCGAAGUUAUUUGACCGAGUGAAUGAAAUUGCGCAAAGAAAGGGAUGCACCCCAUCGCAGUUAGCCCUUGCCUGGGUACACCACCAGGGCAAUGACGUCUGCCCAAUUCCCGGCACAACCAAGAUCGAGAAUUUCAAUCAGAACAUCAGAGCUCUAUCGGUGAAGCUUUCUUCAGAAGACAUGGCUGAGCUUGAAUCGAUUGCUUCCGCAGACAAUGUCAAGGGCAGCAGGUAUGAUAGCAGCAUCUCUACAUGGGAAAACUCCGAUACUCCGCCCCUUUCUUCAUGGAGCGCUGCUUAGAAAGCACGUCUCCUUCUGUCUCCGCAUCUUUGAUAUGCAGAGUUUGAGCAUUCGCUGCUGAAGUAAUUUGAGGCUAUGUGGUGCGGCUGUCAUAAGCAUGUGUACGAAGAGAGUACUUAUUAUCCUGUUAGUAAAAUCUGAACUGCAGAGCGUAAACGUUAUCAUUUUGUAUAAGCAACGUUCACUGGGAGAAGAUCAUAAUAAGCUUGCUGGGAAGUGAUCACUCAAGAAAGAUGGACCGAUGGCUCUCCAUAAGGCUUUGUCUUCGGGUCGGGAUCGGAGUUAUAGAAAAGUAGAAUGUGAGGCAUCGCCAAUCGGAGUUAUAUAUAUAUUUGUGACAAAUUUUUCCUAGAUUGAUAUGUUCCAUUUGAACUUGAUUGAGUUGUUGUCAAUAUUCAUCCAACUCAGUAAUUCCACAGUAAAAUUUGACGGAAACUACUAUAUAAUAAAUAUGUUAUGGGUAUACUAGUUUAGGGUUUUUAGUAACCCAAAAAUUAGUUUAUGAUAAGUUUAUUAUAGGUGUAUCGGUUUGGGGUUUUCGGUGACCCAAUACCUAAUUUUGAGUAAAUUUGUCACAAAAGUAUUGGUAUUGAGUUUUUUGUGAUAUUAACUUUAAGUCACUAGAAAAAUAUUUUCAUUGUCUAUAAAAAUAUUUGGAUAUAAUUAUUGUCAAUAAUGUAAAACAGUUUUCUUUCACUAAUUAUUUCAAAUGAUACAAUUGAUUUUUUUUUUUCAAAAAAAUGUUUUCAAAAUCGUUUAAUAUCUAUGAAAUAAAUAUAGCGUUUGAAAAAACAAAAUUAGCUUCCCGACAAAAAGUGUGGAUCUAGUGCAUUUGGUCCUUUUUUUUUUUUUUUAAGCUUGGACUUUUAUCAGUCCGCCGGGAAAAUUCCCAAAAUCUUGGAUUCAUUCAACCGACAUUUCUUGAAAUUUCAAACAUUAGUUCUAGUUCGUGCAUACCAAUUGGGCCUUGUCUAGUCAAAAGCAUCGAGCUCAUAGUCCUCAUCAUAUGGGGAAAAUGAGUUUUGCCAUGAAAUGUGAAAAUCAAAGAAAAAGUACAUGUAAAAAAAAUUAAGGAAAAUUAUAUGGUCCAUUGGAAAAAUUACCCAAAAAAUCCUCGGUAUAUUGCAUUUUUAUUAAUUCCAUUCUAAAUUUUUAAAUUUUGUCAAUUGAAUUUUAAAUAUUUUCACAAUUUGUCAAGUGAAUCCAUCAUGUCAAUUUUGGUCAAAAAUUGCUAAGGUAGACACCGAUCAUUCAACAUGAAUAGUUUUUAAUAAUAUUUCAACUUUUUAUCGAAUUAUUUUUUUCUCUCUUUUUUUCCAAACCCUAGGUUGGCAAGGGCUAGUGACCCUUGUUUGGCCUAGGUGAAGGCAUUGCUGCUCUCGCUUGGAUUAGGCGAGGGUGUUGAGGGGAGGGCAUUACAGCCCUUGCUAGCUAAUUGGCGAGGGUUGCAACCCUCGCUUGAUUCCAAGGGAGGGCCUCUCACCCUUGCCAGUCCAUGGUUAGAGGAAAAAGAAAAAAUAAUAAAAUAUUAUAAAAAAAUUGUCCUUAUUAAUGCUAGUCAUGCCACAUAAGACAACAAGUGUUCAUGUUAGUGAUUUUCAACCAAAAUUAUUUGAAUGGACUUAAUUGGAAAAAUGUGAAAAUAUUAAUAAUUUAAUUGGUAAAAUUAAAAUAUUUAUAAUUAAAUUGACAAAAGUAUAAUUAAUUUAGAAGUUUUUGGAUAAUUUUCCCAUGUGAUAAUAACCUUAGUAGACUCAGCAUAAUCGGUUGAAUAGUUUAGGGAUUUCCAAGUUAGAAGCUUGAGGUUACCGGUUGAAUUGUCACAAUCACAACUCACAUGUUAGGGGUGAGUGGUUGCAAAUUUUGUUUAGAUUCUAUCUGGAGCUUGAAACUUACUUGUUGGAACAUAUUUCAUAAUUUUUGGAAUCGUAAACUUACUUUACAUACUUAGGAACCUAGAAUCUACAUUGUCAUAGGUUCUAGGUUCCACUUGUACUCUCGUACUCUUAAUGACCAUCAUUCGUUAUAAUCCAUUGAUCACAAUUCAUAUUUAGACAUACGAAAAUUAAAUAUAAAAAAUGGAAGCUCAAACAAGCGGUUGUAAAUUGUAUACUCAUUGUUGUUGGCAAUGAAAUAUCAGAAGAUCAUGUGAAGACAUUAAUUAAGAAAAACAUAAAGAAUUAUUUCAGAUUUCAGGUUUCUGCCCGUUAAAAUAGGUUGUUCAAUUUUUGGAAGUUAAACCUCCUAUGGAUAUUCUAAAAUUUGGAACAAGACUGGCUCUUACUCAUACGAUUCUCUGUACCUACCACGUAUAAUCGGUUCCGAGAAACAAACAUAGACUACAUUCAUGAGAUUCCGACAUUUUUCCCGAGCCGUCAACGUUGGUGGCUCUGGAUUAUAAUAAAAUAAAAUCGGAUAUAACGGGCAAGUUCACUAAAAUUGAAAAUGGACAUAUAACAUCAUCGUCUUUGUCACUUUUUCAGUAGUGCCGUACCGUUGGGUGGGAGCCGCGUACAUGUCAUUCCCGACCAAUGACUGAGGAAUCGAGGGCAGCUCCACUCCACCGAUGUUGCAGGUAAGUUGUUGUUUUCACAGCGCUCGUGGACAAGACAGCAUGGAAUCUCUCGCCUCACUACUAUAAAGCUCGGCUCGCCCCCAUCAUUUUCGUUAUCGUCUCAGUGCAGAAAGUGGUCGAGAGAGCGGACGGGCGAGCGAGCUCUCGAACUGUCUCUUCGCCGGUCUCUCUUCUCUGCAUCGACCUCGAGCUAGGUGACGACAGCGGCGAUGGCGGCGUCGGCGGUGAGGAGGAUCAAGCUGGGGUCGCAGGGUCUCGAGGUCUCGGCGCAGGGGCUGGGCUGCAUGGGCAUGUCCCCCUUCUCUGGCCCUCCCAAGUCGGAGCCCGACAUGAUCGCACUCAUCCACCAUGCCGUCGACUCCGGCGUCACCUUCCUCGACACCUCCGACAUUUACGGCCCCCACACCAACGAGAUCCUCCUCGGAAAGGUCUGCUCUUUUAGAUAUCCCAUCUUAAAAUUUCGCGUCUUCUUUAGAUCAACCAGCCUACAGUCCUCGCGCGUAUAUCUGUAUGUUGAUCAGUCUUUUUAUUGCCUUCCUAAUCUGAUCUGGGUGCAUUGAGCUCAGUCUCNNNNNNNNNNNNNNNNNNNNNNNNNNNNNNNNNNNNNNNNNNNNNNNNNNNNNNNNNNNNNNNNNNNNNNNNNNNNNNNNNNNNNNNNNNNNNNNNNNNNCUUGGUUUGUCAUUGUUUGGGGGAAAUUUGGUGCUUUUCUUGUGUUGAUUUGGUGUCGAUUUUGAGCAGGCACUGAAGGGAGGAGUGAGACAGAAGGUGGAAUUGGCGACCAAGUUUGGAAUCAGCUUCACGGGCGGGAAGGCGGAAGUCCGGGGUGAUCCGGCAUACGUGAGGGCGGCUUGCGAGGCCAGCUUGAAGCGGCUCGAUGUCGAUUGCAUCGACCUCUACUACCAACACCGUGUUGACACUCGGGUCCCCAUUGAAGUCACUGUAUGGAUCCUCAUUAAACCUUUCCCUCUCUUGAGACUUUCUCUGCGCCAUGUGAUCAGUUGUAAACUAGAUUAGUAUUGAUGAUGCAUCGUCAUGGUGUUAGAAGUUUGUUUGAUUUUGUGGAAGAGAUUGACUACUUUCUUUUGCCUUUGACUUGUAAGAUAAUUGUCAACUGAGACUUAAAGAGGUUGUGGAAUUCAGAAAUUUUUGUGGCUGAGUUUUUGUCUUCAUGGCAUCUCUUGCAAGUUAAAGGUCAACGGGCACGAAAAUUAUUUGAAAUGUUCCCUUGAGAUGAAAGUGCUAUGGGGUUCAUCCUAAUCUACAUGCGAGAAUUACAUUGAAAGUUGUUCCUGGGCUUUGUGUGGAGACAUUUGAUUCCUGACGUACCAUUGUGAAAUGUGAAAAAUACAUGGAAUACUUCUUUUGUUUGCCCCCUUUAGUGAUAUCUUAGAGAAAUCUACCUCCGUUAACUCAAUGCCUAGCAACUUUUUUUGUGCUUUGAGAUGCAUAAAGAUUGACUAAUCUUUGUUCUGUUAUCAUGUGAAUAUUCAAAGAUUGGAGAGCUAAAGAAACUCAUUGAAGAGGGUAAAAUCAAGUACAUCGGGUUAUCUGAGGCCUCAGCGUCCACAAUCAGAAGAGCACAUGCUGUUCAUCCCAUCACAGCAGUGCAAUUGGAGUGGUCGCUGUGGACAAGAGAUGUGGAGGCAGAGAUCGUUCCCACAUGCAGGUAGGAAAUCACUCUUUUAAUUUGUUCAUGCAGUAACAGCAGCUUUCUUCUGACUCUGCUCUUCCUUUAAUUUGUUACUAGGGAGCUUGGCAUUGGAAUUGUUGCCUAUAGUCCUUUAGGACGAGGAUUCUUUUCAGUUGGUUCCAAGUUAGCGGAGAGUUUCUCUGAGGAUGACUUCAGACGGGUUUGUUUCUGCUGAUCAAAACUAUAAGCUCACAGUGACUGUUACUCUUGUUGAGUGCUGGAAACUACGAGUUCUUUAAGUAUACAGAAGAAGUAGCCGGUGGGUUGGAUAAUAAUUGGUGACACAAAUGCUUUAUACUCCUUUAUGUUUUCAAUCCAGCAGUAGCCCCAGACCCACCUUUCUGAUUCUACAUUAGUGUAUAAUCAUACUUACUGGCAUAAUGAGCCUGAAAGAUGCAGUUUCCCAAUCUCAUGCUUUUGGGAAUAAACAAAUAUAGACUUGUAAGUUCCUGUUUCCCAGCCUUCCCACCAUUUGCUAUUCACUAUCCUUUCAUCCCUUUCCACCUAUCCUUUUUCUCUCAUCCUUCUUCAUAAGAUAUAGCAAUAUUUCCUCAACAUAAGUGACACUGGAAUCCGGCCUCAGCCUUCUCUCCUCUUUUGUUCUCAUCUUUCUUCACAAAAUGUCUUUACAGAACCAGUUUUUGACUGAGGACUCCCUAACACCCUUUUUUGGGAAGUUUUGGGAUCAAGUUUUUUAUCUGACAUAAAGCCAAUUGUGGUUAUUGCUAGAGCACUUCUCUCCUCAUUUCGAAUGCUUAUGAUUUCGAACAAGAUGGUUUAAUGUUUUCAAUCAUGAUUUAUAAAUACACAGUGAUUGUGAACUUCCAAAUGCUUAUCAUAUCAAGUAACAAGACAAUCUGAUGGCAUGCGAUGCAACCACUUCUAGUAUCGUUUGCACAUGUUGCUGUAGAAUUUGGUGCUAUAAAAGAAAAUGAAAGUUGCUCAUAUGCUCUCCACUUGACAGUGCUCUAUGUUAUGCAGUCCAUACCAAGGUUCCAGCCAGAGAACUUGGCUCACAAUGCGAAGUUAUUUGAUCAAGUGAAUGAAAUUGCACAAAGAAAGGGAUGCACCCCGUCACAGUUAGCCCUUGCCUGGGUACACCACCAGGGUGAUGACGUCUGCCCGAUUCCUGGCACGACCAAAACCGAGAAUUUCAACCAGAACAUUGGAGCUCUAUCCGUAAAGCUUACACCAGAAGAAAUGGCCGAGCUGGAAUCAAUUGCUUCUGCGGACAAUGUCAAGGGUGGCAGGUACGCAAGCAGCAUGCCUACGUGGGAAAACUCUGAUACUCCACCCCUUUCUUCAUGGAAAGCUGCUUAGAAACAUGUCUGCUUUUGUUGCCACAUCUCUCAUAUACAGAGUUUGAGCAUUUGCUGCUAAAGUAUUUUGAGGCUGCGUUGUGUGUGUUAUAUAAGUACGUGUAUGAGGAGAGUACUUAUUACGCUGUAAUAAAAUCUGGACUUGGGAGAGUGACUGUUAUCAUAUUGUGUAAGUGACAUUCGCUACGAGAAGAUUAUAGAUGUGUAGUAAGCUAAUCAGGGGAUAAUCACUCAAGAAAUGCAAAGCGAGUUGAACACUAACCAAGCCGACCAUGCCAAUCCAUCAGGGUGACUUUCAGAAUCACAAAACCUGGAUUCGAGGAGUUCAACUCGUCCAUACAUACUAAAGCGAAACUGUAUUCACCUCAAUCGUGACUUCACUACUUAAACCUUGUGCAACGUUCUCUCAGGAUCGGAUACAAUACAUAGAAGCAAUGCUAAGAGGAACCUUUUCUGCAACGGCACCAUUGCUUCUCUUGAAAAACCGUCGAGCCCUCCUAUGGCACUGGCGGGAGAGCCUCGAUCGAUCAUCAUACUUAUCAAGAAGGCGCCAAUGCGUGUUCUUACAAAAAAAAAGAAGAGCGCUAGGAAAUUUUAAGCUUCACACUUAACAACAAGAAUUUCCUCGCAAAAACUGUGGAUAUUGUGAACUUGGAAAUAUUUUUAUCUAUCAAUAUUAAAUAGACAAAUUCCGUUGGACAAGUACCAAAGAAGCCUGUCAGUCAUAUUAUCAUACUGUGUGUAACAAGAGUCUAAUUUUUGGCCAAAAUUCUUUUAGUAUUUUCCUUCGGUCUGAAAAAGCAUAUGGCAAGAUGCAUCUGCGUUCCUUUGGAUCUAGCGGUCCUACCUACAGUUUGUAUUGUUGUACUAAAAACAUGUGCUUGCACUAUAGGUCUAUCGCCCUUGGGUAAUUUCUCGACCAAGUGAAGAAGAUCAGAGUUUGAAAAANNNNNNNNNNNNNNNNNNNNNNNNNNNNNNNNNNNNNNNNNNNNNNNNNNNNNNNNNNNNNNNNNNNNNNNNNNNNNNNNNNNNNNNNNNNNNNNNNNNNAUGUGCUUGCACUAUUGGUCUAUUGCCUUUCUAAACCCUUUCUUUUCUUCCUCAAAGUCUGGUGUCAUUAAAAAUUUAGAGAUAUAUUGUUAAUUCAAUACAAUGAGUUGUUUUCAUAAGAAUGUUUUUCGCUUAUCACUCUGUGGAUCCUGUAAAUUAGAAAAGUUAGCCUUAUAAUAUAAAUUAAUGAUUCCUAGAGAUUAAACUGCAAUCCAUUUGAAAAGUUAAAUAAUGACCGUAUGGUGUGAGAUGACACAAUUAUGUCAGAUAAUCGUUAGUGUAUACCAUAAGCUCCUCAUGGUCAAAGCAUGAUUUCUAGAGACUAUAAUACAGCCUCUUUGAAAAGUCAAAGAAGGACCGUAUGGUCAGGGAUGACAUAAUUGGGUUAGAUAAUCAUUAAUGUAUACCAUAAACUCCUCGUGGUCAAAGCAUCAAGCACAUAGUUUUGAGUUUGUGAUACAAUGGGAAAUUCCCAAAAUAAUAAUAAUAAUAAUAAUACUUGUAAAAAAAAUAACGAAAAUGGUUUGGUUUGUUAAUAGUACGUUAUAAUAACCUUAGUGGAGUUGGAGUAGCUCUUGGAGCAUCAAAAGAUUUCUAGCUAUAAAACUAGAUGUCAUCUGUUCCAUUAUCACCACUUAUGUGUAAAUCACCAUGGGUAAAAGGUACGGAUUUAACCUGUUUGUGAGGUCGUAGGGUAUUCCAUAAGCCUUUUAAUAAUCCACUUUUACGCUUGUGCCCUCUAGAUAUUAGUAAAGUAUUUGGAUUUUUUGUUUUUUUUGUUUUUUUUGGGUAAAGAGUAAGAAUAUAUAGCUUGAACCAACAAUUAUAAAAGAUCUGGUACCACAAAACUUGCACUCAACAAGACAAUAAGAUGGUCAGAGUGAGUGGAAGGGAGCCGAAUGCAAAAGAAAACUGCAAGAGCGGGCCUGAGGAAGCAGAAACAACCAAAACAAUGGCAAAAGGAAAAGGAAAGCAACGGGAGGCCACAGAAAGGCGAGAUGAAGCACAAUCUACGCCUGCAUCUACCAACGACAAAAGUGAAGAGCCAUCAAGGAAGCACCCAUGCAAAUGAAGAGUAUCCAAAUAGCAAACACCAAGCUAGGGCUCUACCGAAGUAGAAGACUCCCCAGCCGAAAAAAUGAUAGGAUCACUACCCCAAUUACGCUACAAUUUCCGGUUUCUAUAAGUAUCAUCCACACUCCUGAGGGUGGUGGCCUUGUCUCUGACAACCUCGAUGAGUUGAUUCUUCACCGCUGGAAUGGAUAAGUGCUGCUUUCUAAAGAGGAUGCCAUUCCUAUGCUUCCAAAUGAAAUAACAAAGAGCAUCAAAAGAGAAGUGAAUAAUGCACUUGUAAAAGUCUUUGCCCGCAAGGAAGGAGAUGGCCCAGUUGAGGUUCUCAACCCACGAACUAUUCCGCCACGGCAGAUUGCAUCUAGAGGCCCAAAAGAAGGCGACGCUAGUAGAGAUGCAGCAACGACUUUUUAUUUUAAUGUAUUCGGAUUUAAUGUGCAAGUUUACUAAAAUUGUAAAUGACACUUUUAUUUUAUUUUAUUUUUGUGGGUACAGUUGUGAAAUGUUGUUGGGUAUACAUUUUCGUCAGCCUCUUAAGUUGCGCCAUUUUUUUAGGCCUUUUCUCCAAGAGUAGUGUCAUGUUAUGCUCCGGACCUCUAAUUUACUAGUUUGGACUCUAUUUUUUUUUUCACGGUACAUUAAUAAUUUGAAAAAUAUCAUUUUUAAAAUGGAUUAUUUGUAUCGCUUCAAAUAAUUAAUCAAUAAAAAUAUUAUUAUUACUGAUAACGAUUUAUAUCCAAACAGAUAUCUCCUCCUUAUAACCGACACUGGUGUUGGGCCUCCGGCCUUUGUCCUUUUUAAUACUCAUCUUUCUUCACAAGAUAAAUAAUAUCUCAACACAACCCGUUCUUGAGUGAGGACUUCCUAACAACCUUCUUAUGGAAUGUUUGGGAUUAUGUUAUUGACAUAAACCCCAUUGUGGGUUACUACCCACAAUUAGUGGCUGACUAGUGAUUGCGCCAGGUGAAGUAGCUAUUGUUGUUUAGCUUAAAAGAGCUUUACUUCAGAUAAUAUUCUGCUAUAAAUCACCUAGAUUUGUGAUUUCUUUCUUUUUAAGGUGAUAGAUGGAGUGCUAGAUUACUAGGUCCACAUUUCGAAUGCUUAUGAUUUUGAACUACAUAUUCCAAUCCUUUCGAGAUAUAUGCUCCCCGCACAGUGCUCGCGAACUUCCAAAUGCUUAUCAUAUCAAGUAACAAGACAUUUGAUGGCAUGCAAUGCAACCACUUCUAGUAUCGUUGGCACUUGUUGCGGCAGGAUUUGGUACUAAAAGGAAAAUGUCCGCUGAGACAGUUCUCUAUGUUAUGCAGAAGCAACCAAGGUUUCAGCCAGAGAACUUGGCUCACAACCGGAAGUUAUUUGACCGAGAGAAUGAAAUUGCACAAAGAAAGGGAUGCACCCCAUCACAGUUAGCCCUUGCCUGGGUACACCACCAGGGUGAUGAUGUCUGCCCGAUUCUCGACACAACCAAGAUCGAGAAUUUCAAGUAGAGCAUUGGAGCUCUGUCAGUGAAGCUUACACUGGAAGAGAUGACCGAGCUCGAAUCAAUUGCUUCUACAGACAAUGUCAAGGGUGGCAGGUACCAUAGCAGCAUCUCUACAUGGGAAAACUCGGACACUCCACCCCUUUCCUCAUGGGAAGCUGCUUAGAAACGGGUCUGCUUCUGUCACUGCAUCUUUGAUAUUUAGAGUUCGAGCAUUUGCUGCAGCAAUAAUUUUCAGCUUAUGUGGUGUGGUUAUUAUAAGCAUGUGCACGAAGAGAGUGCUUGUGAUCCUGUAAUAAACUUUGAACUUCAGAGAGUAACUGUUGUCAUUUUGUUUGAAUGGCAAUCACUGUAAGAAGAUCAUAUGUGUGUGAUAAGCUUAUCGGGAAGAUUACUCAAGAAACACAGGGUGAGUUGAAUUCUAACUGAGCCGACCAUGCAAAUUCAUCAGGGUGACUUUCAGAAUCCCAAAACUAGGAUUUUGAGCAAUUUGACUCGGCCAUACAUACUAAAGUGACACUCUAUUCACCUCAACCGUGAUUUCAUACUUUCAAGUUUCAAUCUUUACAACUUUCUCUCAGGAUUGGUUACUUACUGAAGCAAAUGCCAAGAGGCAUGUUUUCUAUAACAGCACGAUUGCUGAACUGGAUGUCAUCAGUGUUACAGAAAAGUAAACUCACGACUUGAUGCUCUCGUGAAGGUGCCCAUGUGUGGACUUUCUUGCUAGUUGCUAUGCAUAUGGAGUUUUGACUCCUUUUUGUCAAUUUUUCUUACAGAAAAAGAAGCUAAGUAAAAGAAAGGAGCUAUAGGACACUUUGAGCUUCACACUUAAAAUUUCCCCUCGAGAAGUGUGGUUAUUGUGAACUUGGACCUUUUUAUUUGUCAAUAUAAAAUGGAUAAAUUCCGUUGGACAUAUACCAAAGAAGCCGUACUGUGUGUAACAGGGGUCCUACGUUUGUCCAAGAUCCUUUUAGUAUUGUCUUUCCAUCUUAAAAAGCGUCUUACAAGAUGCAAGUAUGGUUCUUUGUAUCUAGUGAUCCUAAUUAUUGUAUUAUUGUCCUAAAAACAUGGGCCUGCGCUACUAGUAUAUCACCCUUGGGUUAUUUCUCGACGAAGUUGAAGAAGAUUAGAGUUUGAAAAGAUCCAUUCAAACACACCCCACUUUUCUAAACACUUUCCUCUCUUCGUUCAAAGUCUGAUGUCAUUAAGAGCUUAGAGUAACACGGUCAAUUCAAUAUGAUGAGUUGUUUUCACAAGUAUUGUUUUCAGAAGUAUGUUCUUCACUUGCCAUUAUGUGUUCAUUUGUAUCUAGUGGUCUGUCGUAUCAAAUGUUUGUAUUAUUGUUCUCAAAACAGGUGCUUGCACUAUUGGUGCAUCACACUUUGGUAAUUUCUCGAUGAAGUUGAAGAAGUUGAGUUUGACAAAAUCCAUUCAUAUACACCCUAUUUCUUUAAGCACUUUCUUCCCUUCCUCGAAGUCCAAUGUCAUUAAACGCUUAGAGUAAUGCUGUUAAUUCAAUUUGAUGAGUUACUUCCGUAAGUAUGCUCUUCACUUGUUAUUCUAUGCAUCAUGUAAAUCAAAAAGCUUUUGAGGCUUGAGAGCCUUGAUUUCUACGUACUAAAAGGCAGUCUCUUUAACAAGUCAAAGAAGGACCAUAUGGUGUGGGAUAGCAUAAUUGUCUCAGAUAUCAUUAGUCUAUAUCAUGAACUUCUCAUAAUCAAAUUAUCAAGCUCAUAGUUAUGAGUUUGCUAUAAAAUGAACAUCCAAAAAAAAUUACUUGUAAAAAAAAAAUAACGAAUAUGAUUUGGUUUGUCAAUAGUAUAAAUAACCUUAGCUGAGUUGGCGCAAUAGGUUGAAGUAUUAGGAGAUUUCCAGCUUGGAAGCUGGACAUCAUCUAUUAUGUUAUCACCAUUUACUUGUAAAUCAUUUUGAGUAAAAAGUAUAGAUUUAACCUAUUCAUGAGCUCGAAGAUGUUCCAUGAGCCAUCAAAUAAUCCAUUUUUAUACUCCUAGAUAUUAGUAAAGUAUCCGGAUAUAAUGUGCGAGUUUACCAAAAUAGUAUAGGACUUUUUUUUUGGAGGGGGGAGGUUUAAAGUUGUGCAAUGUUGUUCUGUAUAUAUUUUUGUCGCUCCUUAAGUUUCGCCAUACUUUUAGGUCUUUACGCGAAGAGUUGUGUCAUGUUGUGUUCUUGAACUCUAAUCUACUUAGUGCCUGUAGACAAGAUAGCGUGGAAUCAGUUGCCAAUCAUCAUAUUGUGCCCCUAUACAUUAAUAGACUAUUCCUCUAGAAACUAUCAGAGUACACAUGGAAAAAGUAGAACGAGAAAAACAUAUCCACAAACGAUAAAGGCUUAUAAUAUGAAAAAUUCCAAGCUAAUGCAAUUUUAAUAAAUUUACUUUAAAUUAAUUUUUUGACCAUAAAAAACCAUAGAGUGAGAUAUCCAUGACAAAUUUAGAUCAAACUAAUUUUUUAACCAUCAAAAACUCUAAAUUAGUACAUUUGUAACAAAUUUAUUUUUCAUUAGUUCCCUUCAAAUUGGAUUAAUAUAAUGGAAAAUCAUAAACCGUACACAUGUGACAAACAAAAGAUAAAACUCCAAAUUGAUAUACUUAUCAACUAUUAUGUAUUAUAUAAUAGGGGUGUGCAUGGUCUGGGCGGACGGUUCCCGACCUAGAACCGGGAAUCGCCCGCCAAGAACUGGUUCCGAAAAAUGGAAUCGGGGACCGCCCGCUAGUUGUAUGGAUCCACCCAGGAACCGGACCGCUAGUCCAAUCUGGUUCCCGGGUGGAUCCAUAGAACCGGUCCAACCUCCACGCCUUCCCCUUUUCGCCUUCAACCAGUUGCAACCCUCGCUCCGAUUUCGUCUCGGCCACCGCCACCAUCUUGGCCACCGCCUCCGUCGUCUCCCACUCCUCUCUCGAGACCGACAAUGAGGAGGACAACGGGGAUGAUGAGCCAUUCUUAGACCUAGAGUUCACCUGUCCCCGAAGAUGAGGAUGAUGGGGAGAAGCCUAAGGAGGGGGAGGAGGAAGAGAGGAGGUAGAAGCGGGAUGAGCCCAACAACGAAGAUGACGAUAGUGACAGUGAAUGCAGAGGUGACGACGACGUGGAGAGAGAGUUCAAGUUCGAGGGAGGAAAAUAGAAUUAACUCACUGUUUUGCCGAGUUCGGACUAGGACUCAAAGGGAGAUGAGUAGAUCCGGAGGUGAAUCGGAGAGGAAGAGGGAGCUCAGGGAGAUUUUGAACUGAGAGAGACGAGAUGGAGUAGGAGAGUAGUGAAUUGAGACAAGAUGGUGAUUGGAGCACUAAAUUUUUAAUUUGCUAAUUUUGAAUUUUUUUAAUAUUAAAAAUAAAUAUAUUAUUAUAAUAUAACGGGUCCAGUUCGGGUGGACGAGUGGGCGGAUCCGCCCGUGGAACCCGGAAUCGGACCAGUACCCACUGGUUCCCAUAAUUGGAACUGGAACUAGACCGGUUUCCUUAAGAACCACCGGUUCUGGACGGUUCCGGUUCAGUUCUAGGUGGUUCGGGCGGGUCCCAAUUCUUUUGCACACCCUUAUUAUAUAACCAAAUAAUUUGACGGUAAAAUUUAACGGAAACUUAUGAGGGAUAAAUUUAUUACACGUAUAUCGGUUUAGAGUGAUGUACCGGUUUAGAUUUUUUUAUAUUAAUAUUUAUAAUAAAUAUGUCAUGAUAAUAAUUUAAAUCUACGAAAUACUUAAUAUCUUUGUAGUGUUUUUUAUAAUGGAAAACCAUAAACUGUACACAUGUGACAAACAAAUGAUAAAACUCUAAAUUGGUAUACUCAUAAACUGUUAUGUAUUAUAUAACCCAAUAAUUUAACGGUAAAAUUUAAGGGAAAUUUAUAGAGGAUAAAUUUAUUACACGUAUACCAGUUUAGAGUGAUGUACCAGUUUGGAUUUUUUUUAUAUUAAUAUUUAUAAUAAAUAUGUCCUGAUAAUAAUUUAAUCUACAAAAUAAUUAAUACCUUCGUAGCGUGAAAAGUGAGAAUCUGACGAUUAAGGAUGGCAGCCAGUGAUUGAGGAUUGUAGCCUUCGCCUAUGCCUCAAUCUUUCUCUUUACAUAACUUCAACGUCAGCGGAUAAGUACCAACGAUCGACACUCAAGCCAAACGUGUCUUUUAAGUCAUAUGAUUAAUUUUGUUGGUGGAAAAGGAGCUGUACACCGGUCACAAGUAUACCUUUUUUGAAUAACUAUGGUGAUGGGUACUUCAAUUCAGACAUGCUUUUUAAGUUACGUGAUUAAUUUUGUUAUUGGAAAUAAUAUUUUACAUUGAUUACAAGCAUGCCUUUUUUGAAUAUGAUAAAAUUAAUUGUUGAAAGUUUGAAAUUGUGGACUAGAUGCAAUAUGAUAUAAACCUUUAUUCUAUUUACAUUGCUGACAAAUAUUCAAAAGUCCCAACUAUACUUACUAUGACACAAAUAUCCCAACUUUCUUUUUGUGACCAAAAACCUUGAACUAAUCUGUUGUGACACAAAUAUCUUCAACUUUAUUUCAAUUUUAUUCAAAAUUAAAUUCAAGAACUUUUAUGACAAGUCAAGAUUUUUCCAUAGAGGGUCAUGGUAUUUUUGAACAAAAUCUGAAUGUGAGAAGAAGGUAAUAAAAUAUGAUAUAAAAAAGUUUGAAUCCCAUCUCACAAGCCAUCUUUUUCUCACGGAAAUGGACAUGUCUAGGAUUUUUCUGGGUGUUUACGUCACACAUGAAUAGAGCUUUUUGGCGGUGCUCAACCUUUUGUCAAACAUAGUACAUACGAGGUCAGCAUUUCAUUUUUAAAAUUGGCCGUCGGAGAAGUGGGCGGCGAGAAUUUACGUCAGCACGUGCAUCAUUUGCUGUCUUUUUGACUCAUCACGCCGAACCACGAGCUUCGUUGUCUGGUAACCGUGAGCGCGCGAGCGAGCUCUCGAACUGUCUCUUCUCCGUCCUCUCUUCUCUGCAUUGACUUCGAGCUAGACGGCAGCGGCGGCGGCGGUGAUGGCAGCGUCGACGGCGGUGAGGAGGAUCAAGCUGGGGUCGCAGGGCCACGAGGUGUCGGCGCAGGGGCUGGGCUGCAUGGGCAUGUCCUCCGCCUACGGCCCACCCAAGCCCGACCCCGACAUGAUCAAGCUCAUCCACCACGCCGUCGGCUCCGGCGUCACCUUCCUCGACACCUCCGACAUCUACGGUCCUCACACCAACGAAAUCCUCCUCGGAAAGGUCGGUUCUCUCAGUCUCUCUUUUGCCUCUGCAUGAAUUAUAUGUGCUUAUGGUGUUACGAAAUUUAGCUUCAUCGAGCAGAGUGCUCUGAUCCUGAGUGUUCGUUUUCUAAUUUCGGGGUUGACGUUGAGCAGGCACUGAAGGGAGGGGUGAGGCAGAAGGUGGAAUUGGCUACCAAGUUCGGAGUCAGCUUAGCGGACGGGAAGAACGAGAUCCGAGGCGAUCCGGCAUACCUGAGGGCGGCUUGCGAGGCUAGCUUGAAGCGGCUCGAUGUCGAUUGCAUCGACCUCUACUACCAGCACCGUAUCGACACUCGCGUCCCCGUGGAAGUCACUGUACGGAUCCUUGUUAAACCUUUGCCUCUCUUUAGACUUUCCUUGAGCCAUAUGAUCCGGUUGCUAAACUAGAUUGGUGUCGAUGAUGCAUCGUCGCGUUGCCAAUAGUUUGUCGGACCCCAUGGCAGAAAUUGACUAUUGCCUUGCCUUUUGAGUCGUAAGAUAUUGUUAGCUGUGAGUUAAGUUCGGUUGAUAGUUGAGGUAGAGAAGCCGAGAGGUCAUGGAAUUUAGUAUUUCGGUGGCUGUGUUUUGUCUUAUGGGAUCUUUCAUAAGUGCUAUUCGAAAUCUUCCUUUGAGAUGAAAGUGCCAUUGGGUGCAUCUUAAAUUAUAUCGGAGGAUAACUUUGAAAGUUGGAUCAGUCUGUAGAGACAUUUGAUUCUUGACAUAUCAUUGUCAAAUAUGACAAUUACUUGGAAUACUUCUGUUAUUUAACCUCUCCGUCAGAGAUUAGAGAAAUCUACCUCCAUCAAUUUAAUAAUUCUGUUAUUUGCCCUAUUCUGUCAUAGAUUAGAGAAAUCUACGUCUGUUAACUUCUUAAUGCCUAGCAAAUUCUUUGUUGCAUAGAGAUGCAUAAAGAUCUACUGAUCUUUGCUAAGAACUGCCAGGUCAAAAUGUAAUGGUGGAAUAGUCAGGGAACACAUACCAUUGAGGGGUCCGGGACACAAUUAAAGCUAAUAAUGUGCAUGAAUUUCUGGAUCUUGACAUGUAAGGUCUUGACUGUUGUUGUUAUGGCAUGUGAAUAUUUGAAGAUUGGAGAGCUAAAGAAACUCGUUGAAGAGGGUAAAAUCAAGUACAUUGGUUUAUCGGAGGCCUCUGCAUCAACCAUCAGAAGAGCACAUGCUGUUCAUCCCAUCACAGCUGUGCAAUUGGAGUGGUCUCUGUGGUCAAGAGAUGUGGAGGCAGAGAUCGUUCCCACAUGCAGGUAGGAUAUCGCUCCAUCAAUUUGUUUAUGCAGUGACAACAGUUUUUUUCUGACUCUACUCUUCCGGAACAUUGUGACUAGGGAGCUUGGCAUUGGAAUUGUUGCCUACAGUCCUUUAGGACGAGGAUUCUUUUCUGUUGGUUCCAAGUUGUUGGAGAAUCUCCCCAAGGAUGACUUCAGACAGGUCUGUUUCUGCUGAUCAACAUACUUAGGUGCUCACUGUGACUGUCGUUCUUUUUGCUGGAUUAUUACCAGUUCUUGUGAUAUACAGAAAAAGUAUUGGGUGGUGUAAAUAAGAAUUGGUGACAUAAAGGCUUUAUAUUCUCGUACGUCUUCAAUUCAGCACUCGCCAUACAUCCCACCUCUCGUGAUUAUAGAUUAGUGUAAAAUAAUAAUCAAUAGCUUGAUGAGCCUAAAAGAGGCAGUUCCCUGUAUUCUCAUGCUUUUGUGAUGAACUAAUAUAGAUUUAUUUGUAGGAGAUUUGUAAGUUCCUCUGUUUCCCAGGCAUCCCACCAUUUGCUAUUCACCAUCCUUUCUCCAUUUUCCACCCAUCCUUUUUCUCUCCUCUUUCUUCACAAGAUUACGAUAUCUCCUCCAUAUAACCGACAUCAGUAUCCGGUCUCAGGCCUCUGUCCUUUUUUAUACUCAUCUUUCUUCACAUGAUAAAUAAUAUCUUGACACAACCCGUUCUUGAGUGACGACUCCCUAACACCCUUCUUAUGGAAGUUUUAGGAUUACGUUACUGACAUGAACCCAAAUGUGGUAUACUGCUCGUAAUUAAUGGUUGACUUGUGAUUGCGCCGGGUGAAGUAGCUAUUGUUUUUUAAAGAAAAAGAGCUUUACUUCUGAUUAUAUUCUUCUACAAAUCAUCUAGAUUUGUGAUUUCUUUUAACUGUGAUAAAUGGAUUGCUAGAGCACUCGCUCUGCAUUUCAAAUGCUUAUGAUUUUGAACUCCAUAGCCCAAUCCUUUCGAGAUGAUCUUUUAUUAAACACAGUGCUUACGAACUUCCAAAUGCUUAUCAUAUCAAGUAACAAGACAAUCUGAUGACACACAAUGCAACCGCUUCUAGUAUUUUUUGCACUAGUUGCGGUAGAAUUUGGUCCGUAAAAGAAAAUGAUAGUUGCUCAAAUGCUCUCCGCUGAGACAGUUCUCUAUGUUGCAGAAUCUACCAAGGUUUCAGCCAGAGAACUUGGCUCACAACACGAAGUUAUUUGACCGAGUGAAUGAAAUUGCGCAAAGAAAGGGAUGCAACCCAUCCCACUUAGCCCUCGCCACCACCAAGGCGACGACGUCUGCCCGAUUCCCGGCACAACCAAGAUGGAGAAUUUCAACCAGAACAUCAGAGCUCUGUCAGUGAAACUUACACCAGAAGAGAUGGCCGAGCUCAAAUCGAUUGCUUCUGCGGAUAAUGUGAAGGGUGGCAGGUACCAUAGCAGCAUCUCUACAUGGGAAACCUCCGACACUCCACCCCUGUCUUCAUGGGAAGCUGCUUAGAGACAUGCCUGCGUCUGUCGCGGCAUCUUUUUUUUUUUUUGGUAAAAUCUGUCGCCGCAUCUUUGAUAGGUAGAGUUCGAGCAUUUGCUGCUGCAUAAUUUUUCAGGCUAUGUGGUGUGGUUGUUAUAAGCAUGUGCACGAAGAGAGUGCUUGUGAUCCUGUAAUAAAUUCUGAACUUCAGAGAGUAAUUGUUGUCAUUUUGUGUAAAUGACAAUCAGUCUGAGAAGAUUAUAGAUAAGUGAUAAGCUUAUUGAACGAUUGCUCAAGAAACACAGGGCGAGCUGAGCUCUAACCGAGCCGAACAUGCCAAUUUGACCCGUCCAUACAUACUAGAGUGAUACUAUUCACCUCAGCCGUGAUUUCAUACUUUCAAGUUUCGAUCUUUACAACAUUCUCUUAGAAUUGGUUACUAUUCAUUGGAGCAAAUGCCAAGAGGCAUGUUUUCUAUGACAACACAAUUGUUAAACUAGAUGGCAUCGGUAUUAGGGAAAAGUAAAUCAUGACCUGAUGCUCUCGUGAAGGUGCCCAUUGAGAUAGCUAGUAUAAGCACCUAGAGGGGGUGAAUAAGUGCACAAACAAAUUUUCGAGAUACGGAAGCGAUUCUGGGCAAUCGAUAGAAAGAAAAAUACGAUCAAAGUAAAGUAAAGGUUAGGGAAGAGAGAAAUGAACACAAGAUUUAUAGUGGUUCGGCUUAUUCCAAGCCUACGUCCACUCUUCCGCACUGACAGCCCACCGGCUGGAUUUUACUAUGAACAAAAGAGAAGUUACAGCACAGCUUUUCCUUGAUUCCACAGUGUAGAUGUUCUCCUACACUUCCUCAAGGUUUCUCACGAAAUAGACUCUCUUUUGUUUACACGAUUUUGCUCAACAAAUGAAUUGACUAAGAACAAGAAGUCUCAGACUUUGGAAUUUUUCUAUCGUGCACCUCCUCGAACAACUAGAACGUCUUCCUUAUAUAUUCCUUCAUGCCAUCAUACCCGUUGGCACUUACUAAAGGAAUUCCUCCAAUCUACCCGUUGGAUGGAAUCAAUUAGGAUGAUCAUUCGAGCUAUUAAAGGAACAUGUCGAUAGCCUAUCAAUCAUGUUCGCCCAUACAAUCAGGAUCUCGGUUUCCAUAAGUAGAACCUUCCAAGUUUACUUUGCCAAUCAUCGGAUCCUUAAUCUUUGAAUCAGUUAUGAUCAAAUAAAGAAUUCCGUUAUGUCAUAUCCAGCUGAGAUCUUCUCCAAUCGAUAAGGCCACAUCCUUAAUGAAACAUCCAGUUCUGGAUAGCCUUUCUUCAACGGAUUAGAACUGUCAAUGAGGAUAGACUUUGAGUCUUGAGUCUGGCUGUCCGGAGGUCUUCAGACUUUAAAUAAUAGAGUCUGCAAGCCUUCAGACUAGACUGAUGGAAAUGUUUUGUCAUCUUCAAAACACUUCAAGAGGAUUUCUCCAACAAUCUCCCCAUUUUUGAUGGUGACAAAAUUUUCCUGCAGAUUUGGAAAACUUUGACCUGCAAAACAUCUCUCAAACACAUAUGCAUAUCUUAUAGAGAUAAAUGGCUAAAUGAAUAACACUAGAAUCUGCAACCACAGAAAUAGGUUAGUCCAGUAUGCAAUAAAGCCAUCCAUAAGAUAUCAAUAGUAGUUAAUAAUAAGCAGUAGUCAAAUCCAAAUCCCAGAUUUAGUCCAUAUCCAGACACACAUGACUCAAAAGUCAAGUCAAAAUAAACCACAAACCAAACAAUCCAAAAGUUCGACAAAUUUAAGUUCAAAGUUUUUCAAAGUCUCACAACUCUCCCCCUUUUUGUCAGCAUAAAAAAGAUUAAGAUGAAAAUGAAGUCAAGGAUUCUUGGGAACACGAACAAGCUGGAAAUCUCCCAUCGACUGAACGAUGCCUUCCAGUCUUUUCAAGUCUUCCUUCAGUUGUGCAACAUCCUCACACUUAGCAUUAGCCUGAAUCUGAAGAGAAAGGGCUUGGAUUUUAUCAUUUAAUGAACCCGAAGAGACUUGUCCUGCAUUAUGCAAGUUUUGAACUUCACAUCCCAAUGUAUAUAUCUGUCCUUGCAUUUCCAAGAGAAUAUCCAUCACUCUGCGAAAGUCUGCUGAAUUUUCGGUCUGCGUACUGGCAUUAGCACGAUUUGAUGGAGUAAAUGCAGACGAUGGUGGAUCAACAUAAUCACGCAGAUUUGGCGAAGAAACCUCAUGUCCUUCCUCAGGAAAUUGAGAGGCAAAAACCUCAUCUGGAUCUGAUGGGGAUCAACUGACUCUCUCACUGGUUGCAGGAUUUGAGGUCAUUCCUCUUUUCUCUUGGUCUCCCUCUGUGUUCAUGCCUUCAGGUGGAGAGUGCUCCUCAUGUUCUCCUUCUUCUUGAUCUCUUUUCUCUUCUUCUUCUUUUUCAACUCUCUCUUGCUCAGCAUCUCUUUCCUCUUCUUCUCUUCUUUCCUCCGUUUCUUUUUCCUUUGCUUCUUUCUCUGCUCUUUCUUCUGUCUGCUGUUCUGACUCUUUCUCUGGAACAGAUUUACUAAGAUUCUUCAAAGCAGAAAUAGUGAUGUUAUCCUCAUCAUCUUCAUCCUCAACGAGGAGAGCUCUUCUUCUCUUGGAUGGAGCAUCCAUGGGCUCCUUCCCUUUCCUUUUUCCUGCAGAAGAGAAUUGAUGAGAUUUGAUUGGAGUCUCCUCCUUAAAUUUCUCAAAUGCCUUGCUUAGUUCCUUCAGACGCAUCUUGGUCACCAUUUUCAGUCCUACCACCAUAUGAUCGCACGAUUGAGCACAAAGGAUUUGCGGAGGCUGAAUGUUCAGAUGUCUAAAUAACUUCGUCACAAGACCUGGAUAAGGAAGUUGUCCUCUGUCCUUCAUCACAGCUCUAUACAUGUGGAACAUAACAGUGUGAGGAAGAGAAAACCUUUUCCCAGUGAUGAUUGCAUACAUUAGCUUUGCCUCUGAACUUGAGACAUCAGUCUUGGAAGUUGAUUUCGGUCUGAGGCAAUUGAUUACAAUUUUGUGCAACAAGAUGUUAAAUGCACUCAUCCUUGAAUAGGAAAUUUUUCCCUCUGUUCUCCUGUUCUUAACAAGUUCCAGAGUAGUACGAGCAAUAGAAACUUUUAUCCGUUGAUAUCUUCCUCUCUCAACUCCUAACACAUCUGCCAGCAUAUCCAUGUCCACAACAAAAUCUUGAUCUUUGACACUGAAGGAGAAUCUAUUCACAUCCAAGAAACUAAGAUUUGAAUAGAAAUAUGCAGUUAGUUGAGGAUAGGCCUCUGUGGUGUUAGAGCAGAAUUUCUCAAGUUGAAGAUGACCAAACUUUUCCCUUAAGUUCACAUUUAUAGCAUCCAGAAAGUCAAAAUCCACACUCCUAGGGUUUAUCACCCCACGCUUCAGCAAUUUUGAGUAUAGAUCCAUCUGUUCCUUCGAUCUAAACAACUCUCCCCUUUUUCCUCGAUUUUCCGCUGCAGUUCCCAUUCUUGGCUGAAAUUCGCUGUAUAAUUUAUCAUCAUCAUUUCCAUCCACCAGAUUAACUCCCCAGUCACGAGGGUCACUUGGGAUAUUCGCAAGGGAUUCUUCUGCCACACCCUUACGAGCAAUUCCCAUACUUUCCAUUUUUCUCAAAAAGAUAUAUUCAUUUCCAUAUCCUUUGUCUUUAAGAAAAUCAUCCACAUAGUUCAAUGGAGUACCAGUCCCUUUUAAAGCAUGAUACAGCUUAUAAAUAAAAGAGGGCCUUUGAACUCUUACAGAGUCUGCAUCUUCAAUGAUUUCUUCAUUUUGAUGAUGAUCAACAUCUUGAGGACUAGAUGGAGGAGAAUGACGCUGCUGAGAAUGUUGUGGGCUCUGCUGCUGAUUCGGAGACACUUCUUCUUCAGUGAGAUCGAAGUGCGUAGGCCCCUCACUCAUUCGCCGUGGUCCCCUGCUUGCGAUCCUCGAAGACUUUCUUGAAGACGACAUCUUUCUUAGUCUUUGAAAGAUUCCUUGCUUGACUUUCCCAAGAAAGAUGACAACUUUUUCGAAGAUUAAAUAAGAGAAGAAAACAGGAAUGGUAGAUUGGUGCUUUUUAGGGUUUUGGAGUUAAGCGAAGAGAAACUGACCGUAUAUAAGAUAGUCGAAAGGAGAGAAUACGGACCAUCGUAAUGGUAAGUGAAAAGAUUCCUUUUAAAAAAUAACUGCCUUUUUCGAAAAAUGGUCACAUCAAAAUAACUUAUUUUUCUAAAAGAAACGAUGCGAUAAUUUCGUUAAUUAAAGAUAACGAUUGAGAUAAUCAACACGGUUGAUGAAUCGUACCUUUUCAAGAUGAGAUUAGAGAGAGAGAAUAACUUACAGUCAAAGUCUUGUAGUCAUAGUCUUAUUUGUCUGAGUCUGAGAGUCUCUAGACUUUAACUUCUUCGAACCUCAAAAUAUUGAGUCUGGAAUGGAUAAUUUCAAAUUGAUUUUUCUCCAAAGGCUUUGUAAAUAUAUCCACCAGUUGGUUCUUUGAGUCAACAAACUAAAUCGAGAUUUCUCCAUUUUGAACAUGAUCUCUAAUGAAGUGAUGUCGAAUCUCUAUAUGCUUUGCUCUUGAGUGAAGAAUUGGAUUUUUGGUGAGGUUGAUAGCGCUGGUGUUGUCACAUUUAAUCUCUGUGCAUGAAUCUUCAACUCCAAAGUCUCUUAGCUGUUGUUUUAUCCACAGAAUUUGUGAACAGCAACUUCCAAGAGCUACAUAUUCUGCUUCUGCUGUAGAGAGAGCUACCGUACUUUGUUUCCUUGAAAACCAAGACACUGUCCUGCCUCCAAGUAGUUGACAGGUACCUGAGGUGCUCUUUCUAUCAACUCUGCAUCUGGCUAAGUCUGCGUCUGAGUACCCAAGAAGAGUAAAGUCUCCCCUUUUAUGAUACAAGAGACCGAAGCUUGAAGUUGAUGCAAUAUAUUUGAUAAUACACUUUGCAGCAUUUAAAUGUGAUUCUUUAGGGUCUGCUUGAAAUCUAGCACAAAUGCAAACAUUAAACAAAAUGUCAGGUCUAGAGGCAGUAAGAUAAAGAAGUGAACAGAUGAUACUCCUGUAUAACUUUUGGUCGACUUUCUUUCCUCCUUCAUAUUUAUCUAUCUUCACGGAGCUUGACAUUGGUAUAUCGGCCUUUUUGCAAUUGUCCAGUCCAAACUUCUUCACAAUGACAUUAGCAUAUUUUUCUUGAUGAAUAACGGUUCCUACCUUCAAUUGUUUCACUUGAAGUCCAAGGAAGAAGGUUAACUCACCCAUCAUGCUCAUUUCAAAUUCGUCUUGCAUAGUCUUACAGAAUUUCUUGCACAGACUUUCAUUAGAGGAUCCAAAAAUAAUAUCAUCGACAUAUAUUUGAACAAGUAGAAAACUCUUGCUUUCUCUUUUAAUGAAAAGAGUAGUGUCUACUUUACCUUUAACAAAUCCAUUUUCAAUUAAAAACUUACUCAGUCUGUCGUACCAAGCUCGAGGAGCUUGUUUCAAGCCGUAUAAAGCCUUUCUGAGUCUGAAUACUGAGUCUGGUUUCCUUGGGUCUUCAAACCCAGGAGGUUGUUCCACAUAGACUUCCUCUUGGAUGAAUCCAUUUAGGAAGGCACUUUUGACAUCCAUUUGGAAUAACCUGAAAUUCUUAUAACAAGCAAAAGCAAGUAAUAAUCGAAUUGCUUCUAACCUUGCUACUGGUGCGUAAGUCUCGUCAUAGUCUAUCCCUUCUUCUUGUGUGUAUCCCUUGGCCACGAGUCUUGCCUUGUUUCUUAUGACUUUUCCUUUCUCGUUCAUCUUGUUCCUGAAAACCCAUUUAGCUCCAAUAACAGAUUUACCUUUUGGUUUAGGAGUCAAUUCCCAGACAUCAUUAAUGCUGAAUUGCCUGAGCUCUUCUUGCAUAGCUUCAAUCCAGCUUUCAUCAUAUAAAGCUUCUUCUAUGCUUUUGGGUUCUAUUUCAUAAACAAGUGCCACAGCACUAGACUCUUCGCGCCUUUUGGAUCUAGUGCGAAUUCCUUCAUUGAUGUCGCCAAUAAUAAGAUCUUUGGGAUGACUGGACUUAUGUUUCGCUGGUUAAUUUGUUAGAUUGAUGGUCACUUCCUUCACUUGAAUCUUCAACAGUCACUUGUUGCUGGUCCUUCAAAGUCUGAACUAUUUUAGACUUUGUAGAGUUUGGAGCAGGUUCAGAUUCUUCAAGAUGAGUCUGAAUGGAUUCAUUUUACAUAGAGUCUUGGAAUUUAACAUUCAUUGAUUCUUCCACCGUUUGAGUCUUCUUGUUGUAGACUCUGUACGCUUUGCUUGUGGAUGAAUAUUCAAGGAAGAUGCCUUCAUCUGACUUUUCUUCAAACUUACCAACUCGAUCAUUUGCAUUUUUCAGUAUAAAACAUUUGCAUCCAAACACAUGAAAAUAUGAAACAAUAGGCUUCUUUUCUUUGAAUAGUUCAUAGGGGGUUUUUUCCAGAAUAGGCCUUAGAAAAACUCUAUUUAUAAUGUAGCAUGCUGUAGAAAUUGCUUCAGCCCAAAAAUGUGAAGAAAUGUUACUUUCAAUUAAAAGAGUUCUAACCAUUUCUUGAAGUGAUCUAUUCUUUCUUUCCACAACUCCAUUUUGUUCUGGAGUAUAUGGAGAGGAGAAUACAUGCUGAAAACCUGAUUUAUCAUAGAAUUUUGUAAAAUCAUGAUUUUCAAACUCACCUCCAUGAUCUGUUCUUAUACUCGAGAUAACAUACCAUUUUUCAUUUUGAACCUUUUUAGCAAACUUUUCAAAGUAAGAGAAGGUUUCAGACUUACUUGCCAAGAAAUAUACCAAAGUGAAUCAUGAAUAAUCAUCCACAAUUACCAGGCAGUAUUUCUUACCUCCAAUGCUUUGCGUUCUGGUUGGUCCAAAAAGAUCCAUAUGCAGAAGCUACAGUACACGGUUAGUGGAAACUUGAUUUAUUGGUUUAAAGGAAUUUCUUACCUGUUUUCCCAAUAUACAUGGUGUACAUAGAUCAUACUUUUGAUAUGAUAAAUUGGGUAGACCACGAACAAGCUUCUUUGCUGAGAUUUUGGCUAUUUGCUUCAUAUUGACGUGCCCAAGCUUUCUGUGCCAUAAGUUUGCUUCGUCUUGGAUUGAGAUUAGACAUUGUGAUUCAUCUGGUUUCACAUCCAAGAGGUAGAUAUUUCCAUGUCUUCGACCCAUGAAUGACUGAGGAGAAUCUUUACUAAUUCCAAAACAUAUUCCCUCUUGAAAGCUGAUUUUGAAACCAGUAUCACAUAGCUGACUAAUACUGAACAAAUUGUAAUUGAGCCCUUCUACUAAGGAAACAUUGCUGAUUUUGAGAUUUCCAAUCUUUACAGUUCCAAAUCCCACAAUUUUUCCUUUGUUGUUUCCUCCAAAAGAAACUUUUCCACCAUUUACUCGAACAAGCUUUAUGAAGUAAUUUGAGUCUCCUGUCAUGUGUCUUGAGCAUCCAUUAUCCAGAUACCAUUUUACCUUUUUUUUUAUAGUGACCUGCAUUUAAAAAAGAAACUCAAACCUUCUUUGGUACCCAUAUUUUCUUGGGUCCAUUGGUGUUAGUAUGAUAUGUGGUUUUUGUCCAUUCAUUUUUAACAGGUUUCCAAAUCAUAGGACAUUCUUUUUCAAAAUGAUCUGCACUUUUGCACUUUGAGCAUCUGAGAGCAUUGCGACCUACUGGUUUUACAAAGUUCCUUUUAAAAUGAUUUUUGUAAGCAUCUCUUGUGGGUCUUUGUUUGAUUCUUUCCUUCACCUUAGGAAAAUCAAUUAAAGGAAUGGUUUCAGCAUUCAUUCCCAAACCAGAUUUAUUGAAAUAAGGUCUUUGAACAGAAAGAAUUUUUUCCAGUUUCUCAGAUCCUAUAUAAAAUCUUUUAGAAAUAUUUGAGAUAUUAUUUUUCAAGAAUGCAUUUUCUUUUAACAAAUUAUCUUCAAUUUCUUUAAGAGAAGAAACAUUCUUGUCUAAACUUAUCACAUUUUCUUUCAAAAUAUUUUCCUAUUGUUUUAAAGCAGAAUUUUCUUUCUUGAGUUCGGAAAUUCUUUUAAGAGAAGUCUUAAGACUAAAACAUAAUUCAUCAAUAUACUUUGAAAUCUUAAUAGGGAUUUUGAAGUUACUUACCUCAAAUUCUCUUUCUGAGUCUGAAUCUGUCUCGGAAUUUGAGUUUGAAUCCGAUUGAGCCAUCAGACAUAUAUUGGCGUAUUCAUCAUCACUUUCUUCACACUCUGUAUCACUCCAGGUUUCAGCUUUAAGAGCUUUUCGAUACUUUUUAGUUUUUCCUUUCUUCUUCCUCAGAAGAGGACAGUUGGGUUUGAUGUAUCCAUUUUUCUUGCAUUCAAAGCAGACUACAUCUUUGUUUGAUUCAUCAUCCUCAACAGACUUAGUUUGUUACUUUUGAAAACUUUGUUUCUUUGGAUUGAAUCUUCUUCCUUUUUCUGUUCAGCUUUCUGAAUCUUCUUAUCAUGAGAGCAAGUUCCUCAUCAUCCAUAUCGUCUUCAGAAUCUGUAACAUCAGAAUCAUCAUUAGAUUUUAAUGCAAUGGAUUUCUUACCUUUAGGGUCUUCGUCUUCAUUGAUUCGUUCCACUUCAUAAGACUGAAGAGUCCCAACCAACUCAUCAACAGAUAGUGGCAUGAUUCUUUGGGUCUCUCUGAUUGAGGUCUUUAUGUGAUUCCAAUCCUUGGAGAGUCCACGCAGUAGCUUGUUUACUUUCAUGGGAUCAGAAAUUGGUUGACCUUGAUUUUCAAGACCGUUCACAAUAUCUGUAAAACGACUAAAGAUAUCAGUUAUAGAUUCUCCUGGUUUCAUUUUGAAGGCUUCAUAUUGGCCGAGGAGAAUGUUGAUUCUAGUCUCUUUCACUCGAUUGGUUCCUUCAUAGGUAAUAUGUAAUCUAUCCCAGACUUCUUUAGCUGUAACACAAGAAGAUAUUCUGUUAUAUUCAGUAGGGGAUAAAGCACAAUAUAAAGAAUAAAUUGCUUUUGCAUCAAGAGCUUGUCUCUUGAUUAUCUCUUCCUAAGUCAUUUCGCUAGACUCAACAGCAUCUUUUCCUCUUUCUAAGACAACGUCCCAUUCCAGAGGAUCCUUUGAUCUUAGAAAUGCUUUCAUCUUGUUCUUCCAUAUGUUGUAAUCCUUUCCAUCAAAGUAAGGUGGUCUGCUAUUGCUUUGCCCUUCUACCAGUCCUGGAGCCAACAUACUAGCCAUGGAUCUUUAACUCUGAAGUAAAACACUUCAACAAAAGUGAGUACACAGGCUCUGAUACCAAUUGAGAUAGCUAGUAUAAGCACCUAGAGGGGGUGAAUAGGUGCACAAACAAAUUUUCGAGAUACGGAAGCGAUUUUGGGCAAUCGAUAGAAAGAAAAAUACGAUCAAAGCAAAGUAAAUGUUAGGGAAGAGAGAAAUGAACACAAGAUUUAUAGUGGUUCGGCUUAUUCCAAGCCUACGUCCACUCUUCCACACUGACAGCCCACCGGCUGGAUUUCACUAUGAACAAAAGAGAAGUUACAGCACAGCUUUUCCUUGAUUCCACAGUGUAGAUGUUCUCCUACACUUCCUCAAGGUUUCUCACGAAUAUAGACUCUCUUUUGUUUACACGAUUUUGCUCAACAAAUGAAUUGACUAAGAACAAGAAGCUUUAGACUUUGGAAUUUUUCUAUCGUGCACCUCCUCGAACAACUAGAAGUCUUAAACAAAAAGGNNNNNNNNNNNNNNNNNNNNNNNNNNNNNNNNNNNNNNNNNNNNNNNNNNNNNNNNNNNNNNNNNNNNNNNNNNNNNNNNNNNNNNNNNNNNNNNNNNNNNNNNNNNNNNNNNNNNNNNNNNNNNNNNNNNNNNNNNNNNNNNNNNNNNNNNNNNNNNNNNNNNNNNNNNNNNNNNNNNNNNNNNNNNNNNNNNNNNNNNNNNNNNNNNNNNNNNNNNNNNNNNNNNNNNNNNNNNNNNNNNNNNNNNNNNNNNNNNNNNNNNNNNNNNNNNNNNNNNNNNNNNNNNNNNNNNNNNNNNNNNNNNNNNNNNNNNNNNNNNNNNNNNNNNNNNNNNNNNNNNNNNNNNNNNNNNNNNNNNNNNNNNNNNNNNNNNNNNNNNNNNNNNNNNNNNNNNNNNNNNNNNNNNNNNNNNNNNNNNNNNNNNNNNNNNNNNNNNNNNNNNNNNNNNNNNNNNNNNNNNNNNNNNNNNNNNNNNNNNNNNNNNNNNNNNNNNNNNNNNNNNNNNNNNNNNNNNNNNNNNNNNNNNNNNNNNNNNNNNNNNNNNNNNNNNNNNNNNNNNNNNNNNNNNNNNNNNNNNNNNNNNNNNNNNNNNNNNNNNNNNNNNNNNNNNNNNNNNNNNNNNNNNNNNNNNNNNNNNNNNNNNNNNNNNNNNNNNNNNNNNNNNNNNNNNNNNNNNNNNNNNNNNNNNNNNNNNNNNNNNNNNNNNNNNNNNNNNNNNNNNNNNNNNNNNNNNNNNNNNNNNNNNNNNNNNNNNNNNNNNNNNNNNNNNNNNNNNNNNNNNNNNNNNNNNNNNNNNNNNNNNNNNNNNNNNNNNNNNNNNNNNNNNNNNNNNNNNNNNNNNNNNNNNNNNNNNNNNNNNNNNNNNNNNNNNNNNNNNNNNNNNNNNNNNNNNNNGGCGCUACAUGAACGUAGAGCGGUGGAACAGCAGGCGAAGGUGGCUCGACGGGCGGGUGACAAACUGAAUGGUGGACGCAUGGCUCGCGGACUAGUGGGGUCAAGGCUAGCCUCGAGGGCAACCAGAGGGCGUCCAGGCAACUCAGGUGGACGGGUAAUGGCUUGGACGGCGGUGGAGGAGAGCUGGCUGGUUCGGUGAGGGCUGGUGGCUAUUUUGCUAGUUCUCUCAUUUUGUUUCAAUAACAAUGGAGAGUGAGGGAGUGAGAAAGAAGAAGAAGAAGAAGAAGAAGAAGAAGUUGUUGCUGCUGGAAGGGGUGAACAAGGGGCCACAAAGUCAAGCUAAAAGAUCUAAAACACUCAAGUGCAAGGACCCUAAAGUCUUCAUCCUUGAUCCACAGCCACUUUUCCCUCCCAAUAUUCCUCCACAAGCCAAGGAUUGAUGCUCAAAUGUUGUAGUCCCCAUGCCCUACAAAUUUCAUGCAAUCCCCUCACCAAAGCAACUCAAUUCCACUCCAAAUGGCUUCCAAUUCAUGGCCAAAUUGCUGAGGAGUAAGCCCACACUAAAUUCCACAAUUUCGCUCACCAAAUGAUCCAACUUGAAGGCCAAAAGUGCACACAAAAAUGGCCAUUCGAAUUUCCCUAUUAAAAUCGCCCAACUUUCAUUUUUCACUGAAAAUCCGAACUCGCAAAAAAUUCUUUCCAAGACGAGUCGACAUCCUAGAAAUAAUCAUGACAUACUGAAACUUUUGAUUCCUAAAACCGAGUUCAAUUUUGUGGUUAAUUUCAACCGAACGUGAUUUUAGCGUGACCUAACCUAUCGGAUAGCUUUUAGAAAUUUUUAGUGCAUUUAACCUGUGGUCGAUCAUUUUCGAUCCACAUUGUGCAUUUUCAACUCAUAGGCGAUUCUCGGUUGUCGUAAAAAUCUCAAGGUUUCAAUUACCGGCACAUGGUACAGAAUCGACAGAAAAAUGGGUUUAGUGUUGUUCGAUAAGAAUUUUGCAAUCAGGUGGAAUCACCCACAAUUUAGUUACAGGUCUUUGUCAAAUCGACCCAUCUCCGGUCUCUAGUUGAUUUUAAUGAUGUCAUGUUGACAUUUGCAUAUUAGCACGGUCGAGCAAUCGAUUUCUCAUCAAAUUCUCAAGUCGGUCGCGUUUAUAUUCCUUAACGGCUUCACCAGAUAGAUUGAUUAUCUCGUGAGUGAUCAGCUUAGAGAAAAAGACUAUAGGCACGUAGAUAAAAAGCCCAAUUCACAUUAUCAGGAUAUGGUUGAAAAUCAAGGUGUCACACUCCAUGAGCCAUCAAAUAAUCCAUUUUUACGCUCCUAAAUAUCAGUAAAGUAUCUGGAUAUAAUGUGCGAGUUUACUACAAUUGUAUAUGACUUUUCUAUUUUAUUCUUUUCUUUUCUUUUCUUUUUUUCGGGGUUAAAGUUGUGCAAUGCUGUUCUGUAUAUAAGUGAGGACUCCCUAACACCCUUCUUAUGUAAGUUUUGGGAUUAUGUUAAACCCAAUUGGGGGUUACUACCCACAAUUAGUGGUUGACUAGUGAUUGCACCGGCUGAAGUAGCUAUUGUUUUUUAGCUAAAAAGAGCUUUACUUCUGAUAAUAGUCUUCUACAAUUCAUCUAGAUUUGUGAUUUCUUUCUUUAAAAUGUGAUAAAUGGAUUGCUAGAGCACUUGCUCCGCGAAUGCCUAUGAUUUUGAAUUACAUAUUCCAAUCCUUUCGAGAUAAUCUUUUACUAAUCAUGCUCCCCACACAGUGCUUGCGAACUUCCAAAUGCUUAUCAUAUCAAGUAACAAGACAAUCUGACGGCCUGCAAUGCAACCACUUCUAGAAUUGUUUGCACUUGUUGCAGUAGGAUUUGAUGCUAAAAAGAACAUGAUAGUUGCUCAAAGGCUUUCCGCUGAGAGAGUUCUCUAUGUUAUGCAGAAGCAGCCAAGGUUUCAGCCGGAGAACUUGGCUCACAACGCGAAGUUAUUUGACCAAGUGAAAGAAAUUGCGCAAAGAAAGGGAUGCACCCCAUCACAGUUAGCCCUUGCCUGGGUACACCACCAGGGCGACGACGUCUGCCCAAUUCGCAGCACAACCAAGAUCAAGAAUUUUAACCAGAACAUUGGAGCUCUGUCAGUGAAUCUUACACCGGAAGAGAUGGCCGAGCUCGAAUCGAUUGCUUCUGCGGACAAUGUGAAGGGUGCCAGGGAC